rnacentral:lncRNA from 1 species
ACUCUUAGUCUUUCGUACAACAACUUGUCCAUCAAUGCAAGUGUUCGUAAUCCCACUUUGCCUCUGCUGUCGAAUCUUACCACAUUAAAAUUGGCUUCUUGCAAGCUCAGAACAUUACCUGAUCUUAGCACCCAGUCAGGAUUGACAUAUUUAGACCUUUCCGAUAACCAAAUUCAUGGAACCAUACCUAAUUGGAUUUGGAAGAUUGGUAAUGGAUCUCUUAUGCAUUUGAAUCUCUCUCAUAAUUUACUGGAGGAUCUGCAGGAACCUUUCUCUAAUUUUACUCCUGAUCUGUCCUCCCUUGACCUACAUUCCAACCAGCUCCAUGGCCAAAUCCCAACUCCUCCCCAAUUUUCCAGCUAUGUGGAUUACUCAAACAACAGUUUCAACUCUUCCAUCCCAGAUGAUAUUGGUAUUUACAUGUCCUUCGCUCUUUUCUUCUCUCUUUCGAAGAAUAACAUCACUGGAAGUAUUCCUAGAUCCAUCUGCAAUGCAACUUACCUGCGAGUUCUUGAUUUUUCUGACAACACUUUGAGUGGCAAAAUACCCUCAUGCUUAAUUGAGAACGGGAAUCUUGCGGUGCUGAAUCUAAGGAGAAACAAGUUUAGUGGCGCUAUACUUUGGGAAUUUCCAGGUGAGUGUCUUUUACAGACCCUAGAUCUCAAUAGAAAUCUUUUACGAGGAAAAAUUCCGGAGUCUCUGGGCAAUUGCAAAGCCUUGGAGGUUUUAAAUCUUGGGAACAAUCGGAUGAAUGAUAACUUUCCUUGCUGGUUGAAGAACAUAAGCAGUUUGCGUGUUCUUGUUCUGCGAGCCAACAAAUUCCAUGGACCCAUUGGAUGUCCCAAGAGUAAUUUUGAAGGGGAUAUACCAGAAGUAAUGGGGAACUUCACAUCACUCAAUGUUCUCAACUUAUCGCAUAAUGGUUUCACAGGCCAAAUCCCAUCGUCAAUAGGGAAUCUGCGACAACUUGAGUCAUUAGACCUCUCGCGAAACUGGCUGAGUGGAGAGAUACCUACACAACUUGCCAACCUAAAUUUCCUUUCAGUCCUGAACCUCUCCUUCAAUCAAUUGGUGGGAAGCAUCCCUACGGGCAAUCAAUUGCAAACAUUUUCAGAAAAUUCCUUCCUGGGUAACAGAGGAUUAUGCGGCUUCCCCCUAAAUGCAAGUUGCAAAGAUGGUACACCACAGACGUUUGAUGACAGGCACUCAGGUUCCAGGAUGGAGAUUAAGUGGAAAUACAUAGCUCCUGAAAUUGGAUUUGUGACAGGGUUAGGAGUCGUGAUCUGGCCUCUCGUGUUAUGUAGGAGAUGGAGGAAAUACUACUACAAACAUGUUGAUGGAAUUCUUUCAAGGAUUCUCCUUGGGCAAGACCAAGGAAGAGCAAAUGGUGGAAGAAGAGCUCACAGAAUUCGGCGGCGGAGAAUGUAGCAGUGGUGAAGAGGGAUGUGGCUACUAGUAAAAGCGUCAUUCCGUGUGUUAAAUGUAAUUCUGGCUUGCUUUUUCAUAAAACAAUCAUAGGAAUUAGAUUUUCAAAGUAAUAUUACUCUUACCUUUUAGUGAUGCAAAUAUUAAGGUCUCUAAAAUAUUAUAUAUUUUAAUAGUUUUAUUUAAAAAAUUUAUAUAUUAAAUAGAAAAUAUAUUUUCCACCCAUGUGCAGAAAAGCUUUUUAUUCACAACUCUAGUGUAUAACCAUGUUAACCCUACCCAAAUUAAAAUUCAAACUUGGGAGAUUCUGGGAGUCACUCAAGCUGGGCUGGAGCAUGGGUUAAGAUGUGUUGGCUGGAUGCGGGCCCAAGUUGGGUUAGGUUAAACUUCGUUGCCUGGAUUUCGGUCAUUCAAAAAUAUGGGCCUGAUUGUUACAAACGAAAGCCAACUGAGAUGGCUAGGUCCAUAUUCAGCCCAAUCAACACUUCCAAAGCCAUAAGGGAUUUAAGAUUGAUAAAUAAGGAGUUGGGUGGCUGCCCAUCUCCACCAUUUAUCAUUUCCAAGAAUCAUUAAACAAUGAUGAGAGUCUGAGAUUUUUUGAAGUAGACAAUGAAUCAAUAUAACCUUCUAUUUUUUAGAUCUUAAUGGAAUUUGAAAACUACUCAUAUUUUUAUGCAAACCAAAAACUUGAAAAAUAAAACCCAAAACCAUCUUCCAAUUGAUCAAAAUCCAUGCCCAAUCUUAUAAAAAUGAAAAAAUAAAUUACUAUUUUUUUUUUAUCUUAUACAUUCACAAUUUAGAUUUAUUUUCAUGUUUUCAUAUGAAAAAGACUAAGAAUGUUAGGUCCUCACAUGAUAAACCUAAUUUUAUAUUUUGUAUAAUCAAUAUAAUCCAAAUUAGACUUAUAUAUAUAUAAAAUAAAAGUUAUAAAAAAAUAAAUGAUUUUAAUGUAACAUUUUUUUAUUUUUUUUUAUAAUUUAAUUUUUAUUUUAUUAUAAGUUAUUAAGGAUAGUGUAAGAUAUUGACAUUAAAAUCAAAUACCUAUAGAUAACGAUAUAAGGUGGUUUUAUGGAAUGUAUAAGAUUAGGAAAUUAGAAUUUACUAAAAGUUUUAUAAAAAUCUUUAUAAAGGAUUAAUUUUUAAAAAUUUAAAUUUAUUGUAUUAUAUAGUUAAUAUUAGGAUUUUUUUUCUAAAAAAUAUCCAUAUGAAAUACCUAUUAAAAAAAAUUAAGUAGAUAGAUGAUUUUAUAGAAAACAUGAGAUUGCUAAAACAUUAUACGGUCAAAGUAUUAAAAAACAAUUUUUUUUUUCUUUUUAUCAACUUUAAGUGAUCUAUAAAUUUUCCUAUGUCUUUAAAAAAUCAAUUAGAAAAAAUAUGAAAAAAAAGAGAAGAAUUGAAAUAAAUAUAUUUAUAAAUUUCAUUAUCUUAUAAAUUUAUAUAUGAAUUAUAAUAAGAUAUAAUACUAUCAAAAAUUAAAGUAAAUUACUUUUAAAAGUUUGUUAUCCUUUACAAUCACAAUUUAGAUUUUAAUACGAAGAAGACUAAUAGUGCAUUUUAUUGGGGAUGAAUUAUUUUCAUCUCCAAUAUUGAGUUUUUACAACAAAACAAUUUCUUUUUCAAUAAAUUUCUUUAUUCCUCCAUCUAAUAGUAUUAGGACAAUAAUUUUGUCCCUCAUUGUGAGGUUUUUCCUCUCCAAACUAUUUAACAAUAAAAUAAUUUUUGUUGUCCAUUAUUUACCUUUUGGGACAACAUUAAGUUUUCAUCUCCCAAUAUAUUUUCUACCACAAAAUAAUUUAGGCUCAAUUCAAUUUCAAUUAAAAUUUUAGAAACAAAUUUUUGUGACAAAAUCAAAUUUUAUCUCCCAAAAUCAUCUUUGGAGAUAAAAUCAUAUUCAUGCCCAAAAAAAUUGUGCCAAAAGGUAGAAUUUCUUGUAGUGGUUUUUCCCGUGCUUUUUGUUUGUUUGUUUUUUUAUUAUCCUUUCAGUUGUGAAUCACUCUUCUUCUAUUAUAUUAUUAUUUUAAAAGAAGUGUCGGCAUCUUUUUGUUCAUAAAAUCUUUUACUUAUGUAAUAUCCUUCUAAAACAAAACAAUAUAUAAUAAAUAACAUUUCAGGUGUGCUUAUUUGGUUUUCUUUCUUAUAGAGACAUGUUGAAAGGUCUUUGUUUUACUGGCGGGUGCUUUGGUCACCUGAAUUAUGGGAAUCUCGUCUUACCUUAUCACCAAUGUAGUGCCUAGCAUCACUAGAAGCGUACGUUGUGCGAAAGACGGUACAAUUCGCUGGUAUACAUGUAAUAUUUAGAUGACUUUUAUUGGUUCAUUAAUGUGGCAAGAAAGAAAUAAUUUGUAUUAAUAUUGAUUGCAUUAGUAUUUAUGUAAUAUUUAGAUUUUUUUUUAAAUAAAAACAUAAAUUAGUAUUAUGCAUUUAUAAUUUUAAAAAAUUUCAAAAUGAUUAAGGAGUUUACCAUAUGAAUGAAUAAAAAUAUAGAAAUCAAAUAUAGUUUGAUAUCUUUACAAAUAGUCUUUAUUUAAAAAUAUUAAAACGUUAUAUAUAUAUAUAUAUAAAUUUUAAUGAAGUGUGAAUCUAAAAAUUGUUUAUAUAUUUAUAAUAUCAACUUAAUUGAAGAAAACAAUCGAUUUAUAAAAAGAAAAAAAAACAAUAACUUUCAAACAAAUUUUUUGUUUUAUUUGUUCUAAAAACUAUUUUUACUAAUUCAAUCAAAUAUGUUUUUUUAAGAACAAAAACUGUUUUUAAAAAUUCAAUUCCUAAAAGCAAUUUUAUUUUUAAAUACAUCAAAAUCUAUUCUAAAAUAAAAAAUAUUCUCAAAAAUUAUUUUCUAGAACUAUUUCCAAAAACACUUUCCAAAUAUGCCCUAAAUAUUCACAAGAUCACAUCAAUAUAGCUCACAAAAAAAUAAUGACCAAAAUAUUCAAGAAAUGAUCCACAUCAACACAUGAAAAAUAGGUACUCACUACCACGGUCUAAUAUCAAUAAAAUAUUUAAUGUCAACAACAUAUCCUUCUCUCCAUUUUUGUCCUAGAAAAGACAAAGGGCCAUUCACCAACUAAAUAUCUAAUAUUCAAACCAAAACAAGUAUGCUCAAUAAAUUCUCCAAUAUCCAAAAAUCAAGUAUUCACAUAUAAACAAGUAUUUACAUUAGCAUCCAAAAAAUUAAUAUGAAACAAGAAUCUCACUCCCACCACAUGGUUUCAACCCAGAACCUUUAGAAAGCUCUCUAUCAUCAUAUAAAUAGAUUCUAAGCUACAAAGAUCUAGCAUGGUUGAAUGCACUCAUAAUAAGCUAGAUCUAACAUAGUUAAGAAUAAAAAAAAAUGAGGAACUCCCCAAGGUAAGAAGAUAUCCUUGUUAGGAUAAAGUCCUUAAAAGAAUGACAUGAUGUAAUAAACUCUUGGAUUUUAUUAUUUAUUGAAUAAAGUUCCAGUUCACUUUUAUUUAUCCUAUUUCCAUGCAUGAUAUUUUGUAAGCACUCUCGCCUGUAUAUUUUUCAUUGUACGUGACUUGGGUGCAUUAAGAGUUGCACGGAAAAUCCAAGUCAUAGGUUUCUUGUAAAUAGAUGACUUGUUUAAAGUCGAUUGAUGGGUUUAGGCGACCCAUUAGAGGUUGUAGUGUACCAUAUCCUAAUUUGAGAGAUGACUGGUCUUGACUAUUGGGAUGAGUUUCCCAUGGUGAGUGUACUAGUGUAUAUGGUUACACAUUAAACAAGACCUAUGGUGAGUCAUGACUUAAGACUAUCAAGUAGUUAUGACUUCACAAAACUACUUCAUUGUGUUGUCUCUCAACCUUGAGAGAAUAUUGAGCUUGUGUUGAAGUUAGUAAUGGCUUUGACCUAUGAGUGAGAUCGUAAGUUGAUUAUAUAUUCCAUAUGAAUUGGGUCAUUAUUGAUGGAAGCCGGUAGUAAUAGGUAUUUUCAAUAGAGACAUUUUUUUUUAUUGAGAAUUAAACUAAUAAAUAGGAACAAUUAAACUAACAAAUUAAAACCACAAACACGUCUAAACAUAAAAGAUAGAUCAAAACUAAACUAAAUCGGAAUUAAAAACAAGAGCUUUUCUAAUAUGAAUAAUUAAACUAACAAAUUAAAAUCACAAACAAAUCUAAACAUAAAAGAUAGAUUGAAAUUGAACUAAAUUGAAAUUAAAAAUCAGAACUUUUCUUAUAGAAAUAAUUAAACUAAUGAAUUAAAAUUGUAAACACGUCUAAACAUAAAAGAUAAAUUAAAACUAAAUCAAAUUGGAAUUAAAAAAUAAACUUUAAUACUUAGAAACCAUUAGAUUAACAAACUAAAAUAAUAAAAAACACCUAAACUAAACAAAUAGAUUAAAACUAAAUUUAAGCAAAUUAAAGUUAUGAACUUGAUCACAUGAAUUAAAAAUAGAACUAAACUAAAAUCUAAACUUUCAUUAUCUUUGCAUGAAUUAAAAAAAUAAACUAAAAUUUAAGCUUUCAAUAUCUCACAUGAAUUAAAAAAAAAAAAAAAGAACCGACUAAGAUUUAAGCUUCCUUAAUUUAAUAUGAAUCAAAAUCAGGGCUAAACAAAAAAUUAAGCUUUUUUAGUUAAAUAUAAAUUAAAAGAAAAUUAACUUACCUUUUCCGAAGAUGAGUGUGAGUUGCGACGUGAUUUUUCAAAGUGCAGGCCUAUGUGUGGUGAUGCAAGAAUGGGUUGUGCAUGCUUUCUGAUGUUAAGAUGUAGCUGUUUUUUUUCUUCAAAAAAUAAAAUAAAAUUGGGUGUUGUUCUUUAAAAAAUGACAAAAUCCCAUGAUCCCCUUUGAUUCCCCCCUUGUGUAGUCUUCUAUUGCCUCCCUUUUAUCUCCUAGUGCCCACAUUUCUUUUAACUCUCCCAAACCAAAAUAUCCUUUUUUUCAAACUUCAUUUUCAAAAUUUAAAAUUUAUCCUCUCUAAUUUCAAAAAGAAAAAAAAAAAAACCAUUUUCCAAUCUAAAACUUAAUAUCCCAUUCUUAAAAAAUAUUCAAGUGUCAACCAUUUCGUUUAAAAAAUAUCUUGAUUUUCCGAUUUAAAAUUAAUCUUUUUUUUUUUUUUUGUUCUUUUUAAAUUCCGAUUUUUCAAUUUUUUUUUAAAAACUAAAUGUCAUUUAAAAAAAAUUAUGAUGUCAUUUUUAAACUUAAUUUCAAACUUAUCCCCUCUCUUUUAGAUAAACAAAUCUAUUUUCCAAUUUAAAACUUAAUCUCUCACUUUUUUUUAAAAAAAAAAAUCUGAUUUUCCAAUUUAAAAAAACUAAAUCUCCUUUUUUUUUAAAAAAAAAAAUUAUGAUGUCAACCCUUUCUUUUCCAUUGGUAAGUUUCCUUGCAAAAAAUCAAAUUUAUUAAAUGAAUAAAUAAAUUAGAAAACAAUAAAACAAUAAUAAAUAAAUAAGUUAAUUCAAAAAAUAAUAAAAAAAGAAGAUAAUAAAUAAAUAAAAAUAAACAAGUGAUUGAUAAUAAUAAUAAUAAAAAUAAAUAGAUAAAAAAUGAGCCACGCAAGGCAUGAAACCAUGCAAGUCAUACAAAUUAAGCAAAGAAUGCCUAAAAGGUGACCUAAGUGUACUUAAUAUGGGCCUAGGUGAACCUAAGUGUGCCUAGAUGAACCUAGGUGAAUCUAAGUGGGCCUAGGUGAAUCUAGAUGGGCCUAAAUGGGCCUAGGUGAGGUAGAUGAGCCAGGUGGGCCUAGGUGGGCCAAGUGAACCUAGAUGUGCCACAUAUGCCUAAGUGAACCUAAGUGGCCUAAAGGUGCUCGGGUGACCUAAAAAGGCCAAGGUGAUCUAAAUGGGCCAAAUGUGCCUAAGUGGGCCUAAGUGACCUAGGGGGCCUAAUGAGUCUCAAUGGGCCUAGGGGUGUCCAAAUGGUCCUAGGUGGGCAUGGUAUGCCUAAAAGGGUCUAGGUGAACCUAGAUGGGCCUAGGGGUGCCUAAAUAGGCUAGGACAUGCCUAAGUGGGCCUAAGUAACAUAAAUGGGCCUAGGUGAACCUAGAUGGGCCUAAAGUGGUGCUUAAUAGGGCCAAGUGUGCCUAAAUUGGCCUAGGUGAGCCUAAGUGGGCCUAGUGUCACGGACUUAGUCGUUCACUAAGCUCAUGCGGCACUUAGGCAAGUCAAGACGCUUGAUCUUGCUAAGUCAGCCUUGCUCCCAAUGCUUAGCUUGCUAGGCUAAGAUGCUCAUGACUCGAAAGCUUAAGAAGCUUAGUAGGCAACUCUUAGAGAAUGGAAGCUCUUAUUACUCAUGGAAGCUCUUAUUACUCAAGGAAGCCUUUACAAGUGCUUUGAAGACUCACUUGCUUGGUUAGAAAGUGAUUUGGGUGGUGUCUUGGCCAAAUGAGGGCCUCACCUAUUUAUAGGUACCAAUGGAACUCUCUGGAACCUUGGAGGGUUCCUUACAAAUCAAGAAUAUUCUAGAACUCCCUACACUAAUCUAUGUACAACCCUAUGUACAAGAAUAUACAAGAGAUCUCUAGAAUUCUCUAGAAAGCCUUGGACUUCUCUCAUGCCUUCCACCAUAGUGUAGAGAUGUGUAGACAUCUCUAGGCAUCUCUAGAACCUUCCACACUCUUCCAACCAAUGUCUUAGUGUAGAUGGCUCCAAGAGUCUCUAGAAGCUUUCCUCCUCCUAUAUAAGCCCAUUGGGAGGGUCAUUUGAAGCAUCUUGUGACACUAGGGUGUCUAAAUGAGCCUAGGUAGACCUAAAAGGCAUCUAAGUGACCUAAGGUGAUCAGGACAACGCCUAAGUGACCUAGAGUGAUAAGGAUAAUGCCUAAGAGACCUAGAGUGAUAAAGAUAGUGCCUAAGUGACCUAGGGUGAUCAGCACAAUUCCUAAGUUACUUAGGAAAAUUGGGAAAGUGCUAAAUGACUUAAACAUGCCUAAGUUUGCUAUCUUAAAAGUGUACUGUAGACCCUCAAUUUUGUCCCUUUAGUACAUGUCUUUAAGUUCGUUUUCAGUGCUUCAAAAUAGUUCCUUGGUGGCCCAUUACUACUCGUACGACUUACCUUUUUCUGAGUCACCUCGGAGACUUUGGUUGAGGGAUUAUUUGAUCCCAUAUUGUGACCCUUGGCAGCCCUAACUUAGACUUAGGUUUUUCUUGUUUUUUUUUUUUUAGGAUAGCUUUUAGAUACACUUGGCCCAUUAGGACACACUCUAGGUCACCUUUAGAUGUUUUUGCAUGGUUUGCAUGGUUGCAUGGCUCGUGUUUUUGCAUGGUUGCAUGACUCAUAUUCUUUUGGUGGUUACAUAGCUCGUAUGGCUUGCAUGUGGUUGAUUUUUUUUAUUUUUGUUUUUAAUUAUUUUUAUUUUUUAUUUUUAUUUAUUUAUUUUAUUUUUUAGAUGUGUGAUUUAAAUUUCUUUUGAUUUUCAAUUUCAUGAUAUUUAUUGAUUUUAAUCUUUAUUCUAUUUUGUCUUUAUUUUAUUCUUAUUUCUAUUUGUAUCUUUGUUUAUUUAUUUAUUUAUUUAUUUUUUGGGCAUGAGGAAACGGACCGCCAUUUAUUUGGAAGGAAAAUCAACAGAAUUUUGAAAAGAGGAGAUUUUAUUUUUAGAGGGACAACACAUAUACUUCUUCCAUAGGGGGAUCGGCUACAAGAAGGAAAGAAAAGAAAGAAAGGAAAGAAAGGAGAAAAGGAAGUAGGAUUUUCCUUUUCAGCAAGAUGGUUUCUUUUUGAAAAGUGGGACUGGCAGCACGCAUAGAAAAAGGGAUUUUUUUUUAAGAAAACCAGGGGCACGCAUUGGAGAAAACGGUUGAAGAGGAGAAGAAGAAGGAAGCACAAGAAAACCAGUGGAGAUUUUCUGAGGAUAGAAACCAGUGCAGAUUUUUUUUAUUUGUCAGAAGUAAGCAUUCCCAGGGGGGGGGAUUCUUUGGAUUGCUUUGGGUGAGAAGAACAGGGACUAAGGUACACGAGUUUCUAAAGGAUUUGGGAGAAGGAAUCAUAUCUAGAAGAAAGGAAUUGAGUCAAAGCUGCCGGGUAUGCUUCUUGCUACUUUUUUAUUCCCGUUUACAUUCAAUACUCCAUGAUCCUCUGACCAUUUUUGAAUAUUCAAUCUUUGCUGAUUGGUGUGGACGGUAGGUCCACAAUUAGUUCUAUUGAAAUUGGUUGUUUCUUUGUUUAUUUAAGACUUUCGUUCUUUUCAAUGUCAUUAAUUUCUUAUGAGAAUAAUAUGCAUUUGGGUCAGUCCUUGAUUCUGAUGAUGGAAAUCCUACCUUGUUCACGUUGAAAAUCUGUUUUAAAUCACUCCUCUAUUCUAAGCCAAUGGAUUGAAAUAUGAAAUUGUGGCUUUUCUUGGUUAUUUUCCUCUUCUUUCUGUGUUUCUUUUUUUUGUUAUUUUCUUCUAUUUCUGGCCCACACCUCAACCAGCCCUAUUCCCGAUCUUCAAGAUUUAUUAACGUUGAUUCAAAAAUUUUUGGAACUAUGGAAGAGAAUUUAGGAAAUAAAGAGGUUCUUGAGAACUGUUCUAGUGAGCUCGCUUUCUGCUAGCCGUCUGCAUGGGGAUGUUGUAAUUGGGGAGCUUUUGGCUAAAUGGCUUCUGAAACUUCAGCCUGUGACUACUUCUCCUUAUGUGUUAUUAUCAAACUUGUAUGCUUCAGAUAGGAAGUGGGCAAAUUUAAAGAACCUGUCAUCAGCAGGCAACAGUUUCUUUGGCCCAACUACAGACUCAACUUCGAGGUUAGAAUCAAUCCAGUCUUUAGAUUUCAGUUGCAAAUCCUUUUCUGGUGAUAUGGCAGCAUCAUUGACUGUUGAGUCUGAUAUGGAAUACAAUUGGAAUGCCAACAUUGAGAUAUUUGGAAGAAGAGGUCCUGCUCCCGGAGUUAGACUUGGUGGGGUGCUUGGCGACUCACUUACCAGAGUUGCAAGAAAGCAAGCAGAUGCACUUUUGUUUGCAGAGGCCAGGAAACAGAGUCUUGAUUCUUUGAAAAGAGAAGAUGGCAUUUUUGCUAUAGAAGGAAAAGAUUACAGCUCAAGUUACUAGAAGUGGACAGAGGCAAAAGAUAUCAGUAUAUGAUCUAAUUCCAGGUGAUAUUGUUCAUCUUUCCAUUGGAGAUCAGGUCCCAGCUGAUAGACUUUUUGUUUUAGGAUUUUUCUUUGUCGAUAAAUGAGUCCAGUUUGACAGGAGAAAGUGAGACGGUUCAUAUGAAUUCUGAGAAUCCUUUUUCUCUUGUUCGGAACUAAAAUUCAGGAUAGGUCAUGCAAAAUGCUUGUGACUACUGUUGGGAUGAGAACCCAAUGGGGUAAAUUGAUGGCAACUCUUAUGAAGGAUGAUAAGCCUACUGCAUCAAACUAUCUGUCCAUAGCUGCACUGCCAGUGGGAGAGACAAGGAAGGAGAUGGAUUUAAUACUUCAAAAACGGAGCAUUUAGAAGUUCGGAUGGAUCUUACAGAUGACUUAUUGCACAUGGUUUCCUUUUCUUGGACUAUAUUAAUCUUCGUCGAGCUGCUACAGUCUGUAAGUAGUGGCGAGCUGGUAGUUCUCAUGAAGACUUCUGGAGGUGUCUGAAUCUCGAAAAUUAGAACAUAUCUGAAGAACAGUUUGAGGAUAUGUGCCGUAGAUAUCCGAAUGCCACUGAAGUGAAUAUUUUUUUUGGUGCUCCUUCAAUUCACUCGCUGGUUAUGACAGCAAUAUCUUCUUUAAGGAAUCUGGAGAUCUUAACCUUGGGGAAAGGAACAUCAGGUGAUGCAAUUUUAUUUUAUUUUUAGCCUUGGCUGAUUGUUAUAUACUAAAGAGACUUGAAGCAGUUGAAUUCUCGAAUGCCCUGUACAAGAGCUUUUUGGACGAAGACCUGAUUUGACCAGAGAAGCUUUACUCCAGGACAUGUUUUCAAAUGCAAAAAGACCACAGCAAGACGAUUGCAUCUGGCCAAAGAGUUGCUUACUUUUCUUGUUGAAGCUCUAAAGUCUUUUGCUGAGACCAAAGAAGGGACUUCUGAAAAGGUGCUCCAGUUCUGUGGAGAAAGUGCAGAUCCUAAUGUCCAAACCUCUCAGUUUGUUUCCAUGAGAUGAAGGAAGAGGUGCAAGUCAAGAUUUAGUCUUGCUGCAAUUUCUGAUGUCGAAACUGCCAAUAAUUCUGCCAGCCUACAGAAAAUUCCAAUAUCUGUUUUGAAUAUUGAUGAAAAAUACAUUGCAUCAAGGUUUUGCUGUAAUCUGGAGAAGUCAUUAUCACCAUUAUUUAAGGAUGCAGCAUACAGAGAUUUUGACCUCAAUUUAUCACUCAAUUGGCAAGAGAUCGUAAGUGCCUUUGAUAACUGAUCAGUGGCUGUUUGAGGCGCCAAGUAUGUGACUAAUGAUUAUGUAUCAAUGACAGAACUGACUUCAUAGGCUACCUACAGAAUUUAACAAAGAAAAGAAAGUCGGGAGAGAAAUCUGAUGUUGAAUUCAAUGGCAAGUCCAAAGGAAUUCAGUGGCUGUUUAAGAUGACUUUUAUGGAUGAGUUCAGUAGAGAAUUGAAAAGAAUUCAAGUGGUUGCAUAUGUGGGUGAGACUCAAUUGCGUUAACGGGUACUCUUGAUGGCAGAAAUUCGAAGGGAAUGGGGAAAGCUCAUUAACACAUUGGGGAUCUGCACAUGUUCUGGCUGCUUAACUUGAUGAUCAGUUUUAUGGUGACAUUAUGAAGAAUCUAAUUGAAACAGUGGAGGAUCUUGUCAGAUGGGGGAUUUAUACAGGGCGUUUUGGACAUCAUAACAACAGGGGUUGCAGAUUAUGUAGUUAGAAGUGUCAUGGCCUGUGACAGUUCUGUUUUAACGCCAUGAUAGAGAAGAAGAUCCUUUUAGUUGUGAAUGUGGGAGCAUUGGAUAUGGUGAAUUCUGAAGCCAAGAUUACCAUACUUUCUCAUUUACUGAACAGAAAUAUUCAUGUACACAAUGAGCAAGUAUCUCUUAUUCGAACAUAUAUGUAAAAAGUCCAAAAGCUUCAAUGUUUUGACCAAAUCAAAUGCUUUUGUUUCUCCAUCAUCAGAGGCGUUGACUCUUAGAAGAAGGCGCACUCAUGAACAGCAGCUUGAAUUCCAUGUCACAGAGGUUUUGGAAGAGGCUCGAAUCAUUGAGGCUAAGCACAAAAGAUUGUUGGAUUAUCUGCUGGUGCAUUACUUUUGGAGUAUCACAUAAAAUCUCACUGGGAUUUUGUCCUAUGGAAAUCAUUAAACGGCGAUAACAAGUCAAGCUGGAGUUUAUCUGCGAGUUGAUGAACUCAUUGAAAUUGCCAAACUCCUUGGAUUGAAUUCUCAGGGUGAUGUAUCAGCUGCUGAAGUUGUUGUUGCUGGUGAUCUGCAAUUGGCAUUUGAUCUCUGCCUUAGUUUGGCAAAGAAAGGACAUGGUCCCAUUUGGGACUUAUGUGUUGUUAUGGCAAGGGGUCCUGCUCUUGAAAACAUGGGUAUAAACUCUCAAAAGCAGCUACUGGGUUUUGCCUUGAAUCAUUGUGACGAGGAAUCCAUUGAUGAACUGCUACACGCAUGUGAAAUCUAUGUUGUUGCACUGCUGGUGAUGUUGAACCGAGGGAAUAAAGAGUACAGGUUUAGGGAUUACUCCAACUGACUCCAUAAUCAUUUGGUGAAUGACAAGAACCAGGGCUGGAUCAAGAAUUGUUUGAUAGAUAUCAACAUUUGUAGUUGCCUCGGGAAAGAGAUAAAUGACGAUGUUGCUACAUUCCAUAGGAAGAAUUUGUUUCCAAUCCAGUCGAGUCACAACAAACCAACAGCCUAAUGUUCCUAACGUUGUGUAGAUCCCAUGGAAGAGGCACAUCCUGAAGAGCAUGAUGAGUUUACUGAGAAUGGUAAUGGUAAGGAAAAAGAUUCCAACAAUCCGGCAGAUGAAAGUUUUGAAGAGAUAGAAUCUGGACAAGUGGAUGGAAAAUUUGAGAGGGAUGAUCUGGGAAGGGUAAUGAAGACAAAGCUGACAUGGAUUUAGAGGCACCAAGGAAAGGUGUCUUGGGAUCUGAAAAUUCUAACUUCAUUAGUGAUCAUAUGUUCAAUGCAAAAUCUGUGACGCAAUCAAAGGAUGACAUGCAGGCUGCAAAUUCAAGAAACGUGACACCAGAAACCCUUUUUGCCUUCUCAAUUCUCAUGUUGGGUGCAAUUUCAAAGAGUAUUGCUACUUCUUUGACAUAUCUAGCAAUUAGGUGUAAGAUCAUGGUUCAAGCAGCAGAUCCAAAUGACGGUGAAGCCUAGAAAGCUCCACAGAAAUCCCACAAAAUAGUACAUGAUGUUCUCUAUGUUAUUUGGAAGAGAGAAGGUGGACCGGGGUUCUUUAAGAAAUUGCAAGCUUAGAUCCUGAAAACCGUACUAAACUCAGCAUUGCUUUUGAUGAUCAAGGAGAAAAUUGUAGCAGGCAUUUGAGUACUAAUACUUGCAGCCAUCCCCAACUAAGCAAGAGCCGGAAUUGUUAUUUCUUGUUAAUUUCUACUGUCACCCAUGAUCAAAUGAAGCCUUUAAGCUCUCUUCUAGCAAUGUCUUUGAUAUUAAAUACCCACCAGAAUCCCCAUUCAGUAACUGCUUCAAUUUGAGCUCAUGGAUCCGAGGAAAACAUGGAUAGGGAAAAUUGGUUAUGCCAGGGUCCGUAUUUCUCAAGAGCAAUCCAAGUUUGCUGGGAUUCUUCAUCCCUCAUUGGAAGUCACCAAAACUUUGAACNNNNNNNNNNNNNNNNNNNNNNNNNNNNNNNNNNNNNNNNNNNNNNNNNNNNNNNNNNNNNNNNNNNNNNNNNNNNNNNNNNNNNNNNNNNNNNNNNNNNNNNNNNNNNNNNNNNNNNNNNNNNNNNNNNNNNNNNNNNNNNNNNNNNNNNNNNNNNNNNNNNNNNNNNNNNNNNNNNNNNNNNNNNNNNNNNNNNNNNNNNNNNNNNNNNNNNNNNNNNNNNNNNNNNNNNNNNNNNNNNNNNNNNNNNNNNNNNNNNNNNNNNNNNNNNNNNNNNNNNNNNNNNNNNNNNNNNNNNNNNNNNNNNNNNNNNNNNNNNNNNNNNNNNNNNNNNNNNNNNNNNNNNNNNNNNNNNNNNNNNNNNNNNNNNNNNNNNNNNNNNNNNNNNNNNNNNNNNNNNNNNNNNNNNNNNNNNNNNNNNNNNNNNNNNNNNNNNNNNNNNNNNNNNNNNNNNNNNNNNNNNNNNNNNNNNNNNNNNNNNNNNNNNNNNNNNNNNNNNNNNNNNNNNNNNNNNNNNNNNNNNNNNNNNNNNNNNNNNNNNNNNNNNNNNNNNNNNNNNNNNNNNNNNNNNNNNNNNNNNNNNNNNNNNNNNNNNNNNNNNNNNNNNNNNNNNNNNNNNNNNNNNNNNNNNNNNNNNNNNNNNNNNNNNNNNNNNNNNNNNNNNNNNNNNNNNNNNNNNNNNNNNNNNNNNNNNNNNNNNNNNNNNNNNNNNNNNNNNNNNNNNNNNNNNNNNNNNNNNNNNNNNNNNNNNNNNNNNNNNNNNNNNNNNNNNNNNNNNNNNNNNNNNNNNNNNNNNNNNNNNNNNNNNNNNNNNNNNNNNNNNNNNNNNNNNNNNNNNNNNNNNNNNNNNNNNNNNNNNNNNNNNNNNNNNNNNNNNNNNNNNNNNNNNNNNNNNNNNNNNNNNNNNNNNNNNNNNNNNNNNNNNNNNNNNNNNNNNNNNNNNNNNNNNNNNNNNNNNNNNNNNNNNNNNNNNNNNNNNNNNNNNNNNNNNNNNNNNNNNNNNNNNNNNNNNNNNNNNNNNNNNNNNNNNNNNNNNNNNNNNNNNNNNNNNNNNNNNNNNNNNNNNNNNNNNNNNNNNNNNNNNNNNNNNNNNNNNNNNNNNNNNNNNNNNNNNNNNNNNNNNNNNNNNNNNNNNNNNNNNNNNNNNNNNNNNNNNNNNNNNNNNNNNNNNNNNNNNNNNNNNNNNNNNNNNNNNNNNNNNNNNNNNNNNNNNNNNNNNNNNNNNNNNNNNNNNNNNNNNNNNNNNNNNNNNNNNNNNNNNNNNNNNNNNNNNNNNNNNNNNNNNNNNNNNNNNNNNNNNNNNNNNNNNNNNNNNNNNNNNNNNNNNNNNNNNNNNNNNNNNNNNNNNNNNNNNNNNNNNNNNNNNNNNNNNNNNNNNNNNNNNNNNNNNNNNNNNNNNNNNNNNNNNNNNNNNNNNNNNNNNNNNNNNNNNNNNNNNNNNNNNNNNNNNNNNNNNNNNNNNNNNNNNNNNNNNNNNNNNNNNNNNNNNNNNNNNNNNNNNNNNNNNNNNNNNNNNNNNNNNNNNNNNNNNNNNNNNNNNNNNNNNNNNNNNNNNNNNNNNNNNNNNNNNNNNNNNNNNNNNNNNNNNNNNNNNNNNNNNNNNNNNNNNNNNNNNNNNNNNNNNNNNNNNNNNNNNNNNNNNNNNNNNNNNNNNNNNNNNNNNNNNNNNNNNNNNNNNNNNNNNNNNNNNNNNNNNNNNNNNNNNNNNNNNNNNNNNNNNNNNNNNNNNNNNNNNNNNNNNNNNNNNNNNNNNNNNNNNNNNNNNNNNNNNNNNNNNNNNNNNNNNNNNNNNNNNNNNNNNNNNNNNNNNNNNNNNNNNNNNNNNNNNNNNNNNNNNNNNNNNNNNNNNNNNNNNNNNNNNNNNNNNNNNNNNNNNNNNNNNNNNNNNNNNNNNNNNNNNNNNNNNNNNNNNNNNNNNNNNNNNNNNNNNNNNNNNNNNNNNNNNNNNNNNNNNNNNNNNNNNNNNNNNNNNNNNNNNNNNNNNNNNNNNNNNNNNNNNNNNNNNNNNNNNNNNNNNNNNNNNNNNNNNNNNNNNNNNNNNNNNNNNNNNNNNNNNNNNNNNNNNNNNNNNNNNNNNNNNNNNNNNNNNNNNNNNNNNNNNNNNNNNNNNNNNNNNNNNNNNNNNNNNNNNNNNNNNNNNNNNNNNNNNNNNNNNNNNNNNNNNNNNNNNNNNNNNNNNNNNNNNNNNNNNNNNNNNNNNNNNNNNNNNNNNNNNNNNNNNNNNNNNNNNNNNNNNNNNNNNNNNNNNNNNNNNNNNNNNNNNNNNNNNNNNNNNNNNNNNNNNNNNNNNNNNNNNNNNNNNNNNNNNNNNNNNNNNNNNNNNNNNNNNNNNNNNNNNNNNNNNNNNNNNNNNNNNNNNNNNNNNNNNNNNNNNNNNNNNNNNNNNNNNNNNNNNNNNNNNNNNNNNNNNNNNNNNNNNNNNNNNNNNNNNNNNNNNNNNNNNNNNNNNNNNNNNNNNNNNNNNNNNNNNNNNNNNNNNNNNNNNNNNNNNNNNNNNNNNNNNNNNNNNNNNNNNNNNNNNNNNNNNNNNNNNNNNNNNNNNNNNNNNNNNNNNNNNNNNNNNNNNNNNNNNNNNNNNNNNNNNNNNNNNNNNNNNNNNNNNNNNNNNNNNNNNNNNNNNNNNNNNNNNNNNNNNNNNNNNNNNNNNNNNNNNNNNNNNNNNNNNNNNNNNNNNNNNNNNNNNNNNNNNNNNNNNNNNNNNNNNNNNNNNNNNNNNNNNNNNNNNNNNNNNNNNNNNNNNNNNNNNNNNNNNNNNNNNNNNNNNNNNNNNNNNNNNNNNNNNNNNNNNNNNNNNNNNNNNNNNNNNNNNNNNNNNNNNNNNNNNNNNNNNNNNNNNNNNNNNNNNNNNNNNNNNNNNNNNNNNNNNNNNNNNNNNNNNNNNNNNNNNNNNNNNNNNNNNNNNNNNNNNNNNNNNNNNNNNNNNNNNNNNNNNNNNNNNNNNNNNNNNNNNNNNNNNNNNNNNNNNNNNNNNNNNNNNNNNNNNNNNNNNNNNNNNNNNNNNNNNNNNNNNNNNNNNNNNNNNNNNNNNNNNNNNNNNNNNNNNNNNNNNNNNNNNNNNNNNNNNNNNNNNNNNNNNNNNNNNNNNNNNNNNNNNNNNNNNNNNNNNNNNNNNNNNNNNNNNNNNNNNNNNNNNNNNNNNNNNNNNNNNNNNNNNNNNNNNNNNNNNNNNNNNNNNNNNNNNNNNNNNNNNNNNNNNNNNNNNNNNNNNNNNNNNNNNNNNNNNNNNNNNNNNNNNNNNNNNNNNNNNNNNNNNNNNNNNNNNNNNNNNNNNNNNNNNNNNNNNNNNNNNNNNNNNNNNNNNNNNNNNNNNNNNNNNNNNNNNNNNNNNNNNNNNNNNNNNNNNNNNNNNNNNNNNNNNNNNNNNNNNNNNNNNNNNNNNNNNNNNNNNNNNNNNNNNNNNNNNNNNNNNNNNNNNNNNNNNNNNNNNNNNNNNNNNNNNNNNNNNNNNNNNNNNNNNNNNNNNNNNNNNNNNNNNNNNNNNNNNNNNNNNNNNNNNNNNNNNNNNNNNNNNNNNNNNNNNNNNNNNNNNNNNNNNNNNNNNNNNNNNNNNNNNNNNNNNNNNNNNNNNNNNNNNNNNNNNNNNNNNNNNNNNNNNNNNNNNNNNNNNNNNNNNNNNNNNNNNNNNNNNNNNNNNNNNNNNNNNNNNNNNNNNNNNNNNNNNNNNNNNNNNNNNNNNNNNNNNNNNNNNNNNNNNNNNNNNNNNNNNNNNNNNNNNNNNNNNNNNNNNNNNNNNNNNNNNNNNNNNNNNNNNNNNNNNNNNNNNNNNNNNNNNNNNNNNNNNNNNNNNNNNNNNNNNNNNNNNNNNNNNNNNNNNNNNNNNNNNNNNNNNNNNNNNNNNNNNNNNNNNNNNNNNNNNNNNNNNNNNNNNNNNNNNNNNNNNNNNNNNNNNNNNNNNNNNNNNNNNNNNNNNNNNNNNNNNNNNNNNNNNNNNNNNNNNNNNNNNNNNNNNNNNNNNNNNNNNNNNNNNNNNNNNNNNNNNNNNNNNNNNNNNNNNNNNNNNNNNNNNNNNNNNNUUAUGGAAUCAAGUCAUGCGAAAUUGAUUAGGGCUUUGGUGGGGGCCCAACAUUCAUAACACUCACUUCAAUACUGUUUGCUUGAUAUGAUGAUUUUUUAUUCUUCUUGAUGAAAUACAUGAAUUCACUUUAUAUCUAUUGUUGAGAUACCCCUGUUCCCAUAGACGUGUGGAUGCCCACUAAUCAGGUACGCUCUCUUUACCUCCCAACUCUAAAAUUCUAUGAAUAUGUAUGUUAUCAUGAACCAUGACCAUGUUUGAUGUCAUAAUUGAUUGUCUUGAUGCUUGUUUGAUCAUCUUUGAUAAAAUACAUAUAAUGUGUGUUAUACUUCUAUACUAACUCUGAUGUUUUAUGAUAGCGCUUGAAGAGCGGUUCAGGUACGCACCCUAACUCUCUGUUUUUGUGAUUUGAUCUUGUUUAGCAUGCAAAUCUUUUGAAAUCACCUAGCCUACUUAGGUAUCCAUAACUAACCGAUUAAUUGCCAUAUUCCCCUUAACUUAGUCAAUAGAGACCUCUUUAGGGCUUAGAGGGGUGCUACCUCCUAGAGGUACCUUCCCAAUAAGUAACCUGAUCCCCGGACCAAGACUUGGGUUUUCAAAGACACGCUUUUCCAAAAAUUAUGGAGUCAUUUUUUUUAGGGUUUUAUUUCUUGUUUUAUUUUCCCUUCAAAAAUAAAAAAUAAAAUAAGUGGCGACUCCAACUUUUUUUAAAAUUAAUUUUUCACAAAUAAAAAGCGAGUCUCGCCGAUCGAGUGGGGACGCACGUGAAAAAUGCGGGUCCACAUGUACCUAAAUGAGCUAUCCUAAAAAAGAAAGGAAAAUCCUAGGUUUAACUCGGGGCUGCUAGAGUCACAAUGAGGGGCCAGAUAAAUUUUUCGACCAGAGUCUCCAAGGUGGCUCGAAAGCUAAGUUGUACAAGUAGUAUGGGGUAUCAGAGGACUAUUGUGAAGUACUAAAAGAGCAUCUAAUAGGGCAUGUACUAAAGGGACAAAAUGGAGGGUUUACAAUAUUACUCUAAGAAAUAACAUGUUUAGAAGAAAGUGAUUUGUUGUCCAGGUGUUGAUCAAGUUCAUGUUUAGGUAGUUUUUGAGGAAUAAAAGAGUUUCUCCUUUUAGGCAUGCAGCUUAUGGAUUUAUACAAUACCUUUCAUAUUAGUCUGUGAAACUUUUUAUGACAACUAGUUAGUUGACUAUGAUUGUGAAUCUUUGGAAUGGAAAACUCUUCCUUUUACUAGAGGAAUGGAGCUUGGUGAUGUUGUCUACAUAACCACUGACACUCAAAGGGGUUUUGAAGUGCAAAUCUUUGAAAAAAUGAAAGGAUUGGGAUUAUAGGCACUUUAAAAAAAUUCAGAAAGUAUAUUCAGUUCGCCCCACACUAAUAGCUUGGUAUUGCCUAGAAGCUCUUCAGAUAUGGCAAGCUUGAAGAAUAAAGCAUUUUUGGGUAUUGGAUAUAGUAAAAGGCAAAGAUCCAAAGUGUUUGUUUCAACGCCAAUAAGGAAAGGCCACCUUCGAUGCACAGUCCUAGACAACCCUACGGUUGUCCCUCUUCUGGUCAAGUUCAAGAUUACCUUGCUACUAGUUUUCUUUUCCAUAGGCAUGGCCACCUUCUGCCCUUCAGUGGUGCACUGCUUUACAUACAGUGCUCCUAUUCUCCGACAAAUCCGAUCCACCUUGGGGCAUACAUAUGGAAUUUUGAUAAAUGGGGCUCAGAUUAUUGCCUGAAAUGGCACAAUGAGAUGAGUUGUGGGAGUUCCUUCUACUAAGGUGAUAUUCAUUCGCUCAAAAUGGGUCAAAUCUCAUCCUUAGACUUGGUAUCUAGCACCUAUCAGUCUCUAUUCCUUCUACUCCUAUACCAACACUAAGCAAAUAUUCAAUAUACAAAAGACAAUCCUCUUCCUAGGGUCGCAAUUCUGGGAUAGAAAUACAUGUUUCCAAAAAUGAGAAACUACUGGUAGAGUUAGGCAAGAACGAGGCUUUAGUUGCAGUACUACAAGUGGAAAUUGAUGACUUGGAUAGAAGUUCCUUUAUUAUCUAGACAUGAGAGAUUGAAGUUCGAGAUACAAAAGGAGUCUUAUGAAGUUCUUAGACAAAUAGGCUGACAAUAAUUCUAUAAUUUCAGUUUUGCAAGUUAAAAGUGCCAACUUGGGUAUGAAUCAUGCAUUGUAAAGUUCAAAAUUUCCUUUUAUUUGGUGGACCAUAUCCUAUCUCAUCAGAUAUCCUUUCUUCUUAGAUGAAGUAAGAGCUUGAAUAAUCAGUAUCCAUUUGAUCUUCACGUCUUUGCUCCCCAUCCAAAUCACUGUAACAUUUUGCAUCUAUAACCAUACAACAGAAAUGCCCAUAAGAAUAGUGGAUCUUGUUGGUUCAGAUGCAAUGGGCACAUCAUGCUUAUUUAUGAGAAGAUGCUUGAAUCUGCUAGAAAAAACCUCAUCAGAAAAUAGGUCCAUCUAAUUUAGAUGGUCAUGGCUCUUAGACCAUUAAACCGGAGACAAUUCAAUGAGCAUUUAAAAUAGUUUCUACAAAGUCUAUCUAGCCUAAGGAAGCUCACCUUCAUCAGUUCAUGGACAUGAAAAUGGCAUCUAAAGACAUGAUGUGUUUCUUUUUUCACCUAAUUAAUAGUUCAGGUAAGAUUUGACAGGACUUCAAGAAUAACAAGUGUGAAAUGGGGGCUUUAGACUUGGAAUUCUGGGCAGAUAAAGAAAUCAUUGACGAGCAAGGAAACUUUUCAUUCACCAGCAUGAAAUAUCUUUCGCAUGGUUCUACUUAUGAACACCAUAUAGACCUGCAUUUUUCACGUGCAUUCCUACUCGUACGGCGAGACACGCUUUUGAUUAAGGUGAUUUUGUAUUUUUGUAUAAACUUGGAGUCGCUACUUAUUUUUAUUUAUUUUUUAAAGGGGAAUAUAAAGUAAGAAUAAAACCCCCAAAAGGACUUGAUUUUUGGAAAAGCUGUCUACAAAAAACCCAAGUCUGGGUCUAGAAAUCUGGUUAAUUGGGAAGGUACCUCCAAAGAAGUAAUAACCCUCUAAGCCCUAAUGAGGUCUUUACUAGCUGAGUUGAGGAAAAUAUGACAAUGAAUUAGUUGAUUAUGGAUACUUAAAUGGACUAAGGUGAUUUCAAAACUCUAUUAACACUAGCAUGUCAAACAAGAAUUCACAACACAAUCAUAAAGAAAAGAUUGUAUUGCAUACCUUAACCACAACUUAAGCACUAUCGCAAGACAUCAAUGGUUAGUUUGGAAAAUAAAACACACAUCAUGCAUUUUACCCUAGUCUCCUAAUCAAACAUGGUAAGUCAAACAAAUAAUAAAAAAGAUAUGCUAAAUAUGUUAAUGAUCACAUACAAAGCAAUACAUAAUAAUCACAUACAAAGCAAUACAUAAUUUAUGAAAUUAAGAUGUGAAGGUAAGAUGAGUACCUAAAUAGCAUAGAUAACUCAUAAUGUGCUUCAACAAGAUAUGGAGGGUUAAAUCAAAAUUAUAGUAAUAAAUAAUAAAAGAAAGAAAUCCUAGCAUGCUUGGUAUCUAAAUAGCAUAAAAAAAACGAUUGGAGUAUACAAAAUCAUCAAUUAUGACAUAUAUCUUGCACAUAAUUCCUAAAAAAAUUGAUGGUUAUGAUUACAACAAGUAGCAAAAGUGGACGCAAAGAUAAGUUUUGAAAACAAUCUUUUAUGUAGGGGUUCCAUCAAAUCCUCAUUCAAUAUCCAUAAGUUUAACUUGUGUAUUGCCAUUAGCUUAGGAGCACAAGUUCAAAUCUAUGUGAAUAAAAACAAAAUUUUGAGAACCAAUAAAGGUGAAUGCAACUUAGAUUGAAAUAAGUUGCAUAAUGUCCAAAGAAAAUGUGUUCUUUGCCUAAAUCUAGAAUGAAUGUUUUUCUAAAGCUUUUUAUUGAUUUAAAUACUUUUGAAAACAAUUUAGAGAGAACAAAAGAAACCAAGUGAUUUGAUAAAUCCCAAUCUACACAAAAUAGGUAUUUUUGAUUUCUUUCUUAAAAGAAAUUGAAAACAGCAAAGGUCAACUUGGAUAACUUUUUUGUCUACCUUUCAUUUGGGUUCAAGGAACCAAAUUCAUGUUGGAGAAAAAUUCAUUUUAAAACUUUUUUCAAAUAUGCAUACCAAAUAAAAUUGGUUGCAUGAAUUUUGGAAAAUUGACAUUUCUUUAAUUAAUUGAUCUAGGAUUAAUUUUAAAAUGAAGUUAGAAGAUUAAUUUGGCAAAAUAAAAAAAAAAGUUGAAAACAAUUUUUAAAAAAUAUUAAAACACAAAAUCUCAAACAUGAACUAUUAAGAAAGAGUGUAAGUGUGUAUUUGUGAAUUUUCUAGUGUGCCAAUGUGAAACUCAAGUGUCCUAAAUAUGAACCUAAGGUGCAACUGUAUUUAAAACUAUUGUGUCUUAAUUUAAGUGUUAAAUUAUGAUCCAAAACUGUCCUAAGUAUAAACAAUUAAUCGACCUCGAUAAUCAUCCACUAAUAUGCCAGUAACCAUUAAUAUUAUUCCAUUUCCUAUAUUAUCAUCCAUUGAUUUAAGAAAACACCAAGCAUCAUAAUACAUCUGUAGACAUAAAAAAAUUAGUGGAUUAAAUUACCACUAAUUUGGUCUUCUAAAAAAAAAAAAAAAAAUCUUAUGGAUAAGUCUCUCUCAUCUCCAACUAUAAAAAAAAGAUAAUAAUAAUAAUAAAAAUUAUUAUUAUUAUUAUUAUCUUCUUGGUAAAACCUCCCGGAUAAGAAAAUUUGCUAAAAUUAAGGAACUAAAUCCCUUGAAUUAAGCAACUAAAAUUGGGGAUUCUGAAAUUCAAAUUCCCUAUCUUCACCUAUAAAUAGAGGUGUCUUCCAUCAAGAUGGGGGAGAAAAAAUUCUAGAGGGAAAAAAAAGGAGAAAAAUCUAGAUAGGAAAAUCCUAAGGAGAAAAUCCAAAGGUAACUACUCCGUAUAGGGGAAGGGGCUUCACAACAAUAGGGAGCUUCAUCAAAUAUCCUUGCAAGUUCAAUAAACGGCAAAAGAACUAAUACAAUCGUUCUUUGUCAUUCAACAAGGUCAUUCGAGAAUAAGCCAUUUGUGGCCCUCGAUUGAUCUCUGAAAUAAAAAAAACGUCAUCGUCGUCUUCCGAAGUGUGAUCAAGUCAAAAGAAUCAGAGAGAAAAAUAUUCUUUUGGAAAGAAUAUUAUUUAUUUCUGAGAUUGUACCCGCACUACAUUUUUAAAUUUAAUAAAUCGUUUGUUCGCAUUAAUUUUCCUAUUUUAUUUUGUUAAUUUUUACAGGAUAAAAUUUUACGAAAUUUGUGCGUACAAAUUUCUGGCACGCCCGGUGGGACCUUUCUGUCUCUCAUCUCUUUUGUUAGAAGAUUGAUCUCUACUACGUCGAUGGCACCCAAAAGAACUCAAGUCGUGCAUGACAACAAGGGCAAUGAUAAGAUCGUCAUUGCACAAUCAACACAUGACACCGCUACGGGCCCUAUGACUCGUAGCAAAGGAAAAUCAACAUCUUCACUCUCAACAAAACAAACAAGUGAGUCUGCUUGUUUGCUAAAAGCGGUAAGGACCCAUGAUGAGCAUCAACCGCUCAUCACCUUGGCCUCUUUGGGGGCAAAGAGCCAUAGUCCUCGUAGCAGGGGAAAACUCUCUUCAACACUAAAGGACUUUGGGGAUAAAUCUCUUUGCUCUGUUACUAAAGCCAACUCCAGCACUGGCUCAUACUCCGGAUCGCCAACCAGAAUGUCAAAAGAGGAAAACUACUCCAAUCAUUUUGACUCUUUUACUUCUCCCUUCUCGAUGACCAUGCCGGUAAUGGCAACCGACACUACAUCCGUAGAGGAACAAUUAGCAGAGAUGGCUCGCGCCAUCACCAAACUCACCAAGUCGGUUGAGGAGAAUGAUAUGCAGAUAGCCUCUCUCAUAAACAAGGUUGAGACACAAGUACAAAAUGCGGGUGAGUCAAGUCACAAACUCAACCACCCUCCGAUUGUUGCAUCUCCUCUCGAUGAUGCACCACAUACGUAUAAGACAAUGCAAAGUGAAAAACAAAUGACAGAAUCUGCCUCAGUGGUGUCAUUAUCUGCCCAACAACUUCAGGACAUGAUAACUAACACCAUUAGGGCGCAGUACGGUGGACCCUCACAGAGUACGCUCAUGUACUCUAAACCUUACACUAAGAGGAUUGAUAACCUACGUAUUCCUAUGGGUUAUCAACCUCCAAAAUUUCAAUCAUUUGACGGAAAAGGCAAUCCAAAACAACAUGUUGCCCAUUUCGUUGAAACUUGUAACAAUGCAGGUACAGAUGGUGACUUAUUAGUUAAACAAUUCGUCCAUUCUCUUCAAGUGAAUGCUUUCGAUUGGUACAUAGACCUUGCACCAGAGUGUAUUGAUAGUUGGGACCAAAUGGAAUGUGAAUUCCUCAACCGUUUCUAUAGCACCAGACGAACUGUAAGUAUGAUGGAACUUACUAACACUAAGCAAUGGAAAGAUGAACCGGUUGUAGACUUUAUCAACCGUUGGCGUUCCUUAAGCCUCGACUGCAAAGAUAGAUUAUCGGAGGUAUCAGCUAUGGAGAUGUGCAUACAAGGAAUGCAUUGGGGUCUCCUAUACAUUCUCCAAGGGAUACGACCCCGUACCUUUGAAGAAUUAGCUACCCGAGCACAUGACAUGGAGCUCAGCAUUGCCAACCAUGAUGCUAAAAAUGACCUUAUCAUUGACCAGCAAAGAGAAAGACACAAUGGGAAAGCAAGUGAUAAGAUUUCAAUAAAACCCAUCUAGGAGUCAAUGAUGGUAAAUGUGACUCUUGCGCGAGAUAAAAAGAAAGAAGUAAAAGAGGUUAGACCAACCCAAGAAAUGAGAGGUGUCGGUUCACCUUUAAGGAAUUAAAGGAGAAGAGGUAUCCUUUUCCUGACUCUGAUGUGCCUAGCAUGUUGGAAGACCUGCUCCAGAAAAAAGUUAUUGAGCUACCUGAGUGCAAGCGUCUAGAAGAAAUGGGUCGUCUUAAUGAUCCGAACUAUUGUCAUUACCAUCGAAUUGUCAGUCACCCGGUGGAGAAAUGUUUCAUCUUAAAAGAUCUUAUAAUGAAACUUGCAAAACAAAGAAGAAUUCAUCUGGAUCUAGAUGAAGUAGUAGAUUGAAAUCAUGCUACAGUCACAUUUGGGUCCAUCGAUCUUGUUUUGUUACAUGUUCCACCUAAGACACUGGAGGCAUGCGCCGAUACUAUCCAAUGCGAUUCACCAAAACCAAAGCAAACGUAAGUGUCAUGUCAAGACACCAUUCGUCACUUCUAUUUUGAUAAUGAAUCAAUGUUGUAUAACGAAGAAGGUUGGACAUUGGUGACACGAAGAAGACCUCACAAGAAGCAAGAAUCUCAUCCCUACCCAAAUCUUCCUAGGAAGGAACAAUGUAUGCAAAAUAUUCAUCGAUAUGCGAAGAGGAAAGAAGAAAAGAAGCCUAAAAGAAAACAAGCGAUUGUACAGGUUGAUGAUUUCUUGGUACAAAAGCUCAUCACCCCUUUCACCUUAGGAGAAUACUUCCCUCAGGAGUUCUUUAAUAAAGGAAUGGUGACAUCAACUCAUAUGGUCUCUUAUCAUGAGAUUUCGAAAGAAGAUGAGUCAGGUAAAGAUGAAGAAAACGUUUUCGGUGCAGAGCCAAGAAAAACCAAGAAAGAUGAUGAGAUACAUAGGAAUCCAUCAUUUUAUGCCACAAAAAUAAAGGGGGCAAAACGAUUUGAAGACAAAGGCCACGAUUGUGCGACAUGUUGUGCAAACAUCACCUACACCAGUGGCGAUGAAAAUGACGUGACAUCAAAUUUUACCACAAUUGUUUUCAAACCUCAACAUUCUAGUGAUGCUCCUUAAAGCAUGAGCCUAAACUGCAUAUUGCUCCUAUCCUACAAGAGCUUAAACUGUAGUAAAAAAAAAAAUCAUUCUUGGCAAACUUCUUAAACCGAGGAACAAACCCUUUGUAUUAAAGAAGUCAAAUUCGGAGAUUCCAAACUAAAAUCUCUAAUUUCUCUACAUACAAGUGUUCUUUUCUUUCAGCAUGACGCGUUCUCAAAAGGGCGAUGCAACCUAGAACCUAAAUCCAAAAAAUGAAGCUUUAAAAGUCAAAAUCAAACUCCAAACAUUUUUCAACAAGCUCGUGGAAGAAUAUCAAACUCAAACAAAAGUGUCAUUCAUCCACCUUCAAAGCUAAAGAAGACAAGGAUGGGUUCUUCAAAACACUUGAGGAAAUUGUUGAUAAGUUUACUUGAGAGCAAGUCAUCAUUGACCCUCAAUUAAAUUUUGCUCCAAGAAUACGUGGUUACCACCCUUGGAUUAAAAUCAAGUCCAAGCUUGACACAUUCUUCAACAAGCUCGUGGAAGAAUAUCAAACACAAUACAAAAGUGUCAUUCAUCCACUUUUAAGACUAAAGAAAAUCAAGACAAAGAACUUCUUUUGUUCUCCAAAAUGCUUAAGAAAGGUCUUCAUAAGUUUGGUUGAGAAUAAGUCAUCUUUGACCCUCAAUUAAACUUUAUUCCAAGGACAUGAAUUUAUCAUCCUUCAAUCAAACUCAAGACAAGUGAUACUCUUGGCCCGCAUGAGCAUAAAUUGCGUACGGCGUAAAAAAAAUAAAAAUAAAAAUUUGCUAAGUCGAAAACCUGAAAAGGCGACUUAGGCAAAAGUUAGGACAUAUGCUCGCAAGAUUAAAUCUUUCUUUUAGUCUUGGAAAAAGUUAGAGCGUAAAAAAAAAAUGGAACUACGUUUGACUUGAUCCCCUCUCUUUGAAGGGUACGUAGGCAACUCGGGGAAACAACUCGAAUUUAGUCGCUACCACAAAAAAAAAAAAAAAAAAUUAUUACUUCAAGACUCACCCCAUCUACAUGACAAAGCAUGUACGUGAUGAGUCUUGAAGUGGGGCCAUUUGUAGACAUAAAAAAAUUAGUGGAUUAAAUUACCACUAAUUUGGUCUUCUAAAAAAAAAAAAAAAAUCAUCUUAUGGAUAAGUUUCUCAUCUUAUGGAUAAGUCUUUCUCAUCUCCAACUAUAAAAAAAGAUAAUAAUAAUAAUAAUAAAAAAUAUUAUUAUUAUUAUUAUCUUGUUGGUAAAACCUCCCGGAUAAGAAAAUUUGCUAAAAUUAAAGAACAAAAUCCCUUGAAUUAAGCAACUAAAAUUGGGGAUUCUGAAAUUCAAAUUCCCUAUCUUCACCUAUAAAUAGAGGUGUUUUCCAUCAAGAUGGGAGAGAAAAAAUUCUAGAGGGAAAAAAAAUGAGAAAAAUCUAGAGAGGAAAAUCCUAAGAAAAAAAUCCAAAGGUAACACCGUAUAGGGGAAGGGGUUUCACAACAAUAGGGAGCUUCAUCAAAUCUCCUUGCAAGUUCGGUAAACGGCAAAAGAACUAAUACAAUCGUUCUUUGUCAUUCAACAAGGUCAUUCGAGAAUAAGCCAUUUGUGGCCCUCGAUUGAUCUCUGAAAUAAAAAAAACGUCAUCGUCGUCUUCCGAAGUGUGAUCAAGUCAAAAGAAUCAGAGGGAAAAAUAUUCUUUUGGAAAGAAUAUUAUUUAUUUAUGAGAUUGUACCCGCACUAUAUUUUAAAAUUUAAUAAAUCGUUUGGUCGCAUUAAUUUUCCUAUUUUAUUUUGUUAAUUUUUAUAGGAUAAAAUUUUACGAAAUUUGUGCGUACAACAUCUCCAUUGAUUUUUUAUUUUAUGUAAACAUCAACAAUACUAACAUUGUUUCCAUUAAUUUUUUAAAAUUGAAACAAAGCCAUUAAAAUCUUUCCAUGCCGACAACAUUAUUUCAUCUAUAUAUAUUUCAUAAAAAAUAAUCAACUCAAAGGCCACUUAAUUUUUAAGCCACUAAAAUAUAUUAGAUUCCAAACAUGAGACACCUUCAAUUCAACCACUAAAAGACCUUCCAGUUUUAGUCAUGAAAUUCACUUCAGUUAUUCAUCGAAAUGCAUGAAUUAGCUCCCAAUAAUAGCCACAAAUUCAGCCUUGGGAUUCAACACUCCUAUGCCACCUUAUAUCCUCAUUUAUCCACCCAAAACUCACUCCAUUGACAUUUGAGCCACAAACUUUACACAUGUUGCCACUUUCUUUACAUUCUCUCAUUUUUCUAAUGCAUUCAACAACAUAACAUCACCCUUCAAUGAGUCUCCAAAGCUAGCUCCCACCAUCUCCAUGUUCUCUCAUUAUUAAAUUCAAGCACUAAGGCUCCUUAAGACCAUGAAUUCUCAUUGAAAAAUAAUCAUUCAUAAAAGCUCUAGACAUAACCACUUUCCACCAUUAAAAAUUAAAGCACCAAAUAUAUUUAAAUAACCAUGAACUCCAUAAAAAAAAAAAAAAAAAUCAGCAUUACUUUCUCAUUGCAUGGCCACUUAUUUGCAUUAACUUCCAUCAACAAAUCUACACUAACAGUAUCAAAUUCAGCUUUGAAUUUCAACCUUGUGACUCACAUGUAUACAUCCACAAUUCAACUCAUGCAAACCUCCAUUCAUGCAGCCACAAUUCAAUCACAUUUCUACCAAUAUUUCAGCCAUCAACACAUGCAUAUGUAGCCACAAAUCUUCAACCAUUAGCCUAUAUUACGUGGCCACAACUUUCAAUCCUUGAACUCCACUAUGUUACCAUAACUUUCAGCUAUUAAAUUCCACUAUACAAUCAUAACUUUCACAUAAGCUUUCAAGCCUUCGUACAACCAUGAAAUUCGCCUAUUUUCCAUUGCAUUUUUAGCCUUCAAAAUCACCCUAUGAAACCACCAAAAUUCGUGCUAGUUUAGCCAUGUUUCUACUUUCAAAAUUCAGCCUCCAAAUUUGAAGAAUUGACCACAAAGAUACAUGGCUGUUCCAUUAAAAAAAUUAUCCAUAUAAUUAUUGUACCUUUCAACUUUUUCAUUGAAAUAUAAAAGAGAAUCUCCCCCUAAAUCAUGUUUUCAAUCUCCGCCCAAACAUGUUUUACAAUCUCAAAUAUAAUGAAUCAAAAUUAGCACUAGACGAAAUUCAAAUUCCCAAUCUAAUAUAAUAAAUAAAACUUAAAUUUAACAAAGUUCAAACCUUCAAAACCAAAAUAAUGGAUUGAAACUAAACCUAACAUGAUUUCCAACUUUUCAAACUAAUAAUUAAAAACAAACAAAAGCUAAAGCAGAAUAAAAUUCCAACAUUUUAGACUAACGUAAUGAAUCCAAACUAUAUUAAACAAAAUUAUGAUUUUUCAAGUUAAAACAAAGAAAAGGUUUUACUUACCUUCUUCCAUGUGGUGCGCGACGUGGAGACUCAAUGGGUUGUGCAUGUUCUCCAUGUCUGUGCGAAUUGUUUUCGUAGUUCCAUAUAUUCCUAGUGAGAUGCAGGCUGGUGGGCAUUCCCUAACUGUGGUGUGGCUUGUGGAGAGAUCCUCUUUGGUGCAUGCUGUAAAAGGAUUUUUAAUGGUCGUACUACUGAAUCUCUUGUAGGAAGACCUCUCUUGGAUGCAUGGUGGAGACUCAAUCCUCUCUCCUAAAAAAUGGCAAUCUACAUAAACAACUCCUAUGCGUUUUGUCUUUUAAAAGUGGUAGUCUCUAAUGUCUCUGUGCAUGCCAAAUGAAUCCACUAUUUCUUAAAAAUAAUGGUGCGUGGUGGCCCCUUAAACCCUCUUAAUAUGUGUGUGUUGGAAGUCUCAUUAAUGAAGAAAAGAAUGCCACUACAUGGUGUCUUCUACUCUCGAUGCAUGUUUCUUCUCUGUUUUUCUACUCAAAAUCCUUUCUACCAAAACCUCUCGACCUCUCUAAAAAUCCCUAAUAUUAUCUAUUUUUUUUUUGGCUUUUUAAUCAUUCUUAUAUGAGAAUAUUUAGUCCUAAAAAUAACCCUUUUGGUUUUUUUAUUUUUCCAAAAUCCUAUAUUUUUCCCAUGCAAAAAUGCUUUGGAAAUCUAGUCUUACCCCCUUUCUUAUGCAACAACCCUUCAGAAAUCCUCCAUUUCUUCUUUUCCAAUCCUCUAUUUUCUUUUCUCUUCCCUUACCUUUCAAAUUCUGGUGGAUCAUGCCUAGUUGACUCCAUGCACAUGGAGAGGAUGACAUGUACUUAAAUGACCAUGCAAAGGUGGGACCCAAAAAAACAAACAAACUUAAGUGAUUGGUGAGGCGUAGCUGAGAUGUAGUUCCAAUAUUGACAAUGUUGCACUUUGACCUUUGCGAUACUAGUAGCUUGCCAUGGACGUUUUAUGGAAGUGGUAGUCCUCAAUUUCCAAUUUAUAGUAUUCAAGUCCCAUGCAAAAUAAAAUGAGGAUGUAAGUAGGAAUAAUGCAAUUUGAAAAUUAAACAUAAAAAUUAUGCAAUAAAAAAAAUUAAUAUGUCAAUUGCAUGUAUAUUUAAAAUCAAUGAUUAAUCACUCAUGUGCAAAAGAAAUCAAAGUGCGAAUCUCAUGCAAUAAUAAUAAUAAUAAUAAUAAUAAUAAUAAUAAUAAUAAUAAUAAUAAUAAUAAUAAUAAUAAUAAUGAAAAUAAAAUAAAUAAAUAAAAAGAUAUAAGAAAUAAAUAAAUAAAUAAAUAAAACACAGACAUAAAUAUCACGUUUGCAAUCCAAUGAAUUAAGAUGUUAAACGAACUUAAUAAACAAUAAUAAAAAAAUAAAAAUAAAAAUAAAUGAAUAGAUAAAAAUAAAAAUAUCAAACUUGUACAAAUCGAAGAUCGAAAAUUCAUCUCAUGCAAUCAAAGAUCUAAAAUCAAACCCAAGCUCACUUACACUUAAAAUCAAGUAAUCAAACUCAAAAACUAACCCAAGUAAAUUAAGCCUACAAAAGCAUCCAAGUGGAACCUAUCCUCAAAAAGAACUGAGUGAGGCCUAAACUUAGCUUGAUAGGCAACCAAGGGAUGGCUUCGAAUCAAUAGAGAAGUACAAGCAUACACCUAGUGUCAUAAGUGCUAAGUGGACAAAAUGAAGGGCUUACACACCAUUAAAGCUUUCUGGCAUUGGCAUCUAUAGCUAUCCGUGUUCACCUAUAGAAGUUUAGGCUGAUAGUUGAUAUUUAAUAUCAUAGAUCCUAACUAGACAAAUCAAUGAGACAUCAACUUCUAGUCAUAUCACCAGUUCCCUUCACAACUUGGGUCUGCAAUAUUCAAGUAAUGAGGAUUUAGCAACAACUACAACCACCAGCAGUACAGUCUCAAGUACACUCCUAGGCUUUAUUCUUACAUAGGCAUUUUGGUACACAUUACCUUUCUCCUAAUCAUUUUUGUUUUCCCUGUGAUCUUACACCUUUAAAAUUUGGAUUUCAACGAACCUUUUUCAUUAAAUAAUUCCAAUUUUCUUUAAAAAUUCCAUAAUUAGGAAUUUCUAAGCAUAAAAUCCAUAUUUCAACAAAUCUUUUGUUGCCACUUUCCUUUGUGGGUGCAUUUUCACUAUUUUAUUUUGUUUUCAACUAUUUUCAUGGUUUUGUUGAUUUUUAACAAGCAUGAAUAAACUUCUUGAUUCCAAACAAUGGAAUUCAUAGAAUUAACUCAUGCAAAAUUAAUUUGGGCUUUGGUGGGGCUUGACAUUCUUAACAUCUUCUUUGAUAAUGGUUCAAAUGAGGUAUUUGUUUGAUAUUUGAUUGAUUUUGAUUUAUUUCUGUGAUACAUGUGAUUGUUUUGCACAUGUUAUUGAGCUAACCCUGUUUCUAUAGAAGUGUUGAUGCUUGCUACCCAAGUACACUCUCUAUCACCUAUGUUCAGAAUUCUAUGAACAUAUAUGUUAUUAUGCGUUAUGUCCAUGUUUUAUAUUAUCUUUAGAUGUCUUGAUGUUUAUUUGAUUUGCUCGGAUAAAAAGCAUGUCGUGUAUCAUAUUUCUAAACUAACUUUGAUGUCUUGUGAUAGCGCUUGAGAAGCAGUCCAGGUACACAUCCUAACUCUUCUUUAUGUUUGUGAUUGACUUCCUUCUUUGGCAUGCUAACUUUGAAAUCAUCUUAGUCUAACUAGGUACCUUUAAUUAAAUGAUUAAUAGUCAUAUUCCCCUUAACUUAGCCAGUAGAGGCCUUUUUAGGGCUUAAAAGGGUACUACAUCAUUGAGGUACCUUCCCAAUAGGUAACCUGAUCCCUAAACCUCAUCACGGGUUUUUCAAAAACAUAUUUUUUCAAAACUAUGGAGUCACUUUUUUUAGCUGCAUGGAAAUUUAGAACUCAAAAAUCUGAUGACAUUAUAUACUCUGACUUUGAGGACAAAUUUGGAGCACUUUCUGGAGUCUAUUAUAUACAUACUAUAUAUCGUUUCGAAGCUCGGGAAGUCAGGAGUCCAACGCUUCAAACGGUUUGCAAAUCGAAGCUAAAAUGAAGAAGUUAUGGCCAUUUGAAGACAACUGCACCAAGCUGGAGGGUCAUUUCGAAAUGAUUUCGAAAUUCAACUUAUGAUUUCGAAAUUCAACUUAUGAAUUCGAAAUCCACUUCGAAAUGACACCAAUUUCGAAUUCACCCACUGCCACUUUGAUGUUCCGCCUCCUCUACCUCGGGAAUUGCAUCUAAAGCACUCCAUCCGCCCUAGGUGGACCCCACACGACUAGAAAUCACCAUUUCAUUAUUUUUUAAUCAUUUUUAGGAAAUUAUUUUGUAAUAAGUGGCCAAUGAGAGUGUGCCACAUGUUAGGUAAUUGAGGAUAUUAUAUAAACUCUCUCAAUUCUAGGUUUUGGGGAUCUUGGAUUUUUUCUGGAGAGUUUGACAUUGAAGGUGGAAGAAGACGAGAACUUUGGUUUGUUUUCUUUUUCUUCUUUAUUAAAUAUAUUGUUUUUAGUUUCUUUUGAUUCAAAUUAUGGAUUUUUACCCUAUUAUGGAUUGUGAAUGUGACAUCACCCCCAUGAGAGGCUAAGAGCCGACUUGGGGCUUGAAGCAUGAAAACCUAAGGGCUAGGAAACCUAUAGGGACAAUGGGUAAAUUAUUAUAACAAUGAGAUUAAUUAUUGGUUGAGUGACAAUUUAUCAAUUUUUUUUAUCCUAUCCUUGUGAGUUCGUUUAGGGAAUGAUACGGUAGGUUAUUACUUGAUACUAGUGAUUCUUGGUAAAUCUUGAUCAUUAGUUAUCCUCAUCUUACCUACCGUUAUUUACCCCUAAACAAAGCUAUAAGGAGUGGGAAUAGUUAAAAAUCCAAAUCUUAAAUUGAUAAUCAAUCUCAUUCAUUUGAUGGUUUUAGGAAUCUGUUUUAAAAAUGAAAAAUUAGGUUUCGGAUGCAAUUUUGAGUUAUAGAACUCAACUUGAUCGCGAGUGGUCAAGGAUCCCAAAACCCUAAGAUCAUAUUACUUAAAAUACCCUUGUUUUCUAUAAUUUCUACACCUUAGGUUGGAUUGUGGAAAACCCCAAACUUGAAUCAAUUGAAUUUAAAAUCAAUAUUCAUUUUCUCUUAUUAAUUUAAUUUCUUUUACUUAGUUUCACAUUAUUCACAUAUUGUUUUUCACUUAAGGAUUUAAACAAAAACAAUUCAUUUAUUCUAGUAUUGACAAUUUUCAUAAGCCAGUCCUUGAGAACGAUACCCGGAAUACUACAAAAGCCGUAGUGACUCUUUCUCUAGUUUUUCUUGACCAGAGUUACUACGUAAAAAGGCUAAGUAUUUUGGUACAAUAGAGAAAUUUCGGUCACCCGCCCCAAUUAGGAUGGGUAUGAGAGCAUAGUAAUCGGGGAUGGGACAGGUUUGGACUUAAUUUUUAAAACUCAAAUCGAGUUCAGGGCGGGUUCGGGUUUUGUAAUAAUCUGCCCUGCCCCGGAUAUAAAAUUACAAGUUUACCCUUUAUAUCUUACAAAAUACUAAAAAAACUCCACCUAUAAAUAUUUGUUUCUUGUCUCUUCCUUAGGGUUACUCACCUUUAACACAAAAAUCUCUCAUUCUCAUUGUUUUCAAACGUCUAGCUCUCAGAUUGAUUUUCCCAACUCAAAAAAUUUCUAUCUCACAUUUUGAGCCGUUAGGGGAGAAAAGAGAUAGGGCUCACAGCUUGUGGAGAAGACAAUCCCUCUAGCUUCAUUUUAUGCCUUCUUGAAACACGAAGAAAAUGAAGUCGAAGCUCACCUAGAGUACCAAAAUCCGAGGUCUAAAGGCUUUGGUUUUUGUUUGGAUUUCUUGUUUUUAGGUUAAAAAAAACCCUUAAAUUUCUAGGUUUUAUUUGCUCGAAUUCCUUUUUCUUGUUCUUGCCUAAAAUAUCCAUGUAAUUUGUUAUUGUCAAAGCCAAACCGAUUUGAUUUAGUGGCUUCACAUGCAUGAAAACAAUGAAUGAUUUUAAGAUUUUUAUCUCCCUUUUAUCAACUCAUUAAUUGUAAAAAAAAAAAAAAAUUCUUUGCUUUAACCCUAGUUUGAAAUUUGUAAUCAAUAUUUCUGAUAAUUUUUAUUUUUGUAUUUAUUUUCAAAUUUUCCAUUUCACAUAGAUUUCGUUUAAGUGCUAUUUAGAAUUUAACAACUCCAUAAUCCGUAAUCAUUUUUUUUUUCAUUUUUUUCUCUAUGUUCUGUUUGAUUUCCAAGAAAGUGUGGGAAAAGAAUAGAAAUGAAUUGAAAAUUAGAAUCAUAGAUUUUUAUUUUAUAUUUUUAUGGUCUAUUUUUGUGGUAAUAGAGGCUUAUUUAUAUAGGGUUUACUUGGGUUGGUUUGAAUGUAAAUAGGAUCCUCUUAUUUGUUUGAAUGUUUUAAUUAUAGGAUUUAUUUCAUUAUAAGAAAAAUGACAUCAGAAAAAUGGGAAAACUUUUCCAUACCAAGUGCGGGUUCAAAUCCAAUUACGGUUAGUACUUCAACUACUGAUAGAACAUUGGGAUCUAAAAGAAGAAAACUGACUUUGGUUGUUUGUAAUGAUUUUGAUAAAGUCAUAGAAGAUGGACAAGAUUAUGCUAUUUGUAAGCAUUGUAAAGGAAAACUCAAGGCCAAUAGCAAGAAUGGAACAAAACAUUUACAUGUACACAUAGAUAGGUGCAUGAAAUGAAGAAAUGUUGAUAUUAGGCAACAAUUAUUAGCAGUAGAGAGAAAAGGUCAUGGAAAAGUUCAAAUUGGUGGUUUUACUUUUGAUCAAGAUAUUUCAAGAGAGAAGCUUGCACGUGUAAUUAUAUUGCAUGAGUACCCGCUUUCAAUAGUUGACCAUGUGGGGUUUAGAGAUUUUGCUACUAGUCUCCAACCUUUGUUUAAGAUGGUUUCCUGUAAUACAAUUAAGGAUGACAUAAUGAAGAUUUAUGAGGUUGAGAAAGAGAAAAUGAUUAGCUACUUGGAGAUACUUAAAAGUAGAAUUGCAAUCACAACUGAUAUGUGGACAUCAAAUAAAAACAAAGGCUACAUGGCUAUCACCGUACAUUACACGUAUGAGUCUUGCUUAUUGCAACAUCAUAUUGUAAGGUUAGCUAUGUUUUUUUUUCUUUUUUUAACUUCCUAAGUUUUUUUUAUUUGAUCAUUUAGUGAUAUCACUUUGUAUUAAUUAUAUGUUUUUUUAUAUAUAUUUUUAAUGUAGGUUUGUUUAUAUGCCUCCUCCACACACAAAAAAAGUUCUUUUAGAUGUGUUAAUGGAUUUCUUGUUAGAUUGGAAUAUGGAUAGAAAAAUAUCUACAAUUACUGUGGAUAAUUGCUCAAGUAAUGACAUAAUGAUUGAUAUUCUUAUAGAGAAAUUGUCUUUGAGGGGUUCAUUUUUGCUGAAUGGAAAAAAUUUUCAUAUGCGAUGUGCGACACAUGUCUUGAACUUAAUUGUGAAGGAAGGUUUGGACGUCAUCGAAAAAAAAUUGAAAAUAUUCGUGAUAGUGUUGCAUAUUGGUCGACAACACCAUCAAGAGUUGAAAAGUUUGAAGAUGCAGAUCACCAAUUACCUAUUCCAUGUAAUAAGAAGUUAACUCUUGAUUGUAGAACAAGAUGGAAUUCUACAUACUUGAUGUUAUCAAUAACUAUAACAUAUACAUAUGUGUUCCCACGUUUGAAGCAACAUGAAAAACACUAUAUGGUUGUGCCAUUAGAAGAAAGAAUGGAAUAUGGCAAAAGAAAUAUGUGGAAGAUUGAAAUUGUUUUACAACAUAACGGAGUUUUCUCAAGGCAAAAUUAUCCUAUUGCAAAUAUUUUCUUCAUCAAAGUUUGUGAGAUUAAAAAGGCAUUGUAUUAUUGGUUGAUCUGCGUAAAUGAUGUUGUGAAAACGAUGACAUCAAGUAUGUUGCAAAAGUUUGGCAAGUAUUAGAGUGGGUGUCAUAUUGUGAUGGCAAUAGCAACUAUAUUUGACCUAAGCUACAAAAUGAAGAUUUUAGAGUUUUACUUCCCAAUAAUGUACAGGUGCUUCAAAUGAGAUAGAAAAAAAUUCGUGGAAUGUGUUAUGAGUUGCUUUCUGAGUACCAAUCAAAGUCUAAGUUGGGGUAAGAAACUGCAUCCUAUGGUACUUCAUGAGGUUCAACUCUUUCAGUGUUCAACUAUGAUGAACAAGAUCCUCUUUCAAAGUUUGACUUAUUUGUUCAUAGUACUAUAGAGAAAGUCAUGCAAAGUCGGAGUUGGAUUAUUACUUAAAAGAGUCUAUUCUGCUAAGGACUUUAGAUUUUGAUGUUUUAAGUUGGUGGAAGAAAAAUGAUAUAAAGUAUCCAACUUUGUAAAUGAUUGUUCGAGAUAUCUAUGCUAUUCCGGUAUCUACAGUUGCAUCAGAGUCGACCUUUAGCACUUGUGGUAGGAUGGUAUCAAAACAUCGCAGUAGGCUUCAUCCAGAUACUUUGGAGGCCUUAAUGUGUGCUCAAAGUUGGUUAUGGAAAGAAAUGGAAGGUAACCAAUUUACAAAAUUAUUAAUUUUAUGAAUGGUUUUGUAUUAAAAUAUUUAGUAAAGUGACUUGUAUGUUUUUGGGUGUUUAUUUUUUUUUAUUAGGUGAUUCUUCGAUUCAUAGUCACAGCUCCAACUCACAAUUAUAGAUGAAGAUGAUGAUUCACUCGUGCUUUAGGUUUUUUACUUGAGAUUAUGUUAGAGACAUAUUUUGGGAUGUUAACAUUAUCUUUGUAAUGUCUUUUUUUUUUUCUUCAUUUUCAAUGUUGUUAAGUUUAUGGAUAUCUUUUAAUUUUGGAUGUUGUAUUUUAGGAUGUCCUAUAUGUUGAAUUGUUAAUCACUACCAAUAUUAAUUAGACUAGUUUUAUAAGUGCAAUGGUUGCAAAUGUUGCUUUUACCUACAAAAGUUUAUAUUUAAAAAGCAAUGGUAAGAUAUUUCUUGAAGAAUGCAAUGAUAAGAAUGUAUACAAUCUUUUUAAACUGAAUUCUUUCUAAGAAUGUAGCCUUAAUUUAGUCUUGUUUAUGCAAUAGGUACCAUGGAAUCUGGCACUGGUUUAGCUCCAUGAAGUACCUUGAUGUUUCAUUUAUGGCUCUUUCUACUGCUGGUCAAUCUUAUUCACGUUAAUCCUAUACCAUACUGGUAAGUUUUUUCUCUACUUUUUGUUCGCUUUAUUGGGAUGAUUAUGGAAAUGCAUAUCAUGUCAUGAGAUAUUGGGGAGUAUAUUCUGACUGUUGGUUAACUACAUGUCACUGCAGAUUUUUAAGAAGAACCCAACCAUAGUAAAGAAUUAUGGGAUUUGACACUACUUUGAAUGGUGUUGUUGAGCAAAUGCACACUGAGAUGACUUCAUUUUUCAUGCUUAUAAUCUGCACAUCAGCAUUGUUUAGGUCCAGUUCAAUCUUUGUUGUCCUGUUUAGGCCACAUAUAUUACAAUGAUAAUAAGAAGAACAAAAUGACAUGGGGUUGUGAAAAAACUCAUGAGUUUUAUGAACUUUUCUUUUCUUUUCCAAAUUUAUAAGUAUUUAAAUUUUGCAAGUAUGACAAGUCUAUGAAGCCAAAGGCGUGAAAUCCAAAUGUGAAGCCAAAGGUGUGGAAUUGGACACCGGUAAAAAUGUUGGAUUGCAAUGUUGGAUAUUAUAUGAUACUGCCCAUAUUCUGAUGUUGGAUUGCAAUGUUGAUGUUUUUGUUUUUGUUUGAGCUAAAGAAAAGAAAAAGAUGGCUACUAAUAGAGCUAUUAGCUUAGAAGAAACCAAGAAUGAGACAAUUGAUUUUAUAAGUGCUUUCUUUUAUUUUCUUCUUUUGUUUUCUUUUAUUCUUUUAUAAUUUUUUUUCCUGGGUUCUGAAAUAAAAAAUGUUGGUUUAGUUGAAAAUUGCUUCAUUGAAUUGAUCACAUAAUUCUUAUAUUUUUUCUAUUUGAAAUGUGUUUUUUUUUUUAUAAAUAAACACAUGAUUUUCUUUAUAUUUUCUAAAUUGUGGUAGUUUCAAAGUUGGUGGUGAAUGACCACAUUUGUUCAUGAACACUAAAACUGUUUCUCAAUUUUAUUUUACUUUGUUUGGCUCAUGCUGGUCAUGGUUUUGUGACUUAUAGCUUGCUGGUAUAUGGUCUAGUUAUUGAUAUUUGUAGAGUGAAAAUGAUUCUUUGUGGCCAUUUCUAUAAUUCAAAACUGUUGCAAGCUAAUGGGUACAUAAAACUUUUUAGAAAAUUCCAUGUCAUUCCAUUUCCCCCAUUUUCAUUUCCUGCUGUUAACCAUUUGCAUAAUUAUUUCCCUUACCUUUUAACAAGUUAGAUAUGCUUGUUUCCAGCUUGAAGAUGAUGUCAUACCAAAGAGCUUUCCAGUAAGUUUCUAAUAGUUAAGCUAGAAGCAGCACUAGUACUAUCCGCUUAUUCAAAUAGAAACAUUUUGACUUGUUUAAUUUUGCUUCUUAUAUUCAAUUUUCUUUUAUUAAUGGUGUCAUGUUUUCUGCUUUUGAUUUUGAAGGUUUGUGAUGAUCGCCAUUUUGAAUUAAUUCCCUGUCUAGAUAGCAAUCACUUUGAUGACUGGUUGUCAACUUAUGAGUUGGAAAGUGUCGAUGAUUACCCUUUCAAUUGACAUUUGGUUCUGCAAACUUAAGUUUGAUUUUGGAAAUCUUGGUUUUGUACAAGAGUUCCUUUUUAUGAACCUGGGAUCUAUGGAAUUUAUAUUUGAUUCCAAACCCAUUGGUACCUUAUGGCAACUAACAAUGAAAUAGGAAUUACAACUCCAAAGGUCUUGUUCUAUUAAUCAAACACGGGUUAAUUGUCACAGACUUAUUAUGAUGGCCCCUUGUCUUUAGUCCCUACAGAGUCAUUUGAGACAAACUCAAAACUCUAUUUCAAUAAUGUCAUACAACACUUUAUGUAGGAUCGUUAGCUUUGUAUAGAUGCUUACUUACAGAAGCAAUUAGGCAUUAGACUGGAAUAUAUUUGUCAUGUUAAUUAGAAAUUGUUUUUUAUUUCUUUUAUUUGAUAGAAAAAUUGGGUAAAAAUAUUAAUAUUUGUUAAAGAUUUUUCGUAUGUAUACUAUAUUUUUGCUAUUCCUUUGUGGCCUGGUUAGAUUGGAAUUGACUAUAUUUUUCCUCUUAUUAUAUUUCCUGUGUGGUUGGAAGAAUACAAUAUUUCCCUUAAUUUUGUGGUUAUGAUGCAACAACAAUUGAUUGCAAGACACUAUAUGAUUUCUUUGUGGAAGGAUUUUAAUUUGGUUAGAUUUCAUGGGUUACCCAACAUGCAUAAAAAAAUCAUUUGGAUGUUUUGCUGAAAAUGCAUAUUCAAGAGCUUGUUUUACUAUUGCUUAUAAUGCUUGUAUGCUUUGCAAAUUUCUUUGAUAGUUUUUGGGUUGAAUUUUUUUAGGGUUUGGUUUUGAUACAUCUUAAAGGUAUUCAUACUUUUAUCUAUUGGAACUGAUACCUUGUAAAAGCAUGAUAUACAGGCUUAUUUUGGAUUGUGAAUUUGACAUUAAAAAAAAAAAAAAAAAAUCUUAUUGGUUUUUACUAUUGGCAAUUUCAGCUAUGGGACCCUCAUUCUAAUCCCCAUUUGUUGACUUGAAAGUGAGAAGUUUUAUUUGGGAAGUUUUUAAACUGAACAAUGAGAGAAAGAUCAGAUGGAUCACAAAGAAGACUGUGUGCAUGGUGGCAAUUUUUCUUGUGUUCCUAUAUGUGUAUCAUGGAUCCAUUUCUGGCUCUUAAAAGACUUUAGAGUAUGACAACAUAUCUUUGAGAAAACUUAGUCUAACUGGGGAUGAAGAUGCUGAUCUUGGCAACAAUCUAGUAGGGGAUAAAAUGCCAUUUCUUAAUGUUAUCUGAAAUAUGUAUUAUAAUAAAUAUGUGAAAAAUGAAUUUAAUAGAAUUGUCAGAAUUUGAGUUUCUUUUAGAGCAACCCAACCCAACAUUUCUCUGGACAUCAUUUUCUUAUACAACAACCCAGCCCAACCUCGCCUCAUUUCGGCCCAGCCUAGGCUGGCCUACCCCAAAAACACAUACACGGGUCAGGACGGGCUGGGGAUAGGAUUUCAAUGGUUAUUUGAAAACGGGAACGGAACCACGAACCCCAUCCCGUCCUAGGUUUGGGACGAGGAUGGAAAAUAGUUAUAUAUUUUGGGACGAGAAUGGGAUAGAGGGAGCCCAUCCCAAACCCGCCCUAUCACCAUCUCUAGGUGAUGACCACCUUGCAUGGAAGCACCCCGUUUUCCCGGAGGCUUGUAGACAGUUGCGUAUCGCCGAAGGGUAUGAUCACUUCUGUUAGGGAUUCUUUAACCCACCUGAUUUGUCUUAUAGAGCCACUUUGGUCUUGUAGGCUACCUUAGACCCAAUUAAGAUUUCACUCCUACACGUGGGUGCAUCUAUGGACCUUCAAAGCUGCCUUAGUCACAAUUGGGUUUAGCUACCCUUUCCAUAAUCUCUUUUUGUUGUGCUCAAAGAUUGCUACAUGUUUGAGUUUCAUUUGGGCCACCUAUUUGCAUCGUGAUUAGUGCAUUUCCAUAUCUUCGGAGCUCCCUUCAUGUUAUUUCUCUUGUACCUUAUAGGAGUGUUAUUUGUUUUGGUGUGGGUUUGAUUUUUUAGAUUAGAGUUAGAGAUAGAUUGAUCAAGGUUUUAGAGUAAUCAGAUAUGAUUCCUCAGCAUGUUACAGUUGCCAUGAUUUCUAUUCAGGAUGUACUGUUAGGUUUAAGCCAGAGGAUUGAUGGAUAGCAAGAUAGAUAGCCAGAGUUCAGGAUAAGAUGUUGUAUGAUUCAUUGGCGCCCACCCUCACCACGUAGCCAAUCAAUGAUAUUGUUGAAGAUGACAUUGUACGUAUGAUGAGAUUAGUGGAUAUUGAGCCAAAGCCUGUUAUAUCAAAUGAGAGUUCUUGUGGAGGAUGUUAGUUUUCUCUCUAAGAUGGCAGAUUUGAUUGACAUGGUUUUCUUCAUCAUGAGCCUGAGAUGGAUGUAUGGGAUGACAUUUAAAUGGUCAACAAAAAUUAGCCAGAGAUAGUUCAUUCUCUUGAUAUGUUUGAGGUCAUUGUUAUCGAGAGUUUAGAGAAGUUUAGUUUGUUUCUGCUUUAGAGUUGCUAGGGCAUCCUGCCUAUGUUGAUGAUAUGUUUAAGGGCGAUGUGAGCCCAAUUAUGGUCAUGGAGAUUCAUCUAUUCUAGGAGGUCUUAGAGGCCUACUUGCAAUACAACACAUGUCAUUAGAGAGUUGAUCCUAGAAAGGAAUUAUGAUUGACAUAUCUAGAUGGAGACCAGUUCAUAGACCCAACUAGCGUAGGUCAGUUGAAGAAGUAUUACAUUUGAGAAUACGUUCGUAGGAUGGGUGGCCAUCAUUUUAGUUAGCCUUAUAUUUUAUUAUCCUUAUUGAUAUUUAGACCAUUGUUAGCCCAUUGAGCCUCGUCUGGUACAUUAUGACCUUUUAUUUCUUAUAGCCUUGCUUACCUUCUCUAUACCAGGGUUAGGGCCCUUUGAUGUAUAUGUAUGCUUUGCUAGGAAAGUCUCAUAAGCUUUGGACUUAUAGGCCUAUUUUCUCAUCCUUAUUACCAUCUCUUUGUCACCUCAUUUGUUGUAUUGUACUAUUAUCGUGUUUUCAUUUUCUUCCUCACUCUUAUCAUUAUUUGCUUCAUUUUAUCUCUUAUCUUUCUUGGAUUGAUGAUUCUUCACAUCUUGGUAUAAAAAGGGUAGUCAUAUCACUCCCUUUAUCGCAUCAUUUGGCAUUGAUUAAGAGAUGUUAACUAGAGAGGUUAUCUCAUAGGUGGGGGUUCACAUUCUCAUUAGUGAUUGGGGAGAGUUUGCCCAUUCCUUGUAUAUUUUAUCAUUAGGGUAUGAUUCAUUGAUGGUUAGAGUAUGCACAUUCAUUCACUCAUUCAAAAAAAAAAAAAAACAAAAGACAAAAAAGAAAGAAAGAAAGAAAGAAAGUGCAUUGAUAUGUUUAUAUAUGAUCUCUUAUUCAUUUGGGCACUUAUAUCACUUUUUGAGGACCGUUUAUUGGGUAUAUUUAUCAUUGAGGGUUCUUAUGAGAUUUCUAUGAGAGUUGUUGCUUCUUGCUUCUUGAGAUUUCUAUGCAUUUGGAGUGUUCGGAUAUCAUGUGAGAGUUCUUUGAGAUCCUUCUCUUUUUGGAUCAUGGUUGAGAUGUAUUAUGGGUGGGAGAGAUGAGUGACUUCUUACUAAGGUCUCUAGAUCAUUGUUUUCUCUACCAUUAGUGAUAUGACUCUUCCUUCAUUGCAUUGAUAUGGGUUGAUCAUCAUUCAUUUUUAUUUCUCUAUGGCUUUCUAUGUUUUUCCAUGACUUUUUUUCUUGAUAUUGAUCCUGCCUUUUAUUCAUUUCUUAUAUCGAUACACAUUUUUGAUUCGAUACCUUGUUCACAUUAUUCUCAUACUUUAUUGAUAGUUUAACCACCUCUCAUUUUUCUUUUUUUACCAUCGACAUUUCCUUUGGUUACUUUUAGGUUUAUGGCUCAUGAGAUUUUUUCCACACAUUACAUCUUAUACACGAGGGUAUAAGUUUGAUUAUUGGGUAUUUGAGCCUAGUUUCCCUUUAUUUCUUUACCUUAUCACCCUGGCCUACGUUAUGUCUUGUGUCUUAAGACCACCCUAAGGCCAUGAGAUCAGGCGUUAUAUUUGGCAGCCUUUACUUAAGCUGGUGUUUGGGAUUUGGUUGAUAUGUAGACGUCGUCUUGUUUCUUCUUCUGGGAUAUGCUUCUUUGAUGCUUGGAGGUGAUUUAGUGAUGGAUGUAGACGAUCGCUUCAUGUUAUGGAGGAUAUUUGAUGUUUUCUGAUUUCCCUCUACUAUGCAUUAGCUAUCAUACUGGGGCAUAUCCCUCAUUUGAUGAGAUUGACAGAUUGUUAUUGGUUCACAUGGUCACUUUGUUUAUGAUGAUAGAUGUAGAUUUGAUAGUGUGGUUUCGUUAUGAUUCUCUAGUGGAGUUUCUCCCGAGUCAUUGAUCACACUCAUACUUUUCGAUAUCCUCAUUAUUCUUAAUGGAUCUAACUUAGUGAGACAUGUUUUCAUCCAUAUUCUUAAUGGAGUAGAUUAGUAUGAUGAUUUUUUAUUCUUGGCGGGCUUUGCUUUUGAGCUAGCAUGGUGGGUCAUUUCACAUAUACCUUUUGAGUUGGUUGUCUCAUCCUCGAAUAUAGAGAUGAUGGGUUAGUGUCAUUUGAGGUACCUUAUGACCUUGCAUCAUUUGCUAUACUAGGACAUAUUCCUCUUUCAUUUGGUUGAGAUGAGCCCCUAGUGGAGCACUUUCUUUGAGCUUGGGCAUUUUCACCGAUUAGAGAUUCCUAUUGGAGUAUGUUGAGAUGAUAUUAGUUAUAAUGGAGCAUUGCUGAGCUCAUUGAUAGUUUUCAUGAUUCUGGGUUCCAUUUAUGAAGUACUUCUGAGAUAGACUAGUGGAUUAUUACUGAGUUGGAGAAAGUUUUUAGUGCAGUGUAUAUAUCCUGUAUAUUGGGGCAUAUUUCCCCAUUUCGAGGUUACCGGAUUCUUGUUAGAUUCAGUUAGGGAUUCAUUACAGAAGUGUUUCUACUCUUGAGAUUAUCACAUCCCUCAUCAUUUUGGUUAUUCAUUUGAGAUUAGAUUUAGAGUGUCUCCCUUGAGACAUUGGCAGAUACUUCAUUCUGACUUCAUAGUGGAUUAUUAUUGAGUUGGAGAUAGUUGAUUGAUGAUGUUGGAUUCAUCAUUUUGUUGUGCAUCAAAUAUCCACACUAGGGCAUAUUUUCCCCUUUCUCUGAGAUUCCUAGUUACUGAUUGGGUUGUAUGGCUAUCCUUACUCAUGGUUACAGAGAUGUUUGAUUGAUGUUGACAGGUUCUUUAUCGUGCAUCAGAUAUCCAUAUCGAGGCAUAUUCCCCUCUCCUUGAUGAGUUUUGUUUGGGAAGUGGUACGAGGAUGGAUGAUUAGUGUUAGUUGUUUACCUCAUGACUUUGACAUCAGAUCUUAUACUGGGACAUAUUUCCCCAUUUUCUUUUAGUAUCUUUGAGAUUGAGAUAGUGGCUUGUUUGGUUUCAGAUUGAGUGCUAGCUUUGGACUUUCGAUGAUUUAUGAUAUCAGGGCUUUCUCACAUGGUUUUAUUGAGAUAGAGAUAGAUUGCAUCGGGUUUUAUCCACUGGACUGAUGGAUUCUUCUGUGGAGUGUUUAUGAGAUAGAUUGUUAUUGCUAUAAUUGUUCCACAGAUUGGGUUAUCCAAAUGAGCAGUAUUUUGUGCACUUUGAGCUUCCUUUUUAGAUGAGUUGUGGUGUACACACUUCGAGAUUUAUCUUUUGAGAUUCGUCGAUAGAGUAGCUUUUGAGACACAAAGAGUUCUUUUAGUUCAGAUUUUUCAGAGGUUUUUGUCAUGAUGCAUCGAUUUUUGACCCAUUAAUUUCAGUAGAUGAUUGAUUUACUGGUUGUUUCAGCAAUGUGAGUACCUCGGAUACUAGGGCAUAUUCCUCCUCUCAAGCCCAAUAGUGAAAUCCUUGGCAUUUAGAGUCUACAACUUUGACCCCUUUUAUUCCCUAUUAAUUUUUGAGUUAGCCUUCUUUAUCAGUUUCUUUUAAGUCUUAAGCCUUGUCGCUUUGAGCCAUCAUUUCCUUCUAGGCCUUGAGCCUCGUAGCCCUAAGCUAUCUUCUUCUCUUAGGCCUUAAGCCACGCUGCCUUGAGCCAUCAUUUCGUUUUAAGCCCUAAGCCUCGUAGCUUUCAGAUAUCUUUCUUCUCUUAGACCCCAAGUCUCGUAACCCUAAGCUAUCCAUUCUUUCUAAGCCCUGAGCUUGGUAGCCCUAAGUUAUUCUCCUUCCCUUAAGCCUUGAGCCUUGUCGCCUCGAGCUAUCAUUUCUUUAGGCCCAAAGCCUUUCCAACCUGAGUUGAGCCUUUAUCAUUUGGUUGUCCAUGAGUGGUUUGACCUAGAGUUUACGUAUCACACUCUCCUUCUAGUUGAUUAGUCAUAAAGCUCGGAACUCAUAGCCCCAAGUUGUUCACAGAGCCCUAAGUAAUUCAUGGCAUUUUGGAGUCCUGAGCUCACAACCCGAAGUUGUUCAUAUCCUUUACAUUCCUAAGAUGUUUUGUUUUCAUCAUUCUAGCCACUCAUGAGUGGUCUUGACUCAACACAUGAGUCGGAAAGCAUCUUGAUCAACUAUCUAUUUAAAGCCUCGAGCUUGCAACCUAGUAUCGUUCUUCUCAUUCGUGACCUUGAGUUAUUCAUAGCAUUUAGAGCCUUGAGCUCAUGACCUAGUGUCAUUCACCUAUUUCAUGACUCGGAGUCAUUCAUCUUGUCUUUGACCCAGAGUCAUUCAUCUCGUCCUUAACCCAAAGUAAUUCAUCUCGUCCUUAACCCAGAGUCUUUCAUCUCGUCCUUGACCUAGAGUCAUUCAUAGCAUUUAAAGCCCUGAGUUCCCGACCUAGAGUCAUUUAUCUCACCUUUGACCCAAAGUCAUUCAUAACAUUUAGAGUUUAGAGCUUCUGAACUGAAGUCAUUUGUAGCAUGUCAACCCAGAGUUGUUUAUCCUAUUUCUGACCCAAAGUUGUACAUCUUAUCCGUGACCCAGAGUUGUCCGUUUUCAUUUAUGACUUAGAGUUGUUCUUUCCACCUUUUUCUAUCCUGUGCUACUCAUCACGUACUUUUCCCCUUUUAUUGUCAUUUUUUCCCAUAGAGUUGUUCCAUCUUUGUUGUUGCAACCUCGUGGUCCGAGCUUACCCUUGUCAUGUGUUAGGAUAAAAUUUUUGGUCAUUUUUAGUUCUUCGCUAUAGUUCACUUCGUUCCACUUAUUACUCAUAUUUCUACUCAUAUUCCUUACACUUGUGAUUUCUACUGAGUAGGGGCAUAUUUGUAGACCCUCCAUUUUGUCUCUUUAACACAUGUCUUUAAGUGCUCUUUUAGUACUUACAGUAGUUCCUUGGUGGCCUGUUGCUACUCAUACAACUUACCUUUUUUGAGCCACCUUGGAGACUUUGGUUAAAGGAUUUAUUUAGGCCCCCAUUGUGACCUUGGUAGCCCUUCGAGUUUAAGUUAGGCUUCACUUGAGUGCACUUUAGGUUAGAUUCCACUUAGUUCACCCUAGGACACUUAGACACACCUUAGGUCACCUUUAGGCGUUUUUACAUGGUUGCAUGGCUCGUAUUUUUGCAUGGCUCUUAUGGUUUGAAUGUGGUUGAUUUUUAUUUUUUUAGUUGCAUGAUUUUAAUUUCUUUUGAUUUUCAAUUUCAUGAUAUUUAUUGAUUUUAAUCUUUAUUUUAUUUCUUGCAUGAGGAAAAAAACUACUAGUUAUUUGGAAAGAGGAUCACCAAAAUUUUUGACAAAGAAAAGUCCACAACUGCAAAUGGAGUGCAAUAUUGAGGAUAUUCACGCACUAAAGGGAUCCUGGUUUUAGAAGGAAAAAGAUUUGGAUGGGAAGGUGGAAUUCUCCAGACCUGUGGCUGCCAUGUGAAGUAUUCUCUUUAAGAAAGAAAGGCAUGACUGAAGCACAAGAAGAAGAGAUUCUUGAAAGAUACAAUAGACUUAUCAUAUGGGAUUCAUGCACCUUUAAAAGAAGGAUAGCAGGCUGGCAAGGGUUCUUUCUUCAACAGAGAGGGUCAAUAACAAGUGAAAAAGGAAUGGAUUCUCUUUAUCCGAAUAAAAAAGAGAUUCAGAUUUUUUUUUAGGGCAAAGCAGACGACAUACAUCCUUGGGGGAGAAGAUAGAAUUGAAGAGCAGAGGUUUUGGAAGAGAACAAGGGAGAGGAGCAGAAGGUUUUGGUUUUCGUGAGAAGAAGGCUAGGGUAGGGAAAAAAACGAGAAAAGAGGAAUAAAAGGCAUGAAAUUUUGAAGAUGAGUAAAUCUUGCUCGAGAGGAAAGACCCCAGGUAUGACCAUUGUGAUAUGCAUAUUAUUAUUUAUUAUUUAUUAUUAUUAUUAUUAUUUCUUCACACUAUUUCGCUUGAUUUCUAGGAUUGGUUUUCAUAUGCCUAUGCUGUCAGUUCUACUCUUGUCUUACUUAGUUUGACUUGAGAGGGGCGAGACUAUAUCAUAUUCAUUGUAGGUGUGUCUAGAGAUAUUGACUACAUUUUCUUUGCUUUGUUUAUGUCUGGUUUUUUUUCACUAGGCCAAGCCCAUUGAUCUCAGCAUGAGAUGGGACUUGGUUGAUAGUUCUUAGUUGGUUUUAUCCUCUGUUUCUAUUUUACUCUUCUCUGUUUAUUGCUUAGUUUUUGGCGGGCAGUGGUGAUAUUGUUAAUGUCCAAAUUUCCAGGACUGAAUAAGUGAGGUUGUGGAGGAAAAUGAACUCGAUGUGAGGUUCCUAUUUUUGCAUCUAUGCUCCAAUCUAUUAGUUCAAAACAUGGGUCACAAAAUUGCGUUGGAGUCUUGCAUUUGGGAUUGCUUUGUAUCUGGGUUUAAUAAGCUAUAUAUUGUAGAAAAGAUGAGACUCUGAGCAUUUAGGUUGGUCAAUCUGGUCAAUACAUUGGUAUGAUUAAUCUUGGUGGAAGAAGUUGGCUUUGAGAUAGAGCUAGAAAAAGAAACCAGAAUAGAGAAGAAGCAGAGGAAGUUGAGGUAUUUUCUUGAUGGUCUUUAUCGGAUAAGAAUCUCGCAGGUUGAUGAUAUGAUCAGAGAAUAAAAACCGCUGUUGGAAUGGAGUUAAUUUCGUUUGAAGGCGAUACACUUCAGGAACCAUGUGAAGGUAGGCUAUUUGCACAGAAUGAGCAAGUCUUUCUUCUUGAUGAGUGCUUUUUCGAGAUCUUUAGACGGUUGGCCUGAAAGCUAAGAUGAUAUACUUUGUUUUCCUGACACUUGAAGACAUUUUACCUUUAAUAUGCCUGAAUCUGGGGUUAUGAGUAAUCGAUGAUCAUUAGAAGGAGCAUUAGUGCUUGUUACGGGAAUUUCUAGAACUGACCCCGAUAGUUGUUGGAUUUUUUGCUUAUGAGUUGGCUCUGAACAAAAUCUCAUUCCAAUAGUUUGGAUAACAGAUUCUAAAGCACUAAUUUUUCUAGUUCUCGAAAACCAUUGAAAUGUUCAUAGUAAGAACCGUGAUUUUGGAGAGAAAAUGUAGAGAAGACCAUGAAAGCGUCUAACUUCACUUAUGAUGAACCAAAGAAGAAGAUUGUCGAUUGAUCUUGUUUUCUCCAAAACCCAUUACCCAGUUUGAGGUUGUUGCAAUUAAGCUUUGGAAAGUUUGCAAAAGAUUUGGAACUAGAAGUAACCUUGCAGAUUAUGCAAUUGUAGUUGAAAAAGCUCUUGGAUAGAUUGGGAAUUCCUACUACAGAUGCACCUGUGGAACAUUCCAUUCUCCAAGAUAGCAUGUUUUGCAAGGUCUCAACACAGAUGGGUCACUGUAUGGGGGAUUUCUAGAACAGAAAAGUUAGAAGCACCAUAAUCACUUGCAAUGGACGCUGUAAUUAAGGUAUUCAAGCGUGUUGCUAGGUUAUCCGAAUGCAAAAGAGGAAGAUAAAGACUCAAAGUUGCUUCCAAAGAUUGGUUUUGCUCAUUCUGAUCGAUCAAAUAGGAAAUUCGGUUCUCCAGAUUUUGCUUCAUGUUUAGAUUGAAAGCCAUUUAUGUUUUGAAGCUCCAUGGUCAACCUAUUGCUCGACGAAGCUUUCUCUCACGUUCAAUUAUAUAAUUGAUUUGAAAUUAUGGCCCUGAAUUUGCUUUGGAGAUUGGUACCUCACAACUCUAAAAUAAGGUUGGGGAUGUGGGACCCACUCUUAACAUGAUACCUAUGAUUUGUAGCUUGUAGUGCACCGAGAAAGCAACUCGUUGAAGGUUCAUGUGUGGUCAUUCAAAAGGGAAGUUGGUGCUUCCAUGUGCAUAUUCAUUGGUCAUAAUGGUGAAUGUUACACAAUUGCAUACAGACCCAGAUGGAUAGUAGGGUGUAUGCAAAUGAUUUCAUGUACCCGAUUCUUUUAAACGAUGUGUUCGAUGAAUGCUUGGGUAUAUGUAGUGGAAUUGAUCCAUGCUCAAGUGGAAAAACUAGGGCUUUGUUGAGGUACUUUCAAGGUUCAUAUCAAAUCAUAAUUGGCUAUGAUGAAGGAAGUGUUAUGGAAAUGACAAUAGUGGAAAAAUAAUAUGGGCCAAUUAUAACUAAAUUCAGAUUCUGAAUAUAAGGAGUGUGGGAGCAAAUUUUGAGUUUGAAGAGGAUUCUUUUGCUAAUUCAAUUUAUGAAGCUUUUAUUCUUGAAGGAGCCACAAAGCUUAGAACUAGUUCCAACCAGGAGGAUCGAGUGAGAUUCAUCAAGAAAAAAAUACGAGUUUCAAGAUUUUUUGAAGCCUAGCUUGUGAAUUACUAUAAUUUCUUUUGGAAAGAGCUCUCUCUCCAAUAAGCUUUUCCUAGAAAGUCCAUUGAGAUUUUUUGGAAUUCUAACUCAUAGAAAUUGGAAACUAUGGUAGAUGACAAAGACGAGAGGUGAUAGUAAAGUUCACAAAAUUAUUGAAGAAACCUAUGUGGAUCAAUAUCUUGGUAUCAUUGGUUAGCAUGCUGAUAUCUUAUGUACGUGAUUGUCCACUUAAGAGCCAUUCUGCCUACUAUGUGUUUCCUUCUAGGCAUUACAAGGUUUUUAAUGACUGGCUUCCACCUACUUCUCCAUAAGAAUACACAGAUGAAGAAAUUGCACCCCAUGUUGUAUUAAAGAAAUCCUAAGUGUGCCUUCAACUCAAUCAAGGGACCCGACAACUCUGCUAAGAAGGGUAAGCUGUAGAGGAUUCCAGUAAAUCAGUUCUUGAUUUACGGCAUCCUCCUUGAUUGUAGGACUGUAGAGGAUUCCAGUAAAUCAGUUCUUGAUUUACGGCAUCCUCUUUGAUUGUAGGAGAUACAUUUUCCAUUUGUAAUUAUCUUUUCUAAUUUAUCUCUGUAUUCAAACUUCUUGUAUACGUAUAUAUAAAUGGAAAACUCAACCCCAUAGAAGUGUGGUGGUUUUAUAAACAUUGUUAUGGUAUCAGAGCAUUUUUGGAUUAACCUCCUCGAUCCUCCCAUGGCCGAUUCUUCCUUCUCCUUCAACACCAUGAUCCACAUGAUCACUAUUAAACUCUCCUCCACAAAUUAUCUUCUCUGGCGAAAUCAACUUCUCCCUCUUCUUCAAUGUCAGAAUCUCCUUAGCCAUGUCGAUGGUUCCGUUGCGCCGUCUCCAAUCACUAUAGCUGUUGAUUCUUCUUCUUCUCAACCGAAUCCUCAAUAUGUGGCAUGGCAACUCCAAGACCAACGUCUUCUCAGUCUCCUCUUCUCCUCCUUGACUGAAGAAGCCAUGGCCGAAGUUCUUGGUCUCACCAUCGCUCGUGAUGUUUGGCUUGCCUUGGAAAAUUCCUUCAGCCAUAUUUCCAAGACUCGUGAGCUUCGCAUCAAAGAUGAUUUGCAGCUCAUCAAACGUGGCACCCGAAGUGUCACUGAAUAUUCUCGUUCAUUCAAGGCUUUAUGCGAUCAGCUCACUGCAAUGGGCCGCUCAGUUGAUGACACCGACAAAGUCCACUGGUAUCUCAGAGGAUUGGGCGCUGAUUUUGCUAAUUUUUCCACUGCCCAAAUGUCUCUCACCCCAUUACCGGUUUUCAAAGACUUGGUUCCUAAAGCUAAAAGCUUUGAGAUUUUCCAGAAGUCACUCGGGUCCUCCUUCCCUGUUUCCUUUGUUUCCUUUGCUGCUUUUACUGCCACCAAUGGAUCGUUUUCUUCAUCUCGGGGUGGUAGUUCCUCCAAGUCCCGUCGUUCUCGCGGUGGCUACCAUGGAGGCCAUGGACGUGGUAAAUGUGGUUCCUAUAUUCCUCGGUGUCAAAUCUGCAAGACUGAAGGUCACACUGCUAAUCGAUGCAGGAGCUGUUACGAUCGUGCUGAACCUACAACACAACUUGCUGAAGCCUUCACCACAGCCUGUUCUCUCUCUAAUGGCUUGGAAUCUGAUUGGUUCACCGAUACCGGAGCAUCCGCUCACAUGACCCCUGAUCCUUCUCAGUUGGACAAGGUUGAGCCUUAUCAUGGUAAGGACUGUGUAAUAGUAGGAAAUGGUGCUUCUCUUCCUAUUACACACACUGGCACGCUCUCUUCCUCUUCCAAUUUUCAACUUUUAGAUGUUCUUGUUGUUCCCCGUCUUACCAAAAACUUGUUGUCCAUAAGCAAACUGACGUCUGAUUUUCCUCUCUUUGUCACAUUUUCUCAUGAUAAUUUUGUUGUCCUGAAUCGAAUAACAGGAAUGGCAGUGGCAAAAGGUAAACACGCAGGUGGUUUGUAUGUGAUGGAACGUGGUCACUCUGCAUUUGUUUCUGUCCUUAGAAAUAAGAAUUUACAUGCGUCCUUUGAAUUAUGGCAUGCUUGUCUUGGUCAUGUAAAUCACUCUAUUUUAUCUUUUUUGAAUAAAAAAGGACAAUUAUUUCUCACUUCUUUAUUGCCUACUCCCUCUCUUUGCUCCACUUGUCAACUCGCUAAGAGCCAUCGCUUGCCUUUUUCCUCGAAUACUACUCGAUCUAAUGUUGUUUUAGGUCUCGUCCAUUGCGAUAUUUGGGGUCCCGCUCCCGUCAAAUCUAAUUUGGGAUUUAACUAUUAUGUGUUAUUUAUCGAUGAUUAUUCUCAAUUUACUUGGCUUUAUCCACUAAAAUUAAAAUCCGAUUUCUUUGAUAUUUUCCUCCAAUUUCAAAAAUUGGUUGAAAAUCAAUACUCCACCAAAAUCAAGAUUUUUCAAAGCGAUGGCGGUGCCGAAUUUACAAGCAACCGUUUUCAAUCUCAUCUUCAACAAUUUGGCAUCCACCACCAAAUGUCUUGCCCAUACACUCCUUCCCAAAAUGGUCGAGCUGAGCGCAAACAUCGUCAUGUCACGGAAACUGGCCUUGCUCUCCUUUUUCAUUCCCACGUUCCUCCUCGGUAUUGGGUUGACGCUUUCAGCACAGCAACCUACAUUAUCAACCGGCUGCCUCUGCCUGUUCUUGGUGGUCUUUCACCUUUUGAAGUUUUAUUUGGUAAGUCUCCUAAUUAUGAGAAUUUCCAUCCUUUUGGUUGUCGUGUUUACCCAUGCUUACGGGAUUACGCACCUCACAAAUUUUCUCCCCGUAGCUUACCGUGUAUUUUUCUUGGUUAUAGUUCCUCACAUAAAGGUUUUCGUUGUUUUGACACCACAACUUCUCGCACAUAUAUUACACGGCAUGCUCGCUUUGAUGAACAUUUUUUCCCUUUUUCAAAUACUUCCAGUGCCACUUCUAUUGCUGACAUCAGUCUCUCAAAUUUUUUUGAACCCUGCGCCCUUGAACCAUCUCCUAGCACAUCAUCUCCUACUACUACACGGGUCCCUCCUUCUCCUCCUUGCCAAUUUUGUGCGGAUGAUUUUGCUGUUGAGCCCUUGCAGGUUUCCUCUUCUGCUACGGAGUCCACAUCUUCUUCAGCUGCGGUCUCGCCCGUAUCUGCCUCUACGACGACCUUGGUUCCUUUUGCUGCUGAAGUUUUAUGGCUCACUCAUCUCUUCCGUGACCUUCGGGUUACUUUAACUCACCGACCUCUCCUUCUUUGUGACAACAAGAGUGCACUUUUCUUGAGCUCUAAUCCCGUGUCCCAUAAGCGCGCCAAGCACAUCGACCUUGAUUAUCAUUUCCUACGUGAGCUCAUUGUUGCUGGCACUCUUCGUCUUCAACAUAUCCCGUCUCACUUACAAUUAGCGGACGUCUUCACCAAGAGUGUCUCACGGGAUCUUUAUGUCUUCUUUCGCUCCAAGCUCCGAGUUUGUGUUAAUCCCACUCUUCGCUUGCGGGGGGCUGUAGAGGAUUCCAGUAAAUCAGUUCUUGAUUUACGACAUCCUCCUUGAUUGUAGGAGAUACAUUUUCCAUUUGUAAUUAUCUUUUCUAAUUUAUCUCUGUAUUCAAACUUCUUGUAUACGUAUAUAUAAAUGGAAAACUCAACCCCAUAGAAGUGUGGUGGUUUUACAAACAUUGUUAUAAGCAAUAACCAAAUGAAACAGAUUCCACCCAAGAACUUAAUGGUGAAAUUUCUCCUACUUCUUCUACCCUAGAAAAAGCUUUUAGAGAGGCUAGACAAAGGAGCGCAUAAUAGAAAUCACCUGCAGCCAAUAGAAAAUCAGAUCCACAGUCCAAAGAAGCAAGAAUUUCAGUUCCAUUGGAACAAUGGAUAUUUUGGAAAAGACAAUAUGACAAACUUGAAUGGGAGUUCAUCUAGGCUACCCUAGAAUCAAAAUGGCCCACGUCUUAGCCUCUAUGCUAAUCCCACCAAUCACCAACCAUACCACAAUGUAUGGCUUGCUUACAACCCAUCACUAGAAGUCAUGACAAUGGAUGUUUGCAUGUACUAUCGACCAAUCUUGCAAAGUUCUAUGAUGAAAUCUGGAGCAUGUGACUGCUGAAAAUAUGGUUUUGUAGCAUUAAUCAUGAGUGAUUGAACCAUCCGUGGAUGAAACCAUGUGAAUUUUGAAAGAGCGUCAGGAGAGGAAUGAGAUCUAUCACAAUCCUGAUAAGGCAACUGACUUGAUUAUUGAAACUAGUUCUCAGGUUCGACUUCGUCACACAUAGUUUCCUGAGGAAGCAAGAGAGCUUAAGAAAGUGCUCAAAUAGAACACCAAAGAGAAGAACAAAGCAAUAUGAAGCCAAGAUUCUGAGAAGGCAGGUGAAUUACGUGAUAGAGAACUUGAUCUAAAGGCAUAGAUCUCAAGUCUCAUAGACAAAGGCAAGGAAAUGACCAAGGUAGAGUAUCCAAAUCUUUAAAGACUCUACAUAAGCUAUUAUUGAACAAAAAUAUUUACUUCCUGAACCUCCUCCAUUGGGUUUGGUCUAAGUAUCAGGAUUCAUGAGUUCAAAUGGGGAACCAAAAUUUCUCCUCAUCAAUGACUGAAAAAAAAAACAUGAAAAUGGUAGAGAUCAACAACUUUGAACUUCUGGGAUUGGAUAAGGUCAUUGACGAAGACUGAGGUAACCAGAUUGUUUGGUAAUGGGGGUGAAGUUGCAACCAUUGGAAGUGGGUGAUGGAACAUCCUCAAAGAAACUAUUGAAAGUAGAACUGAAGAACUGUUUGUGGUUUCUACAAGUUUACUCCCAAAGAAGAAAUCCAUUUUGGCACUACUGUCUUAGGAUCCCCAACAACUCAAAGUCAUAAGAUGUAGAAUUGUCAAACUGGAAUAUCAACAAUCAAGCCAGUUCCGAAAAGCAUUGCCGUCAUCUCUAAUGCCGAGAUGUAGGAGUUAAUGGCUCAACAUGGCAUUGGAAAUCAAUAAAACUUUGAACAACAGGGAGCCUUGGAAAGUGCCAAAAGAGAGCAUAAUGCAGUUAGGGAUUCAACACCAGCAAGGCAGUCUCAGUCAAGUCUCAGGCUCCACCCAUACAGUUGCCACCUUGGUGCACACCGUCCUCCUCUUAUUACUUCUUCUCUUUCUUGUGAACAUACACAUUUUAAAUCUGGAUUUCAAAAUCUUUUCCAUUAAAUAACUCCAGUUAUCUUUAAAAUUCCAUCCUUAGGAGUUCAUAGACAUUAAAAUCUAGAUUUCAACAAACUUUUAGCUGCCAAUUUUUCUUCUAGCAUGCAUUUUCACUAUUUUAUUUAAUUUUCAACUAUUCACUUGAUGUUCUCAAUUUUCAAUAGGCAUGAAUAAAUUUGAUAGUUCCAAACAAUGGAACUCAUGGCAUUAAUUCAUGCAAAAAUAAAUUGGGUCUUAGUGGGGGCCCAACAUCCAUGACGUUUUCUUUGAUAUUGAUUCAAGUGAGGUGUUUGUUUGAUGUUUGAUUGAUAUCGAUCCCCUUUGUGAUACAUGAGAUUAUUUUGCACCUGUUAUUGAGCUAACCUUGUUUCUAUAGAAGUGCUGACGUUUGCUACCCAGGUAUGCUCUCUAUCACCCACUCUUCAAAAUCCAUGAAUAUGCAGAAUAUUAUGAGCAAUACCCAUGUUCGAUGUCAUACUUGAUUAUCUUUGAUAAAAAUGCAUGUUGUGUGUCAUAUUUCUGAGCUAACUUUGAUGUCUUAUGAUAGCGUUUGAGAAGCAGUCUAAGUACACACCCUAACUCUUCUUUAUGAUUGUGAUUUGAUUUGAUUUGAUUUUUUUUCAUUUGGCAUGCUAGUGAUAAUAGAAAUUUGAAAUCACCUUAGUCUACCUAGAUAACUUCAAUCAAUCGAUUAAUUGCCACAUUUCCCUCGACUUAGGCAAUAGAGACCUCUUUAGGGCUUAGAGGGGUACUACCUCUUUGAGGUACCUUCCCAAUAAGUAACCUGAUCCUUGGACCUAGACUCGGGUUUUUCAAAGACACACUUUUUUCAAAACUAUGAAGUCAUUUUUUUAAGGUUUUCUUUCUUGUUUUAUUUUCCAUUUUAAAAUAAAAUAAAAUAAGUGGUGACUCUGACUUUUCCAAAACUAAUUUUUCACCAUUGGAAAGUGAGUCUUGUUGAUUGAGUUGGAACACACAUGAAGAUUGCGGGUCCACAAUUAUUUUUUUGUUAGGCUAGAGAAAUAACCUUUUCUCAGGGGCUUCAAGCAUGUCUAAAGAUUUAUAACGUGUUCUUUUUUAUUGGUCAAGAUUUAAAAAGGUUUAUAUACAUUUAUUCUACAUGACCAUGAACUUCAUGUCAAUCAACUUUCAAAGAUUUCAAACAUCAUCAAGUGUACCUUAAUAUAUGUUGGGAUGUAGCCUUAGAAAACAUGAUAUGAUGUAAUAGAUUGAAAUACAUUUAUAAAUUUUAUUUAUUCAUAUUUCUUGGAUUUCCUUUAUCCUGUUUGUAUUAAUUGCAUAUAUGAGCAUACACACCCAAAUCUUUUACAUUGUUCACGACUUGGGUGCAUUAGUUGUUGCAUAGAAAAUACAAGUCAUAGGAUCUUUAUAAGUAGAUAAGUUGUCCAUAGUCAGUUCAUAGAUCUGGGCAAUCUUGUAGAGAUUGUAAUGCACUAGCUCCUAAUUGGAGGGAUAACUUGUCUUGGCCGUCGGAAUGACUUUUUCAUGAUGAUUGCACUAAUGUGUAUGGUUACAUAUUGGACAGGAUCUAUGGUGAAUCAUGAUGUAAGCUAUCGAUUUUCAUGAUUCACUAAACUACUAUAUUACAUGGACUCUCAACCUUGAAAGGAUAUUGAGUUUGUGCCAAAGUUAACAGGAGGCUAUAACUUAUGGGGGAGACCCUUAGGUGGUCACAUAUCCUUGUAGAUUGAGUCAUUAUUGAUGAAGAUUGGUAACAAUAGGUAUUCUCAAUAGAGGCACCAUGAUAUCUCAUAGGAAUGAAAUAGUGUGUCCCAUUGGGUAAUCUAAAGACAUAUGAUCUAGAAGACUGACCGUAACAUUUCCUUUAAUAGAAAUUUGACAUAUGCUAUUUGAAGAGAUAAUCUUCAAAUAGAGUAUGCCAAUUGAUCACAUAAUAAGUGAGAUAUGUAAUUCAAGGAUUGAAGAGAUAAUCUUGAUAGAUGAUAACAUUACCCUGUUAGAUUACAAACACUAGUUCAUUGGAAGUAUGCAUGGAAUGUAUAGUAAGUCACGAACCCAAGUUUUGUCUUAUUGUUAUUUACAUAAUGUAUAUAGUGUUGUUGAUUCUCUGUAUCAAGAUGUUGAAUCAAUUUCAGAAUUGGAUUUUGAGGGAAUUGAUAAUCCUAUAGGUCUUAAUGGUCUCCACUUUAAGCUCGUAUAUCCUAAUGACACGAGUUAUGAAGGUUAGAUUGAUUCUAGGUUCACUCUUGUGUAUAAGGACAUUUUGGUAAUUACAUAAGAUUGCAUAGGGGAUAGCAAACAAGGAUUUGGGAUUAGGUUAAUUAAUUAAUUAAUUAAAUAACCCUAUAUGGUUAUUUAAUCAAUUAAAACCUAUUUUGGUUUAGAUUAAGUGAUCCAAACCCAUGUGGGCUUAAGUCACUUUAAGCCCGAUAGGGGAAUUCUAUAAAUACCCCUUUAGGGGUUAAGGUUUCCAAGGUUUUUGAUCAUCAUCUUCCAUUGACCGGCGUGUUGUUUGGGCUAUAGAAAAGUUGGCAAAGAAAGACGAAAUUAAUGGGAUGGAGACCGUUUGUUUCAUGAUCGUGGAACCCUCAAUAGAAUUCCAAAUUUCCAAGUGACAUGAAUUAUCUUGUUGAAACUUGAAUCCAAAUUAAUAAAUUCUAUCAUUAUACAUAUUUUGAUAUUUUUGUUAAUGGAAUGAAAUUGCGUGGAUACUAAAUUCAUCUAAUAUCAUUUUCUUUCUAUAGUUUAUUGCAUCAAUUAUCCAUGUUUCAAUAAUCGAAUACAAUCGAAUUUACUUAAAUGUUGAAUGCUACAGAAUUUGUAGUUUCAAAUUAUUUUAUCAAAAUAAUACAAAAAUUGUAGUUCACAUGUUUUUUAAGAAGAAAAGUUGGAAAAAAAAUUUUCCACACAACCUUCAGAAAAUAAUAAAUUGUUAUACGACUUAGAAUGGCAUGAAUAAGGAAAAAAACCAUCCAUAAAAGUAAUGUUUACGCAUGUUUAGGAUUAGCAGUAUCUCCAAGCUAUUUCCAAUGGGAAUUCUACUCUUUUCAUGGAUUUUCUUCAUGCCCUUAUGCUCAAGCUUUUUUCUUAUGCAUGUUGCUUUGGUGUCCGACGAGUGUCUGAGUAAUGAGAGGGUAUGCUUGGAAGAUGAGAGGAUGUUGUUGUUGCAACUGAAGAGUACCCUCAAAUUCAAUGUUGCUGCAUCUAAUAAACUAGUUUCCUAGAGUCAAAGUGCCGAUUGUUAUUCUUGGGGCGGUGUAACCUGGGAUGCCACUGGUCAUGUUGUGUCUCUUGAUCUCAGUAGCGAAUUCAUUUCUGGUGAAUUCAAUAGCUCCAGUAGAAUUUUCAGUCUACAGUAUUUGUAGAGCUUGGAUUUAGCUAGCAACACCUUCUACUAUUCUCAAAUUCCAUUUGGAUUCGAUAAGCUUGACCGUUUGAUAUACCUGAAUUUGUCUAGCGCUGGGUUUUUUAGGUAGAUUCCAAUUGAGAUCUCACACUUGAGGAAAUUGGUUACUAUUGAUUUCUCCAUGUCUUAAUUACCUAGAGUUCCUACGUUGAAACUUGAGAAGCCAAAUCUGAGAAUGCUAGUUCAAAACCUAACAGAGCUUAGAGAACUCUAUCUUAAUGGUGUAGACAUAUCAGCCCCGGGGAAUGAGUGGUGUCAGGCAUUAUCAUCAUCUGUACCUAAUCUUUGAGUUCUGAGCUUGUCCUGGUGUUUUCUUUCAGGCCCUAUUGAUUCUUCCAUGGUGAAGCUUCACUCCCUGUCAGUUAUUCAUCUUAAUUAUAAAAUUUUCACAACUCCAAUUUAUGAUUUUUUGGCAAAUUUCUCAAAUUUGACUUCUUUAAGCCUCAGUUGUUGAGGACUAUAUGGAGCAUUCCAAAAAAUAUCUUUUAGGUACCAACCUUGCAAAUUCUUGACUUGUCUAACAAUCAGUUACUCUGGGGUGCUUUGCUAGAGUUUCCUUAGGGUGGGUCUCUACGGACUCUAGUGCUUUCGGAUACAAAAUUUUUUGGGCAUAUGCCAGAUUCCAUAGGUAAACUUGAGAUGUUGUCCUGGAUAGAACUAGCACGUUGCAAUUUCAGUGGACUAAUCCCCAGCUUUAUAGAAAAUCUUACUCGAUUGUUUUACCUGGACUUAUCGUCAAAUGGCUUUGCUAGUUCAAUUCCAUCCUUUCGUUCUUCAAAGAAUCUGACCCAUAUAAACCUUUCUCGUAACUAAUUUACUGUUCAGAUUAUUUUCCACCACUGGGAAGGUCUUUUGAAUCUUGUGAAUCUGGACUUGCAUCACAAUUUGCUGCAUGGUGGUCUUCCACUGUCCAUAUUUUCUCACUUAUCACUGCAGAAUAUAUGGCUUAGCAAUAACCAAUUUUCUAGUCAACUCAAUGAAUUUUCAGCUGUGUCUUAUGUACUGGAGGCCCUUGAUUUGGGUAGCAACAAUCUACAAGGGCCAAUACCCAAGUUUGUCUUGUUAAUAAAACCAUUAUGAAUCCAAAUUCUACAUAGAAAUCUCAUGUAAAUCAUAUAAAGAAAUUUUGCUUGAACAUUUUACGGAAUGCAAACAUACAAAAUCCGAACUAACCUGAGUCCAUUGUGGGUGUUGAAGAAGUAUGGAUCUUCUAAGGCGAUAGAGAGGAAACCACCUUUUGCUUAAUCUCUCUGGUUAUGGGAUGCAGGAGAGCGAGCGUUCUUUCUUUUCAAAAAAUAUAUAUAUCUUGAACGAACACCAACCUGAUGAAUUCCUUAUAUCCUCUAUGCCUUAGGGACCAUACCCUUUGGAUAUUGGGCCAUAUGUGUCUUUGGCCCAUCAUUUGAGACACAUAUGGUAUUGGGCUCUACACAUAAGGUGGCCUAUACUUUAUAACAAAUAUAAAUUAAAUAUAUACAUGCGAAUAGCUUAAUCAUAAACUAUGCUUCAUAUCUGUGAGUCCAUAGUUAUUCUAACAAUCUCCCACUUGUACCACAUAUAUUACCGAACAAUGUUUAUGAUAGUACUUUAUUGAGCUCAUCUUUGCUAUCCCAUCUAAUUGGUCCUACUUUAUGACUAAAAAUAGUCAAAUUUCACUUUCAACACUUGAUGCUAAACUGCUUCUACAAGUCAUCAUUUCAAUUCAGAGUAUUCAAACAUAAUAAUCUUUAAAACCAAAGUCUAUACAGAUAACACAAACAUAACAAUACAUCAAGAAAACAAACAUAAAACCUAAAUACAAACUCCCACUAUACUAGCACAUCAUUAAUAUGUACAACAUCCAUAUGUGUGACAUACUCAUGAUAUACUUUGGGUGGCAAACCCUUAGUGAGUGGAUCCGCAAUCAUGGAGUUUGUGCUUAUGUGGUCAAUUGAUACUUGAAGACUCUGAACUCUUUCUUUCACAACCAAGAACUUGAUGUCAAUGUGUUCGAACUUUGACAAACUUUGAUUGUUCUUAGAAUACAAUUCUGCGACCUUAUUAUCACAAUUGAUUCUCAAUGGUUUCUCAAUCCCAUUAACAAUUUGCAAUUCUGUGAUAAAAUUCCGUAGCCAUAUCCCAUGGUUUGAUGCCUCAUAGCAGGCUAUGACAUCUGCCUCCAUAGUGGAAGAAGCAAUAAGUGUUUUUUUAACACUUUUCCAAGAAACUACUCCUCCAGCCAACAUGAAGAUGUAGCCUGAAGUGGAUCUCCUAUUGUUAAGACAUCCCGCGAAAUCGGAGUCCGAAUAUCCCACGAUCUCUAAAUGAUUGGAUCUUCGAUAUGUGAGCAUCUAAUCUUUAGUUCUUUGUAAAUACCGCAUAACUCGUUUUUCCUUUUUCCAGUGAUCCAUACCUGGGUUACUCAAAUAUCUGCCCAACAUUCCAACAAUGUACACAAUAUCCGGACGCAUACAAACUUGUGCAUACAUGAGACUUCCUAUUGUCGAGGCAUAGGGAAACCUCUCCAUAUUCUUCAUCUCAAGUUCAUUUUUCAAACAUUGGUGCAAGCUAAAUUUAUCGCCUUUUGCCACAAGCAUGUCUCUUGGUGCAUAAUUGCUCAUGCCAAACCUACUUAACACAUUAUCGAUGUAGGACUUUUAUGAUAGCCCAAGUAUACCUCUUGAACGAUCCCUAUAUAUUCUUAUACCCAGCACAAAAGAUGCAUUAUCAAGAUCCUUCAUGUAAAAUUUACGGAAUAGAAAUCGCUUGGUUUCAUGCAAAAGUUCCACAUCACUACUUGGAAGUAGAAUAUCAUCUACAUAUAGCACCAAGAUAAUGAAUUUGCUCCCACUGAACUUGAGAUAUAUGCAGUGAUCAACGAUGUUCUCCUUAAAAUUAAAUGAAGUAAUCACUUGAUCAAACUUUCGGUACCAUUGUCGAGAAGCUUGUUUUAAACCAUAUAUGGACCUUUUUAAUGUGCAUACAAGUUGCUUUGACUCAUUAGACUCAAAUUUCUCCGGUUGCACCAUGUAUAUUGUCUCAUCAAUGUUACCAUUAAGAAACGCAGUUUUAACGUCCAUUUGAUGCAACUCUAAAUCAUAAUGAGCCACAAAUGCCAUGAUGAUUCUAAAGGAGUCCUUUGACGAAACCGGUUAAAAGGUCUCCUUGUAAUCAAUACCUUCUUUUUGAGUAAAACCUUUUGCGACUAGGCGUGCCUUAUACCUAACAAUGUUGCCUUUUGAAUCCUUCUUGGUCUUAAAAAUCCAUUUACAACUAAUCGGUUUUACAUCUUUAGGCAACUCUACUAGGUCCCAAACACCAUUGUGUUUCAUUGAUUUCAUCUCAUCCUUCAUGGCUUCUAUCCACUUUUCAGAGUCAGAACAUUGUUUGACUUGACUAACUAAAAUUGGAUCAUCUUUUAAACCCAUGUCAAACUCAUGUUCCUGGAGAUAUACAACAUAAUCAUCUGAAAUUGUACUUCUCCUUUCUCUAGUGGAUCUUCUCAAUGGUACUUGUACUUGAGGUUGUUGAAGUUGUUGAGUUACCUUUUCAUGAACUUGAAUUGGUUCCACAACUUGAGUAGGAGGAAUUUCAGGUGUGUCUACAAUCUCUGUUAUUGGUUGUACAUUCUGGAUAGUGUCAUCAAACAUAAUAUGACCAUGUCUAGUUGCAAUAAUAGGAAUACUAACAGAUUCUUCUUCAAAGACCACCUUUCUUAAUGGCUCUCUCCCACUUAACUCAACAUUCUCAAUGAACUUAACAUUGCCCGUUUCAAAGAAAGACUUAGUUGAGGGGUUAUAAAACUUGAAACCUCUCGACCUUUCAGAAUACCCUACAAAGUAGCAGCUCACUAUUCUAGAGGCCAAUUUCUUUUCAUUUGGCUUAUAAGGCCUAGCCUCAGUUGGACAACCCCAAACAUGCAAAUGCCUAAUACUAGGUUUCUUGUUAGUCCAUAACUCAUAUGGGGUUUUGGCUACUGCUUUGCUUGGGACUCUGUUCAAAAUGUAAACUGCAGUUUUGAUAGCUUCACCCCAAAGUGAUUCUGGUAAGGUGGAAUGACUGAUCAUACUUCUUACCAUAUCCUUAAGAGUACGGUUUCGCCUCUAUGCUACACUAUUUUGGCUUGGAUUCCCCGACAUGGUGUACUGAGGAAUGAUACCACACUCCAUAAAAUAUUUAGCGAAUGGCCUUGGACGUUGUUCACCGGAUCCGUCAUAUCUACCAUAAUAUUCAUCUCCACGGUCAAAUCUAACAACCUUUAUUUUCUUGCUUAGUUGGUUCUCAACUUCAGCUUUAAAAUUCUUGAACACAUCCAAUGAUUGAGACUUCUCAUGAAUCAAAUAAAGAUAGCCAUAGCAUGAGUAAUCUUUAAUGAAAGUGAUAAAAUGUUGUUGCCCAUUCCAAGAAGGGGUAGGAAAUGGACCACAAAUGUUCGUAUGUAUCAAUUCCAAGAUGUCACCCUCACCUAUUGGCAUCCUUUUUCUUCACAUUUUUUUGUUUACCCUUAAUACACUCUAUACAAACUUGAAAGUUUGACAAAUUAAGUGGAUCAAGAAUUCCUUCUAACACAAGCCUUUGAAUACGUUGAUUUGAAAUAUGACCUAAACGCUUAUUCCAUAGCAUUGAUGAAUUCUCAUUUGUUAAUUUUUCACUUAAUGCCAUAAUUGCUUGAAUGCAAGGUUUCAUUACCAUUAGAGACCUUUAUGUUCAAUUUGUAUAACUUAUCUUUUAGACUACCGGUACCAAUAACACUUGAAUUUAAAUAAAAACUAACCAUUCCAUUUCUAAAUGAACAAUAAUAUCCACAUUUGUCCAAACAUGAUACAGCAAUUAAAUUUCGUCUAAACGAUUGUACCACAAAAGUCUCUUUUAAAUCCAAAGUAAAACCAGAAUUUAACUGUAAUCUAAAAAGACCAAUAGCCUUCACUGCAACCUUAUUUUCAUUUCCCACAUAGAUGUAUUUUUCAUCAUCAGUUGGAAUUCGGCUCCUUAGGCAACCCUGCAUCGUGACACUAAUGUGAGUAGUUGCACUGUAUCUAUCCACCAAGUGUCAAUAGGCACUAUAGCUAAAUUAAUUUUUGAACAAACAAAGUUGAGAAGUGUACCUUUCCUUUCACGCCAAGCGGCAUAUUUGGUACAUGUCUUCUUCAUAUGACCAGCCUUCUUGCAAAAGAAACAAGUGAUCUCCUUAUCUUGUUUUUUCUGCACCUUUUGCUUAGAUGUCCCAGAAAAUGCAGUUUGUUUUCCUUUAUUGUCCAUUUUUCUUGUCUUGUUGGUACCAAAUCCCUGAGAUGUGGAAGCCAAGUGAGCACUUUCUAUCUUUUCUUGUUUCAAUCUCUCCUCUUCUUGUACACAUUGAGCAAUAAGCUCAUUCAUAGUCCAUUUUUCCUUUAGUGUGUUGUAACUGAUCUUGAAUAGACUAAAUUGUGUAGGUAGAGAGAUCAAGACCAAGUGCACAAGUAUGUCUUCUAACAACUCUAACUUUAGUGCCUUGAGUCUAGUCAUAAGAUUGGACAUUUCCAUUAUGUACUCCCUUAUAUUCUCUUUCCCUUUGUACCGCAUGGAGACAAGCUUACUAAGAAUAACGCUUGUGUCAACCUUUUCGUUUGCAGCGAAUUGGUUUGCUAUCUGGUCCAAGAAUGUCUUGGCUCGGGUCUUCUCAGGUAUUGCACCCCUUAUAGCUUUUGGAAUUGAGUGCUUCAUUAUCAUUAGACUCAUGCGAUUGGAUCGCUUCCAUUUUUCCAUAGCAGCCCUUUGCUCAGCAGUACUGGCACUAGUGAGGUCUGUAGGGCGAUCCUCUCUUAAUGCAUAGUCCAAAUCCAUGCACCCGAGCACAAUUACAAUGUCGUCCUUCCAUUUCUUGAAGUUUGUGCCAUUAAGCAUAGGAAUGUUAUUAACAUUAGCAAAUAUAGAAGAUGCUGAAUCCAUAACAUUAAAUCUCACAAUCAGUCACAAAAAAUAUCAUAAUAAAUAAAAAAUUUAACAUAUAUAUAUAUAUAUAUAUAUAUUUAUAUAUAUAUGCAUGUGGGCUUAUUACAAGAUACCUAGCACAAACAUUAAUAUUCAGUCUUUGGACAAAAAUAUCAACUUGUAAUUGGUAUCCUUUUACAAAAUUAGUUCAUAAAUAUUGACAAUAAAACCAAAGCAAUAUGCCUAUCUUUGGACUGACAUACAGCAUGCAAGGUAAACUUUAUAUGUCACAUAUUUAUGACUACUUUAUUUAUUAUUAUAUUAAAAUAAUCUUCCUUUGGGCCAAUUAUUUUAUACAAUAAUAACAUGUUUACAUAUUUCAAAAUAAAUAAAAUUAUAUAAUAUAAGUCACUUUGGCAACAAAUAUACAUAACUCAUUUAUUUUAAAAAUAUUAAACACAAAUGCAACAAGAAAUGGUAAAUUCGUAUAUUUAAUGUGGUACAGAAAAGAGAAUACAGAAAUUUAUCAAAAUCAUAAUUUUUUAUGGUACAAAAUCAUAAACAAGCAUAAGGGUUCUGUAGCUCAAUUGGUAGAGUGCAAGACUCUCAACCUUGUGGUCGUGGGUUCAAACUUAAUUAGGCUUUAACAUGUUUUGUGCUCUGGAUAACUUUUCUCCUAUUUUUAUAUCCUUGUUUUUGUUAAUUGUUUUAGGAAUUCUGUACUUACAAAAUUGCACAAUUUAUUGAGCUUAUAUGUGUCGUGCAGUUAAUUUGGUUUUGGCAUGAACUUUGACUUUGCUUAUUUUGUGUGCCCAUUUUUUUUUAAAAAAUCGGCAGUAAGUACCUUUUGAAAAUAGAAUUGUUGUCAUGUUUAAACAUUUCAUGUUUAAAUGGGCAAUAAUUACUUUAUUGGGCUUGAAGUUGCUUUUCUAUUUGCAAUACUUAAAGGCUUACUAUAUGAUUGAUUGGGUGGUGUUUUGUAGAAAUGAAGCUCCAAACGAUGCCGACAUUGGCGCCUUAAAGCCAAAGGACACCAACAAAAGAAGGACCCAUGGCGACGCCGAAUACCCCAGUAGUGGGGCCAAAUGAGGCCACAACGUCUUUCCGAUCGCCUAAAACGGCGCCAACAACCCUCUCUAGGCGGCAUCGCGGGGAACGCCUACAACGGCACCAAAACGACACUAGAACAAUGCUUUUUCGAUCCCCUAACGACACCAAAAUGGUGUCAUUGACUGGCGGAAUGGCAUCCAGCGCUGCUCCGAUUGCCAAAACAGCGCUUGCAGUGCUCCUCAAGGCGGCGGGGUAGUGGAAGCAGUGUCACCACUAUCACCGGUAGAGGCACCAAACGACGCCACAACGCUUCUCUGAGCGCCAUUCUUUGCUCUCUAGAAACCCGAAUCACCACCCUCCCUAAUGGCCUCCGAAUCGCCACCGAAUCAAGUCUCCCAAGCUGUGUUGCGGUUGUUGGUGUCUGGAUCUACUUCGGGAGUCGCUUUGAGAGCAACGCCACCAACGGUGUGGCUCAUUUUCUAAAACGCAUGGUGUUCAGGGGCACGGAAAAGAGGCCUGUUGAGGGUUUUGGUGAAGGAAAUUGAGAGCAUGGCGAUCACUUGAUGAUUUAAAAAAUGGCAAUUUCUUAAUGAUUUAACAUGCUGCUCUAAUACCAAUUGUUAAUAAAACCAUUAUGAAUCCAAAUUCUACAUAGGAAUCUCAUGUAAAUCAUAUAAAUAAAUUGUGCCUGAACAUUUUACGGAAUGCGAACAUACAGAAUCCGAACUAACCUGAGUCCAUUGUGGGUGUUGAAGAAGUAUGGAUCUUCUAAGGCAAUAGAGAGGAAACCACCUUUUGCUUAAUCUCUCUAGUGAUGGGAUGCAGGAGAGCGAACGUUCUUUCUUUUCAAAAAAUAUAUAUAUCUUGAACAGACACCAACCUGAUGAAUUCCUUAUAUCCUCUAUGCCUUAGGAACCAUGCCCUUUGGAUAUUGGGCCAUAUGUGUCUUAGGCCCAUCAUUUGAGACACAUAUGGUAUUGGGUUCUACACAUAAAGUGGCCCAUACUUUAUAACAAAUAUAAAUUAAAUAUAUAUAUGCAAAUAGCUUAAUCAUAAACUAUGCUUCAUAUCUGUGAGUCCAUAGUUAUUCUAACAUGUCUUUGAUCUUUGGGGUCUUCACAUCCUUGAACUUUCUUUCAACAAACUCAAUGGCACCCUUGAACUAAGCAAAUUUCAAAAACUAGAGAACCUUACUAUUCUGAGUCUUUCACACUAUAGGUUGUCAAUCAAUGUGGAUGGUUUCAAUUCCACCUUUUCUAAACCCCCGCAUUUCACCACAUUAAAAUUGGCUUCUUGCAACCUGAGAAAAUUCCCUGAUCUAAGGAACCACUCAAAGUUUUUGACAUAUUUAGACCUUUCACAAAACCAAAUUCAAGGGGAAAUACCUAAUUGGGUUUGGAUGAUCAGCAGUAGCUUCCUUAUGCUUUUGAAUCUCUCACAAUUUGCUGGUGGGUCUGCAACAACUUUUCUCCAAUUUUGCUCCUUAUCUCUGUCUACACUUGACCUACAUUCCAACCUGCUCCAUGGACGAAUCCCCACCCCACCCCAAUUUUCCAACUAUGUGGAUUACUCAAACAACAACUUCUUCUCUUCCAUCCCAGAUGAUAUUGGUACUUACAUGUCCUUCACUGUUUUCUUCUCUGUUUCAAAGAAUAAAAUCUCGGGAAUCAUGCCUGCAUCCAUCUGCAGUGCAACUUACCUCCAAGUUCUUGACUUUUCUAACAAUGCUUUGAGUGGUGGAAUACCUUCAUGUUUGAUUGAGAAUGAGGCUCUUGCGGUUCUGAAUCUACGGAGAAACAUGUUUAGCGACACUUUAUCUGGGAAUUUUCCUGGAAACUGUAAUUUACAGACUCUAGAUCUCAAUGGCAAUCUUUUAGAAGGGACAAUUCCAGAAUCCGUAGCCAAUUGCAAAGAGCUAGAGGUUUUAAACCUUGGAAAUAAUCACAUAGAUGACAACUUCCCUUGCUGGUUGAAGAACAUGAGAAGUUUGCGUGUGCUUGUUCUGUGAGCCAACAGAUUCCAUGGACCCAUUGGAUGUCCAAAUAGCAAUUCCACCUGGGCAAAGCUUCAGAUUGUAGACCUAUCUUACAACAAUUUUAGUGGGAAAUUCCCGGCAAAAGGCUUUUUGACCUGGAAAGCAAUGAUGGCUAGUGAAGAUGGAGUCCAAUCAAAGCUAAAUCACAUGCAAUUUAAGGUCCUAGAAAUGAGUGAAUUGUAUUAUCAGGAUGCUGUAAGUCACCAGCAAAGGUCAAGAAAUGGAGCUUGUGAAGGUCCUGACUCUCUUCACUUCCAUCGACUUCUCCUUCAACAACUUUGAAGGCCAGAUACCAGAAGAGAUGGGAAACUUCACAUCACUAUAUGUCCUCAACUUAUCCGGUAAUGGUUUCACAGGCCAAAUCCCAUCAUCAAUAGGGCAGCUGAGACAGCUCGAGUCAUUAGACCUCUCACGCAACCACCUGAGAGGGAAGAUCCCCAGAGAGUUUGUGAGCCUAACUUUCCUUUCAGUCCUGGACCUCUCCUUCAAUCAGUUAGUGGGGGCAAUCCCAAGCGAUAAUCAAUUUCAAACAUUUUCAGAAGCUACUUUCCAAGGGAACAAAGGAUUGUGUGGCAACCUUUGAGUGUAAAUUGCGAAGAGGAAACACCAUCACCGACGUUUGAUGACAGGCACUCAGCUUCCCGAAUGGAGAUUAAGUGGGAAUACAUAGCUCCUGAAAUAGGAUUUGUGACAGGGUUGGGAAUCGUGAUUUGGCCUCUAGUGUUGUGCAGGAGAUGGGAGGAAAAGCUACUACAAACAUGUUGAUAGAAUUCUUUCAAGGAUUCUCCAUAACCAAGACCAAAGAAGAGCGAGUGAUGGAAGAAGAGCUCACAGGGAGGCGGAGAAUGUAGCAGUGGUGCAGAGGGAUGUAGUUGCUAGUCAUAGUCUAUUUCCAUUAAUGAAAAAAUUGUAUAUUUAGGUUUGAUUUCUAUAAAUUUCUGGUGAAUGCAUAACUUUAUAUUUGGACGGUAUAAUGGUGAAGAUUUUUGAGGAUCAUAAGAAUUUGAUUUUCCGAAUAACUUUACUCCCAGCUUUUAUUAAACAUAUAUUUUUUUAAUUUAUUAAAGAAUUUAAAUUCUGAAACCACCCCAUCAAAAGCUUUUCUACAAAAGUAUCAAAUCUUAAAUUCGGGGGAAAAAAAAAACAAAAAAUAACCUUGAAAGUUCUUUGGCUUCAUAAUAUUUUAGUCAUAAAAUCCUUUUCAAUCAUUGUAUAAAACUCUAUUUUUUUUUUUCAAAAAAAAAAAAUCAAAGCUAUGGAAAAGUUUGAACAUGAGAUCCAACUAUAUAUAUAUAUAUAUAUAUAAAUAAUAUUUAAUAAAAAAAUCUGUUCUACCCAUGUGCAGACAAGCUUCUUAUUCAAAGCCAAAACUAUAGUCUAUAACGUUGUUAAACGUGCCCAAAAUAAAAUUCUAAUUUUGGGCUGGAUGUGGGCUUGAGUUGGGUCAAACUUGGUUGGCUGGAUUUGGGUCAUUCAAAAAAUAUGGGCCUGAUUGGUACAUCAUAUGACCAACUGAGGUAGCUAGGCCCAUAUUCAGCCCAAUUAACACAUCUGAAGCCAUAAGGGAUUCAAGAUUCAAAAACACGUAAUUACCAGACUAGGUUGUAAUUUUGAGUCGCUACAGAUAAAAGAUCUUCCUAUGUUAUACUAUCCAAUUUUCAAGAAUAAACAAUUUGAUAGCUUAGAUAUUGUUAUUCGUGAUAUUGAUAUGAUUUAAUAUCAUCGAGAUGUAAUUCAUACCAUUGAAUUUACAUUAUAGUUGAAAGAUUUAUCAUCUUUAUGAGAUUAAAUCUCGAGUUAUUACCAAAAAUAAAAAUAAAAAUGAUAUUAUGGAAGUAAAUACUCUCGCAUUUGUUGCUAUUGCAAUCUCCAUUCUAGGUCCUAAUAUUUUACUUAUCAAUUAUGUAAAAUCAAUUAGCCAAAACAACUAAUUUGAAUGAAAUUGAACUUCUUAGUUCUUAUCAUUAAUUAAAGAAAUAAAAUGAAUAUCAAUAAUUGAAUAAAUAAAAUGAAAAGGGUUCCAAUUUAGUGUCUUAAAUGAAAUGUAAUAUAUUUAGGUAUUUUUAUUUCAUACCGAACUUUUGACAUAUGAGUUUGACUACUAAUCCAAGAAAAAAGGAUAUUUAAAAAAAAAAUCAAACAACAAUCCUGCCACUCUUACCAAGGUAAUGAAUAAUCCUUUUUAAGGGGUCCAUAAAAAAAGAACAAACUCUAAAAUAGUGAAUUAGUUUUAUGGAAUAUUAUAUUUUUAUAUUAUGACUUGGUUUUAUCACUUUGCUUUGUCUUUCAAUAAAAUUAGAUCAUUAAAAAAAUAGAAUUUAGAACUGAAACCCUAUUUCCUUUUUCCAUUUCACUUCUAUUAUUUUUUUGGGUUUAUAAUAAAUGGAUAAUACUUAACUUAAGGGGAAGAAAGUCUAACAUUACAAGUGGCUGCUAUAAAAAAUUCUAUAGAAUUUAUCAUUUAUCAUUUUUAAUUUUAAUAAUAUAUAAAUGAUAUAUUUAUGAUAUUAUUAGUUUGACCAUAGUAGUUUGAUCAUUGCAUCGUGAACUAAUAACUUUUCCAAUUCGAGGAUUGAUCAAAUUUUGAAUACAUGGAGCAUGACAAAUGGAAAAGCAAAUUAAUUUUUUUUUAAAAAAAACAAAAAACAAAAACAUGAUUUCUACAUCAAAAUCUUUAUAAUCGCUCAUUAUGGAUGGAUUUACAUGCUCCUUCUAAGAUAUCUAAUCUUGGUGGAAAGUAUUAUGCAUUUGUUAUUAUGAAUGACUUAGGUACAUAUGAGUUCUAUUUUUAAGUCACAAAAAUGAACAUUUUAUUUUUAUUUUUUCAAAAUUUUGUAAAAAGGUUAAAAAUGAAAAAUGUUUCACAAUCACAUACAUGAGAAAGUAAUCGCAAGGGAGAAAUUGAAAAUUUUGAUUUUGCAACCUUUCGUAGUGAUCAUGUAUUGAACAUAAUUUUUUAGCUCUUAAAAUACCUCAACAAAGAGUUGUUAAAGAGAGAAGUAGAACUUUAUAAGAAAUGACAAAAACUUAGCUUAAUGAAAAUAAUCCGCAAAAUUAUUUUGGGUGAAAGCAACUAAUAUUACUUGUUAUAUUUUAAAUAAAAUUUUAAUGUAAUCCAUUUUGAUUUCUAUGAGUUUUGAAAAAAUAAAAAAUUCAAUAUUAAUUAUUUUAAAAUUUUUUGGUGCAAAUGUUUUAUCUUAAACUAAAAAGAUAAGGGAUUCAAAAUUAGAUAUUAGGAUUUUCCUUGGUUAUUCUUGUGUAAGUAAAAGUUGUAUAGUUCUCAACAAAAAGACCUUUAAAGUAGAAAGUUUAUGCAUGUUGUAUUUGAUGAAUAUAUAAUCCUUUCUCUCAAGAUAGCAUCAAGCUUAAUGAUGAGAUAAGUCAUUAAGAAAGGCUAAGCAAACUCAACUUGGAUAAAACUCAACCUUGACAUGAAGUAGAAAAUCUAAAGCCUAUAAAAAGGAGCAACUUUCACUUGUGUUUCCACCAUAAGAAGGGACAAGUACUCUAGAGAUCUUCCAAAAGAGUGAAAGUUUGUCAUCCAUCAUCCUCAAGAAUGAAUUAUAGGUAAUCCAUUUAGAACGAAAAAAACUAAAUCAUCUCUUAAAAAUAUUUGCAACAUUCUUGUUUCCUUGUCUCAAAUUGAACAAAAGAAAAAAAAAAAUUCAUGAGAUUGAAAAUGAUGAAAUUGGAUAAAUGUUAUGCUAGAAGAGCUAAAUAAAUUUAAAAGGAAUGAACGACAAGAACUAGCUUAUGGACCUUCUAAUCAAUCUAUAAUAGGCACAAAUGGGCAUUUAUAAAUAAAAUAAAUGAAGAUGUUGUAAGGGUAAGAAACAAGGGUAGGUUAGUAAUUGGAGGUUUUCAUCAAGAAAAAGGUAUAAAUUAUGAGAACACGUCUACUUUCUUUCUAGAUUAAAGGCUAUUAUGAACAUGUUGAUUGCAUUUACAUGUUAUAAAAAAAUUAUUUGAUAUUAAAUGGAUGCCAAAUGUGCAUUUUCAAAUGGUUAAAUAAUAGGAGUGUAUGUAUGGCAAUCUCUUGGUUUUACAAAUUAGCUAGCAACAAUUUAUUCAUCUUUUGUUAUAUAUGUGGAUAAUGCAACUAAAUUUUACCUUUUGUUAAACCAAGAAACUAGUGAGGUCCCAAGGAGUGUUUCACUAGUGUGUUUCUUAUAUAUAUAAUUAAGUCAAAGUUAGUACUCUUACAAUGUCUUAAACCAAAAUAAAUAAUUAUUCUUUUUGAAUAUCUAAAAAGUCUAUUUAUAACAUUAGAAUGAGAUUUCUUAGGACAUGAUUAAAAUCUUGUACACAAGCAUACACAAAGCAUGAUAUCUGACUUAUUAAUGGUAAGGUAGUACAUUGAACCAAUCAUGUCACUAUAAGAGAGUAUGGUUAUCUAAAAAUUCUAUAUAUGACAUCAGAAUGAGAUUUCUUAGGACAUGAAUAAAAUCUUGCAUGUAAGCAAAUGCUAAGCAUGAUAUCCAACUUAUUAAUGGUAAGUAGUACAAUGAAUCAAUCAUGUUACUAUAAAAGAGUAUGGUUAAUAGAUUGUCCUUGUUCAUCUUUGUUAAGCUUGAUAAAUAAACUCAUUAAAGUUUCCAUAGUCUUUAUAUCUUCCAUCUUGGACUUUUUAAGAUCUUUAAUAUAUUUUAUUUUAUUAAUAAUGUAUUUUUUUGAUAGCUCAACUUGUAGAUCAAGAAAGUAAUUGAGCUCUUUUAUCAUAUACUCAUUUCAAAUUCAUUUUGUAUACACUUAUAGAAUCCUUGACGAAGAGAGAUGUUAGAAGCACUAAAUAUUAUGUUAUUAACAUGAAUUUGAACUAUGAGCAAAUCAUUACCUUUGGUGCUGAUAAAAAAUUUAAUGUUUAUUUUGCCCAUUUUAAAACUAUUAUCAAGUAGAAAUUUGUCCUAUAUUUUAUACCAUGCCUUAAAUUUAUAAACAUGUCUAUUUCAAAAAUAAAAAUAAAAAACUUAAAUACAUUAUCCAUACUUUCAUAUUAAACUUUUUUUAAAAAAUAAAAAUAAAUUACCUAAAUAAGUUCAAGAGAAUUCACCUUCUUAAAAAUAUGUUAAAAAAACAAAAAAAAAACAAAACUUAAAUAUAGAGGAAUAAUAGAUGGGAAAUUAUGACAUAUAAUUCUCAUUGAUGAUGAUGGAUAUUUAUAUACAAAUACAGUUGAGUUAUAUUAUAAUUGAAACUUUAUCUUCUAUUAUAAUUCAAACUAAUGGUAAACUUCUACUCUAAUUCAAAUUGUAUAUUCUACUCUAAUUCAAACUAAUAUAUAAUAAAUAGAUAAAUACUAAUAUUUAAAUUACAAAUAACAUUAACUUUCUUUGAUAUGCCCUUGCAAGAUGUAGCAUUGAUUGGAGAUUCAAAUCUUGGUCUUGAGAGAAAUAAAUAAAUAAAUAGACUGCGAUGUAUUCAAAUUUUUUUGGGGAGGGUGGUUUCCCCGAGUCUAGGCGAUGAGUGGAUUCAACUUCGUGGCUAAAAGAUUAGGCAAAAGUAGUGGGAUCUUCCUAAGUCGAAUUUCUAAAAUCUUUGAGGAACUUAUAGAAAAAAAAAAUGUUUGUUAAAGGAAGAGUAGGAUUAAGAGCUUUAUUUGGCAUUAAACUAGAUAAUGUUUUAGAAGUUAAUGCAAUAAAUGACAUAGGAGUUAAAAGGGAAGGAAUAGUAUAAGGCAAAUCUCAAGUAGAGGUAGAGGAACAUGACCAUGUUUGUUUUUCGAAGACAUGCUAGAAAACAAUCAAAUAUUUGAGGAAGCUUUUAGAGAAAGAGAGAGAGGCAAAGUUGAAGAUAAUAAAUAAGUAUAUGUUUAAUUAAGGGAACCAAUAUUGGUAGGAAGCAAAGAAGAAGAAAAUUGUGGAAGGUUUGAAACAAGAAAAUUUGAAGCUCUUGAUGUCAAGAGGUAUUGAAAUCAAGAUACUGCAUUAGAGAUUGUAGGGAAAGAGACAUUGAAACCAAGAUAUUACAUAGGAGUCUAUAAGGAAUGAGGCAUUGACAAUAAAUAGACAUAGUAAGGUCUCUAACAUUUGUGGUAGGGGUUGAGGAAGGUGAUGUAGGGCCUAAGCCUACACCCUAAAUUUACUCCAAGUUGAGACUAGGGUUUAGGAUUCAAAGGCUUUGAUACCAUAUAGAGGAAUAUUUUUAUAGAAAUACAUUUGAGUUCUACUAUAAUUCAAACUAAUAGUAGACUUCUCAUCUAAUUCAAAUUCUAUAUUCUACUCUAAUUCAAACUAAUAUAUAAUAAAUAGAUAAAUACUAAUAUUUAAAUUAAGAAUAACAUUAACUUUCUUUUAUAUUAAAUACAUUAUCCAUGUAACUCAAAAAGAAAAAAGAAAAAGAAAUCUUAAAUGCAUUAUCCAUGCUUUCAUAUUAAUUUUUUUUAAUGAAAUUAACAAAAUAAUUUCAAUAGUAUUUGCCUUCUAAGGAACCAAAAAAUAAAAAAUUUGUUCAUGCUUUUAGAUUUAUAUAGCGGAAAAUACUCUUAUCAAUAUAUUGACUUGCAAGAUUCUUUUGAUUCAACUUGAAGAAUAAGGUAGCCUUACUGCAAAGCUAACCUAUGAAUUAUAUUUUGACCCACAAUUUUAUAGCCCCUUCUAUAUCUUUUUCUCAAAUUUCAACAAACCAAAAAAUUGUUUCAUUGAAAGAGCAAUGUCUGUUUUUUUUUUAAUAUGGUUAAUUUGAAUGUAUAGAAAAUAAAAAUUUUUAAACUAAAUUCUUUAUAUAACCACAUAUAAAUAAUUUUCAAUUAUUUCAUCAAAUUUAAUCAAUUUGCAUGUUAUAUACAUAAAAAUAAUCAUGAUAUUCCUAUCAAUAAAUUUUUUAAAUCUCUUUCAUGUAGUAAUUGAGUUCAAGUUAAGUAUAACAUGAAAACAAAAGUACAAAAUUUUUGAAAAUGUAUUAAAAAAACAUAAAAAUGAUAGCCAUAGAAUAGUAUUUAUAUAUUAAAUAUAUUUUAAUGUGUUUUCAUGUAUUGGAAUUCAAUGAAAUACAAAUUUUAUUUCCACAUUAAUAUUUAUUAUUAAUUUUUGAAGUCUUGUUUGUUAUUGAUAGACAUUUUAUUUUGAACUAAUGACACACAAUUUACUAUAGAUAUAUUAUUUUUGUAAAAAAAUAAUUUAAUAUGUGCAUUAUUAAUUGUUUUAUUAUUUUCAUAAUUUCAUUUAAAGUUUAUAUUGUCAAAUUUCAAGAUUUUUUAAUCAAAGUUUUCAUUGUUAUUAAUAUUUUCAUUGAUGUAAACUACCAACAUUUUCAUGGAUAUUAAUUUUUUUUAUUAUGUAGGUUGUAUCAUAUGGUGUAUCACUCAUUUAUGUCUUAAAUAUAAUUUUCAAAAUUUAUUCAUUUAUCCUAAUUUGAAACUUUAUUAUUAUUAUUGUUGUUAUUAUUAUUCUAAUAAUAUUUUGCUUUUAUUUAUCCAUAACAAAAUAAAAAAUAAUUUAAUACAAAUUUGAUUUUUUUUUUCAAAUUUUUCUCACAUUCUUUUAUAAAAAAUUAAGAAGAAAAUCUUUAACCACUUUUUUUUUCUUUUUUUAAAAUUUUUUAUUUAUCAAGAACUAUCUUUCUUCAUAAGUAUUUUUUUUUUCCUUUUUCUUAAUAAUUUCCAAAAGUUUUUUGAGCCAUUAAGACUAUGUUUGAUUCCUAAAAUAUUUGAGGGAAAAUGCAAGAGAGCUAAAAAAAAAAAAAGUGGAAAAGUAGAAGGAAAUAAAAAAUGAAGAAAAAUAAAAAAUAGAUUUGAAGUUAAUAAAUUGUUUUUAUAUACAACUUCAAACUCAUUUUAUUGAUUUUAACUCUUUCAUAUGAAGAUUAAAUAAUUUGAAAUUGUAUCAUUUUCUAACUAGUUUUAAUAUAUAUUUGAUUUUCUUUAGUAUUUUUCACAUGACAAUCAAAUAUGAUAAAAUCAAUUUUUUUUAAUAUUUUUUUCUUUCAUUAUUGCUUUCCGGGAAUCAAACAUAAUCUAAAUUUCUUGUUCUUUUUUCCACAAUAGAUCAACCAAGAGAAUAGAUAAGGGUCGUUGAACUUGACUUGAUGUAGAGAACCUUGAAUUUCUCUCUUUUCUUCCUCCAAUUACCUUGCCAAUUCAAAACGCCUUUAGUAGCAAGACUUUGAGGUCUACAACUAUGUACAAGUCAUGCACUCAAUUAUGCCAAAAACAUCACAUUCACAAGUCUUUUUCUUUCACUCUCCCAACUAACUUAAAUACUUCCUAUUAGAGAAACUACUAUAUAAAUAGUUAUAAAAUGUAUACUUAUUUAUAUUUAUUCAUGAUAAUAGGUAACAAUUAUAAUUAAAACAUGGAUUUUUGAGAUGAUAGCUACAAUAAAUUGAAACCUCAUCCAAUUAUUUUAGGAGAGGCAAAAUAAUGUUUGAUUGACAUAUAAACUAAACUGAGUAAAUUACAAGAAAAAUGUUAUGCUUGUUAAAGAAUUUGAGCAUUGACUAGUGUGUUGUUUGUGAUUCGUCCCUAGCAGCGGCAGUGGCAAUGGCACCAUUUGAUUCGAGGUUCAAUCCCCGGCAACGGCACCAUUUGGUUCGUGCCCAAUUGGUGUCUCAACUGAUUCGUGUCCAGCUGGUGCUCCUUGAUUGAGGGAGUAAUCAACAAAAUUUAUAACCUAUUAUACCAUGAACUAGGGUAGCAAAGACAAAGCUACUAUAGCAUAGUGGCUCUAGGAUCGUUCACUGGGAUGGGUUUUCACUUUGUAAAUGAUAUUAAUUCAAAGCUGAAUUGGUGCCUUUUCAUUUCAAGGUUAGCUUUAAAAGAAAACAUAAAGAUGUUUAAAUGAAAAAGGUUUGAUUUUAAACUAACAAAGAAUAGUAACUGAUUUUACUUACAAAGAAAAGUGUUUCUUGGAGUUCGGAUCACUAGGCUCAGAUUCCUCAUACAAAAAGGGAGUUCCGGUCACUUGUUUCUUUCCCUCGCAUUAGAGAAUUAACAUAUAGUUCCUUCUCCAACCGGUGUUGUACAGAUGCUUCCCAUUAAUGGGUUCAAACACUAAAUCCCUCUCACUGAUGCACCUUGCAAUGACUCAUACCUCUCACCUAGCACUUGCCAUUCAAGAUGAUCUUUAAUCUUGGACUUCCCUUCAAAAGCUCGCAAGAGAUAACUAAUGGAUGUCUCCUUGGAGUCCAAAAGCUUACCAAGUGUUGGCUAUUCUAGAAAAUCCUACCUUCAAGUCACCUCCCAAAGGCUCGCAAGGGGUAAACUAGUGCAUCUCCAUGGACGGAGAUCACUUGCCUUACCAAGUGUUGGCCCAAGUGAUUUAAAGGCGUUUUAAGUUAACUAAAAAGAUAAAAACCAUUAACGGGUCACACUUUCUCUUCAUUAAAAACUAAAACAACAAAACUUCCAAUUUAUGCAUGUGGAAACUUACCCGACUUUCCUUACUCCAAGAGACAAAGAGCCUAGCCUCUCAUCUUCUGAGGAAAAAUCCUCAGAGUUUGAUUAGCUAGAAAGAAAACUAAAGAGAAAACAAGAAUAUAUAAGAAAAACAGAGCAAGUGCUUUGUUCGUUGAUUCUAUAUAUGAUAUAUCUAUAUAUUGAUCGAUUACAUCCUUUUUCUUACAGUGGAUGCAAGGGAAUAUAUAUAGAGACGUUUUUCCAACCUUCCUAACUAAGAAAUCUUAUGGUUGGUGGAUUACAAGGAGAAGAAUGGAAAUUCAUACAAAAAUAUCUGAAGAAAAAUAUCCCAAAGUGUCGGUCGCAAAUAUCGGGAAGCACUAAGGACCAUUUCGCAAGUGAAAACGAGGUCUGCGAGAUUUCGCAGACAUCCAAAAAGGGCUGCGAAAUCACUUCGCAGCAAAAGGUUAUUCUCGUAGGGCUGCGAAGUUGGCUUUCAUCUUGAGGUGCUCAGCUUCCAACUUGCGGCUUAUAUCGGGCAACUUCAGGAGGAAUUUCACAGCACUGUACAAAAAGGCUGCGAAAUCAUUUCGCAAGAAAAGGGUGAUUCCGCAACACUUUGCAAAAUGCUUUCUUCAGCUUAGAGUGAUUGACUUGCAGUGGCUGUAACUUCUUCGUUUCAAAUCCAAAUUGAACCCGUUUGAAGCAUUGGAUUCUUGACUUCCUGAGCUUUGAAAUGGUAUAUAGUAUGUAGAAAAUGGACUUCGGGAAGUGCUCCAAAAGUGGCUGACAUGACUGUCAUCAAGAAUGCUUCAUGGCAGAUUUCUCUUUACUUUCCCUCCUUGCAUUCCGGAUUUGCUUAUGGCAAAGGACUUCAAAGCUUUGGUUCUUCAUGAAUUUGAGCUUCUAAAAGCUUUGCCAUAACUUGUUCAAGUAGCUCCUCCAUCAUUUGGCAUGCUUGAAUUGAUUCAUAAGCUGAUAAAAACAUGUAAACUUGCCACAAAAUGGUUAAAACCAAUUACUAAGGACCUUAAUGAAUUAAUUGGGUUAAAUGAAUAUGAUUACUACUCAAAUUAAGGUGCUUAAAACCAUUAUAAUUAGGUCUACAAAAUAGCACUUUUUGGUAGUAAUCAGUUUGGGCUAGAGAAAAGGUGGCAAAGAAAAAAAAAUAUGGAAGGGAGACUUCCAUUUUCACAUUGGUGGGAAUAUUGAGUUGAAUCUAAUUUCUCAAGUGACAAUGAUUUAUCCCAUUGAAUUCAAAUUAAUAAAUUUUAUCAUUAUAGAUAUUUUGAUAUUUUUAGUAAUGGAAUGAAAUAAUGUGGAUAUUGGAUUCAUUUAGUAUCACUUUCUAAAGUUAAUUCAAUAUGUAUGCGUGCAAAACUCUAUAAAAUUGAAUUUAUUAUUUAUGUUGUAUGCCACAAAAUUUGUAUAGACUCCAUUUUUUAUUUAUUAAAAUGAUAUAAAAGUUAUAGUAAACAUGUUUUUUUUUAUAAAAAAAAAAAGAAGAAGAAAAGUACGUACAAAAAAAAUUCUCAUAAAAUCUUGAAAAACUAAUAAAUUGUUAUGUGACUUGAAAUGACAUGAAUAGGGGUUUGAGUUUAUGUCUUGAUAUAUGAAACUAUCUUAAAAGGGGCAAAUAGGUAAUCUAAGCUUGUAGUUCCUAAUUUUAAAAUUAAUUUAAUUUGUGGAAAUCAAUAGCAUUCAAUCACAAGACAAUUACAAGUGUAGCAAUUCUAAAGUUAUAUUCCAAAAUCAAAGAUAUUACCUCAUACUUGAAAUCUUCAAUUUAUCAACCUUCAUUACUUCAAUAAGUUAAUCCAAGUUCACUCAAACUAAAUAUUUAUAAUUAAUGUAUUAAAGCCUAAAUACAUGGUAACCCAUAUGAAGAAAAACUAAAGAUGAGAUCACCAUGACUUGUAGUAUCUGGGUUGUCAUCCCUAGGAUCCAUNNNNNNNNNNNNNNNNNNNNNNNNNNNNNNNNNNNNNNNNNNNNNNNNNNNNNNNNNNNNNNNNNNNNNNNNNNNNNNNNNNNNNNNNNNNNNNNNNNNNUCAUCCCUAGGAUCCAUAUGCUAGACUNUCAACAAAAAGCAAAUCGUCUAUCUACAUUGAAAAGGUCUAAAAGCAAAGUUUUUUUUAUGAAACUAAUUUUUUAUCACAUUGCUAUGGUGAAAAUAAUAAAAUCUAUAGUAAAAACUUUUGAAGAGUUCAAAAAUCUAAUUUUAGAUUCAUAGAUAGAGAUAGUAACUUUUAACCCUAAGACAAAGAUCAAAGUUCACCAGGAUUGAAUUAGAUCUUAAGAUCAAUCUACAUCUAGCAUUGAUAUUUAAAUUUAAGGCACUAUUCUCUUAAACAAAUUUAACAUGUCAUUAUUUCAAUUUUGAGUUUAUAUGCUUUCAUUACUGACAUCCAUCAUGUAUGUUUGAUUGCUAGAGUUUCUCUCAGUGGAUCAAAUCAAGUUGAGUAGUGAUCAAUGUAUCCCUAAACAUCACUAGCAUCAUAGUAAGAAUCCCUUAUACUUAACCUAUGCCAAAGCACGUAGAGGAUUAUUCUAAUUAAUUUAAACACAAAAUAUUUAUAAACAAACCAAAUGAAAUUUAACGUUCUAUUGCACAUCAUUCCUAUGAAUCAUCUAUCUUUAUGUUACUAUUAGAAAAACAACCCCUAGAUCUAGAUUAAAGAGUGCAUGCAACUAAAAUCCCAAGUGUAGUGGAAGAUGCCUAAUUUUUCAAAAACUUAUUUUAAGGUGUUCUUAAUAAACAUACUGUAGACCCUCCAUUUUGUCAUCAUAGCACAUAUCCUAUUACGUGUUCGUUUGGUACUUUACAAUAAUUCCUUGGUGGCCCAUUAGACACCACUUUGAAGACUUUGGUUGAGGGACUCAUCUGACCCCAUUGUGAUUCUAGGCCACCUUAGGCCCACUUAACCACUUUAGGCCCACUUAGACACCCUAGGCUCAUUUAGAUGCAUUCAGCCCAUUAGGAACAGCCUUAGGCCCACUUAGGCACCCUAGGCCCAUUUACUAUACUUGGCCCAUUAGGCACCACCUUAGGCCCACUUAGGCAUCCUAGGCCCAUUUAGAUACACUUGCCCCAUUAGGCACCGCCUUAGAUCCACUUAAGCACCCUAGGCCCAUUUAGACGCACUUGGCCCAUUAGGCACCCCUUUAGGCCCACUUAGGCACCCUAGGCCCAUUUAGACGCAUUUGGCCCAUUAGGCACCGCAUUAGUCCCACUUAGGCAUCCUAGGCCCAUUUAGAUACACUUGCCCCAUUAGGCACCGUCUUAGGCCCACUUAAGCACCCUAGGCCCAUUUAGAUGCACUUGGCCCAUUAGGCACCCCUUUAGGCCCACUUAGGCACCCUAGGCCCAUUAAGGCACCGCAUUAGUCCCACUUAGGCCCACUUAGGCAUCCUAGGCCCAUUUAGAUACACUUGCCCCAUUAGGCACUGCCUUAAGCCCACUUAGGCACCCUAGGCCCAUUUAGAUGCACUUGACCCAUUAGGCACCACUUUAGGCCCACUUAGGCACCCUAGGCCCAUUUAGAUGCACUCGGCCCAUUAAGCACCACCUUAGGCCCACUUAGGCACCCUAGGCCCAUUUAGAUACACUUGACCCAUUAGGCACCGCCUUAGGCCCACUUAGGUCACCUUUCAGGGAAUUUUUGCAUGUUUGCAUGGCUAGUAUGGAUUGCAUUUUUUGUAUGGCUUGCAUGACUUGCAUGACUCGUUUAUUAUAAAGUUGCAUGACUUGACUUUUUGUUAUUUUAUUUUUAUUUAUUUUAUUUACCGUCUUGUUUAUUUCUUCUUUUAUUUUAUUUUCCUAUUAUUUUGUCACUUUUUCGUAAUAUUUGUCCUUAUAUAUUUUAAUUUAAUAAGUUUGUUUAAAUGUUUUAUUAUUAUUAUUAUUGUUAUUAUUAUCAUUAUCAUUAUUAUUAUUAUUAUUAUUGUUCUUACUAUUAUUAUUACUUUUACUCAUUUUUUUUAUCAUGAUUAUUAUUAUUACUUUAUUUUAUCUAUUGCCUUUAAAAUUUUCCAAGGAAGUACACCAAUGGAAAGAUUUAAGAGAGUAGCAGUUGUUGGAAUUUUUAUGUGUGGGCUUAUAUAAUCAAUUUGAUAAUGUCAUAAAUUAGUGUUAAUUUAAUUUUUGCAUUGUGGUCCAUAAUAAGGCUGGAUACAUUGUUGUUUGAUUUUUUAUGGGCUCACCCUAAUUCACUUGACUGGCCCAUUAAGUCAAGUAGUCCAAAUAAUGUGUAAUAUAUAUAUAUAUAUAUAUAUAUAUAUAUAUAUGUGCAUUUGGAAGGGGUCUCAUUUCUUCUUCUUGGAGAGCACGCACUGCACGCACACACACACUUGGACUGAAUUUUAGGAGAAAAGGGAAAAGCUCAUUGAACCCUAAUUCUCGUACCAUCACGCACCUGGAGCAACUUCUUGGAUACCAGUGGAGGAAGAAAUGGCUUUUCAUGGCAUAAACCAAGGUAACCAGCUCAUUUUUUGUCGUUCAAUGCAUGCUUAAAUGUUAACAUGUGAUCCUAUGCUAUUUCAAUUCUCUUCAAUUGGUAUCAGAGCUAGCAUGGAUGACAUUUGAGCUACAAUUUUGGGUUUUUUUUUUUUUUUUUUGGUUUCUCGUUUUCUGGUUAUGGAAGCCAUUUUUUUUUGGGCUUCUUUUCGUUUGGUGUUUAUUCUUGGUUUUCAAGCCCGAUUAAGGUUGGAGACUUGUAUAGAAUAUUGUUUGGAUCAAAACCCAUCAUUUUUGUGGUUUUUGGAGCUCAUUUGAUGAGAUUUCGAAAAUCAGGGCUUAUUUUGGUUCUUCCUAUUAUGCGUUUUUUUGUGCAUUUUUGGGUUUAGAUUGAAGGAUUGAUAUUUGAGGAUGGAAAUCUAUGUGUUUUUGUCAAAAAAAAAUGCGCAAAAUUUUGGGCAAUUUUUUUUUUCUUUCUUCUCCAAAACUAGGGCAUGUUCAGUUGGAGAAAAAAAUGAACAGGCCCCUACUGAUGUCAUGAUGACGUCAUUAAAAAAAAAACAAAAUCUUUUUUGGUUGCCUUGGUAUUCUUGGAUUGAUUAUGCAUAUGUUAGAAUUAUUAUGCAUUUGUUAAAUUUGACUUUAUUGGAACAAUUAUUGUUAUUAUUGUUUUUUUUGGUAUAAUUUUUAUCUUUAUAUCUUAUACCAAUAAUGUUGUCCAAGGUCAUUUUUGCUAAAUAUUUAAAUUUAUUAUGGCAAUAAAUAACACUUGUGUGAUUGCCUAUCACAAUUCCAAGUGUGUCAAGUUGCGCAAAUCAAAUAUUUGAGUUUAUAAUGACAAUAGUGAACAUAUAUGUGGUUGCCUAUCGUGAUCCUAUAUGUGUCAAAUUGUCUUUGUUGAGAUAUUUUAACUCCCACUUUUAGUUUCUUUAUUAUUGUGAUUACUAAGAUCCAUAUGGGUAUUGUAAUUGUCCUAUCGAUGAUAAUAAUACUUAGUAGGAUGCUUAGAUUGGUGAAGGAAAUUAAUUGUAUAUUAUGAACCGUACUAAUUUUAUUUGCCCUUUCGGUAAUAAAAUUAGUACAUCUUGGUUGUGAUAUUUAAUUAAUUAUUCUUACUGCCGUGGAAUUUUAAAAAUUCCAAGCUAUUGCUAAAUUAAGAAAUUCUGGAAACUAGCAAAUGCAUGAUAUUGUAAUAACAUGCAUAUUGCUGAAUUUUGCUACUUUCUAGCUACUAGCAAUCCUGGUAUUACUCUUUAAUUGUCUGCCAUCAAACUUCUUACUGGAAAUAAUUUUGAAGAACGCUUUGAGUCUUUCAAUGUGCAUAUGACUCUACAUAAUCUUGACUUGACUUUGAGGGUUGAUGAGCCAAGUAGGCCCACUGAUGUGAGCUCUGUAGAUGAAAGAUCAUUUUAUGAAAGAUGGGAGCACUCCAAUAGGAGUUGUUUGAUGGUGAUGAAAUACACUAUGGAUAAAUCUAUCAAAGAAUGCGUGCUAAAGACGAAAAGGGCCAAAGACUUCUUGGAAUAUGUGAAGGCCAAUUAUACGAAAAUUGAUAAGGCAUAAAUGACAACUUAUUUGAAGCUUCUCACAACCACUGUGUAUGAUGGAGUAGGUGGGGUUAGAGAUCACAUCAUCAAGUUAAAGCACUACUUCAACAAGGCAAAUGAUAUGAAAGUGGAGUUGGGUGAAAAAUUCUUGAAAUGGUUGAUACUUGAGUCUUUUCCUGUUUCCUUUGAUGCAGUGAAGUUGACUUACAAUGCCUUGAAGGAAGAAUGGACUCUAGAGGAGUUGAUGUCCCAUUGUGGUGCAACAUGAAGUAUCACUGAAGAAAAAUGAGACUCACUCCCUUGCUCCUGUUAUUGAGCAAGUCAGUAAUAUGAAGAAAAAACCUUCACACAAGAAUUUUGGAGGCUUUAAGCAGUUCAAGAGGGAAGGGAAUUCAAAUCAAGGAACCUCUAAUGCAUCUGUUUCUUCUAAUACUGCAAAGAGUGAUUAAUUCAAGGGGAAGUGCAACUUUUGCCACAAGAUUGGCCACAAGCAGGCUGAUUGCUUCAAGUUUAAAAAUUGGCUAGAGAAGAAAAAGAAAUAUGAAAUUUCAGUUAUGGUUAAUUUGAAUGCAAACAUGAUUGAGACUGAUAUUGUUGAUGUUCAUACCAAUUCUUGGUGGUUAGAUACCGGUGCCACUAUUCAUGUCACUAAUUCUUUGCAGGAGAUGACAAACAAAAGGAGGUCAUCAAAGCAUGAAGAAAGUGUGUAUAUGGGUGAUGGAAGCAAAGUGAAAGUGGAAUUUUUUGACAUGAUAAAGCUAAGGUUGAUCACAUAAAGUUUUUUGUUGUUACACAAUGUGACUUUCAUACCCUCACUUCGAAGGAAUCUGAUUUCUUUAUCUAUUUUGGAUAGACAUGGUUAUUUUUUUCACUUUGGAGGUGGAAAAGUGGAUAUUUUUAGCAACUCAGUCUUAAUUGACAAUGAUGUUUUGUUUGGAAAUCUUUAUAGUCUCAGUUUUCAUCAUGGUUCUUUAUGUGAUUCAUCUUCUGUUAAUUAUGAUGUUGGCUGCAAGCAUGCUAUAAUGAAUUUGAGUUCUUCCAUGUUGUGGCACAAACGCCUGGGUCAUAUUUCUAGGCAAAGAUUAGAGAGAUUGGUUAAAGAUGGUGUGCUUUCUAAUCUUGAUUUCUCAGACUUCGAGACUUGUGUUGUUUGCUUAAAAGGGAAGAUGACAACAAAGACUAGAAAUGAGAAGAUUGAUAGGUGUGGAGGCACUUUAGAUUUGAUCCACACAGAUAUAUGUGGUCCUUUGACACCAAUUGCUUUAGGGGGUUAUAAAUAUUUCAUCACUUUUAUUGAUGAUUUCUCUAGAUAUGGUUAUGUUGAACUAAUCCAUGAGAAAUCUGACUCCCUAAAUGUGUUUAAAGCCUUUAAGUCUAAGGUGGAGUUGCAGUUGGGAAAGCCCAUUAAAGCUGUGAAGUUUGAUAGAAGUGGUGAGUAUUAUGGGAGAUAUGAUGAGACUGGACGGAAUCAUGAACCAUUCGCUAAGUUUUUGUUGGAAUGCGACAUUGAUGCUAGAUAUACAAUGCCAGGCACUCCUCAACAAAAUGGAGUUGCAGAAAGGAGGAAUCACACAUUAUUAGAUAUGGUGAGGUGCAUGUUGUCUAAUUCCUCAUUGCCAUAAUUUUUGUGGGGUGAAGCCUUAAAUAUUGCGGCAUAUAUUUUGAAUCAAGUGCCCAGUAAGUCUGUGCCUAAGACACCUUAUGAGCUAUGGUCAGGGAAGAACCCAAGUCUUCAUUAUUUCCAUGUUUGGGGAUGUAAGGCUGAGGUUAGGCCCUAUAACCCACAAUCAAAGAAACUUGAUCUAAAACCAUUAGUGGUUUCUUUGUUGGCUAUUACAUUGGAUCAAGGGGUUUCAGAUUUUAUUGUCCAUCUCAUACCACCAGGAUCAUUAAGUCAGAUAGGGUUGUAUACUUUGAGGAUGAAGUUAAUGCUGAUCCAAAUUUUAUGCCUCGUGAGAUACCUUUUGGAGAAGAGCAUGUUGUGAUUCCUUUUCCUACGUCUCAUGUUCCAAAUGUGGAUGUUCCUAUUGUCCAAUAGCCAGCCACUAAUCAAGGAGAGCAUGGUGAUCAAGUGGAACCUGACAUUCCUGUUGAUGAUAAUGUUGUUGAUGGGGUUCCUUUGAGAAGAUCAUAAAGGGUUCGUAGGCUGGCUAUUUCAAAUGAUUACAUGAUUUAUUUGCAGGAGCAUGAGUAUGAUGGUUAUGAUGCUUCUGAUCCAGUCACUUAUCAAGAAACAAUUCAUUGUCCUCAAUUCACUUCUUGGAAAAAAGUCAUGGAUGAUGAAAUGAACUCUAUGUAUAUGAAUGGUGUUUGGGAUUUGGUGGAAUUGCCACAUGGUUGUAAACUAGUUGGAUGCAGUGGGUAUUUAAGACCAAACGUGAUUCUAGCAGGCAAAUAGAGAGAUAUAAAGCUAGACUUAUGGUUAAAGGUUAUAGUCAAAGAGAAAGAAUUGAUUUCAAAGAAACCUUCUCACCUGUGUCGACCAAGGACUCUUUUAGAGUGAUUAUGGCCAUAGUACCUCAUUUUGAUUUGGAGGUACAUCAGAUGGAUGUCAAGACACCUUUCUUGAAUGGUGAUUUGGAUGAGGACGUGUAUAUGGAGCAACCUACUGGUUUUGCAGAAGUUGGAAAGAAAGAUUUAGUUUGCAAGCUUAAUAAGUCCAUUUAUGGUCUUAAACAGGCUUCGAGGCAGUGGUAUCUGAAGUUUGAUAGGAUUAUCACCCAAAAUAGUUUUAAAGAGAAUACUAUUGAUAGAUGCAUAUGUUUGAGGGUCAGUGGGAGUAGUUGCAUAUUUCUUGUUUUAUAUGUUGAUGAUAUACUACUCGCAUCAAAUGAUUCUGACUUGUUGAUUGAGACAAAGCACAUGUUGUCAACCCAUUUUGACAUGAAGGAUCUUGGUGAGGCUUCUUAUGUUUUGGGCAUAAAGAUUCUUUGUGAUAGGGCUAAUGGAGUGCUUAAAUUGUCUCAAAGAACCUAUAUUGAGAAGAUAUUGAAGAGGUUCAAUAUGCACAACUGUAGAUCUUCUAAAGUGCCAAUUGUGAAGGGUGAUAAGUUUUCAAAGGCUCAGUGUCCUCAAAAUGAUGAUGAGCGAGAGGAAAUGAGAACCAUUCCUUAUUCAUCUAUGGUUGGUAGCCUUAUGUAUGAUCAAGUAUGUACACGCCCUGAUAUUGCUUUUGUUAUGGGCAUGUUGGGAAGGUACUUGAGCAAUCCUGGGUGUCAACAUUGGAAAGCCGCUAAGAAGGUCCUUAGGUAUUUGCAAGGAACUAAGGACUUAAUGUUGACAUAUCGGCACACCAGUUUACUUGAUGUAGUUGGGUUUUGUGAUGCUGGUUUUGCUGGCUGCAUAGAUGAUAAGAAAUCCACUAUGAGCUAUAUUUUUAUGAUGGCAGGAGGAGAUGUAUCUUGGAAAAGUGUCAAGAAAACACUUACAACAUCCUCAACUAUGGAGGCGGAGUGUGUGGCAUGUUAUGAGGCUUGUUGUCAUGUUAUAUGGAUGCGGAAUUUUAUUUCAACUUUGGGAGUUGUUGACUCCAUUUCUAAACCGUUGAAAUUAUUUGUGAUAAUUUCACAGAUGUUGCUUUCUCUAAGAACACUCUAAGUAUUUCUUGUUCCAAACAAAUUGAUGUAAAGUUAUAUUUUGUUAAGGAGAAAGUGCCAAAGUUUCUUAUUGAUAUUGAACACAUGUUCAUAAAAAGUAUAUUGGCGGAUCCAUUAACAAAACGCUUACCCAUAAUUGUGUUUCAGGAACAUGUAUCUCAAAUGGGGUUGUUGGAAGCCUAGGUUGUAUUAAGUUAGUGGGAGCCACUUUUGGUAUUGUAAUAUUAUGCUAUUGUUGGAAGGAUUGCUAUUAUUGUAUAUUUCCCUAUGAAUCAAGUAAUGAAGCAUAUAUGAUUGCUUUUGAUUAUUUGUUUUUGAUGAGAUUCUAUGGGACAUUGAUUUAUGAUUAUGUAUAUGUUGUGAUGUUUGAUUAUGUAGUCCAAGUGGGAGAAUUGUUGGAAUUUUUAUGUGUGGACUUACAUAAUCAAUUUGAUAAUAUCAUAAAUCAAUGUUAAUUUAAUUUUUGCAUUGUGGUCCAUAAUGGGAUUUGACACAUUAUUGCUUGAUUUUUUAUGGGCUCACCCUAAUUCACUUUACUAGCCAUUAAGUCAAGUAGUCCAAAUAAUGUGUGUAAUGUGUAAUAUAUAUAUGAAUUUAUUUACAUAUAUAUAUAUAUAUAUAUAUAUAUAUAUAUAUAUAUAGAUAUAUGUGCAUUUGGAAGGGGUCUCCUUUCUUCUUCUUGGAGAGCACACACUGCACGCACACACACACUUGGACUAAAUUUUGGGAGAAAAAGGAAGAGCUCAUUGAACCCUAAUUCUCGUAUCAUCACGCACCUAGAGCAGCUUCUUGGAUACCAGUGGAGGAAGAAAUGGCUUUUCAUGGCAUAAACCAAGGUAACCAGCUCAUUUUUUGCCGUUCAAUGCAUACUUAAAUGUUAACAUGUGAUCCUAUGCUAUUUCAAUUCUCUUCGGCAGCUGCACCACCAUAGAGGAAUUUUAGAGAGGUUUUUUAUAAUUAUGAUUUUCGGUGGAGAAUAUGCAUGUGAAGACUUUUUCACAUGAUGGAUGCAUAGAUGGACUUUGCCAGUGGGGCUUCAUGAUAUAUGGAAAUUCUGGCACACCACGACUGCAUAUGGAAAUUAAAAAAAAAAAAAAAAAACACUACUGCAAAUGAGAAAAGGCAUUACGCAUCUUGAGAAGAGGUUUAGAUUCAUCCAUGGUGAGGUGUCAUUUCCAAGCUGGUGGAGUCAAUAGAACGUUUAUGGGAAGUAAGGUUGUGAUUUUUUAGAAAAUGGAGAAUCAGUCCGGUGAGCAUAGCGAGAUUCCCUUCUGAAAGAAAAAUUUCCAUAGUUGGUUUUGGCAAGUGAAAAGAGCAGGAUGCAGCGUGUAUGUAGACAGAGAGUGAGGUCGUGUUCAAGGAAAAGAGGGAGAUGCAGCCGCAUGAUUGAGAGGAAAGAAAAAUGAUUUUCGGCACGUGGAGGAGAAGAAUAACAGGCUGGUGGAGGAAUUAAUAUGACUUUUGGGGAAGAUACAGAGAACGUUUUGAAAGACAUGACACUAAUUUUGGGUGAGAUAUUCAUCGCUCUAUUCAAAAAGGAAGAGAGAAAGGUGCAGCCGCAGGAUUAAGGGGAAAAAAGAGAUCAGUCGAGCACCAUUCUGGAGGGUGAAAAGGUACAGUUGCACCAUUGGAAGGGAGAAAGAAACGACCGCACCAAAGAAAGAAGAGAAGGACACACUUUGAAAGAUUUGUGAAAGAAGAUAUUGAGAGAUGUUCUAGGGAGGACAAAGGCUGGUCUUGAGAGAUAUUUUGGCCCCAAGUUUGAUGAUAUUGAGAUCGUGAGAUUAUGAGGAAUUCAAGCCAUGUUUGGAACCUUGUUUUGGAAGAGACUCAGGUAGUUUUUAGAAGGGUUUUACUGUUUUAGGCUACAAUCUGGAAAGUUUUUGGCCAUAAUCUGGAGGUGCACUCCAGGUCGUGUUUGGGAGAGUAUUCAGGCCACUUUCUAAGGCAGUUCAAGACGCAUUUUAGGAAAGGAUAUCGUUGAAAGAUGAUGGAGAGGGGAGCAUGACGAUUAGGAGCGUGAGUGAGAUCGAUUGGGAGAGAAGAGAGAGUUGGGUCAUACCAUAAAAGGCUUCGAGAAGCACUACUGCAUCAGGGAGCCACACCAUCAAAGGGGAUAGAAAAGGAGAACCAACUUCACUACUCAAGGGUUGGCUUGGCUCGAUCAUUCACCGAUCACCAUAACAAGAAAACACCAGUAAGGCCGUAUUGAUCAUCAUCAAAUCGAAAAUUCCAGAUUUAUGUCCAUACUUUCAACAUCAAUUCCUUGCUGCAACCUACAGCUACAUGACCUCCACAGACUGCACCCACCGCCAGUCCAUUCACAAAGCAUAAACCCAUCGAUUCCGACAAGUAGAGAGGUGCAGUCACACCGUUGAGAUAAGGAAAGAGUGCAGUCGCACCAUUGAACUUCCGCGGGAGGCACGACUGUCCGAAGAGCAAGCACCAGUCAACAAGAAAUGAAGUAGCCGCACCAUUACAUGUGAGAGACGUAGCCGGCUAGGGUGAGCAAGGAACAGACGGUGGGUUGCAUAUUGGAUUCCAAAAGAAGUGUAGCUGCACCAUUGUGAGAGAGGAGUGUUUUUUGAUGAACUAAAGUUGGAUGAUGCAAGCCUCGGGAAUGAACUUUGUGAAGUAGAUGGAUGGCAGCUUUUCUGUUAAUGGGGAUGCAUCUGGGUUUUGUUAAUGGAGUGGGGAACACACGUGCUAGAUUAUUGAGAGGGUGGUCUUUGAAUAUAACAAGAGAAUACACGCUGUCAAGGGGAAUUUCUCUCCAUUAACGUGCAGUGCUUUGGGAACUAUGCAGUGCAUUGGCAGUCAUCACACCAUGCAUCCUUGGAAUUGAUUUUAAAAAUCCUACUUGCACUUUGGUGGAAGGUGGCCCAUACGUUUAUGAAAAGGUAAGUUAAUUCUUUUUAUUUUAGUCUUGAUUCAUGAAUAUCCAAUUCAAUUCAUAGUUGUUUUAUAAUUUUAGCUAUUUAGUUUAAUUAUUUCCAAUAUCAAUAUAUUCAUGCUAUCAAUUUAUUAAAUUUAGUUUUAAAUUAUUCCCAUUUAGCCUAUGUAUUUUAAAUUUUUUAUUUAUUUAUUUUUCUAGUUUAAUUAAUCUUAUGUGGUUAUAUUCAUGUUUUCAAGUUAUUAAAUUUAGUUUUGAUUGAUUAUGUUCAGCUUCAAAGUUUCGAGGUUUUUUUAGUUGUUAAUUUUGAAUAGCUAGGUCAGUGUGUGCAUUUCAUAAAAUCAUUUGCUAUUAACUUUAAGUAUCCCUAUUAAUUUAUACUGCUCCUUAAAUUAUUAGUUUUUAGUUUUGAUUGACUCAUAAAUUUGUGUUGUCCUUAAAAUUAUUAAAUUUUUUUUAUCGAUCUAUGUUGAUUUUCAUUUUUUCUCAGAAUCCUUAGUCGUUGAUUUUAAAGAUCCAUGUUAAUUUAUAUUCGUCUCUAAGCAAUAAUUAAUUCUUGAAGAUCUAUGCCUUUAUAUGUUGUUCUUUAAAUUAUUAUAUGUUGUUUUGGCGAUCUAAAUUUUGGUAUCCAUCUAAUUGUGUAACGACACGAUAUAUUUAAGAAUUCUUGAUUGAUUAUUUUUUGUUUUGAGUUUUGAUUUUUAUUGAGAACUUUAACUAAAUAAGUUAAUUAUUAUCGACUCGAUUCUAAGUUUCUGUUUUUAAUUUAUUGAGUUUAAAUUUAAAAAUUUAUUUAAUUGCAUGGAUUACCAUUGUAUGGAUUCCAAGUUUUGAUUUUUCUAGGUUACGUUUUUAGGAUUAUAGGUUAUUAUUCUUAUUAGACCAUUUGAUUAAAUCCAUGUUUUAAAUUUUUUUAGCUUUAGUAUUGAUUGACCCAUAAAUUUGAGUUGCCUUUAAAAUUAUUAAUUUUUAUCGAUCCAUGUUGAUUUUUAUUUUUCCCAGAAUCCUUAGUAGUUAAUUUUAAAAAUCCAUGUUAAUUUAUAUUCGUCUCUAAGCAAUAAGUUAUUGAUUUUUUAUGAUUUAUGCCAUUAUAUGUUGUUGUUUUGGUGAUCUCGAUGACGUUUAUUAUUUCUUUGAAACUAAGUUGAUAAUUUGUGAUAAUCUCGUAUUAUUAGUUUCAUUCUAAAACUCAUUUAUAAGCUAUUGAUUGAUUUAUCUUAAGUUUAAAUGCAUUUAAAGUUCCAACGGUUAGUUCUUGAUCGAUAUCUGGUGAUCUUGCUUAAGGCCAUUGGAAAAUCAUGAAGAUUGGCCUCUACUCUCACCUUUAUCAUUUUUGUUGAUUAUUAAAAAAGUUUACUUUGUGAUUUCGUUUUCUUUUGUUUUGCUUGAUAUUUUGUUUCCUACAUUCUGUUGUUUUUCAAAUUAAUUUCUUUUAUUUUAAAGUAAAAAUACUUUUUCUCAUAAGAUCCCUUUGAAAAUCUAUUUUAAAAAUUCAUUUAGAGUGUUUAGAAUUAAAAUCACAUUUUCUUUUCAAAUAAUAUGCAACCAUGUUUUGAUUGGUUCGCAUCUUUCUCGGUUUUCAAUAAAAAUUAUGGUUUCGAGUAAGACAUAAAUCCAAGCUAGUGGUCCUAAAUAAAUGGGAUAAUUCUAGGCUAGAUUUAUGUAUAUCAAUCGGGGAAUUGGUGAAACCCCUACAUAAAAUUAUUUUUUUAAAACUCAUCUUUGCUGCCACCUUUGCUAUUGAUUGCAAUCAUAUCUAUUUUUUUUAGAAAUUAUAUACAAGAUGUAUGUAAUAAUUGAUGAUUUCGUAUACUUUGAUCAUUUUUGCUAUGCUAAUUAGAUAACAAUCAUGCUAAGAUUUCUUUAUUUUAUUAUUUAUUAUCUAACCCCUCAUGUUUUGCGAAAGCACAUUACAAGUUAUCUAUACUAUCCAGGUACACCCCCUAUCACCUACCUUCUAAAUUACGUAAAUAUGAUUGUCAGUACGAACCACACCUAUGUUUGAUAGUGCUUAGGUGUCUUGAUAUAUAUGUUUCAUUGUUCGAUUAUUUAUGAUAAAACGCAUGUUGGAUGAUAUACUAUUUGAACUAAUUUUGAUGUCUUGUGAUAGCGCUUAAGAAGCAGCCUAGGUACACACCCUAAAUCUUCUUUAUGAUUGUCAUUGGUUUUCUUGUUUGGCAUGCUAUUUUUUGAAAUCACCUUGUUUACCUAAGCACCCUUAAUCAACCAAUUAAUUGUCGCAUUUCCCUCAACUUAGUCAAUAGAGACCUUUGUAAGGCUUAGAGGGGUGCUACAUUUUUAGAGGUACCUUCCCAAUAGGUAACCUAAUCCCUGGACCUAGACUCGGGUUUUUCAAAGACACGUUUUUCCAAAAAUUAUGGAGUCUCUUUUUCAGGGUUUUUUUUUCUUGGUCUAUUUUCCUUUUUAAAAUAAAAUAAAAUAAGUGGCGACUCCGACUUUUUCCAAAACUAAAAUUUUCACCAAUAGAAGCGAGUCUCGCUAAUCGAGUGGGGACGCAUGUGAAAAAUGCGGAUCCACACAUACCCUUGGAUUCGAAUGUUCCCAAAUCUUUUUCCCAAUUUGUAGUAGAAAUCUCAAAUUCAUUUUGAUCUUCUACUUGAUGACUCUCUCUUGGAUCUUGGCUAUAAAUAAGUGUGGAACUCUAUUUAGAGGAAGUGUUGUUUAUGAUUUUUCUCCAAACAAAAUAUAAGAUAGCAGUUAGUCUAACGCUAAACCCUAAGAGGGUUUAUACAACCUCUUAAUUGGGUUUAAGUGACUAAGGCUAAUCAUAUAGGCUUAAGUUGUUUAAUCUUAGCCUAGUGAGUUUUAUUUAAUAAAUUAUCCUAAAUGGCUUCAAUUAAUUAAAUAGAUUAAAAAGAAAACCCAUAAGUCAUUUAAUCAUAAGUCCUUGUACAACCUUUGCUAAUACAAAAGCAUCCUUAUGCAUACUCAUAAUUAAGUACUAAAAAACACUCUCAAUAAAUGCCACCAAAAAGUGUGAGCUUUAGUCGGACCACCAGAACCCAUUGGAAAGUAUGUACUAGCUCUCUUAGAAUCAAAUUCUAAAAUUGACUCAACAUUCCAUUAAAGAGAGUCAAUUGCACUCCAAUAUCUUAUGAUAUUAGAUUGAGAUAUAAAACUUGGGUCCAUGACUUACUAUCCACUAUAUGUAAGUUCCCCAUAAACUAAUGAUUGUAAUCCAAAAAAUGUAGUAGUUAUCAACCUUUAAAGAUCACCUUUCACUCCUUGAGUCUUAAAUCCUCCUAUACCAUGACAAUUAAACAUACUCUAGUCCACAAAGGAUAUAUGUCAAAUUUCAUUGAAGAAAUUGCUAUAGCCAUAUACACUACAUGAUCUGAAAUCCUUGGGAUCGUCCAAGGGGAUACAUUGUCUCAAAUCCAUGAGAUAUUAUAGUGUCUCUAUUGAUCAUAAUAUCUAUUGUUACUUGCCAAAACCGUCGGUCACCCAAUCCUUUGGGAAUAUAUGAUCACUUUAGGAUUUCACCCAUAGGUCAAAGUAAUUGAUGACCUCGACAUUAGCAUAAUAUUAUCUAAAGGUUGAGAACCCAUGCAAUUAAUAUUUGGUAGUUUGGAGAAGUUAUGACAACCCAAUAAUCAUUAGUCAUUGUUGGAAAUCAAGCCCACGUCGCCUUCCUGCCUGUGCAUGUUCCUCCCCAUAUUUAGCAUCCUCUGUUUACUUCCCUGAAUUAGUGUAAUGUACAGCUUUUAUUAUAAUUGAUUUAGGAGUAAUUCUAGCAAGGUAGUUUAUUCACUUUCCAUGUAAGGGAAAUUUCGUCCGGUGAUAGUGUACCAUUCCAGAAUUGUCUCAUAUCUGUAGGCUAUUUAUUUAUGCUUUCAUUCAUUGUAAAAAAAAAAAAAAGGUAUCACAGAAUAAAUUGAGUUUGUGUUCCUCCAUAGUUUGUCUUCAAAUUCUUCAUAUUUUAGUCUUCAAAUUCUUCAUGGUAUCAGAGCAGGUUUAAUCCUGUCUCAUCGUCUUCAUCUUUAGUUAGUAUUUUUUUUCUUACUCAAUUCAUUCUUCUAGUUUAUGCCUAAAUACGGUCCAACCUUUGGAAUGGCUACCAACUCAUCAUCCUCUACUUCUGAUAUCAUCAUCUCAUCGUCUUCAUCCUCUCAUCAGAUGGAAACCUCUCAUCUUCCAAUCACAGCCCAUAAACUGAAUGGGCAAAAUUAUUUGCAAUGGUCUCAGUCCAUAUUAAUGUUUAUACGGGGAAAGGAGAAAGAUGACUACAUCACCGGAGCUUCGGCGGCACCAGAAACCAUAGCAUCAACCUACAAAAAGUGGAUAGCAGAAAAUAAUAUGGUCAUGUCCUGGCUAGUCAACUCUAUGACCAUUGACAUUGGUGAAAAUUUUCUGUCAUUUGAUACUGCCAAAGAAAUCUGGGACAUUGCAAAAGAAACUUUCUCAGACAAGGAAAACACAUCUGAAAUCAUCCAGAUUGAAGGCAUCUUCCACGAUUUGCGUCAAGGAAACCUUACGGUAACUGAAUAUUUCAAUACUCUUACUCGUCUAUGGCGUCAACUUGAUACGUUUGAGGUUCAUAACUGGAAUUGUGUUACAGAUGGUUUGUUGUAUAAAAAGAUUGUCGAAGGGAAACGUGUGUUUAAAUUUUUGUUAGGCUUGAACAAAAAUCUUGAUGAAAUCAGAGGAAGAAUCAUGGGAGUAAAACCUCUACCUAGCCUCAGAGAGGCAUUCUCUGAAGUCCGUCGCGAAGAAAGUCGGAAAAAUCUCAUGAUGGGAUCCCAUCAACAACUGAAUAUGGCAGAAAGCUCGGCUCUUAAGACUCAAUUCGCUCCUUUUGACAACCGUAAAAAAAUUAAAGGAGGUAGACCUUGGUGUGAUCAUUGCAGAAAGCCGGGGCACUCAAGAGAAACUUGCUGGAAGAUUCAUGGAAAGCCAGUAGAUUGGAAGCCACAUCAACCACUUGAGAAAGAAGGACGAGGCAAUCAUGUGGCUACCGAUGAACAAUCGCCACAACCUGAAGCUAGCCCUUUUAAUAAGGAGCAAAUGGAGAUGCUUCAGAAACUACUGUCUCCUCUUUUGUCAGUACAGUCACAAACUGGCUCAUCUUCCAACCAAGUCAUUGGUUCCGGAACCUUGGCUCACAAAGGUAAUUUUUUGAGUGCCUUCACUGCUAGUAAGAAACGUAAAAAACCUUGGAUCGUGGACUCAGGAGCAUCUGAUCAUAUGACGGGAGAUGCGACAAUUUUUUAUACAUAUAGCUCAUUUCCAAAUAAUUUAACAGUCCGAAUAGCAGAUGGUUCACUAUCAAAGGUUGCCGGAACAGGUUCAGUUGUGUUAUCAAGGGAUCUUACUCUCAACUCUGUUCUCCUUGUUCCUAACUUGGACUGUAAUCUAUUGUCAAUUAGUAAACUCACUAAGGAAAAGAGGUGUAUUACUAAUUUUUCCUCCACUCCAUGUGAAUUUCAGGAUUUGGAUUCGGGGAAGACGAUUGGCAAUGUUGAGAAAUGCUCUGGACUCUACAUCCUUAAGGAGCACCACGAUCCACAAGAACAACCUCAAAUGAUAGUUGGUAGUAAUUCUAUUUCGGUUUCAUGUCAAAAUAACGAUAGUGCAAUUAGGUUGUGGCACUAUCGCUUAGGUCAUCCAAAUGUUAUGUAUCUCAAGCAUUUAUUUCCUUCAUUAUUUAAUAAAAAUCCAAAAUCCUUUGAGUGUGAAAUCUGUCAAUUAUCAAAACAAGUCCGGUCUCAUUUUCCCAUUCAACCCUAUAAAGAGUCUAGUCCAUUCUCAAUGAUUCAUAGCGAUAUCUAGGGUCCGUCAAGAAUAAAAAAUGUAACUGGUACUAGGUGGUUUGUCUCUUUCAUAGAUGAUCACACUAGAUUAACUUGGGUAUUCCUCAUGAAAGAAAAAUCUGAAACGAGUCAAAUUUUCAAAAAUUUUAAAAAUAUGAUUCAGACCCAAUUCCAGUCAAAAAUACAAAUUCUAAAGUCUGAUAAUGCUAGGGAUUAUUUCAACUCCAUUCUAGGAGAAUUUCUAGCAUAAGAAGGGAUAGUUCACUUAAGUUCAUGUGUUGAUACCCCACAACAAAACGGAAUCGCUGAAAGGAAAAAUAGGCAUUUGUUAGAGGUGGCUAGAUCACUAAUGUUCUCCAUGAAUGUUCCAAAAUUAUUCUGGGGGCAAGCUGUCCUUACGGCAGCCUACCUCAUCAAUAGGAUGCCGUCUAGGGUACUAAAAUUCCAAACACCUUGUCAAACACUCCUAAAAUCCUUUCCGACUACUCGUCUCAUCUCCACCAUCCCACCCAAAAUUUUCGGGUGCUCUGUCUUUGUUCAUAUCAAUCAACAACAUAGAAGUAAACUUGAUCCUAGGUCACUCAAGUGCAUCUUUCUUAGGUAUUCUUCAAAUCAAAAAGGGUAUAAGUGUUACUCUCCGGUCACAAGAAAAUUCUACAAUUCAAUGGAUAUCACCUUUUUUGAAACCCAGCCUUACUAUCCUAAAAAUGAUAUUCAAGGGGAGAAUUCAACUCAGGAAUAUCAAUUUUGGGAUCUUGAGUCAUUCAAUGAGUCACCCAUCACCACUGAAAAUCACAUUCCUCUAGAGUCAUUUAAUCAGCCCGAGUCCAUUGUUGACUUAUGGGAUAAGGAGCACAUCCAAGAGGAAACGGAGGAAAGAGCACUUUCUCAACAAACCCAUGAGGCUGAACUGGGUCCUAAUCCAAGCAAACUUCCAAGUAACAACGCUCCUGAUGGUACUGUUGAUUCCGAGUUAGAAAAUGAUAUUCUUAAUAUGCCCAUAGCUUGGAGGAAAGAAGUUAGAUCAUGCACUCAGCAUCCCAUUGGAAAUUUUAUUUCUUAUGAUAAGCUAUCACCUACGUUUCGUGCAUUCACUUCUAGCAUCACAGAGAUACAAGUUCCUCAGAAUAUUCAGGAAGCUUUCAAGUAUCCUAAGUGGAAGGCGGCAGUCGAUGAGGAAGUUCGGGCGCUGGAAAAGAAUGGUACGUGGGAAAUUACUAACCUCCCAAGAGGUAAGAAACCAGUUGGGUGUAAGUGGAUUUUCACAGUAAAGUACAAGGCAGAUGGUAAUGUGGACAGGUAUAAGGCUCGGUUGGUCGCCAAAGGAUUCACCCAAUCCUAUGGCAUUGACUAUCAAGAAACUUUUGCUCCAGUUGCCAAGCUCAAUUCUGUUCGUGUACUUUUAUCCUUGGCAGCUAAUCUCGAUUGGUCGCUUCACCAACUUGAUGUGAAGAAUGCCUUCCUCAAUGGUGAUUUAAAGGAAGAAGUUUACAUGGACAUUCCUGUUGGACUUGAGACGACAUCAAAUUUCAACAAGGUUUGCAGACUCCGAAAAUCCUUGUAUGGUCUCAAACAAUCUCCCAGGGCUUGGUUUGAACAGUUCACUAAGGUAGUGAAAGGGUACGGAUUCGUUCAAUGUCAAUCCGAUCACACAUUAUUUGUGAAACACUUCCCAGAAGGGAAGCUGGCAAUUAUCAUUGUAUAUGUGGACGACAUAAUUUUGACAGGUGAUCAUGAAGAGAAAAUUGACUUACUUAAAAAAUUAUUGACAAAGGAAUUUGAGAUCAAGGAUCUUGGAACCCUCAAGUACUUUCUCGGAAUGGAGAUUGCUAGGUCAAAGAAAGGUAUAGCAGUCUCACAACACAAAUACGUUCUGGACUUAUUGAAUGAAACAGGAAUGCUAGUAUGCAAGCCGGCAGAAACACCUAUGGAUACAACUGUCAAACUGGAAGAAAGUGAUGGAAGUGUGCCAGUUGAUAAAGGAAGAUAUCAACGUCUUGUGGGGAAACUCAUCUAUCUUUCUCAUACAAGGCCAGACAUCGGCUUCUCCGUUAGUGUGGUAAGUCAAUUCAUGAAUAAUCCAACCGAAAAACACAUGACUGUUGUGAUCAGAAUAUUGAGGUACCUCAAGAUGACACCGGGAAAGGGUCUCUUCUUUCAAAGAACAACAAAGAAAGAGAUUGAGAUUUUUUCAGAUGCAGAUUGGGCAGGUUUAGUGACUGAUCGGAGAUCAACUUCAGGUUAUUGUUCAUUUGUCUGGGGGAACUUGGUUACAUGGCGAAGCAAGAAACAGUCAGUGGUAGCUCAUAGCAGUGCUGAGGCAGAAUUUCGUGCUAUGGCACAAGGUAUCUGCGAGAGAAUCUGGUUGAACAGGCUGUUAGAAGAAUUACGGGUUCCAUUGAAGCAUCCCAUGGUGUUAUACUGCGACAAUCAAGCUGCCAUCAGUAUCGCUAAGAAUCCGGUUCAUCAUGAUUGAACUAAGCACGUGGAGAUAGAUCGACACUUUAUCAAGGAAAAGAUUGAAGAAGGAGUUUUCAAAGUCAGCUACACUCCGACAAACUGUCAAACGGCUGACAUUCUCACAAAAGCUCUUGCUCGAGUUAACUUCGAAAAUCUGACAGAAAAACUUGGAAUGAUCAACAUUUACAACGCGGCUUGAGGGGGAGUGUUGGAAAUCAAGCCCACGUCGCCUUCCUGCCUGUGCAUGUUCCUCCCCAUAUUUAGCAUCCUCUGUUUACUUCCCUGAAUUAGUGUAAUGUACAGCCUUUAUUAUAAUUUAUUUAGGAGUAAUUCUAGCAAGGUAGUUUAUUCACUUUCCAUGUAAGAGUUUAUUCACUUUCCAUGUAAGGGAAAUUCCGUCCGGUGAUAGUGUACCAUUCCGGAAUUGUCUCAUAUCUGUAGGCUAUUUAUUUAUGCUUUCAUUCAUUGUAAAAAAAAAAAAAAAGGUAUCAUAGAAUAAAUUGAGUCUGUGUUCCUCCAUAGUUUGUCUUCAAAUUCUUCAUAUUUUAGUCUUCAAAUUCUUUAGUCAUGAUUCUCCAAAGGUCAUAUUCAAUCUGUAACCAUAUACACUAGUACACUCAUUGUGGUAAACCUAUCCUAAUUACCAAUAUAAGUUAUUCCACCACUUAAGAGGUAGUGUACUAUGACUUUUGAUGGAUUGACUAAGUCUAAAAAACGAUCGUAAACUAACUCAUCAACUCAUAAGAUGUUAGGAUAAAUCCUUUAAAAGCAUGACAUGAUAUAACAAAAUUUAGAAUUUAUUAUUUGUUAAUAAAGUUCCAGUUUUACUUAUAUCUAUUCUUAUUUCAUGUAUUAUACUUUAUGAAUAUAUAUUAUGGCUUACAUAUCUUGUAUUGUAUAUGAAUUGGAUGCAUUAGGAGUUAUACAGAAGAUCUAAGUUAUGAGUCCCUUGCAAGAGGAUGACUUGUUCAUAGCUAGUUUCUAUGCCUUGACAACCCAUUAGAGACUGUAGUGCAUUACCUUCUAAUUAUAGGGGUUACCGGUUUUGGCUAUCAGAUGGGUUUCUUGUAUUAGUGUGUAUGGUUACACAUUGGAUAUGACCUACGUUGAGUCAUGAUGUAAGACUCUAAAGUAGUCACGACUUCACCAAGUUAUUUCAUUGUGUUAUUUUCAACCUUGAGUGAAUAUUAAGCUUAUAGUAAAAUCAGUAGUGACUUUAACCUACAAGUGAGAUCCUAAAGUGACCAUGUAUUCCUUUAUGGAUUGGAUCACUAUUGAUGGAAACAUGUAACAAUGGGUAUUCUUAAUUAAGGUACCAUCAUAUCUCAUGGGAUUAAGAUAAAGUGUCUUAUUAGGUGAUCUUAAGGAAGUGUGUUUAUAUAAAUUAUGACUAUAGUAGUUUCUUAAGUGGAACUGGACAUAAACUCUUUGUAAGCUAAGAUUGAACAAGCAUAAAAGAAGAAUAGUUUAAUGAAGGUAAACAAAUUAAUUUAAGUUAAAAUUGUUUUUCACAAAAAGGAAAAAAGAGAGGAGUGUGAUGAAUAGAAAAAUAUUAUGUACUAGUAACAAAAUGAUGGAGGGUCCCAAAGAGAAUUGUCCCUCACUUAAGCAUGAAUCUUAAAGAACGUGAUGGCAACUUUUGGCCACUCAUAAUCACAGCUUGAAAUGCUAUUCUUCACCAUACCACCAUAAAAUUGGAUGAAAUUGGUAUCUUUAAUCCGCUUCUUGGCAAACAACAUUUUGAAAAUAAAAAUCCCUUUCAACCAUUUUGGAGAAACACCAUUUAGUUACAAAUGAAAUUCUAAUCCAAGAAUUUAGCCAUAAGUAGUUCUUCUAUGAAAUAGCAUUCCAAACACACUUUCAAAUGGUCAAAAGUCAUCCAACCCAAAUACUAGAAUGAGUAGACUUAGUCUAUUUUAUGACUCCGAAUGAAAUAUUUACUCCUUAGAAUAAAAUAUAAAGAAUGUUUUUCUUUUAAUUUAUUUGAGGGAAACAUCUUUUGGGGUGUGGUCAGAAAGAAAAUUUAAUUUUUGAAGUCUUGUUUGUUAUUGAUAGACAUUUUAUUUUGAACCAAUGACACUCAAUUUACUAUAGAUAUAUUAUUUUUGUAAAAAACUAAUUUAAUGUGUGCAUUAUUAAUUGUUUUAUUAUUUUCAUAAUUUCAUUUAAAGUUUAUAUAAUCAAAUUUCAAGAUUUUUUUAAUCAAAAUUUUCAUUGAUAUUAAUAUUUUCAUUUAUGUAAACUACCAAUAUUUUCAUGGAUAUUAAUUUUUUUUAUUAUGUAGGUUCUAUCAUAUGAAGUUAUAUGGUGUAUCACUCAUUUAUGUCUUAAAUAUAAUUUUCAAAAUUUAUUCAUUUAUCCUAAUUUGAAACUUUAUUAUUAUUAAUAUUGUUAUUAUUAUUAUAAUAAUAUUUUAUUCUUAUUUAUCCAUAACAAAAUACAAAAUAAUUUAACACAAAUUCAAUUUUUUUUUUCAAAAUUUUCUCACAUUCUUUUAAAAAGAAUUUAAGAAGAAAAUCUUUAACCAUUUUAAUUUUUUCUCUCAUUUUUUCCUUUUUUUUAUUUUUUUUUAUCAAGAACUAUCUUUCUUUAUAAAUAAUUUUUUUCCUUUUUCUUAAUCAUUUCCAAAAGUUUUUUGAGCUAUUAAGACUAUGUUUGAUUCCUAAAAAAAUUGAGGGAAAAUGCAAGAGAGAGAGAGAAAAAAAAAAGUGGAAACGUAGAAGGAAAGAAAAAAGAAAGGAAAAUAAAAACUAGAUUUGAAGUUAAUAAAUUAUUUUUAUAUGCUACUUCAAACUUAUUUUAUUGAUUUUAACUCUUUCAUAUGAAGAUUAAAUAAUUUGAAAUUGUAUCAUUUUCUAACUAGUUUUAAUAUAUAUUUGAUUUUCUUUAGUAUUUUUCACAUGACAAUCAAAUAUGAUAAAAUCAAUUUUUUUUUAAUAUUUUUUUCUUUCAUUAUUGCUUUCCGGGAAUCAAACAUAAUCUAAAUUUCUUGUUCUUUUUCCCACAAUAGAUCAACCAAGAGAAGAGAUAAGGGUCGUUGAACUUGACUUGAUGUAGAGAACCUUGAAUUUCUCUCUUUUCUUCCUCCAAUUACCUUGCCAAUUCAAAACGCCUUUAGUAGCAAGACUUUGAGGUCUACAACUAUGUACAAGUCAUGCACUCAAUUAUGCCAAAAACAUCACAUUCACAAGUCUUUUUCUUUCACUCUCCCAACUAACUUAAAUACUUCCUAUUAGAGAAACUACUAUAUAAAUAGUUAUAAAAUGUAUACUUAUUUAUAUUUAUUCAUGAUAAUAGGUAACAAUUAUAAUUAAAACAUGGAUUUUUGAGAUGAUAGCUACAAUAAAUUGAAACCUCAUCCAAUUAUUUUAGGAGAGGCAAAAUAAUGUUUGAUUAACAUAUAAACUAAAUUGAGUAAAUUACAAGAAAAAUGUUAUGCUUGUUAAAGAAUUCGAGCAUUGACUAGUGUGUUGUUUGGGCUAAAGGGAGACUUCCAUUUUCACAUUGGAGGGAAUAUAGACUUUAAUCUACUCAAGUGACAAUGACUUAUCCCGUUGAAUUCAAAUUAAUAAAUUUUAUAAUUAUAGAUAUUUUGAUAUUUUUAGUAAUAAAAUGAAAUAAUGCGGAUAUUGGAUUCAUUUAGUAUCACUUUCUAAAGUUAAUUCAUUUCUCCUCUUGAAACAUCCGUAAAAGUAAUGUUUAAACAUGUCUGGGCUUAGCAGUCUCUCCCAGCUGCUGCCAAUGAGAAUUCUAUUCUUUUUAUGGAUUUUAUUCAUGCCCUUAUGCCCGAUCUUUUUUGGUAUGCAUGUUACUUCUGUGUCCGGCGAAUGUCUGAGUGAUGGGAGGGUAUGCCUGGAAGAUGAGGUGUUGUUGCUGCUGCAACUGAAGAGCAGCCUCAUAUUUAAUACUGCUGCAUCGAAUAAACUUGUUUCCUGGAUUCAAAGCGCGGACUGCUGUUCUUGGGGAGGUGUAACAUGGGACGCCACUGGUCGUGUUGUCUCUCUUGAUCUCAGUAGCGAAUUCAUUUCUGGUGAACUCAAUAGCUCCAGUAGCAUUUUCAGUCUACAAUAUCUCCAGAGCUUGAAUUUGGCUAACAACACCUUCUCUUCUCAAAUUCCAGCAGAAUUCCACAAGCUUGGAAACUUAAAUUACCUGAAUUUGUCCAACGCUGGCUUUUCUGGGCAGAUUCCAAUUGAGAUUUCCUACUUGACAAGGUUGGUUACUAUUGAUCUAUCUAGCCUUUAUUUCAUCACCGGUAUCCCAGAACUGAAACUUGAGAACCCAAAUCUGACAACGCUGGUCCAGAACCUCAAGGAGCUUAGGGAACUUCAUCUUAGUGGUGUAAACAUUUCGGCCAAGGGAAAGGAGUGGUGCCAGUCAUUAUCAUCUUCAGUGCCAAAUCUCCAAGCGCUAAGCUUGUCCAGAUGUUUUCUUUCAGGCCCCAUUGAUUCUUCUCUGGAGAAGCUUCAGUAUUUGUCAAGAAUUCGUCUGGAUGGCAAUAAUUUUUCCUCUCCAGUUCCAGAAUUCCUUGCGAAAUUUCAAAAUUUGACUUGCUUGCGGCUCAGUUUUUGUGGAUUAUAUGGAACAUUUCCUGAAAAGAUCUUUCAGGUACCAACCCUUCAGAUUCUUGAUAUCGAAAACAACAUGUUACUUGAGGGUUCUCUGCCAGAAUUCCCUCUGAAUGGAGCUCUGGAAACCCUGAUCCUCUCAGAUACAAAAUUUUCAGGGAAAGUACCUGACUCAAUAGGCAAUCUCAAGAUAUUGACCAGGAUAGAGCUUGCAAGGUGUAAUUUCAGUGGGCCAAUCCCAAACUCCAUGGCCGACCUCACUCAAUUGGUUUACUUGGACUUGUCUGAAAAUCAGUUUUCUGGUCCAAUCCCGCUGUCACUGUUUUCCUUUCCAUCACUGCAGACGAUACAACUAACCAACAACUAAUUUUCUGGUCAGUUCAACAUUUUGCUUAAUGCGUCUUCAUCUGUAUUGCAUACCCUUGAUUUGAGUAGCAACAAUCUGGAAGGCCCCAUACCAGAAUCUGUUUUUGAACUACAGGGUCUUUACAUCCUUGAUCUAUCUUCCAACAAAUUCAAUGGAACAGUGGAGCUCAGCAAGUUUCAAAAACUUGGGAAUCUUACCACUCUCAGUCUUUCGUACAACAAUUUGUGGAUAAUUGCAAGUGGUAGUGAUUUCAUUCCUUCAAAAUUACCGCAUUUGACCACAUUAAAAUUGGCUUCUUGCCAGCUGGGGACAUUACCUGAUCUUAGCAGCCAGUCAAGAUUGUCAUAUUUGGACCUUUCCGAAAACCAAAUUCAGGGGGAGAUACCUAAGUGGAUCUGGAAAGUUGGUAAUGGCUCUCUUAUCCAUUUGAAUCUCUCUCUUAAUUUACUGGAGGAUCUGCCAGAACCUUCAUCUAUUCUUUCUACUAAUCUUUUGGUCCUUGACCUACACUCCAAUCAGCUCCAUGGGCGAAUUCCCACUCCACCCUCAUGUUCCGCCUAUGUGGAUUACUCAAACAACAGUUUCACCUCUUUCAUCCCAGAUGACAUUGGUACUUAUAUCUCCCUCAAUAUUGUCUUCAUGCUUUCAAAGAAUAAUAUCACUGGAAUUAUCCCUGAAUCAAUAUGCAAUGCCAGUUAUCUAAGCGUUCUUGACUUAUCUGACAAUGCUUUGAGUGGCAAAAUACCCUCAUGCUUAAUUGAGAUCGAGACUCUUGCAGUGCUGAAUCUAGGGAGAAACAAGUUUAGUGGCAUUAUAUCUGGCGAAUUUCCAGGAAACUGUGUCUUACAGACUUUAGAUCUGAAUGGGAACCUUUUAGAAGGAAAAAUUCCAGUGUCUCUGGCCAAAUGCAAAGAGUUAGAGGUUUUAAACCUUGGGAACAAUCAGAUGGAUGAUAACUUUCCUUGCUGGUUGAAGAACAUAAGCAAUUUGCGUGUCCUUGUUUUGCGAGCCAACAAAUUGCAUGGACCCAUUGGAUGUCCAAAUAGCAACUCCACCUGGCCAAUGGUUCAAAUUGUGGACCUAGCUCACAACAAUUUCAGUGGUGAGUUACCAGCAAAGUGCUUCUUGACCUGGAGAGCAAUGAUGGCAGGCGACGAUGAAGUCGAAUCCAAGCAUAAAAACCUCGAAUUUGAGGUCUUAUUAGGAUGGUACUAUCAGGAUGCUGUAAGAGUUACCAGCAAAGGUCAAGAAUUGGAGUUGGUGAAGAUCCUAACGCUCUUCACCUCUAUUGACUUGUCACGCAACAAUUUCGAAGGGGAGAUACCAGAAGUAAUGGGAGACUUGACAUUACUUUAUGUUCUCAACUUAUCUGGCAAUGGUUUCACAGGGCGCAUCCCAUCAUCACUAGGACAGCUCCGACAGCUUGAGUCAUUAGACCUCUCAAUGAACAAGCUGAGCGGCGAGAUCCCUACACAGCUUGCGAGCCUAAAUUUCCUUUAAGUGCUGAACCUCUCAUUCAAUCAAUUGGUGGGAAGAAUCCCAACAGGGAGUCAAUUGCAAACAUUUUCAGAAAAUUCCUUCCUGGGUAACAGAGGAUUAUGGGGCUUCCCCCUGAACCCAAGCUGCAAAGAUGCUACACCACCACCGGCGUUUGAAAGCAGGCAUUCAGGUUCCAGGAUGGAGAUUGACUGGGACUACGUGGCUCCGGAGAUUGGAUUCGUGACAGGGUUAGGCAUCGUGAUUUGGCCUCUAGUGUUUUGCAAGAGAUGGAGGAGAUGCUACUACGAGCAUGUUGAUGGAAUUCUCUCAAGGAUUCUCCGCGGCUAAGACAAGGAAGAGCAAAUAAUGGGAGCAGGGAUCUAGCGACCACUAGUGAGAAGGAUCUAGUUGGAGUGUAUUGUAUUUCUAUUAGAUAGAAACUAUCUUUUCUACCCAUAUGCAGAAAAGCUUUUUAGUUUUUACUCAAAACUAUAGUCUAUGACCCAGUUAAACCUACACAAAAUAAAAUUCUAAUUUCGGAGAUUCAACAAGUCAUUCAAGAUGAGCAAGAGGUUAAGAUAUGUUGGCUGGAUGUGGGCCCGAGUUGGGUUAAACUUGGUUGGCCUGAUUGGUACAAACCAAGACCAACUAUGGUAGUUAGGCCCAUGUUCAGCCCAAUCAACACAUCUGAAGCCAUUAGGGAGUUUAGAUUGAUAACCACUUAAUUAUCAUGCUAGCUAGUAAACCUGCUGCACAUCCACUUAUAAAAGUUUCAUUUGGAAAUGUUUCUCAUUUUACCCUUUUUUUUUAAUCACAAUUUUUAUUAUAUUGUUAAUUUAGAGGAAGAAAAAACUUCAAUCAAUUUUUUGUAAUCCUUUCUUCCAACAAUCAUUUAUGAAGAUUAAACAAUGAGACAAGUAUGAGAUGUUUUUAGAGUAAAUGGCGAAUUAAUGUAACUUCUUAGGUCUUCGUUCUUAAUGGAAUUUGAAAACAAUGAAUAUUUUUAUUCAGGUGAAAUAACAUUUUUUAAAGAGUCCACGAUCCUUCUCAUCAUACCCUGCAAAUGCUUGUACAGUUUUUUGGGUUGUUUUUGCCUUCACUCACCAUAAUUCCUAAUCAACUUUCAUGUGAAGAUUAAGAAGCACCGAAACUGGGCCAAACCUGUUCAUGGGGAAAGAAUAGUCUUUGGUUUCCGAUACGUCCUCAACAAACAUAAAAGAAGAAUAGUAAUCAAUUCAGAGUAAACAGGUCCAAUUGAUCAGUGAAUUGAGAGUGAGAGGACAGUUUGUAAGGGGACCUUUUUGGUCUCAUUCAGAGUAAUCAAUUCCAUUUCAGUAGGGGUUCUGCUUCCCUUGUUUUCUUUCUCUUUCACAAGGACUGGAGUGGGUAGACUUGAAGCCAAGCUGAACAGCUCUUAGCUCUUCCCAACUACCAGCCCCUCCCUCACCAAUCACUUCCACUUGCAACUUACAUUAUCGCUACAUUUGUCAAAGUGAAGGCUAUGAAUUUUUGUAGAAUAAUUGUAACAACAUUUAUUGUACUAUAACGAUGCCUAAGAGAGGAUGAAAAAUGGUAUUAAAAGCAAAAAAGAUAGAUGUCAUCUUUCUGUGGAUGACCUGUAAUCGGCUUGUUUUUUCGUUUAAUUUUUUGCAUGAAUUUGCGCACUCAACAUUUCUUGUUGGGUUUGAUUAAAAAGCCAAUGAGAGAAAGAUCGGUAUAUAUGAAUUGGAUACGAGCAUUGUAUAUAAGAUGAGUUUCUUAGGUGGUGUUUGUUUUUUUUACUUUUGCUGAAAGCAAAUUGUUUUCAGAAUUUAGGUUGUUUGUUUAUCUACUUUUUUAUGACUUAUUAUAAACUUUUUAUUAAAUAGAAAAAGACAAAAUAUGUAGCUUUUUUAAAAUAGAAUAAAAAUAUCAUAUUGGUUUUUCUUUACCUUUUAAUACUUAAUAGAAAUAGAAUACUAUAAAAACAAACAAUCUAAUAUUUAACACUAUUAAACAUUAAGGUUCUAUUUAAAAUUAAGUAAAAAAACAAACACCACUUUAGUCUCGUUCAAAGUAAUCGAAUCCAUGUCAGUAGGCAGUUUGAUUUUUCAAUGGAUUAAAAAGUUUGUAAUCAUUUCUAAAUAUUACAUGAAAUACAUGAAAAGGAAAAACUUGUAGUGGAACUUAAUGCUCUAAAAACGAAAUCAAAAGGCAAAUGUUGAACACACUCUUAAACUCUUUCUCCACUUAUCCAUUUAUUUUUCAAAAAAAAAAAAUAUAUGAAUGGUUAAAAAUACCUCUUUUUCAUCUUCUCGACACCACUCAUCACCAACCUUGGUUUUUUUUCUUCCAUUUUCUUUUCUUUCGAGUCUCUUACCUUCACCUACUAAAUAUAUGAAUUUGAUUUUCAUCAAACCCAUCAACAUAGGGUAAAAAAACCUUAUGUUGUUUUCUAUUCCAAAAAGCAUUGGGGAUAGAAAAACAUAAAUUUGUUUCAAUUUGAUUUUUAAUAUUUUCUAUUCUUGUUUGAAUAUCUUUUUGUAAUAGAUUUUCUUCCAUUCUUUUAUAAUGUAUUUCUUUGCUUAUGUGUUUGAUAUGUUGUUUUUUCUUUUGAAUAAGAUUUACUUCAUUUUCUUGAAGUGUAUUUAACUCUUUAAUUUUUAAAGAACUAAUAAAUUUGAAACAAAUACUUUGUCCUUUAUAACUAGUUUUAAUUCCUUCAUCAUCUACUUUAAAAGGAUAAAGUAGUGCAAGGAAUGGUGUUCCCAAGAUUAUAUCUUUAUUCAUAUCUCUGACAAUUUAAAGAGAAGUCUUGUAACAAACAUUUUGAUUAUAGAUAUGAACAUUUGAAAUUUUGAAAUCUACCAUCAAAGGCUUCGAGUUUGUACUCACACACUUGGUAAGUCUUUUCAAAGUAUAUAGUUGGGAUUAAUCCUUUCUGUACACAAUUAAUAUUAGCACUAGAAUCAAUUAAUGUUAAAAACUCUUUUAAAAAAAUCAGGUUUUAUAAAACGUUUUACUUUGAUGUGCCAUUUUUUAAUUAACAUUUUAGUUAUACUAUUUACAAAAAAUUGAGAAGAUUCUCCUUCUUCUAAUUGUUUAUCUUCAUGUUGUUCUAAUUUUUCAUUUUCUAAUAUUUGGAGUCUUGUUUUUUAUUUCUUGAUUUUGACUUAUCAUGGUAUUAAUUUGAAGUUUUAUCAACUUAUUUCAUUUUGAAGGUCUUGAAUUCCUAUUGGUUUUAAAGCAGAAAAUUGGUUUAAUACAGUUUUUAAACUGUAUUGAUUUGUAUUUUCUAUUUGUCUUUCAUUCCUUUGUUCAACAUGGAGGUAAUUUGAUUCCUACUUCCUGUUCUCAAUUAUUAUUCUUUAUAUCAAGAUUUCAAAUUCCAUGGAUCUUGUGUUGGGACUUUGUCCAAACACAAUUAAUUCCCCCUCUCUUUCCUCCGCAUUUGGCGGUUGAAUUCAAACUCAAAUGGUGGUCAAACUUUUCUCCUUCUUCCACCCAACAAAUUCCUCAUAUUCGUCAAUGGAUAUCUUCAAAAUAUUCUAACACAAGCAAAAAAAAUACAUUAUAAAUAAAUGGAAGAAAAUCUAUUACAAAAAGAUAUUCAAACAAGAAUAGAAAAGAUUAAAAAUCAAAUUGAAACAAAUUUAUAUUCUUCUAUCCCCAAUGCUUUUGGAAUAGAAAGCACCAUAAGUUUUCCUUACCCUAUGUUGAUGGAUUUGAUGAAAAUCAAAUUCCCACUAAGGCAAUACCAAUUCAAAUGAAUACUCAAUUAAUUACUUGAGUAUUGUAAGAAAGAAAUCAAGGAUCUUUUAGAAAAAAAUAGUAUUAGAAAGAGUCAUUCUCCUUGGAGUUGUGUAUCUUUUUAUGUUCAAAAACCUUUGAAAAUUGAAAGAGGUGCUCCAAGACUUGUCAUAAACUAUAAGCCUUUAAAUAAGGUUCUCAAAUGGAUAAGGUAUCCAAUACCUAAUAAGAGAGACCUUAUUGGAUGCCUUUAUUAUGCUUCAAUUUUCUCAAAAUUUGAUAUAAAGUCUAGAUUUUGGCAAAUUCAAACUCUAUCUCUUACUCUAAUUCAACCUAAUAUUAAACUUAUACUCUAAUUCAAACUAAUAUAUAAUAAAUAGAUAAAUACUAAUAUUUAAAUUAAGGACAACAUUAACUCUCUAUGAUAUUCUUAAAGAGAAAAAAGAAAAAAAAUUAAAUACAUUAUCCAUACUUUCAUAUUAAUUUAAUUUUUGAAUGAAAUUAACAAAAUAAGUUCAAUAGCAUUCACUUUCUAAGGAACCAAAAAAUAAAAAAUUUGUUCAUGCUUUUAGAUUUACAUAACGAAAAAUACUUUAUCAAUAUUUCAACGAUCAAGAUUCUUCUUAUUCAACUUGAAGAAUAAAGUAAGCUUACUGCAAAGCUAACAUAUAAAUUAUAUUUUGACCCAUAAUUUUAUGGCCCCAACUAUGUCUUUUUCUCAAAUUUCAACAAACCAAAAAAAUGUUUCAUAGAAAACGCAAUGUCUAAUUUAUUUAUUUUUUUUAUGGUUAAUUUGAAUGUAUAGAAAAUCAAAAUUUAAAACUAAAUUCUUUAUAUCACCACAAAUAAAUAAAUUUCAAUUAUUUCAUCAAAUUUAAUCAAUUUGCAUGUUAUAUACAUAAAAAUAAUCAUGAUAUUUCUAUCAAUAAUUUUUUAAGAUCUUUUUUAUGUAGUAAUUUAGUUCAAGUUAAGUAUAACUUGAAAACAAAAGUACAAAAAUUUUGAAAAUGUAUUAAAAAAACACAAAAAAUUGAUAGCCAUAGAUUAUUAUUUUUAUAUUAAAUAUAUUUUAAUGUGUUUUCAUGUAUUGGAAUUCAAUGAAAUACUAAUUUUAUUUCCACAUUAAUAUUUUGUAUUAAUUUUUGAAGUCUUGUUUCUCAUAGAUAGACAUUUUAUUCUAAACUAAAGACACAUAAUUUACUGUAGAUAUAUUAUUUUUGUAAAAACCUAAUUUAAUGUGUGCAUUAUUAAUUGUUUUAUUAUUUUCACAAUUUCAUUUAAAGUUUAUAUAGUCAAAUUUCAAGAUUUUUUUAAUCAAAAUUUUCAUUGAUAUUAGUAUUUUCAUUCAUGUAAGUUUAAACUACCAAUAUUUUCAUGGAUAUUAAUUUUUUUUAUUAUGUAGGUUCUAUCAUAUGAAGUUAUAUGGUGUAUCACUAGUGUAUGUCUUAAAUAUCAUUUUCCAAAUUUAUUCAUUUAUCCUAAUUUGAAACUUUAUUAUCAUUAAUAUUGUUAUUAUUAUAAAAUUUUACUCUUAUUUAUCCAUAACAAAUUAAUAAAAUAAAAUAAAAAUUAAUACAAAUUCAAAUUUUUUUUUUCAAAAAUUUCUCACAUUCUUUUAAAAAAAUAUUAAGAAGAAAAUAUUUAACCAUUUUUUUCUCUUUUUUUUUUCACUUUUUAAAUCUUUUCUCAUGAUACCUAAACAUCAAGAAAUAUCUUUCUUCAUAAAUAAUUUUUUUUCCCUUUUCUUAAUCCUUUCCAAAAGUUUUUUGAGCCAUUAAGACUAUGUUUGAUUCCUAAAAAAUUGAGGGAAAAUGCAAGAGAGAGAGAGAAAAAAAAAAGACAAAACAAAAAGAGUGGAAAAAUAGAAGGAAAGAAAAAAAAAAAGGAAAAAAAAAAAUAGAUUUGAAGUUAAUAAAUUAUUUUUAUAUGCUACUUCAAACUCAUUUGAUUGAUUUUAACUCUUUCAUAUGAAGAUUAAAUAAUUUGAAAUUGUAUCAGUUUCUAACUAGUUUUAAUAUAUAUUUGAUUUUCUUUGGUAUUUUUCACAUGACAACCAAAUAUGAUAAAAUCAAAAUUUUUUUUAAAUAUUUUUUCAUUCCUCAUUGCUUUCCGAGAAUCAAAUAUAACCUAAAUUUCUUGUUCUUUUUUCCAUAAUAGAUCAACAAAGAGAAGGGAUAAGGGCCAUUGAACAUGACUUGAUGUAGAGAAACUUUAAUUUCUCUCGUCUUGCUCUAGUUACCUUACCAAUUCAAAAUGCCUUUAGUUGGAAGACUUUGAGGUCUACAAACAUAACCUAAAUUUCUUGUUCUUUUUUCCACAAUAGAUCAACAAAGAAAAGAGAUGAGGGCCAUUGAACAUGACUUGAUGUAGACAAUCUUGAAUUUCUCUCGUCUUCUUAUAGUUACCUUACCCAUUCAAAACGCCUUUAGUUGGAAGGCUUUGAGGCCUACAACUGUGGAAAAGUCAAGCCCUCAAUUAUGCCCAAACAUUACACUCACAAGUCUUUUUCUUUCACUCUCCUAACUAACUUAAAUGAUUCUUAUUAGAGAAACUACUAUAUAAAUAGUUUUGAGAUGUAUACUUAUUUAUAUUUAUUUAUCAUAAUAGAUAACAAUUAAAAUUAAAACAUGGCAUUUUGAGAAGAUAGCUAAAAUAAAUUGAAACCUCAUCCAAUUGUUUUAGGAGAGGUAAGAUAAUGUUUGAUUAACAUACAAACUAAAUUAAAUGUGUAAAUUACAAGAAAAGUGUUAUGCUUGUUAAAGAAUUCGAAAAGCGUAUUUUUUGGGCUAGAAAAAAGGUCGCAAAGAAAAAAGAAUUAUGGAAAGGAGAAUUCCAUUUUCAUGUUGGUGGGAAGAUAGACUUGAAUCUAAUUUUCCAAGUGACAAUGGCAUAUUCCCAUUGAAUUCAAAUUGAUAAAUUUUAUCAUUAUAGAUAUUUUGAUAUUUUUAGUAAUGGAAUGAAAUAAUGUGGAUAUUGGAUUAUUUUGAUAUUUUUACUAAUGGAAUGAAAUAAUUUAGAUAUUGGAUUCAUUUGAACUAUGUUUGGAUCCCAGAAAAUACUAGGAAAAGAAAAAAAUGUUAAGAAAAAUGGUUUUCUCACGUUUGGUUUCACUAUAGAAAAUAUAAAAGAAAAUCAAAUAUAAUUAAAAUUAAUUUACAAUUUAGAUAUUUUAAAAUUAUUUAAUCUUGCUAUAAUAGAGAGAACUAAGUAAAUUGAGUUUGCAAAAACAUAUAAACAUAAUUUAUUAAAUUUAAAUUUUUCUUCAUUUUUUCUUUCUUUUUACUUUUCCUCUUUAUUUUCUUUCCUUUGCAUUUUCCUUCAAUUUUUUUGAGAACCAAACAUAGUCUUAGUAUCACUUUCUAAACUUAAUUUGGUAUGUAUACAUGCAAAACUCUAUAAAAUUGAAUUUGUUGUUUAUGUUGUAUGCCAUAAAAUUUGCAUAGACUCUUUGGGAAGCUUCCCUCCAUGUGUCCUUCACAGGCUCAAGGCCCUUUGGCCGUCCAAGGGAAGCAAAUAAUCUGUCUAGGAGAAAUCCAUCUGGACCAAGACAAUCUCCGUUUGGCAUAAAAGGAAAGACGAAUUUCCUUUUUCCCUAAUGCCAGACAGAAUGGACAAACUAAACCGACUGGGGGACUUUCAAAUGGACAAACUAAGCCAGUCGAAAAUUCCAAGCAUUGAGUAGAUGAUUAACCACCACCAAUGCCUAAGCAACAAGCAAAACAACAUUUACACCCAGAAAUCAAUGUCCCUUAGUCGUUACGUGCAAUCGGUGACAUUAAAAAACGUAUAUGCACAACCAACAACAUGGUUCGAGAUACAAAAAAUAAAUGACGCCAAUUAGUAACUCUUAUUUGGUAUGAUUGUCCAAUCCACACUAAGCUAAUGACAUUGACUACCUUAUUAAGGCAUAGUAUCCGCCAUGACGACAAUCAUCAGCGCAAGAAAUGCAUGAAUGCACAAUCAAUGCUAUGAUGAUGAUGUCAUACGUUCUAUAAAAACUCAUCUAAAAGCAUGAAAAAGGUAUGCACAUACAUAACCAUUCAAAAAGUUGGAUUCAUUCUCACUAGAUUCUGACUUAAGCUUCGAAGGGGCAUGCUCGGACCACCUAUCUGAACAUCCUUUUGUGUUGGGAACAAUCCAUCUAACUCUAAUGAAGUCAGAUCCUACAUGCAAUUGGCACAACACCAACAUUGGUGCAGUCUAUGGGAAACAACUAAGGAUGUUAAUGCCCUUUAGAAACUAAUCAUCAAUUAUUAGUGAUGAAGACUAUUUUGUCUAAUGCAAAAGAAUGGAGAAAGGCCAACGAGAAAAUGAGCAGCAAAUACAAACUUUGCUCUACUAAACAGAACGACUAAGAGAAAAGAACGAGGAGUUGCAGACUCAAAUGUCAAUAGUGAGCCCCUCUCAAAGUCGACACACUCAAAGCUGACAAACAGCCUCACGACGAACUGUUGAGGCAUCUUUCCUUGGGGGCACAAAGUUCUCCUUCGACAGCUACUCAAGACAAUACAAGAAGGAGUCUUCGCCAACUCAUCAAAUUUAGUCAGACGAAGGCAUCAAUUCCAUCUGGGCAUCAAGGAAAAAGAGGCGCGACAAAGGGUCGCAUUUGUCUAAUGCGAAGCGAGCCAGACUAAGACCUUAAGCACUAGGCGUGGAGACACAACCGCACAUGUUAAAAACUCUAAGGGCACGUCUAAGUCAGCCAGCCAUAACAACCACAUCUAGAUGCCCCCCCUCAACCACCAAGGCAAUAGCAGGCAGGAGUGUCAACAACGCGAGCCACACCUUACUCUAUUAGUCGAAGGUUGGAUGACAUGCUCUCCAUGUUGUUCGUCACUCAUAUCAUUAGCUAUGAACCACCCAGAGGGUUCGUGUUGCCCAAAUUCAUAAUGUACGAUGGAACGAGUGACCCAUUUGACCACAUCAUGCACUUCAGGUAGCUUAUGACCCUUGACAUAGGGAAUGAUGCACUGAUGUGCAAGGUCUUUCCGGCCAACCUACAUAGCCAAGUUCUCUUCUGAUUUCACCACCUUGCAUAGAAUUCUGUGAACACAUUCCAAAAUGUCUCAGAAGCCUUUGUGGGCCACUACUUAUGUUUUGCUCGCCAAAAGCAGAACAUAAGCACCUUAUAGAACAUCAAGUUACAGGAAAAUGAAAUGCUAAGGGAUUUCAUGAAGCGGUUUGGACAAGCAGUUCUUUAAGUUAAAUCAUAUAGUAUGGACGUCAUCCUAUAGAUCUUCAAGCAAAGUAUUAGCCUAGGCACUCCAUUUUUCGAGUUCCUUGCAGAAAAGCCACCCAUAACAAUGGAUGACCUAUUCAAGCGGACAGACAAGUAUUCUAUGCUCGAAGAUGAUGUCAAAGCAACCUCUCAACAAGUCUUGGUCACCAAUCAACCGGCCAAGAAUGAUAAAGCAAGGAGUUGUAAGCCUUCUAACCAAAUGAGACAGGUAGCAAAAAAUAAGACAACCGACAACAACAGUAGGAGAGUCUCACUUCUUUAAGUAUCUCUUAUAAGAAACUCCUCCCAUAGAUCUGUGACCCAUCGGACUUCAGAUGCUUGGAUCUAAUUAAGAUAGAUUCGGAUAGAUGGGACUAGAACAUAAGGUGCUCUUACCAUAGGGAAAAUGAAAACACCACUAAACAAUGCAAGAGUCUACAUUACUUGGCGAAAAAACUCAUCAAGAUUGGACACCUUAAGCAGUACUUUUGCACAACAAGCCAGCAAAGAAAGACAACACUAGAGGUACCCGCCCAAGCCCCUAUAUCUCCGACAACCCCCAAACUAUAAUUAACUAUAUACACGGAGGUCUAAUAGAUGACAAACACAACUCUAGGUGACAAAGGCGAAGGUUUCUUCAUGCAACUUCUAUAAGAAAAUAGAUUAGUUCCGUCUAGGACACCUUUGUAGAAGGAAGUGUGCAUCCAGUCGAUUACACAAUCACCUUUCCUCUUAUAGGUGUCAAUUGGGUGUUGCAACCCCAUAGAGAUGCCUUGAUCCUAACACUAGGGAUGGGCAAAUUAGAAGUGCGGAGAAUCCUAGUUGAUCCAGGCAAUUUAGCUAAUCUCUUGCAAAUGUCAACCUACAGGCAAAUGGGUCACUCACCAUCUGCCUUAGAAAAUCCAAGGCGUCUACUAUCCAGAUUUAAUGGACUUACAAUAACCUCCCUAGGUGAUAUUGUGUUACACGUCCAAUCCGACUCGAUCAUAACGAGUGUACAAUUCUCGAUGGUUAAUGAUCUGUCUCCAUACAAUGCCAUUAUGGGACAUGCAUGACUUCACAAAAUGAAAGUCAUUCCUUCUACGUACCAUCAAAUGGUAAGCUACCUCACAGAAGUGGAACAAGUCAAUUUCCUUGGUAGCCAACUAGCCGCAUGAUAAUACUAUCAAGUGGCGCUAGAGUUUGUACAUCCAACCAACGAUGAGGCACAUCUCGAACCAUCGAACACAAGGUAACAAUAGCAGUUACUAAGCCCGAUGGAGAAAUAUCCAUCCGCGGUUGAUCCGCUUCAACCACUGCUUUUUUCACAUGACACAAAUCAAAUCACCUACAAUCAGUUUUUUACUUGCGCAAGAUGAACUAGAACUGCUAGGGAAUACGAUUUAGUGCAAUAAAAACAUUUUUUCCUAGACUCACUAGGACAUGUAAGAAAUCCAUCCGGUCGUGGCCUCCCAAAAGCUCAAUGUCUCACCCACAUCGUAUCCUAUCUAGUAGAAGGUCUAAUGCUUUCAUAUGGAUUGUCAAAAAAUCAUCUAGAUGGAAGUUGACAAGCUAUUGGCAAUCAGAUUUAUUAGAAAAGUCAAAUAUUCAGAUUGGUUGGCGAACGUGGUGGUAAUUCCAAAGAAAAAAGGGAAAGUGGUGAGUUUACGUUGACUACACUAACCUGAAUAAUGCUUGUCCAAAGGAUAGUUUUCUCUUACCUAGAUAGAUUAGAUAAUCAACGCCACAAUCGAGCAUGGGGUGCUAUCCUUUUUAGAUGCCUUUUUCGGAUACCACCAGAUCCCUAUGUUAUAGCCAGAUGAGGAGAAAAUAGUCUUUGUCAUGCCACAAGGACCAUAUUGUUAUAGAGUCAUGUUGUAUGGACUCAAGAAUGUUGUCGCUACCUACCAGAGACUAAUGACAAAAAUCUUCAAGCCCUUGAUCGACAGAACUAUGGAAGUCUACAUUGAUGACAUUCUUGUAAAGAAUGAGACCCAAGUUGAGCAUGUUCAGCACCUAGAAGAAACAUUCCAUUUGAUACGAGCAUACAACAUGAAGCUCAAUCUAGUUAAAUGUGCCUUCGACAUCAAUGUAGGAAAAUUUCUAGGGUUUAUGGUAACCCAAAGGGGAAUUGAAGUUAAUCCAGCUCAAGUGAAAGCCGUCUUGGAAACACCUGCUCCAAAUAACAAAAACAAAUUGUAGCACCUUACAGGCCAUCUCACAACUUUGGGUCGUUUCAUAGCUCGUUUUAUAGACAAGAUGCAACAUUUUUUCCUCACAUUUAAGGGGGCAAGCACGUUUGGCUGGACAGACGAAUGUAAACAGGCAUUUGAGGCAGUCAAACACUACCUCAUUGAACCACCUAUUCUAAUCAACCCCAAAUUCGACAAAGAACUUUACAUGUAUCUGGUCGUAUCUAAUUACACUGUCAGUGUCAUCCUAUUUCGACAUAUACUAGACAAGGAACAGAAACCCAUCUAUUAUGGGAGCAAAGUAAUGGUGGAUGCUGAGACAUGGUAUUCCUAAGUAGAGCAAAUUGCUCUAGCACUAAAGAGUGUAGCUCAAAAGCUCCACCCACACUUCUAGGCUCAUCAAGUGAUCAUACUUACAAACCAGCCGCUUCGAGUCACCUUGCACAAGCUAUCCGGAUGAAUGUUGAAAUGGGCAAUCGAGUUGAGUGAGUAUGAGAUCAAGUAUCAAUCGUGGUUAUCCUUAAAAAGACAGGUUAUGACCAAAUUUAUAGUUGAACUCCAUGAAAAAAAAAAAAACCACAUCCGGUCAAUCGCCCUAGAAAGCAAUGGUGGAUAUUUCAUGUAGACGGAGCAUCCAAGGUGUCUAGAUCCGGAGUGGGUCUGCUCCUGCAGUCAUCAACUGGGAAACUAGUAUAAAAAACUAUCCACCUUAGCUUCUCGUUUUCCAACAACGAGGCAAAAUAUGAAGCUAUGCUAGUCAGGCUAGAUCUUACCCUAAUGUUAGCCAUAACCAAGUUGGAAAUCAUGAGCAAUUCUCAGCUAAUUGUUGGGCAGAUUCAAUAAGAGUAUGAAACAAAGGAUGAAUGUAUGACGCGAUACCUUGCCCUGGUGGAAAAACACCUGAAAAAGCUAGACGAAUGGAUUAUCAAACAGGUGCCGUAAGAGGACAAUGAAAAUACCAACACACUAGUCGAGCCAGCUGCCACUUUCCCCAUAAAUGGGACGGUAAUGCUACCCAUUUACCUCGAAAUCAAGUCUUCCAUCACUCCUAGGCUAGUAUGCAAUAUCGGUUAAAUAGACUCAGGAUGGAUGCUUGACAUCAUAAAAUACCUCCAAACAGGGGAUGUACCAAAAGACAGAAAGCAAACACACAAACUUUGCAUACAAGCAACAUGCAUCACUUUAAUUAAUGAUCAACUUUAUAAACGAUCAUUUGAAGACCCAUAUCUAAAGUGUUUGAGCAAGCCAGAGUUCAAGUAUGUCCUAAUCAAACUCCAUGAUGGCAUAUACAACAAUCACCUAGGGGGGCAAACUUUAGCGCACCGUGCCUACACGUAAGGAUAUUAUUGGCCCACCAUGAAGUGGGACACUGAAAGCUAUGUCAAAAGAUGCGAUCGAUGUCAAUGACACAUUCCCAUUCCCUGUGUACCUUCGAAAGUCCUCAAUUUGGUCACAAGUCCUUGGCCAUUUGUGUAGAGGAAUGGACAUAGUCAACCCCUUACGUAUUGGAGCAUCGCAAAAAAAGUUUUUGCUCGUUGCAAUCGACUACUUCAGCAAGUGGGUGGAGACAGAAGCUUAUGUCAGUAUCAAAGACAAAGAUGUUUCUAGAUUUGUCUAGAAAAACAUCAUAUGUCAAUUCGAAAUUCCACGAGCAAUUAUCAUGGAUAAUAGGCCCUAAUUUGAUAGGAUCGUCUUCUGAACAUUUUGUUCAAAGCUAAACAUUAAGAACUUUCACUCAACACCCCACUAUCCGCAAAGCAACAGACAUGCCAAGUCAACAAACAAAGCCCUAUUAAAUGCUUUGAAGAAAAUGUUGGCAAGAAUAAAAGGAAAAUGGGUAAAUGAAUUGCCCAAAGUUUUAUGGGCCUACCAGACAACAUCUAGACGGCCAACAGGAGCCACUCCCUCGCCUUUGCUUAUGGGAUGGAAGCCAUCAUUCCAACCAAAAUUGGCAUGCCUACUACCAAAAUAGCAGUGCAAGAUAAAAAAGACAACAAUGAACUCAUAAGGCAACUAGAUUGUGUUGAAGAAAAGUAAGAAACUCCAGCUAUCCGAAUAGCUUCUUACUAUUAGAGGGCAAUCACUCAGUACAACAAAAAGGCACGACUACGGUUUUUUCAGUUAGGAUCUUUGGUUCUUAAAAGAGUCUUAAAAAACACAAUUGAAAUGGGACAUGGAAGCUAUAAGCUAAUUGGGAAGGACCUUAUGUUGUAAUUAAGGUAGGAGACUUGGGGGCAUAUCACCUCCAAACACUAGACGACGUGUCUCUGCUCUUCCCUUUGAAUGUAACUAACUUAAAAAUAAUAUAGCAAAGACAAAUUGCUAAAAAGAGCACACUAGAAGGAAAAUUAAUAAGUGUAUUCAUAAUUGAGCAUACAUUGUGUAUAUAGGCAUAAAAAUCUAGGCCACAAUUGGCUAAAGAAAAGAAAAGUAAAAGAAGUCAAGUCUGCUCAUCAUGGGAGCCGUCUUCAACGGAAGGGUCCGUCUCCUAAACCAUGUCCAUCUCUUAGUGCAGGACUACCCGAAAACUCAUCUUCCUCAUCAUCAGAAGGGAACCUAGGAGUAUUGUUUGCAAUGUCAUGCUUCUUCAUACAACACCGGUAGCCAUAGAAGAAUAUGUCAUCAACCUGCUUCUAAUAAUCUGUUUCUAUAUCAUUCUUUUGAGUGGAAAACCCUUCCCGAAUAUCUUAUAGCUCACUUCUCAACUGGGCAGUCUUCUCUUGAACCUUCUCUUUUUUGGCCGCAAUAACAACCUUCUCCUUAGCCAGGCAGCGAGCCUUGGCCUGGGAUGCUUUCUUCUCUUCCUCGACUUUCCUCAGCAGGCAGACACCCUUUCAACCAACUUUUGGGUAGUAACAACCUUACCCAUUGCCGUCUUCAUGACGACUAAGAGCUCCUCAUUUUUGUCCAUGUUAUGGGCGAUAUAUGCCAUCAUGGUUUCGAUUGCUUCUAGUCGUUGGAAAAGGUGCGCUUGUUGUCGUAUGAGGUUACAAACCUCGACUAUCAUCUAGGGGUAGCAAAGAUCAUUAUGAAAUAAGACACUAAAGGAAAAAUGAGAAAAGUCACAAGUGAAAAAGAGGGGGACGACUAACCACUUCCACUGUCUCAAAAGCAGUGUAGUCCCUCAUAUGAAUGAUGCGAACAAUGGCAAUGUCCGGAGUACCAUAAAGAAGUCGCGCCAUGAAAGACUAAUUAGGGUCUUCAUCCACCUCAACCAGAAUUCGUUGCAUAGCUGGAAAGAGCUCUUUAUGUCCUACACUAGAGGCUCCAUUUCGGUAAAGGUUGGGAUACGCCUUAUAAGCUUAGACAAUUUCUUCAUGCUGGGAACAUAGGCUGGCUUUGGGCCGUGAGGAGAAGGAUUUAGACACUUGAAUGAAUCCUCAUUGAUGUUCCCUAAGACGACAAAGGGUUUCCUCAUCUCGUGGUUGGGAAUAUCACCAACAUAUGAGGGUUUAUCAUUCAAACCUGAGUCGACAAUGUUGGCUUGGACGGAGAGUCCAAACCGGGAGCUGGAUGAUCCUUCUUUGAAGAAGAUGGGCCAAUAGCGAUAGACUCAGACAGGCACUUACAUUGCCUCUUACGGAAUCUGGCUCUCAAAUUGGUAGCCAUCUCCUCUUCUUCGUUCUCAUCGUAAAUAAUUAAGGGCACCAACUGACUCUCUUGCUUCUGUCUCGUCAUUGGAAGAUGAAAAGGACAAAAAAAAAAAAAAAAAAAACGGAGAAGGCGAUGAAGACAGCAAGGCAGGAGGUGGAGUUCUCGUUUUUUUGAUGGAACGAGUCGCGGGCUUCUUAUUUUGGGCAUAAAGACGAACAACGAAGUUGGAAGCCGGACGACUAGCAACUUGAGCUUGCUUCAGUGUUCCCUCCUAGUGUUUCUUAUCACGUUCCUCUAAAAAAGCCUGAUGUGCUUUAGAAUAAGCCAAACAAGCAACCUUGUAGAAAAGUACAUCAUUCAGCACGAAAUGUUUGUCAGGCACUAAAGACGAAGAAGCUAGCCGGGAAUACACUAGGAUGAUCAAGACAUUGAAUUUUCAAUUAAGACCUGGAGGUUUUUAUCUGAUAGAAGAAAGUUGUGAGCCCAUUCAACAGCAUCAAUCUUGAACAACUUGUUUAAAUAGGCAAAUGAAGCCUUCUCCACCCACUCCGCAAGACGUCCCCACCUCUCUUUGCAUGUAUUAGACAAACAUGAAGAUCGUGAGUAGGUUAGCAACAAGGAUAGAAUAGUAGCAAGACAAGACGAAAAUGGUAAAAUCAUAGUCUACUUGGAAUCUUCAACAAAUGUUGCGGAGCAAAAACUUUAUCUAGACCCUCAAAAGAACCACUCUAGGGGCCAAACACCAAAACAUGCCCCUUCGCUCAGCCUUUGCUUGAGUUCAAAAAAUUGGUCACGAAUUGGAGAGAAGGGAUGUGGGCAAAUAAGUUGAACCUUUCCUUUGGGUUCAUCUUGACAGUGUAGAUGAGUAAGACUUCUAGUAGAGGAAGAUCUAAUUGGAAAAGCAUAUCCAACACAUUGCACCCCAUCGAUAUCCAGAUUAUGUUCGUAUGAAGGAAAGUAGGAGGAAUUUGUGUGAAGUGAAGAAAUUGUUUAAGAAGAAAAGGAAGAUGAAGACGAAGCCCCACGGAAAACUGUUCUUUAGUAAAGUAUAUCAUGUUAUUCAGGAUAUCGACUGACGAUAAAGCUUCGUCGACUGAUAGUUGAAUCAAGAUGGUGUCCAGAACUCGAAAACGAGCACGAAACUCCUGCUUGGACAGGUCACCAACUGGCAAUUUAGCUUAGAGUGCCCGACUCUAGCAUUUUUUUCAUCUGCCUUGCUGAGGCCUUCUGUUGGUAUUAGUAAUUCAUCCUCUAUCCAUUAUAUCAUAGGGAUCUGGGUUGUGUGGAAACCUGCACGGAUCAAUGUAGUUGGCGGAACCAAUCAAUCAACCCAUUCGUCGUUUGGUGUUGCCCUAGUAACGGACAUUUAAAACUAAAUGAACUAUAAUCUAAAUCUAGAUGGAUUUGAUUGUGAAAACUUGUAGAAAAAACUCCUUCGCCAAUGACGAACGCUGAAUCGCAUACAUCACACCUUCGCACCAUCACGAUGAUAGUGAAAGCAUGAGACAACAACACAAAUACAAUGACGACAUAGAAGCAAACAAGAAGUCUAAAACACCCAAAAUCUGGACAUUGAUAUGUCCAUUUUCUCUCCAAACAAACAACACCAACACAAUCAGAAAAGCAAAAACUAGCCCAACAAAGAAUCAAAAUGACAGUAAAAAACUUACCUAAGCUAAGACCAAAACGCUUUUAGGCGAGAAAAGAAAUCCUCUAGUAGCAUACUAGUUGACGACGAUGGAAGUGAAAAGACGCAAUCGAUGGUAAGCAAAGUAAUGACAAAGAAGCAACAUAGACAAGAGAACACUAUGUAUAGGAAAUGCACCAAAUGACACGCAUCCCUUGGCGCCCAAAAACUAAAAAAAAACAGAUAAUCCAUCAUGCCCCAGUUCAUCAGCAACCUGACCAAACAGAGGUAGACGGAUUAGGAGGAAUUGUGGGAAGCUUCCCUCCACUUGUCCUUCAUAGGCUCAAGACCCUUUGGUCGCCCAAGGCAAGCAAAUAAUCCAUUUGGGAAAAAUUUAUUUGGACUAAGACAAGCUCUAUUUGGCGUAAGAGGAAAGACAAAUUUCCUUCUUCCCCAAUGCUAGACAGAAUGGAUAAACCAAGCUGACUGUGGGACUUUUAGAUGAGCAACCAAGCUAGUAGGAAAUUCCAAGCAUUGAGCGGAUGAUUAACCACCAACAAUGCCUAAGCGACAAUCAAAACAACAUUUACACCCAAAAAUCAAUGUCCUUCAAUUGUUAUUCGCAAUUAUUGACAUUGAAAAACGUAAAUGCACAACCAACCACAUGGUCCAGGAUGUUUGCAUGAUAGACAACAAAUGGCGCCAAUCAACAACUUUUAUUUGGUAUGAUUUCCCAAUCCACUCUAAGAUAAUGGCGUUGACUACCUUAUUAUGGCAUAUUAUUCGCCAUGACGACAAUCAUAAGUGCAAGAAAUGCAUGAAUGCACAAUCAACGAUGUGACGAUGGUGCCAUACAUUCUAUAAAAACCCCUCCAUAAGCAUGAAAAAGGUAUGUGUGUACAUAGCCAUUCAAAAAGUUAGAUUUACUCUUGCUAGACUUAAGUUUCAGAGGGGCAUGCCUGGACCACCUGUCCGGACAUCUUUUUGUGCAAGAAAAUAAUCCAUCUGACUUUGGUGAAAUUAGACGAGCCUGCAUCUAGUUGGCACAACACCAACUGACUCCAUUUUUUUUAUUGAAAUGAUAUAAAAAAAAAUACGUACAAAAAAAAUUCUCAUAAAAUCUUGAAAAACUAAUAAAUUUUUAUAUGACUUGAAAUUACAUGAAUAGUGGUGAGUUUAUGUCUUGAUAUAUGAAACUAUCUUAAAAUGGGCAAAUAGGUAAUCUAAGCUCGUAGUUCAUAAUUUUUAAAUUAAUUUAAUUUGUGGAAAUCAAUAGUUUUCAAUCACAAGACAUAUUACAAGUGUAGGAAUUCUAAAGUUCUAUUCCAAAAUCAGAGAUAUUACCUCUUACUUGAAAUCUUCAAUUUAUCAACCUUCAUUACUUCAAUAAGUUAAUCCAAGGUCACUCAAACUAAAUAUUUAUAAUUAAUGUAUUAAAGCCUAAAUACAUGGUAACCUAUAUUAAGAAAAACUAAAGAUGAGAUUACCAUGACUUGUAGCAUCUAGGUUGUCAUCCCCUAAGAUCCAUAUACUAGACUAUUCAACAAAGCAAAUCCUCUAUCUACAUUGAAAAUGUCUAAAAGUAAAGUUUUUUAUGAAACUAAUUCUUUUUCACACCACUAUCAUGAAAGUAAUAAAAUCUAUAGUAAAAACUUUUGAAGAGUUCAAAAAUCUAAUUUUAGAUUCAUAGAUUGAGAUAGUAACUUUUAACCCUAAGACAAAUAUCAAAGUUCACUAUGAUUGAAUUAGAUCUUAAGAUCAAUUUGCAUCUAGUGUUAAUAUUUAAGUUUAAGGUACUAUUCUCUUAAACAAAUUUAACAUGUCUAUUAUUUCAAUUUUGAGUUUAUAUACUUUCAUUACUAAUAUCCAUCAUGUAGGUUUGAUUCCUAGAGUUUCUCUCAGUGGAUCAAAUCAAGUUGACUAGUGAUCAAUGUAUCCCCAAACAUCACUAGUACCAUAGUAAGAAUCCUUUGUACUUAACCUAAGCCAAACCACAUAGAGGAUUAUUCUAAUUAAUUUAAACACAAAAUAUUUAUAAACAAUCCAAAUGAACUUUAAUGUUCUAUCGCACAUCUCUCUAUAUAUGAAUCAUCUAUCUUUAUGUUACUAUUAGGAAAACAACCUUUAGAUCUAGAUUAAAGAGUGCAUGCAACUAAGAUCCCAAGUGUAGUGAAAAGAUGCCUAUUUUUUCAAAAAAUUAUUCUAAGGUGUUCUUAAAAAACAUACCCUUGGAUUCGAUCCAAAUCUUUUUCCUAAUUUGCAGUAGAAAUCUCAAAUGCAUUGUGAUCUUCUACCUGAUGACUCUCUCUUGGAUCUUAGCUAUAAAGAAGAAUGGACCUCUCUUUAGAGGAAGUGAUGGUUAUGAUUUCUCUCAAAACAAAUUAUAAGACAACAUUUAGUCUAACCCUAAAUCCUAAGAGGAUUUAUAUAAACUAUCAAUUAGGCUUAAGUGACUAAGGCUCAUCAUAUGGGCUUAGGUUGUUUAAUCUUAGCCUAGUAAGUCUUAUUUAAUUAAUUAUGCUAAAUGGCGUCAAUUAAUUAAAUAGAUUAAAAAGAAAACCCAUAAGUCAUUUAAUCAUAAGCCCUUGCACAACCUUUGCUUAUACAAAUGCACCCUUAUGCAUACUUAUAAUUAAGUACUAAAAAAGUUCUCAAAAUAAAUACCACCAAAAAGUGUGAGCUCGAGUGGGACCACCAAAACCCAUAGGAAAGUAUGUAUUAGCUCCCUUAGAAUCAAAUUCUAAAAUUCACUCAACAUUCCAUUAAAAAAAAAGUCAAUUGCACUUCAAUAUCUUAUGAUAUUAGAUGGAGAUAGAAAACUUGGGUCUAUCACUUACUAUCCAUUGUAUGUAAGUUCCUUAUGAACUAAUGUUUAUAAUCCAAAAAUGUAGUAGCUAUCAAUCUUUAAAGAUCACUUCUCAAUCCUUGAGUCUUAAAUCCUCCUAUACCAUGACAAUUUGACAUACUCUAGUCCAGAAAGGAUGUAUGUCAAAUUUCGUUGAAGGAACUGCUAUAGCCAUAUACUACAUGAUCAUGAAAUCCUUGGGAUCAUGCAAAAGGAUAUAUUGUCUCAAAUCCAUGAGAUAUUAUAAUGUCUCUAUGGAUCAUAAUAUCUAUUGUUACUUUCCAAAACAGUCAGUCACCCAAUCCUUUGGGAAUAUAUAAUCACUUUAAGAUUUUACCCAUAGAUCAAAGUGAUUGAUGACCUCUACAUUAGCAUAAUAUUCUCUAAAGGUUGAGAACUCAUGCAAUUAAUAUUUAGUAGUUUUGACAACCCGAUAAUCAUUAGUCAUGAUCCUCCAAAGGUCUUGUUCAAUCUGUAACCAUACACACUAGUACACUUAUCAUGGUAAACCUAUCCUGAUGAGCAAAAUUAUUUAUUCCACCACUUAAGAGGUAGUAUACUAUGACUUUUGAUGGAUUGCCUAAGUCUAAAAACCAGUCAUAAACUAACUCAUCAACUUGUAAGAUGUUAGGAUAAAGCCUUUAAGAACAUGACAUGAUAUAACAAAAUUUAGAAUUUAUUAUUUAUUAAUAAAGUUCCAAUUUUACUUAUAUCUAUCCUUAUUUCAUGCAAUAUACUUUAUAAAUAUUCUGGUUUACAUCUUUUGCAUUGUACAUGAAUUGGAUGCAUUAGGAGUUAUAUAGAAAAUCUAAGUCAUGAGUCCCUUACAAGAGGAUGACUUGUUCACAACUAGUUCGUGUUCCUAGGCAGCCCAUUAGAAAAUGUAGUGCACUACCUCCUAAUUGGAGGGAUAAUUGGUUUUGGCCAUCAAGAUGGGUUUCCUGUACUAGUGUGUAUGGUUACAUAUUGGAUAAGACCUACAGUGAGUCUUGAUGUAAGACUCUCAAGUAGUUAUGAAUUCACCAAGUUGUUUCAUUGUGUUGUUUUUCAACAUUGAGUGAAUAUUGAGUUUAUACUAAAAUUAGUAGUGGUUUUGACCUACAAGUGAGAUUUUAAAGGGAUCAUAUAUUCCCUUAUGGAUUGACUCACUAUUGAUGGAACUUAUAACAAUAGGUAUUCUCAAUAAAGGUACCAUUUUAUCUCAUGAGAUUAAGAUAAAGUGUCUUAUUUGGUAAUCCUAAGAAAGUGUGUUUAUAUAAAUUAUGACUAUAGUAGUUCCUUAAGCGGUAUUGGACAUAAGCUCUUUGUAAGCUAAGAUUGAACAAGCAUAAAAGAAGAAUAGCUUAAUAAGGGCAAACAAAUUUAAGUUAAAACUGUUUUUCACAAGAAGGAAAAAAGAGAGAAGGCCACACAAGAGUGAUAAUUAGAAAAAUAUUAUGUACUAGUAACAAAAUGAUGGAGGGUCCCAAAGAGAAUUGUCUUUCACUUAAGCAUGAAUCUUAAAAAAAGUGAUGGCAACUUUUGGCCACUCAUAAUCACUACUUGAAAUGCUAUUCUUCACCAUACCACCAUAAAAUUGGUAUCUUUAAUCCACUUCUCAGCAAACAACAUUUUGAAAAGAAAAAUCCCUUUCAUCCAUUUUGGAGAAACACCAUCUAGUUACAAAUGAAAUUCUAAUCUAAGAAUUUAGCCAUAAGUAGUUCUUCUAUGAAAUAGCAUUCCAAACACACCUUCGUAUGGUCAAAAGUCAUCCAACUCAAAUACUAGAAUGAGUAGACUCGAUCUAAUUUUAUGACUCCGAAUGAAAUAUCUGCUCCUUGGAAUAAAAUGUAAAGAAUAUUUUUCUUUUAAUUUAUUUUAGGGAAACAUCUCCUAGGAUGUGGUCAGAAAGAAAAUUUAGAAUGCAUUUGGGAGUGAUUCUAAAAAGCGUUUCUCACAUUUUUAACCCUUGAAUGAUAAAAAUUUUCAAGUAUUAGAAAUAUUAAAAGCGCUUCUUAUAAUCACUACCAAAUGGGCUUUUAAUACAAGAAUAUAGUUAAAAUAAUCUAGAAAGUUGUAUUGGAAACAUUCCUUCAAUUAGAAAAAAAAAUUAAAUUAACAUUUUUAACAAGAUCAACUUAUUAUGAUUAAUUAUAAAUUUAAAAUUUUGUAGAAAUACAUAAUCAAGAUCCGAUUAGACUAGCGUUGCCAAUACAUGUCUGAUCCAAAAUGAAUUCGGAGUGAUACUUCUUUUCAAACCCAACUUAAAUUAUAAAUUAAGGAAUCCAAGAUUCUAAAAGAUGGUGCCAAGGAGCACGUAACAAUAAUGAUGAGAUAAGAAAAUAAGUGUAGACUGAAUACAGAAGAAUUGGAACCAAGUAGAGUUGAAAGUGAAUUGAGAGUGAAAGGACAGCUUGUAAGAGGACAUUUCUGGUUCUCAUUCAAAGUAAUGAAUUCUAUGUCGGUAGGCGUUCUGUUCUGCCUUCCUUGUUUUCUUUCUCUUUCACAAGGACUUGAUUAGGAAGACUUGAAGCCAAACCGAAGCAUUCCCACUUGCAACUUAGAUUAUCACUACAUUUGUCAAAGUCAAGUUGGACCAAGUGUUCAGUUUGGGUGUGAAUACAUUAACCAAUAAUUAUAUCAGCAAUAGCUUGAUAGGGUUUAUUCAGAGAGGACAACUUAAAAGGUGAAACGCAUCACACUAAUUUAGGAAAUUUUAGAAAAUGAUUGGACUAUAAUAAUACCCAAGCGAAGAAGAAAAAAUAAAUGGUAUUAAAAGCUAAAAUGAUAGAUGAAAUGUUUGUGGAUGACCUCUAAUCAGUUUUAUUUUUCUUUUUAAUUUUUUUUUAAUUUUAGCACUUAAAUGUUGGGUUUGAUUAAACAAUUAAUGAGAGAUAGAUAAUAGAAAUGAAUUGGAAACAGGCAUUGAUUGCAUGUCCUUAGACGGUUUUAUUUUUUAAAGGAAAGACAAAUGUUAAAACACACUCUUAAACUCUUUCUCCACUUGUCCAUUUUUUUUUUCAAAUAAAAAUAAAUAUGAUUGGAUAAACAUACCCUCUUCUUCAUCUUCUUAAUACCACUCCCUCACCAACCUUAGUUCUUCAAUUUCCUUCCCUUCCCUUCCUUCACCUACUAUAUAUUAUUGCUAUUACAGAAAGGGUUUUCCUUUAAGGUUAGGAAAGAUCAAACCAACUUAAUAUUUAUGCAAGUAAUGGAAAUAAAUUAUAUUAAGGCUACUCUUCCCAAAAUCAAAAGUAUUAAAAAGUUCAUGAAAUUUAAGGAAGAACAUACCAAACUAGUAACAACUCUUUUUUUAGGACAUUAAUGGCUCAGUUGAUCACCAUGCAUGAAAUUUAAUGGUUCAUGGAGGAUAAGUAUCUCUUAAUAUAUUUCAUAUUUAAUUCCUUGUCUCUUAAACAAUAUGGGUCAUUUCAAUUGAAUUAUAAUAUUUUUAAGGAUAAGUAGAAUGUUAAUAAAUUGGUUACUACCCUUGUCCAAGAGGAGAUAGGGCUAAAGCAACAAAUGAACUCAUGCACUUCAUUUUAUAAGCUUUCAACUAGCUAGAAAGAAGUCUACAAAGGGCACAAUCCAAUGACCAUAAUUGAAAUUAAAUGAGUCUUAUAAAGAUUCCCAAAAGAAUGAACAACAAGAAUAAUAAAAUAUCAUUUUUGAAAGAAAAUUGGGCAGUAUAAAAAAGAUUGCUAGCUAGAAACAUAAUGCAUCAUUUUUUUUAGAAAGAUAAGUUGAGUACUUACAUACAUUUUGAAUCAAAUUUAACAGAAGAUCCUUACAACCCUUAGUGGAUUGAUUCACACAUAACUACUCAUAUUUCUAACACAGCACAAGGAUUCUAUAAAAUCCAAAUCAUAAAUCUAAAUGAGAACUUAAAUCCAAUCAAAGCUCCAAUUGAAGCCGCUAGAAUUUGGCAUUUGAAUUUUAAGCUCCAAUUAAAUACAUUGGGAUUUAUUGUUUGAAUUUUAAACAACCAUUAGACUUGUUCUAGACACUUCAUAUAUAUUGUUUUCAAGCAAUUUGAUUUCUUUGUCUAAAAUUGAUGCUUCUGGAUACACUUUCAAAUUUAGGAAUAGGUGUUUCAAUUUUUCUAAAAAUAAUCAUCUCCUAAAUUUUAGUAUCUUACAUGAUGAUUUGUACAAGUUGAAAGGUGAGAAUCUUCUAAAUUAUAAAAAUUUUAGUACCAGAAUGUUUAGUAGAUAAGCCUUUAGCUUUCUUGUGGCAUAAAUGUUGGGGAUUAGUUAAUAAUGAAAUUCCUCCAAACUUAAAUUUAACUGAUACUCAAUGUGUAUGUGGAUUAUAUUAGAGUAAAACCAACUAAACUCCCUAAGAAAUGAGGUACUAGGAGAAUAAAACUUCUUGAGAUUAUAUACAUGAUAUAUGUAGGCAUUUUGAUACCCAUCAUUUGGUGGAGAAAAAUAUUUGUCAAUUUUAUUGAUGAUUUUCCACGUCAUGAUUAUGUUUACCUAUUGCAUAAAAAAAAAAAAUAAAAAAAUAAAAAAUCUCAAUUAACGAGCAUCUUUGGGCCAUACACUAGUGGGGUUGAAAGAUAUAAAAAAGAUGAAAAUUGUAAAGUCAUAUGUGGGUGGUGACUAUUAUGAUAAUUACAAUGAAUCAAUAAAUGUCUUGGAUCAUUUGCUAAAUUCCUUGAAAGAGAUGACAUGUGUGCUCAAUAUGUUAUGUAAGGCACACUAAUAAAGUGAUGUAAUUGAAAAACAUAAUCGUACUUUGAUGAACAUGAUUAAAAGUAUUUCAAGUAAUUUGUUUUUAUCCUUUUUAUUGUAGUUACAUUUUUUGAAAACCAUCAUUUAUUUUUUGAACUGCAUUCCUAGUAAGGCAUAUCCAAAGUUUCCUUUCAAACUAUGGACUAAAAGAAAACCUAGGUUAAGGCACAUGCACGUUUGAGGUUGUGAUGGGGGUUAGAAUAUGUAAUUCAAAGGGAAAGAAAUUAGAUUUUAAAAUGAUAAGUGGAUAAUUUAUUGGUUGUCCAAAAUAGUCUAGAAGUACAAAUUAAAUUUAUUGUCCAACUUAUAGUCCAAGGAUUUUAGAAAUUGGAAAUGCUAGAUUCAUAGAAAAUGGAGAAAUUAGUGGGAGUGGAGAACCGUGUAAUAUGGUUAUUAAUGAAGAAGUUAGGAUACAAGUUCCUUUACCCAAAACUUCAAAGGUUGUUGUUCCUAUAUAUACAAUUGUCAAACAAUUUGAUAACAUUUAAGAACAAAAAGUGAAUGAUCAAGCUUUUCAUAAUGAAACUAUAUUAAUUAACCCGUAGUAGACGAACCACAUGAAAUAGCAUUAAGGUCUCAAAAGAAAGGAGAUUAUGAAAAUCAUGUGGUACAUUUAUAAGUCAAUAUUUAACUUAAGAAUCAAUAAAGAUCCUACUUCAUUUUCACAUGCCCUAAAAGGUAUUGAUUUAGUUAAUUAAAUGGGUCGAUGCUAUGAAAUAAGCUAAAAUCAACAAAACAAAGUUGGCAUCUUGUUGAAUUGUUUGAAAGUCAUAAAAAUUUCUAUGUAAAUAGGUCUUUAAAACCAUGAAUAUAGUAGAAAUUUUGGCAAUAUAAAACCAUAUUGUUUGCCAAAGGUUUUAAUAAAAAGAAAAUGGCACAAAUAACGUAUUUCAUUGACAAGGGAGAGAUCUAGAGUAUUCACUUGCCAAGGUUAAAAGAUUCCCCCACAAUAAUAAUCACCUUCAACAAUAAUUAACAACCUAACAAGAAUCAAGAUUGAUAAUUAAGAAAAUUCAACCAAAAAGGGGACACCAAAUAUAACAUGGAAAAACCCUCCAAAUGGAGAUAAAAAACCACUGAAUUCUACUUUAAUAAGGGGGGAUACUAUAAUUAAGUCCUCAAAUUUCUUCGUCUUGAAAAGUUAUAUAAAUAUCUCAAUACCUAAGGUGGGAAUCCAUCACCUUAGGAAACAUGAACAGAAAGAAAUUAGGGAAAAAAAAUAUACCAUAGGGACUUCCCAAAAAGGUUGAUGAAAAAAACUUGUAACUUCACUUUGAGUCCCAAAAUAGUGCCCAAAAAACAACCCUAAUUUUAUUUUUAUUUUUAAAUCAAAUCUUCCUUCUCUCAUAAUACCAAAGAUCUAAUGCUCAUGGGUUAAACAAACAUAGCCUAACAAUCUCCCCCUCUAGCACAUGAGCGAGGAAUGCCAAUCUAUAACUCCAACACAUGGAGUUUAAACCCUGCUGUCGUAAUGGACAAUUGAAGCUUCUACUGGGGAACAACCUUUAUAAAUAUAUCUGAGGCAUUGUUGUUUCUAUUAAUCUUCUUCAAUUUGGCUACAUUUUCUUCAACUAUAUUGUCCUUUCACAUAUAUUUUUCUUAAUUUUUAUGUUUUUUUUAAAUAAAAAUAAAAAAAGAGAUGUGGAUAUAAAAAGAGAAAUGAUGGAUGUGUUUAAAAUUUAUCUUCCCUAAAACAUUCUCAUAUUAUCUUUUUAAAAGAAUUCAAAAAUACUUUCUACUAAUUUUUUUCUUAUUUUCAUUAUUAUUAUGAUUAUUAUUAUUAUUUUUCAUGAUAUUCAAAUAUAAGAAAACAUCUCCCUUAAUAUGCAAAAUUUUCAAAUUUUCAUAAUUAUUAUUUGUAAAAGGUGGGGCCAUUGAAUAAGACUUCCUUAAGAGAGCCUUGAUUCUCUCUCUCUCUCUCUCUCUCUCUCUCAUCCUUCUAUUUUCUUGCCAAUUUAAAAAGACUUUAGGAAGACCUUGAUGCCUAAAACUAUAUACAAAGUGAACCCUCAAUUAGGCCGAAACAUCAACCUCAUACUCUCAUGAUCAAUUCAAUAAUGUUUCCGACCAAUAAAACUCUUGUAUAAAUGGUCGAAAAAUGUCUACAUAAUUAAAUUUAUUUUUUAUCAGAUGAAUUAAGAAUUAUAAUUAUAGUUGAAACAUGGUCUUUGAGAAGACAACUGAAAAUAAUUGAAACCUUAUGAAAAUAUUUAGGAGAGGUGAGAAAAUGUUGAUCACCAUACCGAGUAAUGUGAAUAAAUGGAAAGAAAAAAUGUUCAGCUUAAAGAAUUGACCAUUCACUACGUGUUGUUUGAGCUAAACAAAAGGUAGGCCAAAAAAAAUGACUGAGACUUCCUUUUUAUGUUGAUGGAACGCACAAAAGAAUUCCGAAUUUCCAAGUGAUAAUGACUUUAUUAUUAUAGAUAGUUUUAUAUUUUCAUUAUAAAAUGAAAUGGUGCAAAUAUUGAAUUCAUUCAAUAUCACUGUCUUUCUAAAUUAAGUCAACUAUACAUGUAUAAGUCUAUAAAAUUGAAUUAAAUAUUUAUAUUCUUUUAUCAAAAUAAUACAAAAUCAUAGUUAAUAUGUUUUUUUAAGAACAAAAGCAGGAAAUAAAUAAAUAAAUUUCCACACAAAUUGUUGUGUGGAAAAAAUGAAUAAAUUUUUGAAAAAGAAAAUAAUAAAUUGUUGUGUGACUUGGAAUAACAUGAAUGGGAAAAUAAUUGAAAGAAAAAGCAAAAAUGGUCAAAUUAAGGUGAUGUUUGUUAUUUUACUUCAUUCUAAAUAGAACUUUAAUAUUUAAUAGUAUUAAGUAUUAGACUAUUUAUUUCUAUUAAGUAUUAAAAGGUAAAGAAAAUCAAUAUAUAUUACUUUUUAUAUUUAGAAAAAAAAACCAAAUAUUUUGACUUUUUCUAUUUAACAAAAAAUUUAUAAUAAGUCAUGAAAAAAAUAUAAAAACAAACAACCAAAAGUUUGAAAAUAAAUUGCUUUUACAAAAAACUAAAAAAACAAACACCCUCUAAGAUUUUGAUUAAUAAUGAUAUUAAUGGUCAAGAGUGAAGAGAUUAAAAGGGAACUCACUCCUCCAAAAGGUUUAAAUUGGAUCAUUCUUAAAACUUCACUUAAAGAUCAAUUUUAGCGUUAUGAUGGUUGAUUGAGAAGUGGAUUAAUUUUCUAAUAUUAAUUGUCCUAUGAUGAUGAUGAUGAUGAUUAUUAUUAUUAUUGUUAUUAUUAUAUUUAAAAUAUGCUGUGGAAAAAUGUAUAUAAAGAAAAAAACAAGAUAUAUAAAGUGAGGUGUCAUCUUAUGUGUAACUAUAUAACCGUUUCUCAUCUUGAAACAUCCAUAAAAGUAAUGUUUAAACAUGUGUGGGCUUAGUAGUCUCUCCCAGCUGCUGCCAAUGAGAAUUCUAUUCUUUUUAUGGAUUUUAUUCAUGCCCUUAUGCCCGAUCUUUUUUGGUAUGCAUUGUACUUCGGUGUCUGGCGAAUGUCUGAGUGAUGGGAGGGUAUGCCUGGAAGAUGAGGUGUUGUUGCUGCUGCAACUGAAGAGCAGCCUCAUAUUUAAUACUGCUGCAUCGAAUAAACUAGUUUCCUGGAUUCAAAGCGCGGACUGCUGUUCUUGGGGAGGUGUAACCUGGGACGCCACUGGUCGUGUUGUCUCUCUUGAUCUCAGUAGCGAAUUCAUUUCUGGUGAACUCAAUAGCUCCAGUAGCAUUUUCAGUCUACAAUAUCUCCAGAGCUUGAAUUUGGCUAACAACACCUUCUCUUCUCAAAUUCCAGCAGAAUUCCACAAGCUUGGAAACUUAACUUACCUGAAUUUGUCCAACGCUGGCUUUUCUGGGCAGAUUCCAAUUGAGAUUUCCUACUUGACAAAGUUGGUUACUAUUGAUCUAUCUAGCCUUUAUUUCAUCACCGGUAUCCCAAAACUGAAACUUGAGAACCCAAAUCUGAGAAUGCUGGUUCAGAACCUCAAGAAGCUAAGAGAACUCCAUCUUGACGGUGUAAUCAUAUCAGCCCAGGGAAAGGAGUGGUGCUGGGCAUUAUCAUCUUCAGUACCUAAUCUCCAAGUGCUGAGCUUGUAUAGCUGCCAUCUUUCAGGCCCUAUACAUUAUUCCCUGAAGAAGCUUCAGUCCCUCUCAAGGAUUCGUCUGGAUGAUAACAAUAUUGCUGCUCCAGUUCCAGAAUUCCUCUCCAAUUUCUCAAAUUUGACUCACUUGCAGCUCAGUUCUUGUGGAUUAUAUGGAACAUUUCCAGAAAAGAUCUUUCAGGUACCAACCCUCCAGACUCUUGAUUUGUCAUACAACAAGUUGCUCCAGGGUUCUUUGCCAGAAUUCCCUCAGGGUGGAUGUCUAGAAACCUUGGUGCUCUCGGUUACAAAAUUUUCAGGGAAAUUACCCAACUCCAUAGCGAAUCUCAAGAGGUUGGCUAGAAUAGAGCUUGCAGAUUGUGAUUUCAGUGGUCCAAUCCCAACGGUGAUGGCAAACCUUACUCAAUUGGUUUACUUGGACUUCUCUCAUAAUAAGUUCUCUGGUGCAAUCCCAUCUUUUAGUUUGUCCAAGAAUCUAACCCUAAUAGACCUUUCUCAUAAUAAUUUAACAGGUCAGAUUUCUUCCUCUCACUGGGUUGGUUUUGUGAAUUUAGUGACUAUUGACUUUUGUUACAAUUCACUGUAUGGAAGUCUCCCGAUGCCCCUGUUCUCCCUCCCGUCACUGCAGAAGAUAAAACUUAACAACAACCAAUUUUCUGGUCCAUUUGGUGAAUUUCCAGCUACGUCUUCUCAUCCCAUGGAUACCCUUGAUUUGAGUGGCAACAAUCUGGAAGGGCCAAUACCUGUAUCCCUCUUUGAUCUCCAGCAUCUUAACAUCCUUGACCUUUCUUCCAACAAAUUCAAUGGCACUGUUGAGCUAAGCCAGUUUCAGAAACUUGGAAAUCUUACUACUCUUAGUCUUUCGUACAACAACUUGUCCAUCAAUCCAAGUCGUAGUAAUCCCACUUCUCCUCUUCUGCCAAUUCUUUCCACGUUAAAAUUGGCUUCUUGCAAGCUCAGAACAUUACCUGAUCUUAGCAGCCAGUCAAUGUUGGUAAUUUUAGACCUUUCCCAAAACCAAAUUCCGGGGAAAAUACCAAAUUGGAUUUGGAAGAUUGGUAAUGGCUUUCUUUCUCAUUUGAAUCUCUCUCAUAAUUUACUGGAGGGUUUGCAGGAACCUUUGUCCAAUCUUCCUCCGUUUCUGUCUACCCUUGACCUUCAUUCCAACCAGCUCCGUGGGCCAAUCCCCACUCCACCAUCUUCCACCUAUGUGGAUUACUCAAACAACAGGUUCACCUCUUCCAUUCCCGAUGAUAUUGGUACUUACAUGAACGUCACUGUUUUCUUCUCUCUUUCAAAGAAUAACAUCACUGGAAUUAUUCCUGCAUCAAUCUGCAAUGCCCAUUACCUGCAAGUUCUUGACUUUUCUGACAACAGUUUAAGUGGCAAAAUACCCUCAUGUUUGAUUGAGAACGGGGAUCUUGCAGUGCUGAAUCUACGGAGAAACAAGUUUAAGGGCACUAUACCUGGGGAAUUCCCAGGUCACUGUCUUUUACAGACCCUAGAUCUCAAUGGGAAUCUUUUAGAAGGAAAAAUUCCAGAGUCUCUGGCCAAUUGCAAAGCAUUAGAGGUUUUAAACCUUGGGAACAAUCGGAUGAAUGAUAUCUUUCCUUGCUGGUUGAAGAACAUUAGCAGUCUGCGUGUUCUUGUUUUGCGAGCCAACAAAUUCCAUGGACCCAUUGGAUGUCCAAAUAGCAAUUCCACCUGGCCAAUGCUUCAAAUUGUCGAUUUAGCUUGGAACAAUUUUAGCGGUGUGUUGCCAGAAAAAUGUUUCUCAAACUGGAGAGCAAUGAUGGCAGGUGAAGAUGACGUCCAAUCCAAGUCCAAUCACCUGCGAUUUAAGGUCCUAGCAUUCAGUCAAUUGUACUAUCAGGAUGCAGUAACAGUUACCAGCAAAGGUCAAGAAAUGGAGCUUGUGAAGGUCCUAACUCUCUUCACUUCCAUUGAUUUCUCAUGCAAUAAUUUCCAAGGGGACAUACCAGAAGAUAUAGGAGACUUGAAGUUACUUUAUGUUCUCAACUUAUCUGGUAAUGGUUUCACAGGCCAAAUCCCAUCAUCACUAGGACAGCUGCGACAGCUUGAGUCAUUAGACCUCUCACUGAACAAGCUGAGCGGGGAGAUCCCUGCACAGCUCUCGAGCCUAAAUUUCCUUUCGGUCCUGAACCUCUCUUUCAAUGGAUUGGUGGGAAGGAUCCCUACAGGUAAUCAAUUGCAAACAUUUUCAGAAAAUUCAUUUGCAGGUAACAGAGGAUUAUGCGGCUUCCCUUUAAAUGUAAGUUGCGAAGAUGCUACACCACCCACGUUUGAUGGCAGGCACUCAGGUUCCAGGAUAGCGAUUAAGUGGGACUACAUAGCUCCUGAAAUUGGAUUUGUGACAGGGCUGGGAAUCGUGAUUUGGCCUCUUGUGUUGUGUAGGAGAUGGAGGAAAUGCUACUACAAACAUGUUGAUGGAAUUCUUUCAAGGAUUCUCCAUCAGAAAAACCAAGGAAGAGAAAGUGGUGGAAGACGAGGUCACGGAAUUCGGAGGCGGAGAAUGUAGCACUGAUGAAGAGGGAUGUGACCACUGGCCAUGAGUCUAUUUCCAUUAAUUCAAUCCGAAACAUUAAAAAGGGGUCCAUAAUAUUAUUUAAGUAAAUGUAUAAUUUUAUAUUUGGACAAUGCCAUGGUGUAGAUUUUUAUAGUAACGUUACUCUUACCUUUAGUGAUGCGAGUAUCAUGGUAUAUAAAUAAACGGUUUUUAUAUAAUAAAGAAUUUAAGUUGUAAAACCACUCCAUGAAAGCUUUCCUACAAAUAUAACAUGUUAUAUUUAAGAAAUUUGAAACAAAGCUAUAGAAAAUUGUUUUUACAUAUUAAAUAGAAAAUAUCUUUUCUACCCAUGUCCAGAAAUGCUUUUUAUGUACAGCCACAGUCUAUAACCAUUUUAAACCUACCCAAAUUAAAAUUCUAACUAGGGUGAUUCAGGGAGCCACUCAAGCUGGGCUGGAGAAUGGGUAAAGAUAUGUUGGCUGGAUGUGGGCCCGAGUUGGGCUAAACUUCGUUGGGUGGAUUUCUGUUGGUAUUAAAAAAUAUGGGCCUGGUUGUUACAAACGAAGACCCCCAAUGAGGGAGCUAGGUCCAUAUUCAGCCCAAUCAGCACAUCUGAAGCCAUAAGGGAUUUAACAACAUGAGCUUGAAAACUAAAACCCAAAACCAUUCCCUAAAUUAUCAAAAUCCAUGUCCAGCUUGGCAUUCAAAUUGAAUUUCCCUAAGCAGGUUCAAUCUCUCCUUCCCUAUUUCACCCUUUAUGAAUCCAUGACCUUCACAUCAUACCCCGCAAAUGACUGUACAGUUUUUGGGUUUGUUUUUGCCUUCCUAAUCAACUUUUAUGUUAAGGUAAAGAAUUCAUUUGGGUCUUCACAUAGUAGUUUAUCUAUCAUUUGUAAUUAUUGUGAGAAAAGAUUAUAUAAUUUCACUUCUUUUUUUUUUUUUUCAUCUAGUUUUAGGAUGCAUUGGUACAUGGAAAUGAAAAUGGAAAUAUGAUGGAAAUGGAGGUAAAUAAUAAGUGAGAGUAAAAUUUAGUUUCCAUGAUAAUGAAUCUUUUUAUUCCUAUUUUCAUUCUAAGAAACUAUUCAACCACAUUAAUGAAAGGAAAAUUGAAUUGAUUUCUCAUUCCUUAUUUUGCUAUUCCAAACAUGGCUUUUAAUCUAUUUUACUUUUAAAAGAAAGAAAAACUUAUCUUUAAGGACUCAAGGAUGUACCAAACGUAAUUAGAGUUGGUAAGUAGUUAAUAGAUUGUCCAUUGUUUGUAACUAAUUAGAAGGUUGUAAGUUAUAUAAUUUGUGGCUACUUAUUAGUGUUGCUGUGUGGUUGUUCAAUUUUUUAGUUUUUAUUUUUUUUAUCAAUUUUCUCUCAAACAAGUGCUCUGGAUCUCUUACGUACUCUCUCCAUAUUGAUUGUUUUGUACGUAGCUACCAAAGAGUUUUAGAAAGUGUAUGCUUGAGGCACAUAACAUGAGAUCUUUCAAAGUUUGCAAAUCAUAACAAAAAAAGAUAUGUAGAUUUGUGACACUUUGAGGUAAUGAGACAUUGGAGAUGGAAAUAUUGAAAAUGAUGUCUCUUCUCUCAUUAAAAUUUUUCUCUUGGUUGAAAAUUUAUAGCACAAUUUAUUGAAUAUUAAUUAAUUUUGUGACAAAGAUUUUUAUAUUAUUUUUUUUUUUACUUAAUUUGUUGUAUUAUUAAAGAUAUUCAAAAUGAUGAAAUCAUUUCCUGAGGGUCAUAAAAAUAAAACGGUUUAUACUACAAAACAUAAUAAAAAAUAUAAUUAAUGACCAUGAAAUUUUUUUUCUAUAUAUGAUUAAUUCGAUUUGAAGACUAAUAUAAGUGUUUAAUCAUCUCUAAUCUUACAUAUUCAUCCCAAUGUUACUUUUUAAUAAGCCUUUUUCCUAGAGUCAACAAUCUCUCCCCUAAGAUAGAGCUCCUAUAAUUCGAACUCAUGAUCUAAUUUUGAUAUCACUUGUUAAGAUCAAGAACUUAGCUAUAUUAUCUUUGAAAAUCAAUUUGCUAUCAAUGAGGUCAUCCUAAUCCUUUUUAUGUGGUUCUCGUUCGUACUCAUCUUGAGACUUAACCAUCUCGAGUGAAAUAUUGGUGCCUUAGCAUCUUCCGCUUUACACAUUUUUCAAUAGCCAUUUUUUGUAAGAAGCAACAAUAUUAUUGCACACUUAACAACUUUCUCCUUCCUUUGUCUUACGUAGUUUGAUGCUUUGAUAGGACAAUGACCAGAACCGGAGAUUAGAGGAUGACCAACAAUGACCACCUUUUUGAUGCCCUAAUUCAUGAAUAACUAACAUGCUUUGAUACUAUUUUGAAUCUUUGAUACUCUGAUUCACCAAUGGCCUUCAAACUGACGAGUUGAUUCCAUUUCAAAUUAGUGUGUUAAUGAUGCUGAUGCUGUUCUGAUUAGAGGAAGCUGAUGGUGCUCGAAUUUGAAGCUGGGGAUUCUGUUGCAGGGUACUGAUUAUACCAGUGCUAUAAUAUGGUAGUGAUUUUGUUUAUUGGAGAAGGAGAUUUUGAAUAUUUGAUCGAUGCUGCUAGUUGAAAGGUAUUUUUGAUAUUUAAAUAUUUUUGAUGAAUAUGCUCCAAUCCAGGACAUUGUUUGAUCAAUAGGCCCAAUACGUAAUUUCCUAGUUUGUUUUUUAGUAAUUGGAAGUAAAGAGAAAUUUGAGGGUGUGCAAACUUAAGGGUAAGUGAGUUUGACAUUACAAGUGGCUAUUGUGAAAAUUUAUGUAGAAUCUAUUAUUUUUUAAUUUUUUAUAAUUAUUUUAAUUUUAAUAAUAUAUAAAUUAUGUGUUUAUAGCAUUAUCAAUUUGAUCAAAGUUCAAUGAAUAGUUUGACUGUUGAACCGUAAAUCAAUGACUUUUUCAAUUUAGUUCUCUAAAAUAUUAAACAUUGCAAAUGGGAGUACAUAUUAAUUAAAAAACAAACAAACAAAACUUAUCUUUACGUCAAGAACUUCAUAUUUGCUCAUUUUAGGACUUUUAAUAAUGGAGGAACGUAUCAUGCAUUUGCCAUAAUGAAUGAUUUAGGUACAUAUGAGUUUUAUUUUUAAGUUAUAAAAAUGAACCUUCUCUUUUUCUGUCAAAAUCUUGCAAAAAGGUUAAAAAUGAAAAACAAAAAAAAAUUACAAUCACUUAUAAUCUGUAUUGAUCAUGGACAUAAUUUUUCUAUUUCUAAAACACCUUAAUAGAUAGGUUGUUGAAGAGAAAAAUAAAUCUAUAUAAGAAACGACAAAAACUUGGCUUAAUGAAAACAAUUUUUCUUAAUGAAAAUAGUUUUCUAAUUAUUUUGGGUGAAAGCAUUUAAUAUUACUUGCUAUAUUUUAAAUAACGUUUGAUAGAUAAACUCAUCAUUAGAGUUUUCAAGGUCUUUAUGUUCUUUACGUAAACUUUUUAAGAUGAUCUUUAAUAUUCUUUAUUCAGUAAUAAUGUUUUUGUUUUUAUUACUUGAUUUGUAUAUUAAAAAAGUAAUUAAGCUCCCUUACCAUAUGCUCAUUUCAAAUUCAUUUUCUAUAUAUAUACUAAGAGAAUUAUUGACAAAGAGAGAUGCUAGUAGCACUAAAUAUUAUGUUGUCAACAUAAAUUUAAACUAAGAGCAUGUCAUUACAUUUGGUUUUAAUAAAUAUUUUAGUGUCCAUUCUAUCCAUUUUUAAUCUAUUAUCAAGCAUAGUUUUGUUUACCCAAUUGAAUUAGAAGUGAACAUCAAAAUAUUUUUUUCCAAACUUUAUGAAAGUCACAAUAUGUAGCAUUUAACAUGUAUGAGGUUUACAUGUAACGGUCAAUAUUUUUACUCAACCUUGUUUGAAAUUAAUAUAUAAACUCAUAUUAUUUCAAAUGGGUAGAAUUUGUUUUGUGAAAAUUUCAAGGCAUGAAACAACUUCUCAUAUAAAUUAAAAAAGAAUAUGAAAAAACUUAAAUACAUCAUCCAUACUUUUUCAUACUAUUUUUUUUUUUAAUGAAAUGACUUAAAUAAAUUCAAGAGCAUUUACGUCCUUAAAAACGUGUUUAAAGAAAAUAAAAGAAGAAAAGAAAGCAAAAUAAAACAAAACUUAAAUACAUUAUCAAUGUAACUCAAAAAGAAAAGGAAAAAAAACUUAAAUAUAAUAUCCAUAUUUUUAUAUUGAACAAUUUUUCAUUAAAAUUAACUAAAUAAGUUUGAAUGCAAGUUCAAACUUAAUUUAAUCCUAAAAUUAACUAAAAUUUAAUUUUAAUGCUAGGUUCAUAGAAAAUGCUAGGUUCAUAGAAGAUGGUGAGGUUAAUUAGUGAGAGUCAAGAACUAUGUAAUAUGAUUAUUAAAGAAGUUAGAAUGCAACUUCCUUUAACCAAAACUUCAAAGAUUGUUGUUCCUUACAAUUAUUAAACAAUUUGAUAACAUUUAAAAACAAAAAGUGAAUGAUCCAACUUUUCAUAAUGAAAUUGCACUAAUUAACCCAUAGUAGAGGAAGGGCACGCGUGAAAUAGCAUCAAGGUCUCAAAACAAAGGAGAUUAUGCAAAUCAUGUGGUACAUCUAUAAGUCAAAAAUUUAACUUUUUCAUUUUUACAUGCCCUAAAAGAUAUUGAUUUAGUUAAUUAAAUGGACCAAUGUUAUGAAAUGGGCUAAAAUCAAUGAAACAAAAGUUGACAUAUUGUUGAAUUGUUUAGAAGUCAUAAAAAUUUCAGUGUAAAUAGGUCUUUAAAACCAUGAAUCUAGUAGAAAUGUUGACAAUAUAAAACCAUAAUUUUUGCCAAAGGUUUCAACAGAAAAAAAAAAAAAAAUGGCAUGAAUCACGAAUAUCCCUGUCUCACCCCAUCUCUAAAACACGUUCAUUUAGAAUCUUUAUGGCAUUGAUAGACUUGGAGUAACACAUUCAUUUUAAAAUGACUUAACGUAGCUAGGAAGACUUUGAGGUCUAAAGUUAUAGAGAAGUCAAUAAGCUCUUGGGAAAAACAUGAAGCACAUACGUCUUCUAUAGGACAAGAUAGGAGUAUUGUAUGUUCUCUUUGCCACAGCGACUCCUGUCACUCUCACAGCCAACUUCCAUGAUCCUUCCCACAGAAGUAUCAAAGUCGAGGUGGUCGACCAAGAUCUCUGUUAUAGUGUGAAUACCUUUACCACAAAGAGUUGUAAGAUAAGCAUGAAGAAUGUGUUCAAGAUACAUUUAGAAUGCUGUGUUGUUUAUGCAUAACUAGACACCCCCCUUUCUUUUUUCUUUCUGUUCAAACAUCUACAAAAAAAUAAAAUAAAAUAAAAUAAAAAAUCAUAUUAAACAUGUUUUGUUGUAGCAGUAUCUCCCAGCUGCUUCCAAUGAGAAUCCAAUUCUUUCAAUGGCUUUAUUUCUUGCCCUUAUGCUUAAUCGUUUUUGGUAUCCAUGUUGCUUUGGUGUCCGGGGAAUGUCUGAGUGAUGGGAGCACAUGCCUGGAGGAUCAGAUGUCCUUGUUGCUGCAACUGAAGAGCACCCUCAAACACAAUGUUGCUGCAUCAAGUAAACUAGUUUCCUGGAAUCCAAGCGGGGAUUGCUGUUCUUGGGGAGGUGUAACCUGGGACUCCAGCGGUCAUGUUGUCGGACUUGAUCUGAGUAGCGAAUUGAUUUCUGGGGGGUUCAAUAGUUCCAGUAGUCUUUUCAGUCUACAACAUCUCCAGCGCUUGAAUUUGGCUAACAACAGCUUCAACGAUUCUCAAAUUCCGUCUGGAUUCGGUAAGCUUGGCAAUUUGAUUUACCUGAAUUUGUCUAGCGCUGGGUUUUCUGGGCAGAUUCCAAUUGAGAUUUCACGCUUGACGAGGUUGGUUACUAUUGAUUUCUCUAUCCUUUACUUCCUUGGACUUCCUACGCUGAAACUCGAGAACCCAAAUCUGAGAAAGCUGCUUCAGAACCUCAGAGAGCUUAGAGAACUCCAUCUUAAUGGUGUAAAUAUAUCGGCUGAGGGGAAGGAGUGGUGCCAGUCAUUAUCAUCUUCAGUGCCUAAUCUCCAAGUGCUGAGCAUGCCAAACUGUUAUCUUUCUGGCCCUCUUGAUUCUUCCUGCAGAAGCUUCGGUCUCUCUCAAGCAUUCGCCUGGACAAUAAUAACUUCUCUGCUCCUGUUCCAGAAUUCCUUGCGAAUUUCUUGAAUUUGACUCUAUUGCGGCUCAGUUCUUGUGGAUUACAUGGAACCUUUCCAGAGAAGAUCUUUCAGGUACCAACCCUACAGAUUCUUGAUUUGUCAAACGACAAGUUACUACAAGGUUCUUUGCCGAAAUUCCCUCAGAAUGGAUCUCUAGGAACCUUGGUGCUCUCGGAUACAAAAUUCUCAGGGAAAGUACCAUACUCCAUAGGCAAUCUCAAGAGGUUGACUAGAAUAGAGCUUGCAGGUUGUGAUUUCAGUGGCCCAAUCCCAAACUCGAUGGCAGACCUUACACAACUGGUCUACUUGGACUUAUCUAAUAACAAGUUUUCCGGUUCAAUCCCACCUUUUAGUUUGUCCAAGAACCUGACCCGAAUAAACCUUUCUCAUAAUUAUUUAACAGGCCCGAUUUCUUCCUCUCACUGGGAUGGCCUAGUGAAUCUAGUGACUCUUGACUUGCGAGACAAUUCACUGAAUGGAAGUCUCCCCAUGCUCCUGUUUUCCCUCCCAUCACUGCAGAAGAUACAACUGAGCAACAACAAAUUUUCUGGUCCCUUGAGUAAAUUUUCAGUUGUGCCUUUUUCUGUACUGGAGACCCUUGAUUCGAGUAGCAACAAUCUGGAAGGGCCAAUACCUGUAUCUGUCUUUGAUCUCCAUUGUCUUAACAUCCUUGAUCUUUCUUCCAACAAAUUCAAUGGCACUGUUGAACUAAGCAGCUUUCAGAAACUUGGAAAUCUUAGCACUCUUAGUCUUUCAUACAACUUCUUGUCCACCAAUGCGAGUGUUGGUAAUCCCACUUCACCUCUGCUGUCGAAUCUUACCACAUUGAAAUUGGCUUCUUGCAAACUCAGUACAUUACCUGAUCUUAGCACCCAGUCAAGAUUGACACAUUUAGACCUUUCCGAUAACCAAAUUCGCGGGAGCAUACCUAAUUGGAUUUGGAAGAUUGGUAAUGGAUCUCUUAUGCAUUUGAAUCUCUCUCAUAAUUUACUGGAGGAUCUGCAGGAAACUCUCUAAUUUUACUCCUUAUUUGUCCAUCCUUGACCUACAUUCCAACCAGCUCCAUGGCCAAAUCCCCACUCCUCCCCAAUUUUCCAAAUAUGUGGAUUACUCAAACAACAGUUUCAACUCUUCCAUCCCAGAUGAUAUUGGUACUUACAUGUCCUUCACUAUUUUCUUCUCUCUUCCGAAGAAUAACAUCACUGGAAGUAUUCCUAGAUCCAUCUGCAAUGCAACUUACCUGCAAGUUCUUGACUUCUCUGACAAUGACUUUAGUGGCGAAAUACCAUCAUGUUUAAUUCAGAAUGAGGCUCUUGCAGUGUUGAAUCUAGGGAGGAACAAGUUUGUUGGCACUAUACAUGGGGAAUUGCUGCACAAGUGUCUUUUACGGACGCUAGAUCUCAGUGAGAAUCUUUUACAAGGAAACAUUCCAGAAUCUCUAGUUAAUUGCAAAGAGUUAGAGAUUUUAAACCUUGGGAACAACCAGAUUGAUGAUAUCUUUCCUUGCUGGUUGAAGAACAUAAGCAGUUUGCGUGUCCUUGUUCUGAGAGCCAACAAAUUCCAUGGAACCAUUGGAUGUCCCAAGAGUAAUUCUACCUGGGCAACGCUUCAGAUUGUCGACCUAGCCUUCAACAAUUUCAGUGGUAAGUUGCCAGCAAAAUGCUUAUCGACCUGGACAGCAAUGAUGGCGGGUGAAAAUGAAGUCCAAUCCAAGCUCAAAAUCCUGCAAUUUAGGGUUCAACAAUUCAGUCAAUUGUACUAUCAGGAUACUGUAAGAGUUAUCAGCAAAGGUCAAGAAUGAGUUGGUGAAGAUCCUAACUCUCUUCACCUCCAUUGACUGGUCGUACAACAAUUUUGAAGGGGAGAUACCAGAAGUGAUAGGGAACUUCACAUCCCUUUAUGUUCUCAACUUAUCGCAUAAUGGUUUCACAGGCCAAAUCCAAUCGUCAAUAGGGAAUCUGCGACAACUUGAAUCAUUAGACCUCUCGCAAAACAGGCUGAGUGGAGAGAUACCUACACAGCUUGCGAACCUAAAUUUCCUUUCAGUCCUGAACCUCUCAUUCAACCAAUUGGUGGGAAGGAUCCCUACAGGUAAUCAAUUGCAAACAUUUUCACCAAAUUCCUUCGUGGGUAACAGAGGAUUAUGCGGCUUCCCCGUAAACGUAAGUUGCGAAGAUGCUACACCACCGGCGUCUGAUGACGGGCACUCAGGCUCCGGGAUGGAGAUUAAGUGGGAAUACAUAGCUCCUGAAAUUGGAUUUGUGACAGGAUUGGGAAUCGUGAUUUGGCCUCUAGUGUUGUGCAGGAGAUGGAGGAAAUGCUACUACAAACAUGUUGAUAGAAUUCUUUCAAGGAUUCUCCAAGGAAGAGCAAGUGGUGGAAGAAGAGCUCACAGAAUUCGCCUCCGGAGGCGGAGAAUGUAGCCGUGGUGCAGAGGGAUGAAGUGAUUAGUCAAGAGUCCAUUUCCAUUAAUCCAAUCCUAUGUUUCAUUGAAGGAAUAUUAAAAAGGGGUCCAUAUUAUUGGAUGGGCCUUCAAUCCGUGUGUCAAAUGUAAUUCUGGCUUGCUUCUUAUAAAUUUAAUCGAAUGCAUAAUUUUAUAUUUGGACAAUGUCAUGGUGAAGUAGAUUUUCAAAGUAACAUUUUUCUUACCAUAUUCAGCCCAAUCAACACAUCUCAAGCCAUAAGGGAUACAACAUUGAUAAGCAAGUAAUUAUCAUACUAGGUGGUAAGGUGGCUGCCCAUCUACUUAUAAAAGUUUCAUCCUCUUACAGGCUUUCACAUUAAAUUUGGCAAUGGUUCUCACUUUAUUUUAUUUUUUACCACAUUUUUUUAUUAUUUUGUUAAUUUAUGGGAAGAAAAAAAUUUAUCAAUUUUUUUUAUAGUCCAUUGUUCCAAUGAAAUGAUUAAACAAUGAUAAGAGUAUGAGAUUUUCAAAAGUAGAAGGUCAAUCGAUAUAACUUGUAAAUUUUUAGAUUUUAAUGGAAUUUGAAAAGUACUAAUAUUAUCAUGCAAGUGAAAUAACAACAUGAACUUGAAAAAUUAAACCCAAAACCAUCUCUAAAAUUAUCAAUAUCCUGACCCAACUUCACAUUCAACUUGAAUCUCUUUAAACAAGUUCAAUCCUUUCUAUUUUUCAAUUUUCUUUCACUUUUUUUUUUCUUUCUAGAAUUAGACUCUUUAUGGGUACCAUGAAAAAGAUUGCUAGCUAGGAAUGUAAAGCAUGGUUUUUAAGAAUGAUAAGUGCUCAUAUAUAUUUUGAAUCAAAUUUAAGAGAAAGUUCAUUACAAUGAAUUGAUUUUCACUUAACUACUCAUAAUUCUAGUAUGAUACAAGGAUUCCAUAUAAUCCAAAUCAUAAAUCCAAAUAAGAACUUUAUGUCUAUGGGAAAUCUAAUAAGCUCUAAUUGAAGUCAUCUAAAUUUAUCAUUUGAUAUUUAAGCUCUAAUUGAAUCCAUUAGAAUUGUUAUUUGAAUUUUAGACAUAUUAGAUAUCAUUUAGACUUCUUUUAGAUAAUUCGUAUAUCUUGUUUUCCAGGAAAUUUGAUUUCUUUGUCCAAACUUGAUGUUUUCGAACAUACUUUCAAAUUUAAUUAGAAACAAAUGUCUCAAUUUUUUUCAAAUAAUCAUCUUUUCCAUUCUAAUAUCUUACAUGAUGAUUUGUAGAAGUUGAAACUCGAUAACCUUUUUACCAAGAUCCUUGUUACCUUGCACUAUAAUGUUUAGUAGAUAAGCUUUUAGUUUUCUAGUGACAUAAAUGUUGGAGAUUAGUAGAGAAUGAAAAUCUUCAAAACUUAGAUUUUAUUGAUACUCAACGUGUAUGUGGAUUGCAUUAGAGUAAAACCAACCAAACACACUAAGAAAUAAGCUACUAGGAAAAAAAUAAUAAAAAUUAUAUUAGAAAAAAAAAUCCAUAUGCAUUCGUAUAUAACGGAGCUUACAACCAAUCUACAAAUAUUAAUAAAAUAUUCGUAUACAAACGGAUUUUUCACUAGCCGUUGGAGCAUUUAAUGCUCCGUUAUCUUUGACCAGACAUCGAUCAAGAAGGCAAAUACCUCGACCAGGAAGGAAAGGCUAUUAGCAGAGAGAGAGAGAGAGAGAGAGAGAGAGAGUGUGUUUUUUGCUCCUCUCGACUAGAUCUCAAUCAAGAAGGAGUAAUCGGUCAACCAGUACCCUGGUCGGUUGAGCCGGUUUGGCCAGUGUCUCGACUGGUUCACCAUUUUUGGCCCAAAAAACCUAUAUUUUUUUGCUAUUUUCUCUUCUAACACUUAGGCAAGGUAUUUAGGUAAAUUAAUUUGCCAAUUUUGAAAUGAUUUGCCUAAGGUUCAUUUGAUAAAACUCGGGUUUUGAUGGAAAUGUAACUUUAAAGCAUAAACUGAGUUUUUCAAAUAUGCAUGAAAUGAUACGUAAAUCCUAAGUGCACCCAUGCAUUCAUCUUACAUAUGUUUCCUAUGAUUAAAGGUCUUCCAAAAGUCUUAAUCUUGCAUCCAUUAGGUCAUUUGAUGAAUUUCCAAACUGACAUUUGAAAUUGUUUAUAAUUCAAACCAAUUAGUAACUUAACCAUAAUUUGUUAUCAUCAAAACAUGAUUAGGAGAACCCUUGGGCUAACAAUCUCCCCCUUUUUUAUGAUGACAAACCUUGGUUAUCUAAGAGAAAAAGAAUCUCCCCCUCAAACCAAUCAUGGAUCAACAAUCAAAAUUUACGAAGUUAAAACCAAGAUAAUCAAGACAUACUAGAGAGAAUUUGCAAUAAGAAACAACGUAAGUCAUCAAAAAUAUAAGAAUAUCAUAUAUAAGUCAAUGUAUCAAUAUCCAGUAUAUACGAUCCAAGUGAUAUGACAAUGAUAUGCAUGUAAGUCUCCUAGAUCCUAAAAUAUCUCCCCCUUUUGGCAACAUAAAAAAUGAACUAAUAGGGUCUCGAAGGAAUCAAGGAUGAGGAAGUGGAGGAGAAAACACAGAGCGCAAAUAAGCCAUCAUAUUCUCAUGUUGACUCUCCAAACGAUCCUCAAUACGCUCAAUCCCCUAUUGGAGAUACUCAAACUGUGAAGUGAAGCCAACCUGAUGAUCCAUGCAAUCCUCCAUAAAGUAGAACCGUGUGUCACUGACUACAACAAGCUCCUCCAUAUGAGUGCUUAGAGAGCUAAUCUAAGCAGAUAAAUCCAUCCAUGGAGCAUGGUCAAGAGCAAGAGGUGUUUAAGCAAAUGGUAUCUCAAAAAGUGUAGGCUUAGUGAAUGCAAGUUCAAAGGAAGACUUAGUGAAUGACAAUUAAGUAUAUGGACCCGCUAUAAAAGUUGGCUCAAACAUCAUUGGCUCAGAGAAAGUAGUCUCAAACUGAACACCACUAACUGGAGUGGAGGAAUGUCAAGCUCGGGCUCUCUCUGUUGAUAGCCACUCUGAGGGUCUACUCCACACUCCAUCUUUUUAAUCUCUACCUCCUCCUCAACUCCGGGAUGUGCCUGUCCCUGUCCCCGAGCUUGUGUCGUUGCUCUCUUUGCUUUCCUUACCCAAGAACCAUUUGUGGCCUUCUCAAAUUUCAUCUUCCCCAUGGACUGAUCAUCAUACGUAUCAUAAGCGUUGGGGACCUCAAAGUUUGUCUCUCUGCUCAAGUCAAUGCCGACAUCCUUGCACACUCUAGUAAGGAAGUGACCAUAGGGGAGUACGCGAGUCGUGCUCUCGCAACAUGAGAUCAAGUGCAUCAUCAUCAAGUACCCCAAGUGGAUUCGUCUUCCAGUCAAAAUAGAGUCAAUAAGGAAUGCCUCAUAAUAAGAGACCUCAUCUCGGUGUCCACCCCGUGCAUAUGAUGUAGCACUUUGCUGAUGACCGUCAGGUUGUGUGCUGAGGGUUUGUCCAUCCCGUGGGCAUCUACAAGUUCACAAAUCCUCUUAAUGGCUCUAGGCUCAAAUCUUGGCACAAUGGGCCACAUUUUGGACUCAUAUACUUUGAGUCCAACUGGAGCAAUAUCGAAAAUACUACAAAUGCUCUUUAGUCCAGACGAAUCUUGACGCCUUUAACAGUAGAAAUGAUCGAGCCACCUGAUGAGAAUCAACAAGCAUUCGAGGAUCCAUUGUAUGUUCCAGUUGGGCCUAUUACUAAAGCAAGAUCCAAGAAGAUUAAAGAAGCAAUUAAUGGGCUAAUUCAAGAGAUUUGGGUUGAUUCUAACGUAGGACAUUCCAAGCUUGGCCCAAAGGAAGAUGAAGGUGUAAUAAAUUUAAUCGAAGCUAUUGAGGGCUAAUCUGGCUUGAUUGGGCGUGAUUUAUGGCGUGGAUUAAUGACUGAUUGACUUUCGAACUCCAUAUCAGUUAAUAGACAUUUUUCCUAUUUUAGAGCUUCUAAUUUUAGGUUAAAUCUACCUUAAUUUUAGGCUUUUAUUAUUUAGAACGAUUUUUAGCUAUUUUCCUAUUUUGGAUUUGCUAAUUUCAGACCAACUAAACUUUUAUUUAGGGUUUUAAUAUUUAGUAAGUUUUUAUUUCAUGACAUAUAAAUAGCAUGCACUCAUUGUAAUAGAGGAUAAUUUGAUUGAAUAAAAAAUUAGAAAAGGUGAGGCUUUGCUCUUCUUUUGGUUCUUCAAGGACUAUGAACUUAUCAGGGAUUCUUCUUUGUGGCUUUCAAACUUUAUACUUUCGGUUCGUGAUUCCAUUGUAAUCAUUGGGUCAAGGUUGUUACUUAUACUUUUGGUUCACGUUUCACUUAUAAACGUUGGGUGUUCUAUCAAAAAUCUGUAUUUUAGCUUUCUUGGGCAAUUAUUCCAAUACUGUUUGUUGGGUCUCAAAGCGUGUCGAUUGAGGUUCACAUCAUUUGGUAUUAGAGCUCAGGUUCUAAAAUCAGUCGAUUGAGGUUCGCAUCACCACCUAUGCCAUAAGUCGCCUUUGAGUAAAAAGCUCACACCAAAGUCGAGAAAAUCGACUCCAAAACAGUGACCACAGGAAACCAACCCAUCCUAGUGAAUAAACCCUCGAAUCCGAAGUGCUCAAGUUGGGGAAAAUUAAUAUUUCUCCUCAGAACUACUCGUCCCAAAGCAAAGUGAUGUUUGUACCGUUGGUAGUCCACCACGAAGUUGAACAAGGCAGUAUCAAACCUUGCCUUUCGGGUUUGACAAGGUUCCAAAAGCUUGAAUCCUAAAUCCUUAAGAGGGUUUAUAUAGGAUUUCCUAUGGACUUAAGUGACUUGAGCCCAAAUUUGGCUUGAGUCACCCGAUCUAGCCCACUUGGGUCCUAAUUAAUUAAUUAUUUUAAUGGACUCCAAUUAAUUAAUUAGCUCAAAACACCAAUCUAGAAAAAUUGUUCAUAAGAUCUUGUGCAACCUUGUAUUUUUACUAAAACACCCUUAUGUGCCCUUAUGAACUACAAAUCUAAAUCUCUCAAAUAAAACAUGUCACCAUGAACUAGGAGCUCAAGCGGGGACCAUUGGGACCUAUAAGAUUAUAUUGGCUCCCUCAUAAUUGAAUUCCAAAAUUGAUUCGAGAAUCCACUAAAGAGAAACAAUUGUACUUCGGUAUCCUACAUUAAGACAAAGCUUAGGUUUGUAACCUACUAUUCAUUGCAUGCAAAUUCCUCAUGAAUUAGUGUUUGUAAUCUAAUAAGGUAGUGUUAUCAACCUAUCAAGAUUAGCUCUUUAAUCUUUAAGUUAUAAAUCCUCCUAUUAUGUGAUCAAUUGACAUACUCUAGCUUAUAAAGAACAUAUAUCAAAAUUCACUUAAAGAAUUACUACAACCACAUAUUUCAUAAUCAUAUGCCCUUUAGAUCAUCCAAGGGAACACUUUGUCCCAAUUCUAUGAGAUGCCAUGGUGCCUCUAUUGAGAAUAUGUAUUAUCACCAACCUCCAUCAACAAUUGCAAUUCAUAGGGAAUCUAUAUAUAUAAUCACUUUAGGGUCUUACCUAAUGGUCAAAACCUCCUAUUGAUUUUUAGCAUAGACUUAAUAUCUUCUUAAAGUUGAGAGUCCAUGCAAUAUAGUAACUUUGUGAAUCAUGACAACCCAAUGACCUUAUGUCAUGAUUCAUCAUAGGCACGAUUUGAAAUAUUGCAAAAUUUCAGCGAAAUAUCGUCGAUUUUUCGCUUAUCGGAGAGAAUCAACAUGACAUUCGUCAUUGAUAAUCAAUUGACGGAUUUAUUGCGGAUUUUUUUGGGAAUAUCGGUAAUAUUUUGGCAUUUAUCGACAUUUUUGCCUAUUUUUCGAAAAAUUUCCCGAUUUUUUGGUGCCAACCACUUUGGUCAACACGAAAUCAACCCUCACAUUUUUUGUUGUAAUGCCUAGGGGAUUUGAACCUAGGUCAAAAGGCUUGGGUUGAACCCUGGUUACAACUGGGCCAAAAUGUCAUUUGUAAAUAUAUGUUCAAUUUAAAUAUGUUAAAGUUCAGCAUUUAAAAAAUAAUUUUAAUUAUUUUAUUUUAAAUUUUAUGUAAUUGAUUAAUAAAAAUAUAAAAACCAACAUUAUAAUUUUUUUAACAAGUCUUUUUUUAUAUCAUUUAUAUGAUAAUUAAAUAUAAAAAAUAUAAAUAUUAAAAAAUCAUAUAUGUAUCAUCAUUUAUUUUACAUUAUUGAAUGCAUUUAAAUUAAAUAAAUUAUAGUUUUAAUAUUAAAUGUAUUAUUAUUGAUCUCAUUAAUCUUAUUUUAAAAAAUAAUUAUCACUUCACUUUUAAAUUUUUUAUAUUUAUUUGUUUAUUUUUUAAUAUCUUUAUUUUAAAAUAUUAAAAAUAUAAAUUUAUUCAAAAUAUACUAAAAUAUAUAUAAAAAAAUUAAUAAUGAAGUUCUAAUAUUUUAUAAAUUAAAAUUAAUUUGAUAAGAUAAAUAAUAAAUUAUAUAUUAUGAUUGAUAUAUCCUUGCUUAGAGAUAAUUUUCUCCUUAAUCAUACUUAUGUCAAUUAUACUUACAAAUUAACUUUAGCAUGUGCCUUUUUACUUAUUUUAUCAUUUUUUUUUGGAGUUUUUCCAAAUAUUUCAAUGAAUUUUGAAUAAUUUUCACCUCACCAAAAUUUUUGUCAAAAUAUUCACCAAUAUUUCUCCGAUAUUUUCAAUAUAAUCGUAAAAUUCAAGUAUCAAUAUAUCCAUAUUUUCCAAUAUUUCAAACCAUGAUCAUAGGUCUUGUCUUAUGUAUAACCAAUACACACUAGUGUACUCACAAUAGGAACCCUAUCUCAAUGGUCAAGAUAAGUCAUAUUUUAUAACCAUACACACUAGAUUUUAAAAGUGUGAGAUAAUGCUCAUAAAAAUAACAAAGUAGAGAAUUUGUUGAUAAUUAUUCCCAAAUAAAUGUCAUUAAAACAAUUUGAACUAGAAUUUAAAAUAAAAAGAUGUCACAUGGAUUAACCUAGGAUUUGAGAAAUUUGGCCUCAUCAUAGGCCAUACUACAAACCUUAGAUGAAUUUUAGGAGAAAAUGAGUAGAAGUUAGAAUAAUAAAACAGUUCUUUUAUUUUCCAAAACAAAAAAAUUGGAAAACACAUUUUACAAUCAAAAAAUAUUUUAUGCUUUUUGUUCUCAAGAACAGAAAACAAAGUGUUUCAGAUAAUAUCUUUUAGUUAUUUUAAUUAUUUUCACUUAUUUUUUUAGAGUUGUUUUAAAAAAUAAUUAUAGAAAUAUGUAUCAUGAUUAAAAAUAAAGCUCGAUCUAGAUAUAAAAAUAAUUUUUAAAACUUACUUAAAAAUAUUAAAACCAUUUCAAAUUCUCAAACAGACUUUUAGUUUACAAAACAUCAAAGAAUAGUUUUUAAAAAUUGUUCUUAAAAACUAUUUUUCAGAAUUAUUUCAAAAACAGUUAUCACACAGGUCCUUAAUUUCUAGCCUGUGAAAGAAGAGACAAAAAUGAGUAAUUUUGUUUAAUAUAAAUAAACAAAGAGUCAUGUGAAUAAAGGGAUCCUUGAUAUAACAACAAAAAUCAACCUUUCCAACUUCUCAAGUGAUUCUAUCUCUUUGUUGACCAUCGUGACAACCUUAAUCUCUUUUCAUUAGCAGUAGGAGUAAGGUAGAUUAGCAGUAGAUUCAUCAAUGGGGAAACCAUUUUAUGCUUGUUCCUAUCAUUUAGGUUUACAUCAAUGAGUGGUUUGGAGGGUGUACUACCUAUAGUCUAUUUAAAUUUGAGGGGAAAGGCUUUUAUCCUUUAAAGGACUUCUUGCCACCCUUCUUCAAUUUUGGGGAGAGUUCGAUCAAUAUUCAAUAACCAUUUAGCAUUAUUAUCCAAGGGGUCAUGGGAGAGAAGUUUCUCUAGCAUUGGUUAUGCCAUAUCCAAUAUACACAUCACUAGAGGGUGACAUUAUCCCAAUAAUCACAUCAUGCCCUUCAGUACCAGUAUAGUUUUGAUCAAUGCAAUUUGCUGUGAAUUUCUGUAGUGGUAGAAUUAUAGCCAGGAGGUUCUAGCCCCAGUAUCCACCAUAGGCCAGCAAAGUGAAUAAUCCUAGGAGAAUAAGCUCAGAAGCACAAGGAUUUGAUCAAUGGAACCUGGUUUUUUUUGUUUUAAUUUCUUUACUGAUAUAAUAAACCUUCUGUUUAUUUGGUUCGCUGUCAUUAUUAUAAUCUCUAGUAGUUGCACCAUCCUGGGUGAAUGAGCUAUUACCCCUACCAAUUGAACUUUUUUUUGGUUAUAGUCCUUGGUAUUCUCUUGGAAUUGACAACCAUUUGGAAAAUAAAAAUUCCUUUAUUUAGACAUAAAAAGAAUCCACAAGCAUGGACCAUUGCUAAAAGAAGAUUGAUAUGAGACUAUUCAACCCGAGACACUAUUUGCCUAGGUAUAUUUCGGGAUGGUGAUUAAUUCCUCUAAUAGGACUAGAACAAAUGGCUAAAUUGCUCUGAUAUGCUCACAUCUUUAAUCAAUAAGUUUACACUAAAUCAGUAUAACUCCCUACCAAAACGCUAGGUGAGAGAUCAGGGGCAAAGCUAGGUAGUGUCUGGGAGGGGCAAAUGAAAUUUUAAUAAAAAUAUUAGGGUUUAUUGCUAACUAUUUGGUUACUGGUGAAGUUCCAAGUGAGUGGAAAACACAAGACAGGAAGCACUUUUUUGCAAAGAUUCAUGCUUAUUAUUGGGAAGAGCCCUUCCUUUUCAAGUAUUGUGCAGAUCAGAUCAUAAGGAAGUGUGUCCCUGAAGAAGAGCAACAAGGGAUCCUCAGCCACUGCCAUGAGAAUGCCUGUGGAGGCCACUUUGCCUCUCAGAAAACAGCAAUGAAGGUCUUGCAAUCAGGGUUUACUUGGCCAUCGCUUUUUAAAGAUUCCCACAUCAUGUGUAGGAGUUGUGAUAGAUGCCAAAGACUCGGGAAGCUUACAAAAAGAAACCAAAUGCCCAUGAACCUGUGGACCCGCAUUUUUCACGUGCGUCCCCACUCGAUCGGCGAGACUCGCUUUUUAUUUAUUUGUGAAAAAUUGAUUUUUGAAAAAAAAGUUGGAGUCGCCACUUAUUUUAUUUUUAUUUUUGAAGGGAAAAUAAAACAAGAAAUAAAACCCUAAAAAAAAUGACUCCAUAAUUUUUGGAAAAGCGUGUCUUUGAAAACCCAAGUCUUGGUCCGGGGAUCAGGUUACUUAUUGGGAAGGUACCUCUAGGAGGUAACACCCCUCUAAGCCCUAAAGAGGUCUCUACUAAUUAAGUUAAGGGGAAUAUGGCAAUUAAUCGGUUAAUUAUGGAUACCUAAGUAGGCUAGGUGAUUUCAGAAAAUUUGCAUGCUAAACAAGAUCAAAUUGCCNNNNNNNNNNNNNNNNNNNNNNNNNNNNNNNNNNNNNNNNNNNNNNNNNNNNNNNNNNNNNNNNNNNNNNNNNNNNNNNNNNNNNNNNNNNNNNNNNNNNNNNNNNNNNNNNNNNNNNNNNNNNNNNNNNNNNNNNNNNNNNNNNNNNNNNNNNNNNNNNNNNNNNNNNNNNNNNNNNNNNNNNNNNNNNNNNNNNNNNNNNNNNNNNNNNNNNNNNNNNNNNNNNNNNNNNNNNNNNNNNNNNNNNNNNNNNNNNNNNNNNNNNNNNNNNNNNNNNNNNNNNNNNNNNNNNNNNNNAACAAAGAAUUAAGAUCAACUAAUGCAUUUAAAUUAAAAAUGAAUUGAAAUCAAACUAAUUGGGAUUAAAAAUACAAACUUUAUUCAAUACAAUUAUUUAAACUUAAGAAUUAAAAUCAACAAAAUACAUUUAAACUAAAAAAAAAAAGUUAAAAUCAAACUAAUUGGGAUUAAAAAUACAAACUUUAUUCGAUAUGAUUAUUUAAACUUAAGAAUUAAGAUCAAUAAAAUGUAUUUAAACUAAAAACGAAUUGGAAUCAAACUAAUUGAGAUUAAAAACAUAAACUUUAUUUAACGUGAUUAUUUAAAGUCAAGAAUUAAGAUCAACAAAAUACAUUUAAACUAAAAAACAAAUUAAAAUCAAACUAAUUGAGAUUAAAAAUACAAACUUUAUUCGAUAUGAUUAUUUAAACUAAAGAUUUAAGAUCAACAAAAUACAUUUAAACUAAAAAACGAAUUGAAAUCAAAUUAAUUGGGAUUAAAAAUACAAACUUUAUUUAACGUGAUUAUUUAAAACAAAGAAUUAAGAUCAACAAAAUAAAUUUAAACUAAAAAACAAAUUAAAAUCAAACUAAUUGGGAUUAAAAAUACAAACUUUAUUCGAUAUGAUUAUUUAAACUUAAGAAUUAAAAUCAUUAACAAACUUAAACUAAAAGAUAGAUUAGAAUUAAACUAAUUGGGGAUUUAAAAAUAAAAUAAUAUAAACUUUAACACAAAGAAUUAAUCAAAAACUAAAAUUUCCAAAAAAUAAAAAAAAAAAUAAAAAAAAAUCUAGGCUAAAUAAAAGUACUAUAUAGAAAACUAACCUUUGAAGUGAAAGAGAAAAUCCUCUCUUGAUGAUUAAAUGACAGCCCGAUCUCCGUUCGAAGUCCCUUGCUUUUUUCCCAAAAUUCCGUGUGCUCUGCCCCCCCCAAGAAAAAUCUCCUAUUCUUUUCCUUUUCUCACCUAUAUAUAUCACCCCUCAAGACCUAAAUUUGUUUCCAAAAAGGAAAAUUCUCCUCCUUCCUUUCUUCUUCUCUUCUUUUUUUAAAUCCUCCAAUCAAAAGCAAUCUUCCCAAUUUCAAAUUCCCCUCCAAAACCUUCCAAGGAGAGUCCCAUCUUCCUUAAACUCCAAUGGUAAGUUUCCUUGCAAAAACAUGAAAUUUUUGAAGUUAAAUAAUUGCAUGUAUAGAUAAAUAAGUAAAUAAAUUAAAAAAUGGUAAAAAUAAUAAAUAAAUAAAUAAGUUAAGGAAAAUAAUAUAAAGAGGAAGAUAACCAAUAAAAAGUGAAUGAUAAUCAUAAAAUUAAAAUUAAAAACAAAAUAAAUAAAUAAAUAAAUAAAAUAAAAUAAAAUAAAAUAAAAGUCUUCGUAGGCCUAGUGUGCCUAAACGGGCCUAAGGUGAGACUAAGUGGGCCUAGGGUAGUGCCUAAUGGGCCAAGUGUAUCUAAAAGCUAUCCUAAAAAAACAAGAAAAGCCUAAAUCUAAGUUAGGGCUGCCAAGGGUCACAAUAAGGGAUCAAAUAAUCCCUCAACCAAAAUCUCCGAGGUGACUCAGAAAAAGGUAAGUGGUAUGAGUAGCCAUGGGCCACCAAGGAACUAUUGUGGAGCAUUGAAAAUGAAUUUUAAAGACAUGUGCUAAAGGGACAAAAUUGAGGGUCUACAGAACCCCAUCCUUAUAGUUGAUCUUUUUGAUGUUUGGGGUAUUGACUUCAUGGGACUUUUCCCAAUGUCUUUUGGUAACUCUUAUAUAUUGGUGGGGGUGGACUAUGUUUCCAAAUGGGUGGAGACAAUCCCCUGUAAACAUAAUGAUCACAGGGUGGUUCUCAAAUUUCUCAAGGAGAACAUCUUCUCAAGAUUUAGGGUGCCCAAGGCCAUAAUCAGUGAUGGAGGUACUCAUUUUUGCAAUAAACCUUUUGAAGCACUAUUAGCCAAGUAUGGAGUGAAGCAUAAGGUAGCUACACCUUAUCAUCCUCAAACUUCCGGGCAAGUGGAGCUAGCAAACAGAGAAAUAAAAAACAUACUGAUGAAAGUGGUGAUUACAAGCAAAAAAGAUUGGUAUAUUAAGCUGCAUGAUUCAUUAUGGGCAUAUAGAACAGCUUAUAAGACUAUUCUUGGCAUGUCUCCCUAUCGUCUCGUCUAUAGCAAAGCAUGUUACCUCCCUGUGGAAGUUGAAUAUAAAGCUUGGUGGGCAAUCAAGAGGUUGAACAUGGACUUGAUCAGAGCUGGGGCAAAGAGGUGCUUAGACCUUAAUGAGAUGGAGGAAUUAAGAAAUGAUGCUUACAUCAAUUCCAAAGUUGCAAAACAGAGGAUGAAGAAAUGGCAUGAUCAGCUAAUCUCCAACAAAGAAUUGAGGAGAUGACAAAGAGUCCUACUCUACGACUCAAGGCUCCAUAUUUUUCCAGGGAAGCUCAAGUCAAGGUGAAUAGGUCCUUUCAUUAUUCACCAAGUACAUCUUAAUGGAGUGGUGGAAUUACUAAAUUCCAAUGGCAUAGAUACCUUCAGAGUCAAUGGUCAUCGCCUCAAGCCAUUCAUUGAGUCGUUCAAGCCAAAAAAUGAGGAAAUCAACCUCCUUGAGCCACAAAAAUCCUGAUCAGAGAAGGGUUAGAUGGACUUGGUUUCACCAAAGUCCAUAAUUUUGUUAAAUAUGUUAAUUUUUAAGUUUUGUAAAUUAUUUGAUUGUAAUUCUGAUCUUAAAUUAUGUUAAUUGUAACUAAUUUUUUUGAAUGAUUAAAAUCAGGAGGAAUUACAAGAAAAUCGAAAGAAGCUGCUCCCAGCUCCUCAGAGCCAUCACAGGCCCCUCUUUUUGUUAAUCAGCCUUUGCCUCAUUCAGAGCCUCCUAUAGGAGAGACAGCUAAGCCAUUAUUUCCACAGCAUCACUUCAUGUCACUCAGGAGGUACCACUUCCUCCCUAUUUUUCAAUUGCUUCUGUCACAUUGAGGACAAUGUUCAGUUUGGUUGGGGGGAGAGUUGAGGAAGGAAGUUUUUGUUAUUAAUGCUAAGUUAUUUUGGUAAUUUAGUUGCUUUUUGCUUAAUUUUAAAAUUUUUUAAGUUUUUAUUCUACUCUCCAUGGUUAUUAAGGAAAAAUUCUCAAAAAUGAAAUGAGAUAAAUUAAAUUUUUGUCUUUUUACUUGACUUAGAUUUUGUAUUAUGCUUACUAAAGUUGAUGAAUUGUUGAAACUUCUAUUGAAUUCAACCUUAAUUCUUCCACUUUAAGCUAUUCACACACUGUGCACAAUAGGUUCUGAUUAUAAGAUGAAGAACUAUUUCCCCCUUAACUUAGGAAAAUUUUAGACUUGGUACCUUUGACCUCAUUUAAUAGUGUUGGGACACCUUAUAAAAGGCCAAUGAGCCUUUGAAAAAAAGAAGAAAGAAAGAAAAAUGUUUACUUGCCUUGAAACCCGAGCAAGGUUUGAGGGGUAUAUGGUGAAAAUCUUAAAAACCUGGUGCCCUAAGCCUUCAGUGGUUGGGAGUCACCGACCUCAAUGCUCGUUACAAGGGUGGAUAGGUGGAGUUUAACAUACUGUAGGUGCUUGGGUAUUAAAAAUUCAUUCUCAAAAGUCCGGGGUAAAAUCCGAGUUAGUGGUUGAAAAAUCCUUAAAGCUUGAUGCCCUAAACCUUAAUUGGUUGGGAGUCAUCGAUGGACCCCCGUUACAUGGACAAUUUAGAAAAGAAUACCUUUAGCCUUGUACUCCUACAAUGAAAAAAAAAUUGUGAAAAAAGAGGUGCGUUCUUAGCCUAUUGGAGGUUGAUUAGUUUGCUAAGCUUUGAAAAAGAACUAGGUUGGGGGAGAGAUUAGUUUAACAUACUAUAUUCAGAAACUAAUAAAUAACACUUAGAUUUUUGUGGAAUAGUAAGGUUUGACCAUCUGGGAGUGGAAACUCUUUUAAAGCUUAAAUUUGCAUAAUGUCGUCUCUAUAAGAAUUGUGAUUAAGACAAGUUAUUUGAUAACUCUUGUUGAAGCUUGAGUUUUAUUUCUUUAAUGUUCCAUGUGAGAGUUAGAUCAUCAUGCCACUUGAAAAUUGUUUUUUGAUCAGCAUGAUGUUGUAAAUUAUAGUACUGUUUAUUUUUAUUUUUUUCUCUCCUUCAUUGCUAAGGGACUAGCAAUAUGUCGGUUGGGGGGAGUGAUUACUACUCAAAAAGUGCUAUUUCAUAGCUUGUAAUAAACUCUUUUAAACACUUUUGAGUAGUAGUUAUCACCUUUUAACCCAAUUAACAUCUUAAGGACCCUUGCAAUCAAUUCUAAUCAAAUUGUGUUAAGUUUUGGUGUUUUGAUAGCUUUUUUAUCACCAAAGCAAUCAGAGAUUGAGGAGAGUUCUUUAGAAUCCAUGACAAAAGAUGUUCGGACAGGGCGUCCGGACACACCAUUGGAGAGCAGCGGAGCGUGGGCUGUAGAAAGGCUUGCUCACUGUAGUCAAUGAUCCGGACAACAUAUCCGGAUAGGAUAUGCUAUCAUCCGGAGUGUGAUGUUCGUGAGUGCCGGAUAGCAUGGCGGCGCAUGUCCUCUUGGGGAAUCCGGAUGAAGUUGAGUCGGAUGGGUCCCUACACCUUACACACGCAGACAGUCCCUCUUGCGCAGCAUAGCUCAGUCCACCCGGGGAGGAAUUCUGUGCGCCAACAUUUCACAUCCGGAAUUCCGUGCGCCGACAUUUCACAUCCGGAAUUCCGUGUGCCGACAUUUUACAUCCGGAUAUCUCACAUCCGGAUGGGAGAGGAAGACGCUUCAACUUCUCCGGAUAUACAUAUCCGGACCUUUUGAUAACGCUUACCCACAGAGUUCUUCUCUCAGUAUACAGUGCAGCGGUGUUCUCCUGAAGCUUCCUGAUAUUUCCGACCGACAUUUUGAGAUAUUUUGGGAUAUUUUUCUUUAGAUAUUUGUUGUCUAAAUCCCCAAACUCUCCUUGUAAUCCACCUAUCAUAGGAUUCCUUAGUCUUUAAGCAAGAAAAAGGGUGAAUAACCUCAUAUAUAUAGUUUGUAAUUUUCUUUACAAAGAGAAUUAUUAUGUAAUCAGCAGAAGGAAGAAAUAUAUUUUACAGAGCACUUGCUCUGUUUUUCCUUCUUAUAAUUGUUUUCUCGUUAGUUUUCUUACUAGCCAAACAAGCUCUGAGGAAGUUUCCUCAGAGAAUGAGUGGCUAGACUUUUAGUUCCUUGGAGUUAAGGUUGCCGGGAAAGGUUCCAAGUGCAUGAAUUAGUAGCUUUGUGGUUUCAGCCAUUAAUGGAGAGAAAGUGUGAUCCUUUAAUGAUUUCUAUGUUUUUAGUUAACUUAAAACACUUUCAAUUCACUUGAGCCAACACUUGGUAAGGCAAGUGAGCUCCGUCCAUGGAGAUGCACUAGUUUACCUCUUGCGAGCUUUUGGGAAGUGACUUGGAGGUAGGAUUUUCUAGAAUUGCCAACACUUGGUAAGCUUUUGGACUCCAAGGAGACAUCCAUUAGUUAUCUCUUGCGAGCUUGAGAAGGGAAGUCCAAAGUUAAAGAUCACCUUGAAUGGCAAAUGCUAGGUGAGAGGCACGAGCCAUUGCAAGUUGCAUCAGUGAGAGGGAAUUAGAGCUGAAAUCCAUUUAAAUGAUACAUCUGUACAGCACUGGUUAGAGAAUUGACUAUAUGUUAAUUCUCUAAUGUGAGGAAAUGAACCAAAUGACCGGAGCUCUGUUUUUGCAUAAGGAACCUCCCCUGUGAACCUAAACCUCCAAGGAAUGUUUUUCUUCAUAAGUAAUUUCUAUUACUUUCUUUUUAGUUAGCUUUAAACAAAACCUCAUUUAAACAAAGUUUGUGUUUUAUUUCUUAAGCUAGCCUUGAAAUGAAAAAGCACCAAUUUACUUUGAAUUGGUAUCAGUUGUGAGUUGAAAGCCCUUCCUAGUGAACGAUCCUAGAGCCACUAUGCUAUAUUAGCUAAGCUAUCCUAAUGCAUGGUGAUAUAGGUUAUAAAUUUUGUUGAUUACUCUCUCAAUCAAAGAGCACCAGCUGGACAUGAAUCAACUGAGACACCAAUUGGGAAGGAAUCAGGAGGUGUGACCUGGGAUGCCAAUGGUCACGUUGUCGGUCUUGAUCUGAGUAGCGAAUCAAUUUCUGGUGGAUUCAAUAGCUCUAGUAGCCUUUUCAAUUUACAAUAUCUCCAGAGCUUGAAUUUGGCUGGAAACAGCUUCUGCGGAGGAUUGAACUGGCCUAACAACAACUUCUGCUCUUCUCAAAUUCCAUCAGGAUUUGACAGGCUUGCUAAUUUAAUUUAUCUGAAUUUAUCCAAUUCUGGCUUUUCUGGGCAGAUUCCAAAGGAAUUUUCGCUCUUGACUAGGUUGGUUACCAUCGAUUUCUCCAGCCUUGGUUAUCUCAUUGGAUUUCCUACACUGAAACUUCAGAAUCCAAAUCUGAGAAUGUUGGUUCAGAAUAUCAAGGAGCUUAGGGAACUUCAUCUUAAUGGUGUAGACAAUCAGCCGAGGGGAAGGAGUGGUGCCAGGCAUUGUCAUCUUCAGUGCCUAAUCUCCAAGUGCUUAGCUUGUCCAGCUGUCAUCUUUCAGGCCCAAUCCAUUCUUCCCUGCAGAAGCUUCGAUCUCUCUCAAGGAUUCGUCUGGAUGACAACAAUUUUGCUGCUCCAGUUCCACAGUUCCUCGCUAGCUUCUCAAAUUUGACUCACUUGCAGCUCAGUUCUUGUGGAUUAACUGGAACGUUUCCAGAAAAGAUCAUUCAGGUAACAACCCUACAGAUUCUUGAUUUGUCAAUUAACUUACUUGAAGAUUCUUUGCCAGAAUUCCCUCAAAAUGGAUCUCUAGAAACAUUGGUGCUUUCGGAUACAAAACUUUGGGGGAAACUACCCAACUCCAUGGGAAAUCUUAAGAAGCUGACUAGCAUAAAGCUGGCACGUUGCUAUUUCAGUGGCCCAAUCCUAAACUCAGUGGCAAACCUUCCUCAACUGAUUUACUUGGACUUGUCUGAAAAUAAGUUUUCCGAUCCAAUUCCAUCUUUUAGUUUGUCCAAGAGACUCACCGAAAUAAACCUUUCCUACAAUAAUUUGAUGGGUCCAAUUCCUUUCCACUGGGAAAAACUUGUUAAUUUAAUGAAUCUUGACCUGCGGUACAAUGGAAUUACAGGAAAUCUCCCCCCGUCCCUGUUUUCCCUCCCAUCCUUGCAGAGGUUACGACUAGACAACAACCAAAUUUCUGGUUAGUUCAAAAUUCUUUUAAAUGCAUCUUCUUCUAGAUUGAGCACCCUUGGUUUGAGUAGCAACAAUCUCGAAGGCCCGAUACCUAAUUCUGUCUUUGAACUGCGGUGUCUUAGCUUCCUUGACCUAUCUUCCAACAAAUUCAAUGGAAAGAUUGAACUCAGCAAGUUUAAAAAACUUGGGAAUCUUACUGAUCUUAGCCUUUCAUACAACAACCUGUCCAUCAAUGCAACCCUUUGUAAUCUGUCCCCUUCUAUACUGCCUAUGUUUACAACAUUAAGGUUGGCUUCUUGCAGGCUGACAACUUUACCUGAUCUUAGCGGCCAGUCAAGCUUGACACAUUUAGACCUUUCCCAAAACCAAAUUCACGAGAACAUACCUAGUUGGAUUUGGAAGAUUGGUAAUGGCUCUCUUGUGUAUUUGAAUCUCUCUCAUAAUUUACUGGAGGAUCUCCACGAACCUUUCUCUACUUUUACUCCUUAUCUGUCCAUCCUUGACCUACAUUCCAACCAGCUCCAUGGCCAAAUCCCCACUCCUCCCAUAUUUUGCAGCUAUGUGGAUUACUCGAACAACAGUUUCACCUCCUCCAUCCCAGAAGAUAUUGGUACUUACAUCUUCUUCACUAUUUUCUUCUCUCUUUCUAAGAAUAACAUCACUGGAAUUAUCCCUGCAUCAAUCUGCAAUGCCAGUUACCUGCGAUUUCUUGACUUUUCUGACAACGCUUUGAGUGGAAUGAUACCCUCAUGUUUAAUUGGGAACGAGAUUCUUGAGGACCUGAAUCUACGGAGAAACAAGUUAAGUGCCACUAUACCUGGGGAAUUUUCGGGAAACUGUCUUUUACGGACUCUAGAUCUGAAUGGGAAUCUCUUAGAAGGAAAAUUCCAGACUCUCUAGCCAAUUGCAAAGAGUUAGAGGUUUUAAACCUUGGGAACAAUCAGAUGAGUGAUUUUUUUCCUUGCUCGUUGAAGACCAUAAGCAGUUUGUGCGUCCUUGUUCUUCGAUCCAACAGAUUCUAUGGACCCAUUCAAUGUCGACCAUAUAGCAAUCCCACCUGGCCACUGCUUCAAAUUAUGGACCUUGCUUCCAACAAUUUUAGUGGUGACUUGUCAGGAAAAUUCUUUUUAACCUGGAAGGCAAUUGUGGACCCGCAUUUUUCACGUGCGUCCCCACUCGAUCGGCGAGACUCGCUUUUUAUUAGUGAAAAAUUGAUUUUUGAAAAAAAGUUGGAGUCGCCACUUAUUUUAUUUUUAUUUUAAAGGGAAAAUAAAACAAGAAAGAAAAACCCUAAAAAGUGACUCCAUAGUUUUGGAAAAAGCAUGUCUUUGAGAAACCCGAGUCUAAGUCCGGGGAUCAGGUUACUUAUUGGGAAGGUACCUCUAGGAGGUAGCACCCCUCUAAGCCCUAUAAAGGUCUCUACUGACAAAGUUAAGGGAAGUGUGGCAAUUAAUCAGUUAAUUAUAGAUACCUAAAUAGGCUGGGUGAUUUUAAAGAGUGGCAUGCCAAACACAAUCAAAUUGCAAUAAAGGAGAGUUAGGGUGCGUACCAGAACCGCUCUUCAAGCGCUAUCAUAAAACAUAAAAGUUAGUGUAGAAUUGUAGCACACAACAUUUGUUUUAUUCAAGCAAAUCAGGCAUAUAUCAAGAUAUCCAAGAAUCACGUCAAAUAUGGAUAUAGUCAUCAAUGGCAUACAAAUCCAUAGAGUUCUAAAAAAUAGAUGAGAAGAGAGCGUACCUGGAUAGCAAGCUAGUACUCCUCUAUGGGAAUCAAGAGCAUCUCAACAAUAAAUACGAAACAAAUUCAUGUAUAUCAUCAAGAAUAAUCAAAAAUCAACAUAUCAAGCAAACAAUAUUGAAGAAGGUAUCAUGAAUGUCGGGCCCCCACCAAAGCCCUAAUUGCUUUCGCACAAAUUGAUUCAACCAGUCCUAUUAUUUAGAACCAUGAAGUUUAUUUGCGCUUGUUGAAAAUCGAGAAAACCAUGAAAAUAGUUGAAAAUCCCAAAAGAUGCAUGUUUGAAUGAAAUAUGGGAGCAAGGGUUUUUAAAACUGAAUUUUCUCAACCUGAAAUCCUCCAAUGAUGAAAUUAAAAAAAGAAUAAUAGCUUUGAUGGAAAAGAGAUUUAAAAAAAAACGUGAUUCAAAACAUGUAAGAUCACAAGGAAAUAUCAAAACAAUAAGGGAACGGUGCAUCAAGAUGGCCACUGUAUGAGUGAGGUCUGGGGGUGUGAUUGAGACUACUUCGCUAAAUUUGAAGAUGAUUUCCUUAAUUCCAUUCUGCUGCAACGUUCUGAUAUGCCUCAAUAAUUCAGGCACAUUCAUCUCCUUGGCCAUCUGAAACAAGCUCCAUGGUUUGCAGAUAAUUAUAAGUCUCAUGAAUGCAGGAGUAAUCAUUACCUAUUUCCAGUAAUUAACAUAUUUAACACCCUGUUCACGAGUCAUGCAACCUGGUUGAUCCACCAGAUUGCAAAGAAUUGAUGCAAAGUAAAUUCUAUGAGGAACAAGUGAGUGUCACGAUUCUCAAUUUUUGAAGCUUCAAUCACAGACUACACAAAUAGUUGACUUUCACUAAGUUCAUCAUCAUCAUCAUCCACACAACCAGGUUGUUGUUUCAAUUCAGUGUCAAGUUGCUGAAUCUUCUUCUGUUUUAGCCAUGUAGGAAGCCUUUUCGAUUGUAAAUCCGGAAUGACAUCAAGUUUAAUCUCCAAUUCUGAACCCUCAAGGUACAGUUUCUUCAUUGAGCCUUUAUUACUUUUCCUUUACUGAUAUUACAGUAGUUCAAUUCAGGCAGCCAACUUAGCUAAACACUCACAACCUCGAAUUCAAAGACGGCACAAUUGGCUCAUAGUAAAAAUCAUCCCUUCCACCGAACUCCUAUGGCGCGGCUGGUUGUUUGAGGUGUAUCUAACCACUUUCAAAAUCACUUCCAUCAGCAGUCCCAAAUUAAUCACUAUGAGACUCCUUAGUGAGUUCAGGGAAUAACCCACCUUAGUGGGGAGUACAUGCACUUACCAUGCGCACACCACGUGGAUGUGCUCAUUGUGUCAAGGCGACUUUCCACUGACAUUUUGGCUUGAGAUUUAACAUGUAUUAGGCGCUGACUUCAUAAGCAAUGCCAUGUAAGAAUAUCUUUAACCAUUCAGGAGUGAUAGGUGGACAUUGGAAGGAGUUUGUAAUGCUGGAGGCAACAUCGACUUAUACAUCUGAUUGGCCGGCGAGUGGCUUCUCCAUCUUCUAAUUCUAAAUCCAUAGAACUUUCAGAAAACGUGCUGAAAUGGUGUUAGUGAGUGCACGACAGCAAGAAGAAGCAUUACAUAUGUCACCUUUCUCCCAAGCUGUUCAUCGGCAGUUUGCUCCAUGACCUGAGUAUGUCUUCUUUUCCUCAGGUAUUCCAAUCAUCUUUCAAUUCAGCUGGCUCAUGAUCAACAAAAUCUGGGUCUCUUGUUCUUUAGGUCGAUAUCGUUAACCAUGACAUGGGAAUAAACUCAUUUGGAGGUGAGUUUGUUUCGUCUGCAAUACCAGGGAACAUGAUUGAUCCACCACUGAGCACAACACUGCCAUAGUAGUUCUUAUCCUAAAAUGGUUGUUGUUGUCAUGAUUGCAAAUUUAAUUUCAAAUGGAAACCUAGAUGGGUGUACAGCCUUGAAUGAUUGUGCCAUGAUUCAGGAUUACAAGGACACUACUAAAGCACUUUAAAGACGGACCAUUCUUCACAUUCUCAUUGCAUGUAGCAGCGGCUUGAUUAGAUGCACGAGCAAUAGAGGCAGGGUGUUUCUGCUAAACAUAAUCUUGUCAUCACAAGCGCAUGGAGCCAAGAGAGCACCAACUUAGGAUUCCAAUCAAGUCAGAAUAUUAAGAGUACCAGGUGGCAGGCUCACCUCCAUGCACACAUUAGCUAGUUUCUAAACAAAUCACAGAAGCCAUCUCAGAUGACUUUAAUAUUGCCAUGCACCCAAUUAACUAAGGCAAGAGCCAUUUUCCGCAUAACUGUCCCCUGUCCCCUGUCCUCUUCAAGUUAUUAGAAGUCUUUUCCUACAUCUUUAAUUGUCCACACCAUGUCGAGGAAGACUAAAGGCAACUAGUCAAUUUAGAAGCAAAUUCCCAUGCAUUAGUUCUUUCUGGCUCAUCAAGCCAUCAACACCUCAACUUUCUAUAUUGUAAAAACCACCCAAAUUAUCUAUAUCCUGCUGCCUUGUGAAGAGAGGACCCCCAGUCCACAAACUUGAAGGAGAAAGAGAGCACAUAAGUCACUUUCCAUUGUAACUCGUGACAAUAUUGUUGAUUUUUGAAUUCAGAAGGGGUGUCAUCAGAUUGAAUGCGUCUGCUCCCAUGUAUGACCCACCAUUUCAAUUUUGUUGACAAGCUCCAAUAACAAUUGAGAUCUAACUCUCUGAGCCUUUACAUCAUGCUGUCCACAAGCAUCCUUCAGAAACCUAAUCAGUGGUUCAAUAAAAUUCUUAGAUGAUAGCGAAUGCCAAAGUUGAUCAUCACCCUUCAAGUCUUUUUCUGCAUCUUCGAUCACCUGGCAUUUAGGACUUCUGUGGAUGUGUAUCAAGUUCAGAUAAAAACUUCAAAUCUGUCUCAGGUUUAUCAGCAUACCAUGACAUCUGCGAGAUUCAUUACUAGUCUUCACGGAAAUCAAAUUUGAGCCAUCUCUGAUUUUAAUGCAUGAUGAGCCUGAACUGUGACGGUUAUCUAAAGAUUCAAGUGAUAUACUGUUGAUAUCUAUUGGCGGAUGUAGAUCAUUCAUAGAAAUUAUGAGGCUUGCGAUAGAGGUAGAACAAAAUUCCCAUGUGUUAUGUGCUGGUGGUUCUACACGUGGGCCAAGUUUGGAGAUUCCAUGCUCCAACAGUAUCCAGAAGAGUCACCACAAAUAAGCACCAGAAACAGGGGAAGGUAUCCAAAAACAGAGCAUGAAGAAUAGAAACAAAAGGAACCGAUAAAAGUCGUGUUUCAUGUUUUGAAUCAACGGUUUAAACAGGUGGGCGAAACCAAACACAUUUCAAAUAGAAAUCAAUACAUGAUCGCAGGCAUCUAACAGAGAAACUAAAGCAGUACCAAACCAAUCUUAACAAAACCCAAAAGAAAGUGAAACAUGAACACACUAUAAUCCAAUCCAAAGAAUAGCAAAGAAGCCAAAUGCAUGACAGGAUAUCCAUGCCCAAAAUCAACAACAAGCAAAUAGGUCUCUGAUGACCGCACUAAAGCAUCAGACAAGUCUCAAUAAUAGCAAACAAAAUAAGUGUACAAAGGAGCAGUGAUUUUACAAUGAAGAACUUACCUUUAAGAAUAUGCAAUCUGAUAGAUCUCCUCUGUUAUACUCUUCUUUCUGUUCUGCCCCUCUGUCUGUUCUUUUUUGUCCUGCUCUUCUUUCUGUUCUGCCCUUCUCUCUGUUCUCUUUUUCUGUUCUGCUCUCCCUUUUUGUUCGUUCUCCAUGCCUUCAUAGAGAUUCUCCCAGAAAUCUCCAGGCUGCUCUUUUGGAAAGUCCCUCAUCAUUCCUUCUUCGAAUGUGUGUUGGCCCUCCAAUCCUGCAGUACCCCUGUGUGUCCUCUUCGUAUAUAGAAGGCUGAUUCUUUUAAGCAUGGCGACGUGUUGUCUCUUUGGAAAGUCUUGCUACCCUCAGACUCAUGGAGAAUCAAAUCCCACCCAUCACUCGUGCUUAUUUUUGGAAAAUCCUUUUUUUCAUUUUUUUUUUUUAUAUGUACGUUGUAAUGUCCAAAAAGUCCAUAGGGUGCAUGCUGUGUUUGGAGAUAAUCUCCUCUUUCCAUCUAGGCGCAACCGGCAUCCCUUUUCUUCCAUGUAUGUACGGCCUUCCAUGUGUGGUCCGGAAUUUUGCAUGGAUUCUCCAUUACACAACCACCAGGAUCUCAUGCAAAAAUAUAAAAAUUCGAAUCAAGACUCACGCAAUCUCCUAGACGAACUCGGUUGCACUUGCUCCUUUCCUGCUCCUUUGUGCUUUCUCCUCAAAAAUCCUCAGAAUUUCUCCCAAUCCUCCAAUGCGUGCUUCCACCAAGAUAACCGAAGAAUUCUUAUAGUACCCCUGAUUCAAACCACCAGAUUUACUGAAGAAGGGUCACCCUGGCUAGCAGCUGUACGUGUUGCAUAAUCUGAAGUUCCUUGCAUGUAGUGGACACCAUGCGAUUCCAUGUAUGAGUGAAGGUCAGAGCCCACCCAAUUUCCACUUCGUCUCAAAACUCUGACCAUCUCCACUACCACUCAAAGCUGGACCUUUGAGUAAAGACUGGCAGAGGCUUGGCUGCAAUCUCCUUUUUCCCGCUCUUGUGCACCUUUCCACCCCUCUCAAUCCUCCAAUGUGUGCUUCCCUUGAAUUCUCCCUAAAAAAAAAUCCUCUUUUGCCCGGUCACUCAUUCUUCCUUCCUCCUUCCGAAAAACCUAAAUCUCCUUAAAAAAAAGCCAAAUCUCCUAUUUUCUCUCUUCUUUUCUCCUUAUCCUUUUUUAAAUCUUCCAAUUCAAAAGCAAUCUUCCCAACUUCAAAUUCUCCUCCAAAACCUUCCAAGGAGAGUCCCACUUUCCUUAAACUCCAAUGGUAAGUUUCCUUGCAAAAACAUGAAAUUUUAAAAGUUAAAUAAUUGCAUGAAUAGAUAAAUAAGUAAAUAAAUUAGAAAAUGGUAAAAAUAAUAAAUAAAUAAAUAAGUUAAGGAAAAUAAUAUAAAGAGGAAAAUGAAAUAAAAUAAAAUAAAAAUAAACAAAUUAACAAAAAAUGGGCCCUACGAGCCAUGCAAACAUGCAAACCAUGCAAAAACAUCUAAAGGUGACCUAGGGUGUGUCCUAGUGCGCUAGGGCAAACGAAGUGGACUAAGUGUGCUUAAAAGCUAUCCUAAAAAAAACAAGAAAAGCCUAAGUCUAAGUUAGGGCUGCCAAGGGUCACAAUAAGGGAUCAAAUAAUCCCUCAACCAAAAUCUCCAAGGUGGCUUAGAAAAAGGUAAGUCGUACGAGUAGUAAUGGGCCACCAAGAAACUAUUGUGGAGCACUGAACACGAAUUUAAAGACAUGUGUUAAAGGGACAAAAUUGAGGGUCUACAGCAAUGAGGGCUGAUAAAGAUGGAGCCAGGUCAGAGCUCAAUCACCUACAACUUCAGGUACUACAAUUCAGCCAAGUGUACUAUCAGGAUACGGUGACUGUCACUAGCAAAGGCCUAGAAAUGCAGCUUGUGAAGAUUCUAACCGUCUUCACUGCCAUUGAUUUCUCCUUCAACAAUUUCCAAUGGGAGAUACCAGAAGCUAUGGGAAGCUUGAUUUCACUUUAUGCUCUCAACCUGUCCCAUAAUGCUUUGACGGGCCAAAUCCCAUCAUCACUAGGGAAGUUGCGGCAGCUUGAGUCAUUGGACCUCUCACAGAACAGCCUUAGGGGGGAGAUACCAGCACAGUUUGUGAGCCUAAAUUUCCUUUCCUUCCUUAACCUCUCCUUUAAUCAACUGGAGGGAGAAAUCCCCACAGGUACUCAACUUCAAACGUUUUUGGAAUCUUCUUAUGAAGGGAACAAAGAACUAUGCGGACCCCCCUUGAAGAGGAAGUGCACAGAUCCAUCCCCACCCACCUAUGAAGAAACACAUCCGGAUUCUGGGAUGAAGAUUAACUGGGUGUACAUAGGUGCUGAAAUUGGAUUUGUCACCGGUAUAGGAAUUGUGAUUGGGCCUCUUGUGUUAUGGCGAACGUGGAGACGAUGGUACUACACACAUGUGGAUAGACUUCUUUUGAGGAUUCUCCCGCGUCAAGGCGAAGGAGUUCAUGGCAGGAGACGUCAUAGAAGUCAGGGACGGAGACUCUAGCACCAGAAAGGUGGCGCAGCUAGAGUUUGUUCUAUGGAAGGAAAAAUAAAAACUAAAAAGUAUGUUCAUUGCUAGGAUUUCUGUGUUUUUUUACCUUAAAAAUUGGAAGUACGUUGUUUUUGAAUAAUAUCUUUCAAUUAUUUUAACUUAUUUUAAAAAAUAAUUAUACAAAUAUGAACAAAAAUUAAAAAUAAAAUAAUACUGUAGACCCCCAUUUUGGGGGGCAUCUUUUUGCAAAUUAUUUAUGUUGGUGGAGGGCUCUUAACGAGCCACAUGUUGCCCCAAGUUUGGUCUUUAGAGAAUCAUGUUAGUGGUUUGAAGAAGCAAUGGGAGGGCGACACGUGUCAUGGGAAUAUUCAGAAACAAUUUUUUUUUUAGGGAUUUGGAGGAGCAUAUAUUUGAUAUAGAGACAGGGAGGCCGUUAAGGAAGGGGAGAUAUUUGGUUGCUGUUACAGAGAGGUAUAGGUAGCUUGGGAGGCAAGACUGAGGAGGCAUGUUUUUUGGGGUUGCUUAGGAGAGAGGGAUACCUGGGGGGAUUCUCUCUGGAGGAGGUUACAGAGGAGUGUUUUUUUUAGUAGCUUGAGAGAGAAGACAAUUGGAGAGAAGACCAUUUGAGCUAGAGAAUGGGAGGAGGAGAAUCGAUUGAGCUUGGAAGGGAGAACUGGUCAGAGAGAGGAGGAAACACACAGAAGAAUCGUCUUGAAAGAGGGUGACACAGUAAAUCGGCCCAUCACUCAGGUACACUCCUUGCCUAUCUUGUUUAUUCGGUUAUUUUGUUUUGAUUGAUAUUCAUUCGGUAUCCAUGUUUGAUCAAUCAAUUGUCAUACUUGCUUCAGCUCAUUAGUAGAGACCCGUUUUUAGGGACUUAGAAGGGUGUUACGAUCUUUACCGUACCUUCCCAAUAAGUAACCUAACCCCCGAGCUCAAACUUGAUUUUUCACAGACCACCUUUUCCAAAAUAAAGAGUCACACUUAGGGUUUUCUUUCUUAUUUUGUUUACCCUUUAAAAAUAAAACAAAAAUAAGUGGCAACUCCAAGUUAUUUUCUUAAAAAAUAAAUAAUUUUCAAAUAAAAAGCGAGUUUUCCAUCGAGUGGAAGCGCAUGAGCAUAAAUACGAGGUCCACAAAUACACACUUAGGGUUUUCUUUCUUCAUUUUGGCAUUCAAAGCCACAUCUUCAUUUUGGCGUUCAGAGCCACCAUCCCUUUUUAAUUUGGCAUUCAGAGUCACUAUCUCUUUUUUCGAUUUGGUGUUCAAAGUCGCAUCUUCAUUUUGGCGUCCAGAGCCGUUGUUUGCUUCUAGUUCAGUAUUCAUAGCCAUCAUACCUCUUUUUCGGUUUGGCAUUCAGAGUCGUAUCUUCAUUUUGGCAUUCAAAGCAGUUGUUCAGUUUAGUUCGGUAUUCAAAGCCACACCUUCAGUUCGGUGUUUAGAGCUGCAUUUUCUGUUUGGCAUCCAGAGCCGUUGUUCAUUUUCAAUUUGGUGUUCAGAGCUGUCGUUUAUUUCUAGUUCGGCAUUCAGAGUUGUCGUUUGUUUUUUUAGUUCAACAUUCAGAGUCGUCAUGUCUUUCUUUAAUUCGUCGUUCAGAGUCACAUCUCUAGUUAGGCGUUCAGAGCCGCAUCUUCCGUUUGGCGUUCAAAGUCAUGUCUUCAGUUCAACAUUCAGAGUCAUUAUUCAUUAUUGACAUUCAAAGCCAUUGUUUCAUUCAGGCAUUUGAUGCCACCAUUUUUCUUUAGUUUUGGUGUUCAGAGCCAUUAUGCAUACUCAUUCAGGCAUUUGAUCCCAUCAUCAUUCUUUAGCUUUGGGGUUCAAAGUUGUUGUGCAUACUCGUUUAGGUAUUUAGAGUCACCAUUCUUUCAUCCCUUUUGGCAUUCAGAAUCAUUUUCCUCACCUUGUUACCUUGUGCUUAUUGCUUGUUCAUCAUGGUCUUCUAGACUUCCCCUUCCACUACACAUGACAUAGUCCUUUGAGUUCGCGACACAUAUUUUGGUCAUGUUGUUGGGCACCCCACAUUUAGCGUUCUCAUGUAGCUCACAUAGGGCGGUCUCCUUUGAGCACAUUCUUUUCUGUACUCCAGGAUGGUUCGACCAUUGCUCAUCUUUGACAUUGACCUUCAAGUCACUUUUGGAGACGUCUUAGAUGGAGUUUGGAUCCUUAAUGCAACUUUAGAGGCACAUUGAGACAUGUUUUUCUCUUAGGAUUAGAGUCAUUUUGUUCAUCUAUUGGUCUAAGUGAGUUUGUGUUUUGCAAAUGUCCCUUUGGGGGUCUCCUUGGUUCUUCAAUAGAGUUCACUUCAUUCCACUCAUUAUGCACAUUUUCUUUUCACCUUAGUGUUCAUAUUCCUUACACUCGUGAGUUCUAUCGAAGAGGGGCAUAUUUGUAGGCCCCCUUUUUGGGGGCCAUUUUUUUGAAAAUUAUUUCUGUAGGUGGAGGGCUCUUAAAGAGCCACAUGUUGCCCCAAGUUUGGUCUUUAGAGAAUCAUGUUAGUGGUUUGAAGAAGCAAUGGGAGGGCGAUACGUGUCAUGGGAAUAUUCAGAAACAGUUUUUUUGAGGAUUUGGAGGAGUGGAUUUUUGAUAUAGAGAGAGGGAGGUCGUUAAGGAGGGAGAGAUAUUUGGUUGUUGUUACAUAGAGGUAUAGGUAGCUCGGGAGGCAAGACCGAGGAGACAUGUUUUUUCGGGUUGCUUGGGAGAGAGGGAUACCUGGGAGGGGACUCUCUGGAGGAGGUUAUAGACAAGUGUUUUUUUUAGUAGCUUGAGAGAUAAGACAACUGGAGAGAAGACCAUUUGAGCUAGAGAAAGGGAGAAGGAGAAUCACCUGAGCUUGAAAGGGAGAACUGGUUAGAGAGAGGAGGAAACACACAGAAGAAUCGUCUUGAAAGAGGGUGACAUAGUAAAUCGGCCCAUCACUCAGGUACACUCCUUGCGUCUCUUGUUGAUUCGAUUAUUUUGUUUUGAUUUAUAUUCAUUCGGUAUCCAUUUUUUAUCAAUCAAUUUCCAUACUUGCUUCAUCUCAUUAAUAGAGGCCCGUUUUUAGGGACUUAGAGGGGUGCUACGGUCUUUAUCGUACCUUCCCAAUAAGUAACUAGACCCUCGAGCCUAGAUUCGGUUUUUCACAAACCACCUUUUCCAAAAUAAGGAGUCACACUUAGGGUUUUCUUUCUUAUUUUGUUUACCCUUUAAAAAUAAAACAAAAAUAAGUGGCGACUCCAAGUCAUUUUCUUAAAAAAUAAAUCAUUUUCAAAUAAAAAGCGAGUUCACCAUCGAGUGGAAGCGGAUGAGCAGAAAUACGGGGUCCACAAAUACAUAUUAAAUUUAUUUUUAAAACAAAUUUAAAAAUAUAGCAAACGGUUUAAAAACAUUUCAAAUUCUCAAAUACACUUUUGUUAAUCUACUAAACAUUAAAUAACAUAUUUAAAAAAUUGUUCUCAAAAACUCUUUUAGAAUACACUUCUCACUCAAAACCUAAUAAACUAAGAAUAUCAAUAACAAAAUAUCAAUAAAAAUAUUUAAAUAAAAUAUGGAGAAAUCCUAUUCAAAAAGUAAAGUCAUGUUUAACAACUAUUUUCUUAAAACAGUUUUUUUUUUAUUCAGAAUAAAAAAUAGGAAAACAUGUUUGAGAACUAAAAAUCAUAAUAUGGUUUUCUAUUAUUAAAAGCAUGAAAUGGUGUUUUCAAGUAACAUCUUUAAAAUUUUAAGAGAUUAUCGGAUCAUGUCAAAAGGGUUUAGCUAGAAUAAUCUAGGAAAUUUUACUCUAAGGUACUUCUUCAAAUGCUCAUCAUCAUUGAAUCCCAUGAUUCCAAUUCUACAAUUGUAAGAGUGCGUUUGAGAGUGAUUUUAGAAAACGUUUAUAGUAUUUUCAACAUUUAAAUGAUAAAAAAUUUCAAAUAUUAAAAAGAUUAAAAACGUUUCCUAGAAUUAUUUUCAAACGGACUGUAAAUCCUUUUCUGGUUAUGUAAAUGAAAUAUACAAAUAUAAUAGUCGGAGACUAAAGACAAAAUGUUGUUUUAUAUAUACAUAUAUAACCGAAAUACAUGAAACUUGUAGUCUGAUUUUUCCAAUGGAAGGAGACAGUUCCACCAUUAUAUUGAUUUGGUAAUCAUUUCGAAAUAUAAUUUAACUCAUGCUUUGAAAUGCAAGAAACUAAGAAAUUAAACUGAAAUCUAAUAGAAUUAAAAUAAGAGAAGUUAACAAUACCCAUCCACCCAUUUUUAUUUUAUUUUUCUUGUUAAGUCCUCAGCUUUCCUCUUACUUCAUGCUUUUUCUUUCCCCAUGUUAAGAGACAAUUUAACAUCUAUUGAAAUAGUAUGUUGGAAGAUGGUUGAACACUUGUGAGAGAUAGUUAAGUACUACAAAUUAAAUAUAAUAGCAGAAAUUCAUCAAUGCAAACUAUUUUAAGGAUGUGCCAAAUUUCGUGAAAGAUGUAUCAAAUUUUGUAAAGGAUGUACCAAAUUGUCCUUAGGAUGUACCUUGGGUUCCAAUGUUCGUUUCAAGGUGGGGAACAACCUCCAAUUCCUUCUCGAGGGUCCCCAAAGGAAUAUAUGAACCAUAAGAAUGGAGAUAGGGGUCUUGGUUCCUCUAAGAAUGGAUAUACCUAGGAUUGCAAAGUUUGUUUUAGGGUGGGCGAGUACCUCCAAUUACUUAUCAAGGGUCCCAAAGGAAUAUAUACACCAUAAUAAGUAUGAUAAUGGUUCUAGUUCUCCUAAGCAUGAUUUACCUAUUUUUUUAAGGAUGCACCUAUUUUUUUUAUGAAAUUAAUAUAAAAGGUUAAAUACAAUUUUUUAUGAAAAAUAUAUUUUCUUUUAUAUUUUAUUUUAAUUAAAAAUUAAAGAUUUUAACCAAACAAAAAGUUAGAUCUACAAUCAAAUUAAAAUCAUAAGAAAAAUGAUAAAAGCAUCAUCACUUAUUGUGAUUUUGAUAUGAUAAAUUUAAAAUGAAAAUUAAAAGAAAAAUAGUGUAAAUAAUAAAAUAGUAUUACAAAGAUAUUUUUAUUUUUACAUGUGAUAGAAUUUACAAAAUAAAUAAAUCUUUUGUUGAGUAUUAAUAUAAAAAAUCUUAUAUCAUAAACUUCUAAAUAAUAAAAUAGAAUUUUUAAAUUUAAACCUUAAUUUAUCAAAUGUAUUAUUAUAAUUAAUAUUUAAAAUCAUCAAGUAUAUUAUUUGUGUGAUAAUAUUUUCAUUUUUGUCCAUUAUAUAUUUUUGUUUUUAUUUAAUUUGUUAUAUUAAUUAUUUAUUAUAUAUUAUCAUUUUAAGUUUAAUAUGUCAAAAAAAUAAUUAAAAUCAAUAAAUAUGAAGAAAUUAGAGAGUAAAGAAAAAUUAAAAUUAAAGAAGUUUUAUGAGAAAAUACAUGAGCAUAUUAAAAAGAAUAUAAAAUAAAAAGAGAAAAAUAAUAAUAAAAACUAUAAUAGGUGGCAAUAGAUUAUGGUGGGAAGAGAGGAAAAAAAGAGAAAAAAAAAAAAAGGAAAAAAGUGGGAAUGUGAUCAGAUAAGCUAGAUAUAUUAAUGGGAGAGAAAUAAUAAAAAUAAAUGACACAUGUAUUUAUCGUGGUAUUAAAUGAAUAGAUAAUAUUUUUUUCCUAUUUUACACAAAAUGUCAAAAGGAAAAAGUAAAGUUAUAAAAUCUCAUUGUAGACCCCUUCUUGCAAGACCAAGGUGUUAUUUUUAUUUUAUUUAGCUGCCACCACCCGAGGAAGGGGGUUUUUCUUUUUUUUGGUAGGAUGGGGGGACCCCUUUUCUGAAAGGAGAGCAGCUUCAUAGACACGGCGAGAGACGUGGGCGGCUUGCUGAGGUGAGGAACAGUAGGGCAAGUAGUGGCUUGCCAAAGAAGAUAGAAAAAAGGGGAAAAAUGGGGAAAAAGUGGCAGGCGGGUUCUGGGAGGAGAAAAAGAAAAAGGAGAUCCGGAAAGAAUCUGAGGAGAAAGCAAGCCGUUUUACCCUCACUUGAGGACUCAGGUAUGACCAUUAUGAGCGUUCUUACUUUAUAUCAUUUGGUUUUCCUCUCUUCACAUCGUUGAUCUUAGGCAGGGUUUGAUGGUUUUUGUUAUCAUAUUCAUUCUAUUAUUUUCUUUCUCUGUUUUCUCUGUUUUCCCUCAAAUGGCUGGGAUAUAGUUUACUUUCUUUGAGUUUGAUGUUCAAUUAAAUAUAUAAUAGCUUACUGCUCAUCCCACCAGUGGGCACUUCGUUUGUUGCUCAUGAAACGAGGUCUUGCUUGAUGAUUUCUUGAUUUCUUACUCUGUUUUAUCUAUUUUCAUCCCCCAUGCUUUUGGGCUCACGUGUGUUUAAUUGUGAAAAUUCCUUGGGCCGUGCAUCACCCUUCGUUGGACUGUGUUUCACCCUCUGAGGAAGCUUCGGCUGCCCCUAAUCUAGAAGCUGUUGAUAAUUCUGGAUACACAUUCGAGCCUCAACGAGGGUAAGGUUGUUGCCUACCCAUCAGAUAUGAGAUACUGUCACUUCAAGAACCGGGUUUGGAUGUUCAGCUGAGAGUGUCAACAGAGGAGAGGAGGCUAACAAUCUGCGUGGGGUUGUUGAUGCUUUUCACUUAAAGCACAGGGAAUAUGCUGAUGGGAUGACACAAAAAUUGGUAGUUGCAUGGAAUGUGAUGAUUCCGGGAAGAUGCCGGAGAUGAUUUUUUUUAUGCAGGCUGUGAUGAAUACCGGGACUGGCGCUAAACGGCUUCGGUGAAGAGGGUCUGAAACUAUCCUAUUGUACAGAGCCAGAGGAUUUUGAGCCAUGUGAUUACGCAUUUGCAGGGGUAAUUAUUGCUCGUGUUUGGUUGGCAGCGUUGAUACGUGGAUGGCAGCUCCAUGCUCAGCUUGUCCAGCCAUGUUUUGAUUCCAUCUUUCCAGCGGGGAAUGCGCUGAUCGUAAUGCAUGCAAGAUGUGGUGUGGUUGAGGCAGCCUAACAAAGUCUUAUUUGGGUCCGGUACCCUAGAACACCAUGAUUGCAGCUUGGGCCAACACGGGCAUGCCACGCUGAUUUAGUUGAAGGGGGACUUGGCCACUUUGAAUCCAUGUCAGGCCUUUAUUGUAUAUGCCCAGGCCCACCCAUUUGAGAGACACUUCUUGCUGGUUGUAGGACUCAUGAGAACAUGAACUGGGGUAUUCCCCAUACGCAUGCAGUGCAUGCAUGUAUAGCUACAUGAAACACUCCACAGCCCGUCCACUUAAGAGUCUCCAUGCCCACAUCAUCUUUCAUGACUCACACUGUUACCACCCCAACCCAUUCAACACCAUGCUCCAUUCAUCUUCAUUAACCCAUCUCUCACUAACUCACCCGUUACGUACCCUCCAUACCCAUUUGGUCACCAUCUUUAGCUCAUGCCUCUCAUACUCACCACGUACCCACCGCCCAUCUCCAUACCCAUCUUUCAUGCAUCCAUGUAAACUCACCACGUUUAUAUAUUCAGCCCUACAUACAUGGUCAUCUCCCAUAGUGCCCUUGUAAACACUCAUCUUCAUACCCAUUUUGUAACCACACCCAUCUCUUGUUCCAUAGACUCACCAAGCCCAUUUUCUUUCACUUUCACUCACCACCUAUUCAUCAUCCGUCCACCUCUCAUCCAAACCCAUUUUCUUAUCACCUUUCUCAUGCUCAUGCUUGCCACCACCUUUCCUCUCUCUACGUUCCCUAUUGCCCAUUUCUCUUUCUAACUCUCCACUCUUCAAACCGUUUCCUCAUCACUCUUUCACCCUCACCACCCAUCAGAAACACCAUCCUCUCAUUCCCAUAAUCUAUUUCACGUGCAUGGAGUCCCAUGCGUGCGGCCACCCCAAGCACCCUCCACGUUUGCUUAACCCAUCUCCUCAUACCCGUCUUCUUUUGAUACCCAUUCUCCAUACAUGCAUGGCUGCCCAAGCCCCCCUCUCCAAAGCUACUUCUAUGACCCCUCAUCUUCUCACUCAGAGUCUCUGUUUCUCGGAUCUAAGCCACGGCCAGUGCGAGAGAGGGAUACACACCGUUGAAGAAAUGGUGAUUUACAUCAUGUGAGCAUCGGGUUUAGAGCUGAAUUUCAUGAAAUGGAGGAAGUUAAUUUCAGCGGUUUGGAGUUAGUAUACCAUGUCAGGCACACCUUUGGAUCAGUCUUCUUGGAUGAUAGUGACAGUCAUGAUCAGCUGAUUGGGGUACUGCACCAUGAGGGACGCCUUUAUCCCUAACGAGGUGGGGCUGUUAGUGACUAGUUCAAAGGCACUAUUUGGAGCAGUUUCUGUGCUCGAUUUGAGGAGGUUGCUGUGGUCGGCAAGCUGUCGGAGCAUGAUGACCCUGAUCUUGGAUAUGAGGCGGCCAAAGGUGAAUGUGUUGAUACGGACAAAAGAUGGAUGAAGGGAAACCCUCAUCCCGGAAAUCGUUACGGGUGCACUCCUGCUGGAUGCCCUGUUCAUAAGUAUAUUGAGACGGCCAUAGAUGGCUCCAAUGCUGUCAUAAUAACCUACAAAGGGACACAUGACUAUGCCAUGCAUGAACAAAGAGAAAGCGACAUGGCCCAUCGAGUGCUCCUCUCGUCGCGGCUGCCGCUGCCUGGCUCCACAGAAUCAUGGGUGCGCCUCUUGCUCGGGUGAGGAAGUAUAGGUUCAUUGUGGUCCUUGGUUGGUAAGUGACAAAGCAUUGAAAGCGGCUGAUUGCAAGAGCGACGGGGAACGUUCCCAAUCCUCGUUCUCAUCCCAGCUGGAGAUCAGCCAUGGCCACUGAGUCCGUCGAAGGACCUCUUGCUGUCUUCACUCCGCGCAAUCCCUUUCGUUUUCUUCCCCGAGUUCCCUCCGAGACUCUCUCUCACACUUGAUCCGCUCAAGCACUGCGCUGAAGCUCUCAAGUUCUUCAAAGAUAAGCUCCAGACGCCUGAGAAGACCCGCUAGGGGUUCGUUUUCUUGCAGGUCAACAGGAUGGGACUAUCCGAAAUGAUGAGAAACUACACUGUGGCUCUCGACAGUGUCAAUUUAAGAAAAUACUGCUGCUGAUGUUGCUCUGAGGCUUGUAAGGCCAAGAAGAAAGAACAAGGAUGUAACAUAGGCAAUUCGGAGGGUUGCUGCUGCAUAUGCCUGCCAAAUUGUCGAAGGUAUACUCAGCCACCAGCCAAAGCAGUUUGUGAUAGAUGGGAACAAAGUCGUACUGAGUGUUCCCUGUCCGGAGACCAGAGUUGAGGAAGCUGUGAACUCUGAGACUUUAUUUCAGAUCCAGUCUCAGGUACAAGAAAACCUAGGGUCUCGGCCUGCCGAGAUAAAUGAGAUAUGGCAGCCUAGUAUAUUUGAUUCAUGGAGAGCCAGUCAACGUUAGUAUGAGAAUUGGUGAUGGCCGGCAAGAGAUCCUUGAGAGAAGUUUCUAUUCCAGGUGGAGGGGUCCCUGUUGAUGAUGAGACAAUCUUCUUUGCCGCUUUGGUGUGUCAGCCUACUGCCCACCUCAAAAAGCUUGUGGAUCAAGAUCCUAUGAGGCUAUGGUAUAUCCUCCUGAAGCUGCCAUAAAAAGCCCAGGCCCAUUUCUAGCAUGGCAUGCAUGGCCACCUUUGAUCCAGGUGCCAUUUCCCAUUUUGCCAUCUUUAACUUUUUAAAAUAAUUUUCCAAGUCCUUUUCUUCAAAUAAAUUUCCGGGUUUUAGUCUUUAAAUAAUUCCAGCUCCAUGUUUUUCUUCAUCCUUAGAAUUUUUAGGUUCCAAAAAUCUAUUUUCCAAUAAAAUUUGCCACAAUUUUCUUCUUGGCGAGUCUCAUUUUCACAUUUUCCGUGAUUUCUAAAAUGUUUUUAAAAUAAGCAAGGAUCAAAUUUUGUAAUUCCUAAUUAUGGAAUUUACGGAUUUGGCUCAUGCAAAAUAAAUAGGCUUUGGUGGGGGGCCCCACAUAUAUGUUUCUGAUGAUUGAUUGGUUGAUUGUUCGAUUUGAUUAUCAUACAUGUUUGAUUUAUCCUGCUCUUUGACGUACAUGCCAUUAUUCUCUAAUUGUGUACUAACCAUCUUUCUUGAUAAUGCAUUGAUCGUUUGACGCCAAGGUAUGCCCUUUUCUCACUCUAGUCACUCUAUAUAUAUGUAUUGAUUCUCACACCUGCAUGAUCAUUUUGAGUAUUCAUUGAUUUACUCGUCAAUUGCCGCGUCAGCUUCAUUUUAUUAGUAGAGGCCCGACUUUAGGGACUUAGAGGGGUGUUAUGGUCUUUUACCGUACCUUCCCGAUAAGUAACCUGACCCUCGAACCCGAUUCGGUUUUUCACAGAUCACCUUUUCCAAAAUAAGGAGUCGCACUUAGGGUUUUCUUUCUUAUUUUAUUUACCCUUUAAAAAUAAUACAAAAAUAAGUGGCAACUCCAAGUCAUUUUCUAAAUCAAUAAAAAUCAUUUUUCAAAUUAAAAUUGAGCUCGCCAUCGAGUGGGAAACGCAUGAGCCAAAAUGCAGGGUCCACACUCAUAUUUUUUUAAAUUAGUGUAUGAUUACAUGAUUUCCCAAAAAAGAAUAUCAGUGUACACAGAAUCCCGAAGAAUUGGACACAAGUAGAAUUGAAAUUGAAUGUGAAUCGAGUGUGAAAGGACAACUUGUAAGAAGACAUUUCUCAGACUUUUCUCAAUAGUACGGUAAUUUAAAAAAAUUAUUCUUAAAUUAUUGUAGUAGAAGAAGUUAUUACAAAUAUAUGAUAGUUUUUGCCACUUAGGAGAGAGGGUGAACGGAUAAAUUUUUUUUUAAACCAAAAUCGUCUUUUCAAAAGACGAUUUUAUUUCCAUUUAAAAAAAAAAAUUCAAAAGGGAAAUCGUCUCUUGAAGAGACGAUUUCCCAUUAAAAAAAAUUAAUAUUUUUUUUAAUAUUUAUUACAAAUUAUUAAAAAAAAAAAAACCCAAGGGAAAUUGUCUUUUGAAGAGACGAGUUCCCAUGAAAAAAAAUAAUAUUUUUUUUAAAAAAAAUCCCGAAUUAAAAAAAAAAUCCUCAAGGGAAUUCCCAUAAAAAUUUAAUAUUUUUUUUUUAAAAAAAUUCCAAAUUAUAAAUAAAAAAUUAAAAUAAAAAAUCCUCAAGAGAACUCAUCUCUUUAAGAGAUGAGUUUCCAUGAAAAAAAAAAUAUUUUUUUUACAAAAAAAUUCCCAAAUUAAAAAAAAAAAAAAAAAAAUCCUCAAGGAAACUCGUCUCUUGAGAGACGAGUUCCCAUGGAAAAAUAUAUAUAUAUAUAUAUAUAUAUAUAUUUAAAAUUCCCAAAUUAAAAAAAAAAAAAAAUUCCUCAAGGAAACUUGUCUCUUCAAGAGACGAGUUCCCAUGAAAAAUAUAUAUAUAUAUAUAUAUAUAUAUAUAUAUAUAUAUAUAUAUAUAUAUAUAUAUAUUUUUUUUUAAAAUCCCAAAUUUUAAAAAAAAAAUUCCUUAAAGGAACUCGUCUCUUUUUUUAAAAAAAAAAUCCCAAAUUAUAAAAAAAAAAAGAAAAAAAAAAUCCUCAAGGGAACUCGUCUCUUCAAGAGAUGAGUUCCCAUGAAAAAAAAUCUCAAAUUAUAUAAAAAAUAAAAUAAAAUAAAAAAUCCUCAAGGGAACUCAUCUCUUCAAGAGACAAGUUCCCAUGAAAAAAAAUUAAUAUUUUUUUUUUUAAAAAAAAUCCCAAAUUAUAAAAUUAAAAAAAAAAAAUCCUCAAGGGAACUCGUCUCUUGAGACGAGUUCCCAUGAAAAAAAAUAAUAUUUUUUUUUAAAAAAAAUCCCAAAUAAAAAAAUAAAAUAAAAAAUCCUUAAGGGAACUCAUCUCUUAAAGAGACGAGUUCCCAUGAAAAAAAAUUAAUAUUUUUUUUAAAAAAAAAUCCCAAAUAUAAAAAUUAAAAAAAAUCCUCAAGGGAACUCGUCUCUUCAAGAGACAAUUUCCCAUUAAAAAAAAUUAAUAUUUUUUUUUAAAAAAAUCCCAAAUUAAAAAAAAAAAAUCCAAAGGGGAAAUCGUCUCUUCAAGAGACGAUUUCCCAUUAAAAAAAAAUAAUAUUUUUUAAAAAAAAUCCCAAAUUAUAAAAUAAAUAAAUAAAUAAAUAAUUCCAAAAGGAGAAAUUGAAAAACUUUUAGAAUAUUGUAAACAAGAAAUUGAUUCAUUAUUAAAUACAAAAUGCUGUUGAGAUAGAAAAAGGAGCACCAAGAUUAGUCAUUAAUUAUAAACCUUUAAAUAAAGUAUUACAAUGGAUAAGAUACCCUAUUCCUAGUAAGCAAGAUCUACUCAAAAGAAUACAUAAUUCUGUAAUUUAUUCAAAAUUUGAUAUGAAAUCUGAAUUUUGGCAAGUUCAAAUUAAAGAAGAAGAUAGGUACAAAACUACUUUUACUAUCCCUUUCGGUCAUGAUGAAUGAAAUGUCAUGCCUUUUGGUCUCAAAAAUGCCCCUUCUGAAUUUCACAAUAUUAUGAAUGAUAUUUUCAAUCCUCAUUUUCAAUUUAUAAUUGUAUACAUUGAUGAUGUCUUAGUAUUUUUUGAUUUAUUAGAAAAACAUUUUGUUCAUCUAAAAAAGUUUUUCAAUGUCAUUAAAGCAGAUUUUUAGAACAUGAAAUUUUUUAAGGAAAAACAAAACCGAUUCAAAGGUCAAUAGAAUUUGCUGACAAAUUUCCUAAUGAAAUAAAAGAUAAAAAACAAUAGGUUGUUUAAAUUAUGUUUCUGAUUACUUCAAAGAUUUGAGAAUCAUUUGUAAACCCUUAUACAAAAGACUUAGAAAAAAUGCACCUGCAUGGACUGAGCAUCAAAAGUCAUGAAUAGUAGUGAAUAGUAGAAUUUGUCUACUUUCUACUACUUUGCAAUCAACGUGGAGGAUGGGAAAGUAAAGUGAAUUUUUCUCUUUUCAAGUCUCUGACAAGGAAAAGAAAUUCUCCCUCUCCAGACUUCAUUACCCAACUGUCUCUACACGUGAUGAAUUUCAAAAAUUUUCAAGAUUGAAGAUUCAAUAGAAUUUCAAGUCUGAAUCAUCGCCUAUAAAUAGAGCCUCAACAUUCUUCAUCAAGCAGAGUCGGGAAGAGAGCUUCAAGAGCAGAAAAAAUUUAGAGAGUGCAAAAUUUUGAGCGUUCAAAAAUUUUUCCCUUUGGAAUUUUUUUUAUUUUUUUAUUUUAUAAUUUGGGAUUUUUAAAAAAAAAAUAUUAAUUUUUUUUCAUGGGAACUCGUCUCUUCAAGAGAUGAGUUCCCUUGAGGAUAUAUAUAUAUAUAUAUAUAUAUAUAUAUAUAUAUAUAUAUUUUAUAUUUGGGAUUUUUUUUAAAAAUAUAUUAAUUUUGUUUCAUUUGGGAUUUUUUUUUUAAAAAAAUAUUAAUUUUUUUUUCAUGGCCCUUGAGGAUUUUUUUUUAUUUGGGAUUUUUUAUAAAAAAAAUAUUAUUAUUUUUUCAUGGGAACCUUGAGGAAUUUUUUUUUAAUUUGAGAUUUUUUUAAAAAAAAUACUAAAUUUUUUUUUAUGGGAACUCGUCUCUUCAAGAGACGAAUUCCUUGAGGAUUUUUAUUUAUUUAUUUUUUUAUACUUGGGAUUUUUUUUUCAUGGGAACUCGUCUCUUCAAGAGACGAGUUCCCUUGAGGAUUUUUUUUUUUUUUUUUAAUUUGGGAUUUUUUUUUAAUAUUAAUUUUUUUUUCAUGGGAACUUGUCUCUUGAAAAGACGAGUUCCUUGAGGUUUUUUUUUUUUUUUUUUACAAUUUGGAUUUUUUUUUUAAAAAAUAUUAAAUUUUUUAAUGGGAAAUCGUAUCUUCGUAGGGAUUUUUUUUUUAAUUUGGGAUUUUUUAGAAAAAAAAAUAUUAAAUUUUUUUAAUGGGAAAUCGUCUCUUGAAGAGACGAUUUCCCUUUUGAAAUUUUUUUUUUUAAAUGGAAAUAAAAUCGUCUUUUCAAAAGACGAUUUUGGUUUUUGAAAAGACGAUUUUGGUUUUUGAAAAUACGAUUUUGGUUUAAAAAAAAAUUUAUCCAUUCACCCUCUCUCCUAGGUGGUAAAAACUACCAUAUAUUUGUAAUAACUUUUUCUACUACAGUAAUUUAAGAAUAAUUUUUUUAAUUUAUCGUACUAUUGAGAAAAGUCCGACAUUUCUGGUUCUCAUUCAAAGUAAUGAAUUCCAUGUCGGUAGGCGUUCUGUUAUGCGUUCCUUGUUUUCUUUCUCUUUCACAAGGACUUGAUUAGGAAGACUUGAAGUCAAACCGAGCCUCAUUGAUCUUCCAACUACGUACCAAAUAUAUAUCUAUUAGUUGAUCUUCCAUUUAAGAUUAAUAGAUGGAAACCAAAAAGUCAGGCGUAUUGUUUGAGCCGCAGAAAAGUCGGCAAUGAAGACCUCUUUUCCGUCGUCGUGGAAAGAUAGGCACGAAUUAAUGAAGUGAACGGGCCAUUGUUGUGUCAAAUCAUAAUUGGUUCCUAAAGGAAAAUUCUGACAAAAUCGUAAGAGUAAAAAAUGUAAGAAAAUGAUAAAUUGUCAUGUGACUUGAAAUGGAGUAGAUAGGGGGAAACAAGGAAGGAAAAAACAUAAAAGAAAUACAUAUUAAACAUGAUCUAUAACUAGAUCAUUCUUUUUUCUUCCUGUUUAAUUUAUCCCAAUCUACAUAUUAAACAUGCUUUGUUGUAGCAGUACUUCCUAGCUGCUUCCAAUGAGAAUUGCACUCUUUUCAUGGCUUUAUUUCUUGCCCUUAUGCUCAAUCGUUUUUGGUAUCCAUGUUGCUUUGGUGUCCGGGGAAUGUCUGAGUGAUGGGAGCAUAUGCCUGGAGGAUCAGAUGUCCUUGUUGCUGCAACUGAAGAACACCCUCAAAUUCAAUGUUGCUGCAUCAAGUAAACUAGUUUCCUGGAAUCCAAGCAUGGAUUGCUGUUCUUGGGGAGGUGUAACCUGGGAUGCCACUGGUCAUGUUGUCGCUCUCGAUCUCAGUAGCCAAUCAAUUUAUGGUGGAUUCAAUAACACCAGUAGCAUUUUCAGUCUACAAUAUCUGCAGAGCUUGAAUUUGGCUGACAACUCCUUCAACUCUUCUCAAAUUCCAUCUGGAUUCGGUAAGCUUGGCAAUUUGAUGUACCUGAAUUUGUCUAAUGCUGGGUUUUCUGGGCAGAUUCCAAUUGAGGUCUCAUGUUUGACGAAAUUGGUUACUAUUGAUUUCUCUGUGUUUUACCUUGGAGUUCCUACGCUGAAACUUGAGAACCCAAAUCUGAGAAUGCUGGUUCAGAACCUGACAGAGCUUAGAGAACUCUAUCUUAAUGGUGUAAACAUAUCGGCACAAGGGAAGGAAUGGUGCCAGGCAUUAUCAUCUUCAGUGCCUAAUCUCCAAGUGCUGAGCUUGCCAAGCUGUUAUCUUUCUGGGCCUCUCGAUUCUUCUCUGCAGAAGCUUCGGUCUCUUUCAAGUAUUCGCCUGGACGGUAACAACUUCUCUGCUCCUGUUCCAGAAUUCCUAGCCAAUUUCUCGAAUUUGACUCAAUUGCGGCUCAGUUCUUGUGGAUUAAAUGGAACAUUUCCAGAAAAGAUCUUUCAGGUACCAACCCUUCAGAUUCUUGAUUUGUCAAACAACAAGUUGCUCCUGGGUUCUUUGCCGGAAUUCCCUCAGAAUGGAUCUCUAGAAACCUUGGUACUCCCGGAUACAAAAUUUUCAGGGAAAGUACCAAACUCCAUAGGCAAUCUCAAGAGGUUGACUAGGAUAGAGCUUGCACGUUGCAAUUUCAGUGGGCCAAUCCCAAACUCCACGGCCAACCUUGCUCAAUUAGUUUACUUGGACUUGUCUGAAAACAAGUUUUCCGGUCCAAUCCCACCUUUUAGUUUGUCCAAGAACCUGACCCGAAUAAACCUUUCUCAUAAUUAUUUAACAGGUCCGAUUCCUUCCUCUCACUUGGAUGGCCUUGUGAAUCUAGUGAUUCUUGACUUGCGUGACAAUUCACUGAAUGGAAGUCUCCCCAUGCCCCUGUUUUCCCUCCCAUCACUGCAGAAGAUACAACUGAGCAACAACCAAUUUUCUGGUCCCUUGAGUAAAUUUUCGGUUGUGCCUUCUGUAUUGGACACCCUUGAUUUGAGUAGCAACAAUCUGGAAGGGCAAAUACCUGUAUCCAUCUUUGAUCUCCAGUGUCUUAACAUCCUUGAUCUUUCUUCCAACAAAUUCAAUGGCACUGUUUUACUAAGCAGCUUUCAGAAACUUGGAAAUCUUACCACUCUUAGUCUGUCAUACAACAACUUGUCCAUCAAUUCAAGUGUUGGUAAUCCCACUUUGCCCCUGCUGUUGAAUCUUACCACAUUAAAAUUGGCUUCUUGCAAGCUCAGAACAUUACCUGAUCUUAGCACCCAGUCAAGAUUGACAUAUUUAGACCUUUCCGAUAACCAAAUUUGUGGGAACAUACCCAAUUGGAUUUGGAAGAUUGGUAAUUGCUCUCUUGCCCAUUUGAAUCUCUCCCAUAAUUUACUGGAGGAUCUGCAAGAACCUCUCUCUAAUUUUACUCCUUAUCUGUCUAUCCUUGACCUACAUUCCAACCAGCUCCAUGGCCAAAUCCCCACUCCUCCCCAAUUUUGCAGCUAUGUGGAUUACUCAGACAACAGGUUCACCUCUUCCAUCCCAGAUGGUAUUGGUGUUUACAUUUCCUUCACUAUUUUCUUCUCUCUUUCGAAGAAUAACAUCACUGGAAGUAUUCCUAGAUCCAUCUGCAAUGCAACUUACCUGCAAGUUCUUGACUUCUCUGACAACCAUUUGAGUGGCAAAAUACCUUCAUGUUUAAUUGAGUAUGGGACUCUUGGGGUGCUGAAUCUACGGAGAAACAAUUUUAGUGGUGCUAUACCUGGGAAAUUUCCAGUCAACUGUCUUUUACAGACUCUUGAUCUCAGUAGGAAUCAUAUAGAAGGAAAAAUUCCCGGGUCUCUGGCGAACUGCACAGCAUUAGAGGUUUUAAACCUUGGGAACAAUCAGAUGAAUGGUACCUUUCCUUGCUUGUUGAAGAACAUAACCACUUUGCGAGUCCUUGUUCUGCGAGGCAACAACUUUCAAGGAUCCAUUGGAUGUUGCAAGAGCAAUUCGACCUGGGCAAUGCUUCAGAUUGUUGACCUAGCUUUCAACAAUUUCAGUGGUAAAUUGCCAGCAACAUGCUUCUCGACCUGGACAGCAAUGAUGGCUGGUGAAAAUGAAGUCCAAUCCAAGCUCAAACACCUGCAAUUUAGGGUUCUACAAUUCAGUCAAUUGUACUAUCAGGAUGCUGUAACAGUUACCAGCAAAGGUCUAGAAAUGGAGUUGGUGAAGGUCCUAACUCUCUACACCUCUAUUGACUUGUCGUGCAACAAUUUUCAAGGGGACAUACCAGAAGUGAUGGGGAACUUCACAUCGCUCUAUGUUCUCAACUUAUCGCAUAAUGGUUUCACAGGCCAUAUCCCAUCGUCAAUAGGGAAUCUGCGACAACUUGAGUCAUUAGACCUCUCGCAAAACAGGCUGAGUGGAGAGAUACCCACACAGCUUGCGAACCUAAAUUUCCUUUCAGUCCUGAACCUCUCAUUCAAUCAAUUGGUGGGAAGGAUCCCACCAGGUAAUCAAAUGCAAACAUUUUCAGAAACUUCUUAUGAAGGGAAUAAAGAACUGUGUGGGUGGCCUCUGGAUCUAAGUUGCACUGAUCCACCACCAGAAUUUGAUGACAGGCACUCAGGUUCCAGGAUGGAGAUUAAGUGGGAAUACAUAGCUCCUGAAAUUGGAUUUGUGACAGGAUUGGGAAUCGUGAUUUGGCCUCUAGUGUUGUGCAGGAGAUGGAGGAAAUGCUACUACAAACAUGUUGAUAGAAUUCUUUCAAGGAUUCUCCAAGGAAGAGCAAGUGGUGGAAGAAGAGCUCACAGAAUUCGCCUCCGGAGGCGGAGAAUGUAGCCGUGGUGCAGAGGGAUGAAGUGAUUAGUCAAGAGUCCAUUUCCAUUAAUCCAAUCCUAUGUUUCAUUGAAGGAAUAUUAAAAAGGGGUCAUAUUAUUGGAUGGGCCUUCAGUCCGUGUGUCAAAUGUAAUUCUGGCUUGCUUCUUAUAAAUUUAAUCGAAUGCAUAAUUUUAUAUUUGGACAAUGUCAUGGUGAAGUAGAUUUUCAAAGUAACAUUAUUCUUACCUUUUAGUGAUGCGAGUAUCAAUGUGCUUCUCUAAAAUAUUAUACUAAUAAAGAAUUUAAGUUGUAAAACCACUUCAUGAAAGCUUUUCUACAAAAGCAUCAAAUCUUAAAUUUGGCCAAAAAACUUUUUAACCUUCAUAUGUUUAGUCAAUAAAAGCCCUUUUGACCAAUGUAAGGAUUUUUAAAUAUUAAAAAAUUUAGCCAAGUAAAAAAUAUAACAUGUUAAAUUUAAGAAAUUUGGAAACUCUUCUUCUUCAGGGAAGGAAUUCAAGCUGAGCAGGAGAUGGUCUAGGAUAUGUUGGCUGGAUGUGGGCCAGAGUUGGGUUAAACUUGGUUGGCUGGAUUUCGGUCAUUAAUGAAAUAUGGGCCUGAUUGGCACAAACGAAGAGCAGCUGAGGUAGCUAGGACCAUAUUCAGCCCAAUCAACACAUCUCAAGCCAUAAGGGAUAUAACAUUGAUAAGCAAGUAACUAUCAUACUAGGUAGUAAGGUGGCUGCCCAUCUACUUAUAAAAGUUUCAUCCUCUUACAGGCUUUCACAUUAAAUUUGGAAAUGAUUCUCACUUUAUUUUAUUUUUUACCACAUUUUUUUAUUAUCUUGUUAAUUUAUGGGAAGAAAAAAAUUUAUCAAUUUUUUUUAUAGUCCAUUGUUCCAAUGAAAUGAUUAAACAAUGAUAAGAGUAUGAGAUUUUCAAAAGUAGAAGGUCAAUCGAUAUAACUUGUAAAUUUUUAGAUUUUAAUGGAAUUUGAAAACUACUAAUAUUAUCAUGCAAGUGAAAUAACAACAUGAACUUGAAAAAUUAAUCCCAAAACCAUCUCUAAAAUUAUCAAUAUCCUGGCCCAACUUCACAUUCAACUUGAAUAUCUCUAAACAAGUUCAAUCCUUUCUGUUUUUCAAUUUUCUUUCACUUUUUUUUUCUUUCUAGAAUUAGACUCUUUAUGGGUACCACGAAAAAGAUUACUAGCUAGGAAUGUAAAGCAUGGUUUUUAAGAAUGAUAAGUGCUCAUAUAUAUUUUGAAUCAAAUUUAAGAGAAAGUUCCUUACAAUGAAUUGAUUUUCACUUAACUACUCAUAUUUCUAGUAUGAUACAAGGAAUCCAUAUAAUCCAAAUCAUAAAUCCAAAUAAGAACUUUAUGUCUAUGGGAAAUCUAAUCAAAGGUCUAAUUGAAGCCAUCUAAAUUUAUCAUUUGAUAUUUAAGCUCUAAUUGAAUCCAUUAGAAUUGUUAUUUGAAUUUUAGACAUAUUAGACAUCAUUUAGACUUCUUUUAGAUAAUUCGUAUAUCUUGUUUUCCAGGAAAUUUGAUUUCUUUGUCCAAACUUGAUGUUUUUGAACAUAAUUUCAAAUUUAAUUAGAAACAAAUGUCUCAAUUUUUUUUCAAAUAAUCAUCUUUUCCAUUCUAAUAUCUUACAUGAUGAUUUGUAGAAGUUGAAACUCGAUGACCUUUUUACCAAGAUCCUUGUUACCUUGCACUAUAAUGUUUAGUAGAUAAGCUUUUAGUUUUCUAGUGACAUAAAUGUUGGAGAUUAGUAGAGAAUGAAAAUCUUCCAAACUUAGAUUUUAUUGAUACUCAAUGUGUAUGUGGAUUGCAUUAGAGUAAAACCAACCAAACACACUAAGAAAUAAGCUACUAGGAAAAAAAUAAUAAAAAUUAUAUUAGAAAAAAAAAUCCAUAUGCAUUCGUAUAUAACGGAGCUUACAACCAAUCUACAAAGAUAAAUAAAAUAUUCGUAUACAAACGGAUUUUUCACUAGCCGUUGGAGGAUUUAAUGCUUGGCAGGUGAUCGUUAUCCUCUACCGGACAUCGAUCAAGAAGGCAAAUACCUCGACCAGGAAGGAAAGGCUACUAGAAGAGAGAGAGAGAGAGAGAGUGUUUUUUGCUCAUCUCAACUAGAUCUCAAUCAAGAAGGAGUAACCGGUCAACCAGUACCCUGGUCGGUUGAGCCGGUUUGGCUAGUGUCUCGACUGGUUCACCAUUUUUGGCCCAAAAACCUAUAUUUUCUUUGUUAUUUUCUCUUCUAACACUUAGGUAAGGUAUUUAGGCAAAUUAAUUUGCCAAUUUUGAAAUGAUUUGCCUAAGGUUCAUUUGAUAAAACUCGGGUUUUGAUGGAAAUGUAACUUUAAAGCAUAAACUAAGUUUUUCAAAUAUGCAUGAAAUGAUACGUAAAUCCUAAGUGCACCCAUGCAUUCAUCUUACAUAUGUUUCCUAUGAUUAAAGGUCUUCCAAAAGUCUUAAUCUUGCAUCCAUUAGGUCAUUUGAUGAAUUUCCAAACUGACAUCUGAAAUUGUUUAUAAUUCAAACCAAUUAGUAACUUAACCAUGAUUUGUUAUUAUCAAAAUAUGAUUAGGAGAACCCUUGGGCUAACAAUCUCCCCUUUUUUUAUGAUGACAAACCUUGGUUAUCUAAGAGAAGAAGAAUCUCCUCCUCAAACCAAUCAUGGAUCAACAAUCAAAAUUUACGAAGUUAAAACCAAGAUAAUCAAGACAUACUAGAGAGAAUUUGCAAUAAGAAACAAUGUAAGUGAUCAAACAUAUAAGAAUAUCAUAUAUAAGUCAAUGUAUCAAUAUCCAGUAUAUACGAUCCAAGUGAUAUGAAAAUGAUAUGCAUGUAAGUCUUCUAUAGUCUCAUAGAUCCUAAAAUAUCUCCCCCUUUUGGCAACAUAAAAAAGGAACAAAUAGGGUCUCGAAGGAAUCAAGGAUGAGGAAGUGGAGGUGGAAACACAGAGCGUAGAUAAGCCAUCAUAUUCUCAUGUUGACUCUCCAAACGAUCCUUAAUACGCUCAAUCCCCUGUUGGAGAUACUCAAACUGUGAAGUGAAGCCAGUCUGAUACUGAUCCAUGCAAUCCUCCAUGGAGUAGAACCGUGUGUCACUGACUAUAGCAAGCUCCUCCAUAUGAGUGCUUAGAGAGCUAAUCUAAGCAGAUAAAUCCAUCCAUGGAGCAUGGUCAGGAGCGAGAGGUGUUUGAGCAAGUGGUAUCUCAAAAUGUGUAGCCUUAGUGAAUGCAAGUUCAGAGGAAGACUCAGUGAAUGAUGACUGAGUAGAUGGACCCGCUAUAAAAGUUGGCUCAAACAUCAUCGGCUCAGAGAAGGUAGUCUCAAACUGAACACCCAUUGACUAGAGUGGAGAAAUGUCAAGCUCGGGCUCUCUUUGUUGAUAGCCACUCUAAGGGUUUACUUCACACUCCAUCUUUUUAAUCUCUACCUCCUCCUUAACUCUGGGAUGUGCCUGUCCCUAUCCCCGAGCCUAUGUCGGUGCUCUCUUUGCUUUCCUGACCUAAGAACCAUUUGGGGCUUUCUCAAAUUUCAUCUUCCCCAUGGACUGAUCAUCAUACGUAUCAUAAGCGUUGGUGGCCUCAAAGUUUGUCUCUCUGCUCAAGUCAACGCCGACAUCCUUGCACAUUCUAGUAAGGAAGCGACCAUAGGGGAGUACGCGAGUCGUGCUCUCGCAACAUGAGAUCAAGUUCAUCAUCAUCAAGUACCCUAAGUGGAUCCGUCUUCCAGUCAAAAUAGAGUCAAUAAGGAAUGCCUCAUAAUAAGAGACCUCGUCUCGGUGUCCACCCUGUGCAUAUGAUGUAGCACUCUACUGAUGACCAUCAGGUUGUGUGCUGAGGGUUUGUCCAUCCCGUGGGCAUCUACAAGUUCACAAAUCCUCUUAAUGGCCUCUCUAGGCUCAAAUCUUGGCACAAUGGGCCACAUUUUGGACUCAUAUACUUUGAGUCCAACUGGAGCAAUAUCGAAAAUACGAUAAAUGCUCUUUGGGUCUAAACGAAUCUUGACGCCUUUGACAGUAGAAAUGAUCGGGCCACCUGAUGAGAAUCAACAAGCAUUCGAGGAUCCAUUGUAUCUUCCAGUUGGGCCUAUUACUAAAGCAAGAUCCAAGAAUAUCAAAGAAGCAAUUAAUGGGCUAAUUCAAGAGAUUUGGGUUGAUUCUAACGUAGGACAUUCCAAGCUUGGCCCAAAGGAAGAUGAAGGUGUAAUAAAUUUAAUCGAAGCUAUUGAGGGCUAAUCUGACUUGAUUGGACGUUAUUUAUGGUGUGGAUUAAUGACUGAUUGACUUUCCAACUCCAUAUCAAUUAAUAGACAUUUUUACUAUUCUAGAGCUUCUAAUUUUAGGCUAAAUCUACCUUAAUUUUAGGCUUUUAUUAUUUAGAACAAUUUUUAGCUAUUUUCCUAUUUUGGAUCUGCUAAUUUCAGACCAAAUCAACUUUUAUUUAGGGUUUUAAUAUUUAGUAAGUUUUUAUUUCAUGACAUAUAAAUAGCAUGCACUCAUUGUAAUAUGGGAUAAUUUGAUUGAAUAAAAAAUCAGAAAAUGUGAGGCUUUACUCUUCUUUUGGUUCUUUAAGGACUGUGAACUUAUCAGGGAUUCUUCCUUGUGGCGUUCAAACUUUAUACUUUCGGUUCAUGAUUCCAUUGUAAUCAUUGGGUCAAGGUUUGUUACUUAUACUUUUGGUUCACGUUUCACUUAUAAAAGUUGGGUCAGGGUUCUAUCAAAAAUCUGUAUUUUAGUUUUCUUAGGCAAUUAUUCCAAUACUGUUUGUUGGGUCUCAAAGUGUGUCGAUUGAGGUUCGCAUCAUUUGGUAUUAGAGCUCAGGUUCUAAAAUCAGUCGAUUGAGGUUCGCAUCACCACCCAUGCCAUAAGUCGCCUUUGAGUAAAAAUCUCACACCAAAGUCGAGAAAAUCGGCUCCAAAACAAUGACCAUAGGUAAUCAACCCAUCCUAGUGAAUAGACCCUCGAAUCCGAAGUGCUCAAGUUGGGGAAAAUUAAUAUUUCUCCUCGGAACUACUUGUCCCAAAGCAAAGUGAUGUUUGUACCGUUGGUAGUCCUCCACGGAGUUGAACAAGGUAGUGUCAAACCUUGCCUUUCGGGUUUGACAAGGUGCCAAAAGCUUGAAUCCUAAAUCCUUAAGAGGGUUUAUAUAGGAUUUCCUAUGGACUUAAGUGACUUGAGCCCAAAUUUGGCUUGAGUCACCUGAUCUAGCCCACUUGGGUCCUAAUUAAUUUAUUAUUUUAAUGGACUCCAAUUAAUUAAUUAGCUCAAAACACCAAUCUAGAAAUAUUGUUCAUAAGAUCUUGUGCAACCUUGUAUUUUUACUAAAACACCCUUAUGUGCCCUUAUGAACUACAAAUCUAAAUCUCUCAAAUAAAACAUGUCACCAUGAACUAUGAGCUCAAGCGGGGACCAUUGGGACCCAUAAGAUUAUAUUGGCUCCCUCAUAAUUGAAUUCUAAAAUUGAUUCGAGAAUCCACUAAAGAGAAUCAAUUGUACUUCAGUAUCCUACAUUAAGACAAAGCUUAGGUUUGUAACCUACUAUUCAUUGCAUGCAAGCUCCUCAUGAAUUAGUGUCUGUAAUCUAAUAAGGUAGUGUUGUCAACCUAUCAAGAUUAGCUCUUUAAUCUUUAAGUUAUAAAUCCUCCUAUUAUGUGAUCAAUUGACAUACUCUAGCUUGUAAAGAACAUAUAUCAAAAUUCACUUAAAGAAUUCCUACAAUCACAUAUUUCAUAAUCAUAUGCCCUUUAGAUCAUCCAAGAGAACACUUUGUUCCAAUUCUAUGAGAUGCCAUGGUGCCUCUAUUAAGAAUAUGUAUUAUCACCAACCUCCAUCAACAAUGGCAAUUCGUAGGGAAUCUAUAUAUAUAAUCAUUUUAGGGUCUUACCUAUAGGUCAAAACCUUCUAUUGAUUUUAGCAUAGACUUAAUAUCUUCUUAAAGUUGAGAGUCCAUGCAAUAUAGUAACUUUGUAAAUCAUGACAACCCGAUGACCUUAUUGCAAAAUUGAAAUAUUGAAAUAUCUUCAUGAUUCAUCAUAGGCACGAUUUGAAAUAUUGCAAAAUUUCAGCGAAAUAUCGUCGAUUUUUCGCUUAUCGGAGAGGAUCAACACGACAUUCAUCAUUUAUAAUCAAUUGACAGAUUUAUCGCGGAUUUUUUUGGGAAUAUCGGUAAUAUUUUGGCAUUUAUCGACAUUUUUGCCUAUUUUUCAAAAAAUUUCCCAAUUUUUUGGUGCCAACCACUUUGGUCAACGCGCAAUCAACCCUCACAUUUUUUGUUGUAAUGCCUAGGGGAUUUGAACCUAGGUCAAAAGGCUUGGGUUGAACCCUGGCUACCAUUGGGCCAAAAUGUCAUUUGUAAAUAUAUGUUCAAUUUAAAUAUGUUAAAGUUCAGCAUUUUAAAAAAUAAUUUUAAUUAUUUUAUUUUAAAUUUAAUGUAAUUGAUUAAUAAAAAUAAAAAAACCAACAUUAUAAUUUUUUAACAAGUCUUUUUUUAUAUCAUUUAUAUGAUAAUUAAAUAUAAAAAAUAUAAAUAUUAAAAAAUCAUAUAUGCAUCAUCAUUUAUUUUACAUUAUUGAAUGCAUUUAAAUUAAAUAAAUUAUAGUUUUAAUAUUAAAUUUAUUAUUAUUGAUCUCAUUAAUCUUAUUUUAAAAAAUAAUUAUCACUUGACUUUUAAAUUUUUUAUAUUUAUUUGUUUAUUUUUUAAUGUCUUUAUUUUAAAAUAUUAAAAAUAUAAAUUUAUUCAAAAAAUACUAAAAUAUAUAUAAAAAAAUUAAUAAUGAAGUUCUAAUAUUUUAUAAAUUAUAAUUAAUUUGAUAAGAUAAAUAAUAAAUUAUAUAUUAUGAUCGAUAUAUCCUUGCUUAGAGAUAAUUUUCUCCUUAAUCAUACUUAUGUCAAUUAUACUUACAAAUUAACUUUAACAUGUGUUUUUUUACUUAUUUUAUCAUUUUUUUUUUUGAGUUUUUCCAAAUAUUUCAAUGAAUUUUGAAUAAUUUUCACCUCACCAAAAUUUUUAUCAAAAUAUUCACCAAUAUUUCUCCGAUAUUUUCGAUAUAAUCAUAAAAUUCAAGUACCAAUAUAUCCAUAUUUUCCAAUAUUUCAAACCAUUAUCAUAGGUGUUGUCUUAUGUAUAACCAUACACACUAGUGUACUCAUAAUAGGAACCCUAUCCCGAUGGUCAAGAUAAGUCAUAUUUUAUAACCAUACACACUAGAUUUUAAAAGUGUGAGAUAAUGCUCAUAAAAAUAACAAAGUAGAGAAUUUGUUGAUAAUUAUUCCCAAAUAAAUGUCAUUAAAACAAUUUGAACUAGAAUUUAAAAUAAAAAGAUGUCACAUGGAUUAACCUAGGAUUUGAGAAAUUUGGCCUCAUCAUAGGCCACACUACAAACCUGAGAUGAGUUUUAGGAGAAAAUGAGUAGAAGUUAGAAUAAUAAAACAGUUUUUUUGUUUUCCAAAACAAAAAAAUUGGAAAACACAUUUUACAAUCAAAAAAUAUUUUAUGCUUUUUGUUCUCAAUAACAGAAAACAAAGUGUUUCAGAUAAUAUCUUUUAGUUAUUUUAAUUAUUUUCACUUAUUUUUUUAGAGUUGUUUUAAAAAAUAAUUAUAGAAAUAUGUAUCAUGAUUAAAAAUAAAGCUCUAGAUAUAAAAAUAAUUUUUAAAACUUACUUAAAAAUAUUAAAAACAUUUUAGAUUCUCAAACAAACUUUUAGUUUACAAAACAUUAAAGAAUAGUUUUUAAAAAUUGUUCUUAAAAACUAUUUUUCAGAACUAUUUCAAAAAAACAGUUAUCAAACAGGUCCUUAAUUUCUAGCCCGUGAAAGAAGAGAAAAAAAGAGUAAUUUUGUUUAGUAUAAAUAAACAAAGAGUCAUGUGAAUAAAGGGAUCCUUGAUAUAACAACAAAAAUCAACCUUUCCAACUUCUCAAGUGAUUCGAUCUCUUUGUUGACCAUCGUGACAACCUUAAUCUCUUUUCAUUAGCAGUAGGAGUAAGGUAGAUUAGCAGCAGAUUCAUCAAUGGGGAAACCAUUUUAUGCUUGUUCCUAUCAUUUAGGUUUACAUCAAUGAGUGGUUUGGAGGGUGUACUACCUAUAGUCUAUUAAUUAAAUUUGAGGGGAAAGGCUUUUAUCCUUUAAAGGACUUCUUGCCACCCUUCUUCAAUUUUGGGGAGAGUUCGAUCAAUAUUCAAUCACCAUUUAGCAUUAUUAUCCAAGGGGUCAUGGGAGAGAAGUUUCUCUAGCAUCGGUUAUGCCAUAUCCAAUAUACACAUCACUGGAGGGUGACAUUAUCCCAAUAAUCACAUCAUGCCCUUCAGUACCAGUAUAGUUUUGAUCAAUGCAAUUUGCUGUGAAUUUCUGUAGUGGUAGAAUUAUAGCCAGGAGAUUCUAGCCCCAGUAUCCACCAUAGGCCAGCAAAGUGAAUAAUCCUAGGAGAAUAAGCUCAGAAGCACAAGGAUUUGAUCAAUGGAACCUGGUUUUUUUUUGUUUUAAUUUCUUUACUGAUGUAAUAAACCUUCUGUUUAUUUGGUUCGCUGUCAUUAUUAUAAUCUCUAGUAGUUGCACCAUCCUGGGUGAAUGAGCUAUUACCUCUACCAAUUGAAGUUUUUUUUGGUUACAGUCCUUGGUAUUCUCUUGGAAUUGACAACCAUUUGGAAAAUAAAAAUUCCUUUAUUUAGACAUAAAAAGAAUCCACAAGCAUGGACCAUUGCUAAAAGAAGAUUGAUAUGAGACUAUUCAACCCGAGACACUAUUUGCCUAGGUAUAUUUCGGGAUGGUGAUUCAUUCCUCUAAUAGGACUAGAACAAAUGGCUAAAUUGCUCUGAUAUGCUCACAUCUUUAAUCAAUAAGUUUACACUAAAUCAGUAUAACUCCCUACCAAAACGCUAGGUGAGAGAUCAGGGGCAAAGCUAGGUAGUGUCUGGGAGGGGCAAAUGCCCCCCAUGAAAUUUUAAUAAAUAUAUUAGGGUUUAGAUCCUUAACCUAAAAUUCUGAAAAACCUAACUCUCAAACUAGGUUUCAUAUAUUGCCCCCAAUCAAUUAAUUUCCCAACUCCACCACUGUGAGGGAUUGUACCUAAGUAGGGCAUCACUUUCAUAAUUCUAUACUCCUCUUGUCUCUUUUCCAUUCAAAAGGACUUGAGUUGAAAGAUUUUGAGGCCUAAAAUUAUAUACAAGUCAAGCCCAUAGGCCAAAACAUAGAACUGGUGGGUAAAGCACCCCAAACUAGACUUCUCAAACACAAUAAUAUUGAAGAUUAAGCUAAAAUUUGUAACUGCAUUUUAUAUUGAAGUGAGUUUCAUUUUAGUAUUAAUUUUUGGAUAAAGUUAAAAACUAAAGGACAUCAGAAAUGUUAUUUUUAAUUACGUAUAUCAAUAGCACUUUAUAGGAGAAAUUUUAAGUAGUGAAAUAUGGAAAAUUUAAGCUCAUAUAGAAUGAAUAGUUAAAUGCAAAAUGGUACACUUAUUAAAGAGUUGAACAUUGACCAACUUAUUUUCUGGGCUAGACAAAAGUAGACAAGAAAAUUCAAUGAAAUAUUGGGGACUUUCUUUUCUGUGUGGUUGAAAGAUACAGAAGAAUUAUAAAUCCUACACUAAAUUUGAAGCGACUUAUGAGUGAUACACCAAACUUAUUGUUUGGGCUAGAGAAAAGUAGGCAGGAAAAUUCAAUGAAAUGGGGACUUUCUUUUCCGUGUGUUAAUGAUGUUAAAUGAAGAAAGAAAAUCUGUGUCACUAAGUUUAAAUGUGCUCAUCUUUAAAAUUGCACUAAAGUCAUUUACGUGAGUCCAACUUUAGAAAAAAGAUGGUUGAUUGUCAAUAUAAGUUGUCAUAUUAAUCAUUAUUAUAUUUAAAAUUUGGAAAACAUGAACAUGAAAAGGAAAAAGGAAAUUCAAAAACAAAAUAAUGAAAAACAACAAUUAGAAAAUAGAAAUCAAUAUAGCCUAAAAAUUGUAUUAGAACAAUUUUCUAAACCUAAACCAAUAGGAAUUCAAAACCUUCACAAUGAGAUAAGUCAAAUUAAACUUCAAGUUAAUACUAAGUUAAUUCAUAAUCAAGAAGUAGAAACUAGACUUCAAAUGCUAGAAAAUGAAAAAGUUCAAAUCAUAGAAGAUGAUAAUAAACAAUUAAAAGGAGAAUUUUGGGAAUUGUUUGUAAAAACUAUAACAAGAAUGAAAACUCAAAAAUGGUAUGUCAAAGUAAAACUCUUCAUAAAACCUGAUUUUUCAAAAUAAUUUUUAGCAUUAGUUGAUUGUGGUGCUAAUAUUAAUUGUGUACAUGAAGGAUUAAUUCCAAUUGUAUACUUUGAAAAAACAUACCAAGGGGCCGUAAGUGCAAACUCACAACCCUUGGCAAUAGAUUUCAAAAUUUCAAAUGUACAUAUAUGUAGUCAAAAUAUUUGUUUCAAGACUUCUCUAUUGCUAGUCAAAGACAUGCAUAAAGAGAUAAUUUUAGGAAUACCAUUCCUUGCUAUAUUUUAUCCUUUUAAAGUAGAUAGUGAAGGAAUUAAAACAAUUUAUAAAGGACAAAAUAUUUGCUUUAAAUUUACUAAUCCUAUACAAACCAAAGAAUUAAAUACACUUCAAAAUGAAGAAGUAAACUUAAUUCAAAAGAAAAAACAACAUACCAAAUUCAUAAGCAAAGAAAUACAUUAUAAAAGAAUUGAAGAAAAUCUAUUACAAAAAGCAAUUCAAACAAGAAUGGAAAAAAUUAAAAAUCAAAUUGAAACAGAACUAUGUUCUUCUAUUCCCAAUGCUUUUUGGGAUAUAAAGAAACAUAAAGUUUCCUUGCCCUAUAUUGAUGGAUUUGAUGAAGCUCAAAUUGCCACUAAGGUAAGACCAAUUCAAAUGAAUGCUUAAUUAUUUGAAUACUAUCAAAAUGAAAUAAAAGAUCUUUUGAAUAAACAUCUUAUUAGAAAGAGUCACUCUCUUUAGAUCGUUGCUUUCUAUGUUCAAAAACCCUCAAAAAUUGAAAAAAGUGCUCCAAGACUUGUAAUAAAUUAUAAGCCUUUAAAUAAGGUUCUCAAAUGGAUAAGGUAUCCAAUAGCUAACAAAAGAGACCUUAUCGGACACCUUGAUAAUGCUUUAGUCUUUUCAAAAUUUGAGAUGAAGUAUGGAUUUUGGUAAAUUCAACUUCAAGAAAAAGACAAAUACAAAACUACAUUCACUGCUCCAUUUGGGCAUUAUGAAUGGAAUGUAAUGCCUUUUGGUUUAAAGAAUGCUCCAUCAAAAUUUCAAAAUAUAAUGAAUGACAUUUUCAAUCACUAUACUAAUUUCUCCUUAGUAUAUAUUGAUGAUGUGCUUAUAUUUUCAAAUUCUAUUGAACAUCACUUCAAACAUCUUGAAAUCUUUCAACAAUUUGUUAGGGAAAAUGGCUUAGUGGUAUCUGCCCCUAAGAUCAAACUAUUUCAAACUAGGAUAUUUGAUUUCUACUUCUUGUUGUCAAGUAUAAUUCUUCCUUUCAAGAUUUCAAAUUCCUUGAAUUAUGUGUUGGGACUUUGUCCAAACACAAUUAGUUUCACCUCAUUUUCCUCCACAUUUAGCAAGAGAAUUCAAAGUCAAAUGGUGGUCAAAUUUCUCUCAUUCUACUGCCUAACAAAUUCCCCAUAUCCAUCAAUGGAUUUCCUCAAAAAAUGCUCCUUCAAAGCUAAGUCCUUCAAAAACUCCUAUUCAAAUUCCUCUUGAUAACUUUUUGUUAUCAAGAACUUUGUUCCCUUCAGACAAAGAAUUCAAAAACAUCUCAAAAUGCUUAUGAAAAAAUAGAAACCAUGUCUCAACUCUCUGAUUUUGGUUCUGAUGAUGAUACUGCAUCAUCUACUUUUUUAGGGGAUCUCAAUGAAGACAUGUGCUAUGGAUUUCUAUACACGCCUCUGGAGUAACGCCUUCAAGUCUUCAUUAAAAUCAAUUUGUGAAGCACUUCAAAAGAGACACUUAGGUCUUCAGGUCAAGCAAAAUGUUCGCAUUCUUGCCUUUGAUUACAUUUUCCAAAGAGACUUUGGAUAUCGUGGCAAAAUCUCAAAGGACCUCAAAUUUCUCAAAGAAUCUAGGUUUGAAGAUGAUUUCCUAUUGUAGACUCCAACAUUUUCCAAUAUGAGUGGGUUGAUGAGACAUCAAUACCGCUCUUCAAAUUUAUGGAUAAAAACAAUGGGCUACAAACCGCUCUUCAAAUUCAAAGGAUAGCUGCACAAAAGAAAAACUACUUUCGGUGGAUUUCAAAACUCUUCAAAUCUAUGAACUUAAAAGGUUUUCAUAUCCGUCCUCAAAUCCUAUAUAAGGCCCUCAUUUCUCAUUGUAAGGCAUCGACAAUUCAGUAGUGGUAUUUGAGUAAAAACAAGUGAAAUAUCCCUCUAAGCGAAAGUCUUGUAAUUGAGAAAAUCUCAAAGCUCUCAAAGUUUUGUUUAAGCUCUCUUCAAAAGCUUGUAAGUUUAUGUUUCAAAUUCUUUUGUAAUUAUUUUAUGCUUUGAAUGAAAUUUCAAAUUCAACUGUUCUUCAAGUUUUACAUAUUGCAUCAAAGAACCCCUUUGAAUAUGAACUUUCUUGAAGUUCUGUCAAAGUUAUCUGGGUUUUAAGUGAGACCAUUAUGACUCCUCUAGAUUCAAUUGGGAGAUUUCAUCAAAAUUCAUAUUGAAAUUCAAAUUGAAGUGUUCUUUAUUUCAUUUUAUUUCAUCCAUCGAUAUUAAUUUUUGGAUAAAGUUAAAAACUAAAGGACAUCAAAAAUGUUAUUUUUAAUUACGAUAUCAAUAGCACUUUAUAGGAGAAAUUUUAAGUAGUGAAAUAUGGAAAAUUUAAGCUCAUAUAGAAUGAAUAGUUGAAUGGAAAAUGGUACACUUAUUAAAGAGUUGAACAUUGACCAACUUAUUGUCUGGGCUAGAGAAAAGUAAGCAAGAAAAUUCAAUGAAAUAUUGGGGACUUUCUUUUUUGUGUGGGUUGAAAGAUACAGAAGAAUAAUAAAUCCUACACUAAAUUUGAAGUGAUUUAUGAGUGAUACACCAAACUUAUUGUUUGGGCUAGAGAAAAUUAAAGUAGGCAAGAAAAUUCAAUGAAAUGGGGACUUUCUUUUCUGUGUGGAUAUAGAAGAAUUAUAAAUCCUACGCUAAAUUUGAAGUGACUUAUGAAUGAUACACCAAACCAUAUGUUGAUCACAAUGGCUAAAAUGAAUUAUCUUGUUGAAUCCAUAUUAAUAAAAUUUAUUGUUAUGGAUAUUUUUUAUAUUUCUAUUAACAGUAUGGAAGAGUGUUAGUGAAGCUGAAUCUAGCAUACACCUAAAAUGCUAUGAAGAGAUUAUUUAAUAGUGAUUUUAAAAAGUAUUUUUAAUCUUUCUAAUUUUGAAAGAUGACAAUUUUCAAGUGUUCAAAAUGGUACAAACACUUUUUAGAAUUAUUAUCAGAUACACUCAAAAUUUGUAAAAAGAAAAAAGAAUAUAAGAUAAGUCAGCUUAUGUUGGUAAAAAUCUUGGUCAUUCAACAUGAAUGGUUUGGUCUAAGAAAUUUUCUAACCCAAAGAAGGAAACAGAUUUAGGAAUUGAUAGAAUGUGUAAGGCAUGAAUUGUGUGGCUUUAUCCAAAGGAAUAAAUUCCAUUUUGGUGUUCCUAAUAGAGUAAUUAGAAUAAUUUGAUUGUAACUUUUCAAUUUGAUCACCUCGAACUAAACAGAACAUACAUAAGCAAUGCCAUGAAAUUUGUAUAAAAUUAAAACUGUUGUUUAUGGUAAUUUCAUAAUUAAACCGUCUUUCAUCAAAAGCACAAGAAAACUCAUAUGAACUAAAAAGAUAUGAAAAUAGCUAGAAGUAGUCCCAUCAUGACCCCUUUUUUUUUUUUUUUGACUGAACAGGAUACCAUGCGUGGAAUGUUGUCUUAUUAUUUAUGUAAUAUUAGAACUUUUUCUCUUCUUGAAACAUGAAUAGAAGUUAAUUAUGUUUUGUGUUAACAGUAUCCCCCAGCGGCUUCCAAUGAGAAUUCUACUCUUCUCAUGCCUUUUUUCCAUGCCCUUAUGCUCAAUCAUCUUUGGUAUCCAUAUUACUUUGGUGUCCGGUGAAUGUCUCAGUGAUGGACGGGUAUGCCUGGAAGAUGAGAUGUCUUUGUUGCUACGGCUGAAGAAGACCCUCAAAUUCAAUGUUGCUGUUUCAAAUAAACUAGUUUCCUGGAAUCGAAGCGCAGACUGCUCUUCUUGGGGAGGUGUGACCUGGGAUGCCAAUGGUCACGUUGUCGGUCUUGAUCUGAGUAGCGAAUCAAUUUCUGGUGGAUUCAAUAGCUCUAGUAGCCUUUUCAGUUUACAAUAUCUCCAGAGCUUGAAUUUGGCUGGAAACAGCUUCUGCGGAGGAUUGAACUGGCCUAACAACAGCUUCUGCUCUUCUCAAAUUCCAUCAGGAUUUGACAGGCUUGCUAAUUUAAUUUAUCUGAAUUUAUCCAAUUCUGGCUUUUCUGGGCAGAUUCCAAAGGAAUUUUCGCUCUUGACUAGCUUGGUUACCAUCGAUUUCUCCAGCCUUGGUUAUCUCAUUGGAUUUCCUACACUGAAACUUGAGAAUCCAAAUCUGAGAAUGCUGGUUCAGAAUCUCAAGGAGCUUAGGGAACUUCAUCUUAAUGGUGUAGACAUAUCAGCCGAGGGGAAGGAGUGGUGCCAGGCAUUGUCAUCUUCAGUGCCUAAUCUCCAAGUGCUUAGCUUGUCCAGCUGUCAUCUUUCAGGCCCAAUCCAUUCUUCCCUGCAGAAGCUUCGAUCUCUCUCAAGGAUUCGUCUGGAUGACAACAAUUUUGCUGCUCCAGUUCCACAGUUCCUCGCUAGCUUCUCAAAUUUGACUCACUUGCAGCUCAGUUCUUGUGGAUUAACUGGAACGUUUCCAGAAAAGAUCAUUCAGGUAACAACCCUACAGAUUCUUGAUUUGUCAAUUAACUUACUUGAAGAUUCUUUGCCAGAAUUCCCUCAAAAUGGAUCUCUAGAAACAUUGGUGCUUUCGGAUACAAAACUAUGGGGGAAACUACCCAACUCCAUGGGAAAUCUUAAGAAGCUGACUAGCAUAGAGCUGGCACGUUGCCAUUUCAGUGGCCCAAUCCUAAACUCAGUGGCAAACCUUCCUCAACUGAUUUACUUGGACUUGUCUGAAAAUAAGUUUUCCGGUCCAAUUCCAUCUUUUAGUUUGUCCAAGAGACUCACCGAAAUAAACCUUUCCUACAAUAAUUUGAUGGGUCCAAUUCCUUUCCACUGGGAACAACUUGUUAAUUUAAUGAAUCUUGACCUGCGGUACAAUGCAAUUACAGGAAAUCUCCCCCCGUCCCUGUUUUCCCUCCCAUCCUUGCAGAGGUUACGACUAGACAACAACCAAAUUUCUGGUCAGUUCAAAAUUCUUUUAAAUGCAUCUUCUUCUAGAUUGAGCACCCUUGGUUUGAGUAGCAACAAUCUCAAAGGGCCGAUACCUGAUUCUGUCUUUGAACUGCGGUGUCUUAGCUUCCUUGACCUAUCUUCCAACAAAUUCAAUGGAAAGAUUGAACUCAGCAAGUUUAAAAAACUUGGGAAUCUUACUGAUCUUAGCCUUUCAUACAACAACCUGUCCAUCAAUGCAACCCUUUGUAAUCUGUCCCCUUCUAUACUGCCUAUGUUUACAACAUUAAGGUUGGCUUCUUGCAGGCUGACAACUUUACCUGAUCUUAGCGGCCAGUCAAGCUUGACACAUUUAGACCUUUCCCAAAACCAAAUUCACGGGAACAUACCUAGUUGGAUUUAGAAGAUUGGUAAUGGCUCUCUUGUGUAUUUGAAUCUCUCUCAUAAUUUACUGGAGGAUCUACACGAACCUUUCCCUACUUUUACUCCUUAUCUGUCCAUCCUUGACCUACAUUCCAACCAGCUCCAUGGCCAAAUCCCC